rnacentral:lncRNA from 1 species
AUAUAUAUAUAUAUACAGCUGCCGGGUUGCCGCCACCAACGGAAACUCGGAGACUGAAUUCGAAAGAGGGCCUGUUUCUGAUUGUAAUCCGGAAAGGACUGCUUUGAUUCCGGAUUAGCCACUAAAAAGGGGAACCGCUUCGAUUUCCGACUGCGGCUCAGAGAGGAGCCGCUUGAUUGCUUGGAUUGCCGGUUGCAGCUCGGAGAAGGGCCGCUUGAUUGCGGAUCGCCGCUCCCAAAAAAGCUGCUGCUCUUGCUGCUUCGAUUGGGGACUGCGGCUCCCAAAGGGGGAGCUGCUUAUUUGGUCGCCUACUCGCAAGCAGCACUGGAUCCUCAUUCGAGGCAUCCGACGGCGAUUGCGGCGGCGAGAGGGGGGAGAUGGGCGCACGGCAGGAGGCGGCGGCGCAUAACUGAAACCCUAGGUGGGAGGGGGCGGCGUGGAAGGGAGGAUCGCCAUUUAUAUACUGCGGCCUGCGAUGGAGGAAUGAUGGGCUAAGGCCCAUUGUUCAUCACCCCUAAAAAAAUGUGUACAUGCGGCCUGCCAUGGAGGGAUCAUGUGCUAAGGCCCAAUGUUCAUCACCAUUUAUAUAGAGGGAUGAUGUGCUAAAGCCCAAUGCUCAUCACCAUUUAUAUAUGCGGCGUGGUUGGGAGGAUCACCAUUUAUAUAAGCAACCUGCUAAUGACAGAAAGUUGCAAGCAAAAACAUCCCUAGUGUGCGUGUGCAUCACCCCUAAAAAAUGUGUAUGUGCAUCCCUUUCUUGUAGUACUUCGCAAAAAUGUAGUGCAAGUACAAGAAAAUUCACUUUGCUGGACGAGCUUAGACGUGAGCCCUAUUUUUUAGUAACGCCAAAAUGGUAUUUCAAAGUUUCAAAAAAUUCCGAAAAAAAAUCAACAUGUUUAUAUGGAUGUGCUACUACACGUGUGCAAAUUCUGAUGAUGAAAUAAGUAGCCAUGUGAGUUACGUAAAAAUGACAAAAUCGUGAUUUUGUAAAGAUGAACAUUGCUUCUAUUAUUCACUAUUUAGAAAUCACCAUUUUGUCAUUUUUGUAUAGCUCCCAUGUUUACUUAUUUCAUCACCAAACUUUACAUGUGUGUAAUAUAUAUCCAUAUGAUCAUGAAGAAUUCUUUUUUUUAAUAUGAUUUUUAAACUAUUUAAAUUAAAUUCCUCCAAUGCACCCAUGCAAAAAAAAUGCACUCUCGCAAGUACUUCUCUGCAUUGUUUGUUUUUCACAUGUAACCUGCAUGAAAAGCACACCCACAAAACCACACUGGAUACUAUCGCCCUUUGUGGAUGCGAGCUUUUUGGCUGAUUCUAAUAAAGGUGCAAUUGCGAGUAUUACAAGGAAUCCUCAUCUUACCUGUCUAAGGUCAGAGAAUCCAUUACUGACUGUAAAAUUGCAUAGCAUGUAGCCAUCCCGUUUCAUCUGCAUAGAUAAUCCAAGACUCAAAACUAGAGCUGAAAUAUUCUUUCAGUACCAGAAAACGACGGUUCCUGAACAUUUAAAUUCAUCCAUGGCAGCAACUAGUUUAGCAUGCACACUCCACAAACAAGAAACAAUGUAGUAUUUAAAUAUAUCAACAAUCUGUCACUGCCUAAGAAGCAGAUCAAGAGGUAUUACACUACUACCUCCGUUUUAGUUUACAAGUCCUGCACGUAUAUCUAGGUUGCCAAUUUUAUCACCUUAAUAUAAUCUAUAUAACACAAAAAUUAUACCAUUUGAAAAUAGAACAUCUGAAGUUUAUAUUGGUAUAUUUUUUUGUAAUAUACGACUUGUAUUAGGUUGGUCAAAUCGACGAUCUAGGGGUAUGUGCACGCCCUAUAAACUGAAAGAGAGGGAGUACUUCCCUACAUUGUUUGUUUUUCAUAUGUAACCUGCAUGAAAAGCACGCUCACGAAACCACACUGGAUGAUAUCGCCCUUUGUGGAUGCGAGUUUUUUGGCUAAUUAUAAUAAAGGUGCAAUUGCGGGUAUUACAAGGAAUCCUCAUCUUACCUAUCUAAGAUCAGAGAAUCCAUUACAGACCGUAAAAUUGCAUGGCGUGUAUCCAUCCCGUUUCAUCUGCAUAGAUAAUCCAAGACUCAAAAAUAGAGCUGAAAUAUUCUUUCAGUAUUAGAAAACGACGGUUCCUGAACAUUUAAAUUCAUCCAUGGCAGCAACUAGUUUAGCAUGCACACUCCACAAACAAGAAACAAUGUAGUAUUUAAACAUAUCAACAAUUUGUCACUGCCUAAGAAGCAGAUCAAGAGGUAUUACACUAGGAGAACUAAGUUAGAUCAUAAAUAGUACUCACAGAAGUGGGAAGAUUAGCAAUGUGAGAGUGCUCAUCUCCUGAUACCAUUUCAACAGCUAUUUGAUGGCCAUCUGGUGAUUCAGACUCAAGAAGGCAAAGAACGUAGUGAGAUUGAUCAACUAUACCUGCCACAUGUGAAGUUUUUAGGACAAGAGUAGAACUAAGAGCACAAUAAGAUUAUGCGCGCUCAAGUAGAAACAAACCCACAUCUACAGAAAUACUGUACACGGUGAAAAACAAGUCUUCUAAUAUUUCGAGAGUUUUGCAUUCUCCUAGUCGGAUAGCUUGUUCAAGGCCACUGCCACUAUCUUCAAUUCCACACGUCUACCCACUAACACUAUCUUCAAGGCUAGCGGCCGAAUCCCACCUUACAAAAAUCAAACUUUACAUCCUAUCUAAGGGGAAAAUAUCUGGUGCACCGGAGCUUGUGGUGCUACCGGUGCAUCAAACUCACAUUGUGCUUUUAAAAUAUUCAAAAUUUGAAAAAAAAAUUAGCACACUCACAAAACAUCAAUGUAGGUUGUCACUAAAUUUCAAGUCAAGAUUCGAAACAUAACUUAAAAAAAAUGACAAAUUCAACACUAAAUAGUACAUAACAUAACUUGGGCUUUAGAUUUAACCCAUUAUCACACUGAUGUCAAAUUUAUCAUUUUUGUAUCUCAAAAAAUAUUUAAAAUUUUUACACGAAAUUUUGUGACAUCAUACAUUGAUGUUGCCUUAACGUGCUAGAUUUUUUUUAAACAUUCUAUGGCAUCUGGAGCACCGGUAGCACCACAAGUGCGAGUGCACCGAAUACAUUCCACUACCUAAGGCAUCACCUAAACCACAUUCCUCCUACUCCAGCAUCUACACUACUCUGCACGAGCUACACAUUCUCCUCCAUGCUACAGGAGAUGUUCAUUAGGUCGUCAAACACUAAUCUACCUCCUCCAAUGAGUUAGUUCACAGACGAAAAAUAGAGGUCAUCUUCUUGCUCUUCUUCCAAGAAAACCGCGACGGCCAGCUCCCUUCCCUGCUGAUCUUCCCCCUCCUCUUCUUCUUGCCCGCACCUCUCUCCCUCCUCCCAUAACUCCCUGUACCUGUCAACCGAAACACAUAGGUAGGUAACCAAAACAUGACGCACCAUGCAUAGUAUCCCUGCACUCUGCAGCAGAAAAUGGCCGGUGAGACGGUCUUACUUUGCCACCAGAGUGUCGUGCACGGCGUCAAGCUGGUCCAGGUGGAUGGUGAUGUCCACUCUCUCCAGCCCCUGGUUCUUAAGCAGCAAAGACUCAAUAUUAGGCAAGGAACAUGUUUAAAUAACACGUGACGACAACUCUACUGCUCACCCUUUUUGGGCCUGAUGACAACGACAACGAUGGUGGUUUAUCUUGUGUUCCCACCAGCACGUACUACCUGUGAUUACAUCUAUUCAUGAUGGUGGUUUACUAGCAAAUCCAAACAGGGAGCACUAUGUUAAUCACCAACAACUUGAUGAUCAAUAGCACUUUGCAUUCUCGGACACAGAGAGCACAUUACAUCACCUGGUAUUAUGGCCUUUCUGCCUGGUUAUUAUCUGCUUCCUUCAUCGAUGGCUUCCGAAGGUCAAUGACAUCAGGUGUUUCCACGCCAGCUGGAGUACUGUCACAAUAACAAGGACAAGUGAAUACCUAGUGUCUACUGCACUAUUAAAUUGGAAAAUAAAAUGGUAACUGACAACAGAAGAACACAAGUAUAGAUAAUUACCUUAAGAUGGUGUCAACAGAGCGAAUGCCUUCUACUAUUUCCCCAUCUUCCAGUUCCUCCUCCUCUUCCUCUUGACAAAUGCCUUAUACUAUUUCCCCCUCUUCCAGUUCCUCCUCUUGUUCCUCUUGCCGGAUGCCUUCCGCUAUUUCACCAUCUUCCAGUUCCUCCACCUCCUCUUGCCGAAUACCUUGUACUAUUUCCCAUCUUCCAGCUCCUCCUCUGGAUGCAGCAGUACAACACUGAAGAUGGAUUGGUGGCAGGUGGCUGCGGCAGCCUCAUACCCGGCAGGCGUCCUUGUUGAGGAGUGCGCCGGACUGGUGGGUGCCCGUACUCGGCAAGCGUCCUGAUUGGGACCUCAGGUCUUAGAUGUUAGGUUUGGCUGCGAGGUUUGUUUGGUAUUAGGCCCAAACUAUCAGCAUCCCUUCAUCAACUGGAUAGGAGUAGCGACAGAUGUUGCCUAGACGGUGGCUUUAGUCUUCCUGUUGUAUGACUUUGUAAGAUCUUGUGUGAAUAAUUAAUAAAGUGGCUGCAUGCAUCGUUGAGAUGCUAAGGCCGGGGGUCCUCCUCCUUUUCUUAAAAAAAAAAUCUUCCAGCUCCUCCUCUUCCUCUUGCCAAGUGCUUCUUCUAUUUCCUCGUCUUCCAGGUCCUACUCCUCAUCUUCCUCUUUCGGAAUGCCUUCUUCUAUUUUCUCAUCUUCCAGUACCUCUUCCUCUUCUUCCUCUUCUAGAAUGCCCUUCUCUAUUUUUUCCAUCUUCCAGUUCCUCGUCCUCCUCUUCCUCUUCCUCUUCUUCGUCCAAUUCUCCCCGGAGUGUGCUGCGAUCAAUAGGUUCCUCUCCCCACAUAAUUGCCGAAAGCAAAUGUUAAUUCUGCUCCAGAGAAACCAUACUGCAAUAUGACUAAUAUAACUUAAUUUACAAGGUUUGUCAUGCUGCAGGAAUCCAAAAACAUUUUCAUAUAACAGUAUACGACUAAUACAACUAAUAUAACUAAUAUAACUUAAUUUACAAGGUUGGGUUGGGUGCCUAUGCGGUUGGCAAGAGACAAUGGCAGGUUUACAAAGGAGAUGUAGCAAUUAUUAGACGGUGUAAAUAGCAACUUUUUAAUAGAUAAGGUAGCUCGUCACUUGGGGGCUUCCUCCACUCCCGAGGUCCAUCACCAAUGCUGUCGCCUGAUGACGAUGGUUUAUCUUGAGCUCCCACCAGCACAUACCUGCAAAGUUAGAACAUGUGGCGUGUGACUUUUAUGGUUGACAAGCUAUACAGGGAUCGGGAACAUGUGGCGUGUGACUUUCAUAGGUUUGGCUAGGGAAGCAUACGCGUGGCUCGACGCGAACAGUGCCCGUGAGGAUCAUUUCUUCUUUCUGUUCCGGAGGGAAGAAACAACAUGUUGAUGAUUAACAACAACGACUAGCCAAGCCAAGUGGUGCUAUAGCAGAAUGAUUUGUUAACCAUCAAGAAAUUGAUGUAUAAUGGCCAUUUGUCCUGGUUACCUUCCUCUGCAGCUUCGAAGGUCAAUAACAUCAGGUGUUUCCACAGCUUGGAGUACUGUUACAGCAACAAGGAAAAUGAGAAACUAAGUGUCUACUGCACUAUUUAAUUGAAAUUAAAAAUGGUAAAUGGCGAUUAAAAUAACUGGCAACAAGAACAGAAGUAUGUGUAUCCGCCAUAUGUGAUAAAAAUGGUAAAUGGCGUUUAAAAUGGUAAAUGGCACGUUAGCAAGUGUAACAUAGGCGGCCACGUCAACACUAGUUGUGUAUCCGCCAUAUGUGAUAUGUCCUUUUUUUUGCGGGAUAUAUGUUUUUUUGGCAAAAGGAGGAUGACCCCAGCCUCUGCAUCUGGAAGAUGCAUGCUGCCAUUUUAUUAAUUAUUCUCGAGAACCUUACAAAGUAGAACAACAAUAUGUCUGAAUCCGCAAUCUUGGCAACAUCUGUCGCUACUCCUAUCCAAAUGAUGAAGGGGUGCAAGCUGGGUCACAUACCCAGACCUCUCACCUAAGCCUAGCAUCUAAAACCGGAAGCCCCGACCGAGCCAUCUGCUAGGUUCGGGGCUCAAACCGGUCCGUCGCACUCACAUAUGUCAUCGCCGCCGUCUUCCACUGGUCCAUCUUCAUAGCAGAUUGAGGUGACAACCUUGGAAGGUCCUCCGCCAUCGACGCCACCACGACACCAAACGACGACCUCCACCUACGCGAGCCUUGGCAGGUUCUCCGCCAUUGACGCCACCACGACGCCAGCCGACGACCUCCACCUACGCGAGUCCAUCUCCAAGCAACGGACGUAAAUCCAUGCUAGGAUAGGGCCGCACCACCGUCGUCGCCCACCACCCACAAGCGCCACCUAACCCCAAGGUUCCCAAAGCGGCGCCUUCAAGAAGGGAACGACGCUUUGAGCGCCGUCGCCGCCCAACAAAGUUAGGGCUUUCGCCAGGGAGACCUAGGGGAAGGUGAAGUGAGGAGAUCAGUCCAUACCGACGCCUCCAAGGAGGGGAACGACGCCCUCGGGCGUCGCCGUCGGCGCGGCCUGUCAAGGCCGGCCAGGGAUUUCUCCCGAACUAGAUCCCCGCCACCAGCAGCGCCUCCUGUACAUAACCGGUGACCAAGAGGAAGCGCGGCCCAACCAGGCUGGCCCGCACGCCGAACAAGGGAGGAGGGGAGGCGCCAGAUCGCGCGCACCGGCCGCCGCAGAAGCUGCUGUAGGCCGCCAACGACCACCGAAUCCCGCCGCCCGCGCGGCCGGGACACAAGAUCCACCGCCCGCACGGCUGCUAGCCGGUCGUGCCUUGCCAAUGAAGCUGCCGCUCCAAAUCCUGGGUUCCCCAUGCAGAAGCAGGACAACCGAGGCCCCGCCGCCACCAUCCUUGACGCCCCGGGCUUGCCCGGCGGCUGCCUCAGGCGGUGGCGAGGAGGUCGGACGGGGUGGGGAGGGGGCCGCGGCAGCGCGACUAGGGUUCCCCCGCCGCCGCCGGGAGAGGUGACGCGGGGGUCGCGAGAGGAGGGGGUCGCCUUGCGGGAUAUAUGUGAUAUGUCCUCAACGUCGGUCAUCGAACCCUCGGGGCUGGCCACCCGCAACCACUUGGACGCGGUCUGAGGCCAUUGGUACAAGUGUGUAAAUGAUCCACGACUACAUCCUAACAAAAUUUGGACAUGGCCAUUGUAAAACAUAGGGUUUGGGAAACUGGCUCGACACCCUAAAACGGGGUGUGGCUAUCUCAAUAUAUAGACGUACCAAGAGGUACAAUACAAGGCCUAUACAAGACUACGUAUAUACAGUCUAACACCCUCCCUCAAUCUUAACUAUAGCCUGAAGUACAAAGUAAGUUAAGAUUGCGCCUACAGCCUACAAACUGUGGUUGUGGAAGAGUCUUCGUGAAGAUGUCAGCAAGUUGAUCCUUUGAGGAGAUGAACUUGAUACAAAGUAGUCUCUGUGCAACACGUUCCCGAACAAAGUGAUAGUCAACCUCACUGUGUUUCGUCCUAGCAUGAAACACCGGACUAGAUGAAAGGUAUGUAGCACCGAUGUUGUCACACCACAGAACUGGAGGAAGACCUGGAGAGAUUCUCAACUCCCGCAAUAAGGACUGUACCCAUAUGAUCUCAGCGGUGGCAUCAGCAACUGCUUUAUACUCAGCUUCAGUACUGCUAUGAGACACGGUGGCUUGCUUGCGAAAGUUCACAAGACGGUGCAGACUGAAGGAGCAGACCAUCGAGGCAGUGGAAGAGACAUACCGCAGAAUGCGCUUAACUGCCGAGAAAUGAGUGGUACGAGGUGCAUGAAGGUACUGGCACACACGGUUGACUGCAUAAGAGACAUCAGGCCUGGUGAUAGUGAGAUAUUGCAGACCGCCAACAAGACUGCGAUACUCAGUGGCGUCAUCAGUGGAAAGAAGAUCUCCAUCAAGAGCAGACAACCGAUCAGUCGCAGACAUUGGAGUGAUAGCAUGUUUGCAUUUGAGCAUCCCAGCACGACGCAACAAAUCCAAAGAAUACUUCUUCUGAGUCAGAGUCAACCCAGCAGAAGACCGUGACACCUCCAAACCAAGGAAGUAAUGUAGGGCACCCAAAUCCUUGACAGCAAACUCCUCACUCAACGCAGACACAAGGUGAUCAGCAGCAGCAUCAGAGGAACUGACAAGGAUGAUAUCAUCAACAUAAACCAAUAGAUACAUCGUCACCUCAGGACGCUGAAGGAGGAACAGUGAUGUGUCAGCAGUGGAGGGAAUAAACCCAAGAGUCCGGAGAACAGAACCAAGGUGCGCAUGCCACGCACGAGGCGCCUGUUUAAGUCCAUACAACGCCUUGACCAGACGACAGAGAUGAUGCGGACGUGUAGGAUCAACAAAACCUGGUGGUUGACGCAUAUAAACCUCUUCCUCAAGAACUCCAUGGAGGAAGGCAUUCUGCACGUCAAGCUGACGAAGAGACCAACCACGAGUAACAGCAAGAGACAGUAGUAUACGAAUAGUAGUAGGCUUGAUAACUGGACUGAACGUGUCUUCAUAAUCAAGACCAUACCUCUGCUUGAAACCCUUGGCAACCAGCCAUGCCUUGUAGCGUUCAAUAGAACCAUCUGCAUGUCGUUUUACCUUAAACACCCAUUUGGAGUCAAUGAUGUUGAUGCCAGAGACCCGAGGAACAAGUUGCCAAGUGCCAUUUUCAGCAAAGCCUGACCAUGGACAUUGGAUGUCGUUGAUAACGGGAUCACAUCAUUAAGAGAAUGAUGUGAUGGACAAGACCCAAUCCUAAGCAUAGCAUAAAAGAUCGUGUAGUUCGUUUGCUAGAGCUUUUCCAAUGUCAAGUAUCUUUUCCUUAGACCAUGAGAUCGUGUAACUCCCGGAUACCGUAGGAGUGCUUUGGGUGUGCCAAACGUCACAACGUAACUGGGUGACUAUAAAGGUACACUACGGGUAUCUCUGAAAGUGUCUGUUGGGUUGACACGGAUCGAGACUGGGAUUUGUCACUCCGUAUGACGGAGAGGUAUCUCUGGGCCCACUCGGUAAUGCAUCAUCAAAAUGAGCUCAAUGUGACUAAGGAGUUAGCCACGGGAUCAUGCAUUACGGUACGAGUAAAGUGACUUGCCAGUAACGAGAUUGAACAAGGUAUUGGGAUACCGACGAUCGAAUCUCGGGCAAGUAAAGUACCGAUUGACAAAGGGAAUUGUAUACGGGAUUGAUUGAAUCCUCGACAUCGUGGUUCAUCCGAUGAGAUCAUCGUGGAACAUGUGGGAGCCAACAUGGGUAUCCAGAUCCCCCUGUUGGUUAUUGACCGGAGAGGCGUCUCGGUCAUGUCUGCAUGUCUCCCGAACCCGUAGGGUCUACACACUUAAGGUUCGGUGACGCUAGGGUUGUAGAGAUAUUAAUAUGCGGAAACCCGAAAGUUUUUCGGAGUCCCGGAUGACAUCCCGGACAUCACGAGGAGUUCUGGAAUGGUCCGGAGGUGAAGAAUUAUAUAUAGGAAGUCCAAUUUCGGCCACCGGGAAAGUUUUGGGGGUUAUCGGUAUUGUACCGGGACCACCGGAAGGGUCCCGGGGGUCCACCGGGUGGGGCCAUCUAUCCCGGAGGGCCCCAUGGGCUGAAGUGGGAAGGUAACCAGCCCUUAGUGGGCUGGGGCGCCCCCCAUGGGCCUUCCCCCUGCGCCUAGGGUUGGAAACCCUAGGGUGGGGGGGCGCCCCACUUGACUUGGGGGGGAAGCUACCCCCCUUCCCCCUUGGCCGCCACCCCCCAUGUAGAUGGGUUCCAGGCCGGCGCCCCCCUCCCAGGGGGCCUAUAAAUAGUGGGGGGGAGGGAGGGCAGCAGCACCACAGCCCCUGGCGCCUCCCUCUCCCCCUGCAACACCUCUCCGUCCCGCUUGUGCUUGGCGAAGCCCUGCCGGGAUCCCGCUACUUCCACCACCACGCCGUCGUGCUGCUGGAUCUCCAUCAACCUCUCCUUCCCCCUUGCUGGAUCAAGAAGGAGGAGACGUCGCUGCUCCGUACGUGUGUUGAACGCGGAGGUGCCGUCCGUUCGGCACUCGGUCAUCGGUGAUUUGGAUCACGGCAAGUACGACUCCAUCAACCCCGUUCAUUGAAACGCUUCCGCUCGCGAUCUACAAGGGUAUGUAGAUACACUCCUCUCCCCUCGUUGCUAGUAUACUCCAUAGAUGGAUCUUGGUGAUGCGUAGGAAAAUUUUAAAUUCUGCUAUGAUCCCCAAUAGUGGCAUCAUGAGCCAGGCCUAUGCGUAGUUACUAUGCACGAGUAGAACACAAAGCAGUUGUGGGCGUAGAUGUUGCCAAUUCUUCUUGCCACUACUAGUCUUAUCUUGUUUCGGCAGUAUUGUGGGAUGAAGCGGCCCGGACCGACCUUACACGUACGCCUACGUGAGACAGGUUCCACCGACUGACAUGCACUAGUUGCAUAAGGUGGCUAGCGGGUGUCUGUCUCUCCCACUUUAGUCGGAACGGAUUCGAUGAAAAGGGUCCUUAUGAAGGGUAAAUAGAAAUUGGCAUAUCACGUUGUGGUUUUACAUAGGUAAGAAACGUUUUUGCUAGAAACCUAUACAAGCCACGUAAAAACUUGCAACAACAAUUAGAGGACAUCUAACUUGUUUUUGCAGCAUGUGCUAUGUGAUGUGAUAUGGCCAGAAGAUGUGAUGAAUGAUAUAUGUGAUGUAUGAGAUUGAUCAUAUUCUUGUAAUAGGAAUCACGACUUGCAUGUCGAUGAGUAUAACAACCGGCAGGAGCCAUAGGAGUUGUCUUUAUUUUUUGUAUGACCUGCGUGUCAUUGAAGAACGCCAUGUAAAUUACUUUACUUUAUUGCUAAACGCGUUAGCCAUAGAAGUAGAAGUAAUCGUUGGCGUGACAACUUCAUGAAGACACAAUGAUGGAGAUCAUGGUGUCAUGCCGGUGACGAAGAUGAUCAUGACGCCCCGAAGAUGGAGAUCAAAGGAGCAGAAUGAUAUUGGCCAUAUUGUAGGAGAUAUGCCCUAGAGGCAGUAAUAACAGUUAUUUUGUAUCUCCAAAGUUUGUAAUGAAUGUUUAGCUUCCAUGCUAUAACUGCAAUGAUUCCCGAGUCUGCAAUAUCCACGAGGCUCGGAGGGAAACUCAUGUGCACGUGUGGUAUACUAAACGGUAAAAUGUAUUCCUAGUCUUGCCUCUAAGACUGGCUCAUGUAUUGCAUGAUGAUCCUGUUUUCCUGAUCAUGGGCAUGUCUAUGCUGGCAAUUCUGAGGGCGCGAUGUUGGUAGAACACUUGUGUUGAAUCGACCCAAAUUGAUGUUAAGCUAUGAGAUACCUUCGUCACAAGUUUAUGGUUAAUAUCAUUGAGAUAGUUAAUGUUUGCAUAAUUCCUUAGACCAUGAGAGUAUCAAGUUCCUUCGUGCUUUCUUCGUGAACUUUGGGGUUUGUUAAACGUCAUCCGUAACUGGGUGGCUAUUACGGCAGCUUUCGGGUUCACGGAAAAGUAUAGGAAGUAACAAGAUAGCUCAAGAUUGGGAUUUGCUCCUCCGACGAUGGAGAGAUAUACUCGGGCCCUCUCGGUGUAAUGGUAUCCAUCAUCGUCUGGCCAGACACAUUGUGAUUUGAUCACUGGGAUGCCGGAACACGGAAACGAGAAAAGAGAACAAAACCGGUAACGAGGUAACUUGCAUGGUGGACAAAUUGUUCGUCCAUGGGCAUGCAAUAAAUCUCACCUCGGGUGUUUGUGACAUAUCGCGAAGCAACAGGAAUAGCUCACUGCAACUGGAGGUUCACUCGAAUAUUCAUUCGUGUGGGUAUAGGGGUCAAUAUGGGUGUCCACGGCUCCGAUGUUGAUCAUUGAUCGGAAGGGGUUCCAGGUCAUGUCUAUACUUCACCGAACCUAUAGGGUCACACGCUUAAGGGUCAUCUAUCUACUGAAUACUAGACAGGGAGUCUGAGAGAAAAUCACCGGAAAAGUUUCGGACACCGAAAAGUUUCGGACAGCGGAAUCGUACCGCAGAGAGAGGUCAUCGGAUAAGUUUCGAUGAUACCGAAAAGUUUUUUCGGGAUACACCAUUAAGUCAAAUUGGUUUCGGCACAUGCCUGAUAAUUCUUGGAGGAUGCCAGAAUCAUUCUGGAAGCUUUUUGGAAUUUUCUGAGAUAAAAACCGGAAAUGUUCCGGAGCUGCCGGAGCCACUUCAGAUGCGUUUCGCAGAUGAAAAUCACUAAAACCGGAAUUGUUUCGGAACGCGUUGAAAAUCAUUUUAGUGGGUACUGGAAAUGUUCUUAGCCCACAUAAAUAUUUUCAGUUCGAUCAGACGCUGAAAAAUGUCGUCGUGAAUAGUGAAAAUCAGCUUUAUGGUUACUUUAUGGAAAGCCACCUUUUGGGGCUUUGCUCCAAAAGAUCUUGGGGAUGACAUGGAUGGAUAGGACCCAUUUUUUGGGCCCCUCAUGGGGGUGUGGCCGGCCACAUGGGGUAUCCCCCCUUGGGGACCCUUUUGUUCAUUGGUUUCACUUCUAGGUCCUUGUGGAAGGACUUCAUUCAUGUGCAUUUUGGGUUUUUGUGUGAAACUACCCUACCCCUUGGGAUUUCCUAUAAAUAGAGGUGGAGGGGCAGCCCUCCACACUCAUCCCUUGCUCUCAUACACAUGCCAUGCAUUAUCUGGCUUCUUCUCUCCCUCCCACGAAAAGAGUUUCGUAGAGCCGUAAGGCUGUCUGGGUUCCGGCAGGAACUAGUUCUGGACGGCGAAGCCCUGCCGAAUAGCUGACACCGUAUGUGUGCAACCCCGUAGAGAGAUUGUAGUUUUGAUCUUUUUCCCGAGGGGCUAUUCGAGUGUCCUCCCAAAGGGCUGUCCGAGUCUCCGUCCGAGUUUCGAGGGUCCUCCCGAAGGGCUGUCCGCGACAUUGUCCGGGGGACUGUCCGACCGCCUCCCGAAGGGCUGUCCGAAGAGGGAGUACAUCCUCGCGGUUGGGAGGUUGUAAAUCCUAGCUGCAGGGAUCUGCACCGACGAUCUACACCGACUCUUCUUCCGCUGCGCUUCGAGUCGGUACGGAUCAGAUCAAACCUUGUAUGCAGUCUCCAUAGUGGUCCUGGGCGUGCUCGCUAUACCGAAAAUUUUUGUUUUCUGUCGCGUUCCCCUACAGUGGCAUCAAGAGCCGUGCUAUGCGUAGAUGCAGGUUAUGAUCUAGAAUACAUGGAGAUGUAUGGGUAUUGCAUAAUAUAAUUUUGGAGUAGAUGAGAUCUAUUGCUGAAAAUUAUUUAUGCGGGUGACAGAUGAAAUCUGUUACCCGACGUUCUUGCUGCUUCCCUAGAAUUUGCGUUUGCUCAAUCUCGAGACAGCAUGGUGGAAUUUGACAAAGUUCUGGCAAUCCGUGAUCCUGAUUGAUCAUGGAAGUGCUAUCAGUUCUUUGGGUUCUGCCAUAGUCAAAAGAAAGAUGAAAUUCGCAGAUGAAAGGGCAUUGCAGAUAUGAUCUGCACGGGGGUCAUGCGUAUGACGAAGUUUAGUAUGGGGCUCGAGAUUUAAUUAUCUCGUGUUUCAUACACCCCGAGAUGUUAAUCUAGCAACUUGAAUAAUCAUACUUGAUGAUAAAACGUUGGUAGCUGCGGUUUAAGUCAAAACCUUAGAAGCCAAGUAAAAUAAAAUUUUGCAUAAACCGAUUAGAGGCGUCUAACUUGGUUUUGCAGGAUGUGCAUGUGAUGUGGUAUAGCAAUGCUCAUAUUCUAUUUGAUUAUGUAUGAGAUGACUAUAUGAUGUAACUAACAUGACCUGCGUGUCAUGAUUCUGCAUGAUGGCUGGAGCCAUAUGAUUGCACUUUAAUGACCUGCGUGUCAACCUUAAGUAAUGCACUUAUUUUAUUAGCUAUAGAGAUAGCAAUAUUAUCUGGUGCAUCGACAAGGUGGUGGCAAUCUUCGCGAAGGUGAACACCGACGCAAAUGCCGAAGACGAAGAAUUGAAAGACUUCUCCGUCAGAAAGAGGCUAUACCAUAUCAUGCUAUUAUGAAUUGCCUGAGAUGUUUAUCCCUCUUGAUGCACCCUUCUUGAUUGCGCGGUAGUCGCUUUUAUUAGGGUGAUCUCUCACUUCAAAUAUCAAGUAGUUAGUGUUCUCCCAAGUGCAGCACCGUCACAAGAUCUAUCCUUUCGGGGUGCGCCAUGGAUGCAUGGGUACGAACGAUUGGAGAAAUGUAAGGCGGGUGAGGUCAGACCUCGCAGCAAGAUCACUUGGUUGUCUUGACGUUCAUGGCAGGAUCGUCCUGAGCUCGGAACACACGCAUCGAAAGAUGAACAAGAGUCACAUAGAGAUGUGAUCGGCAAGUUGGCCUACCAAUUGAAAUCCUCGUCAUGAGAUGAUGAUUCUAUGACGUUGAAUUGAUAUUUGGAUCUUGAAUCACUCAAAAUCAAUUUUGAGAGAUAUUGAUUUGAGUGAGAGCACACUUUAGAAUAAAAAUGUUUAUUCACUAGUGCAAAUUUCAUUAUAAACAAAAGUCUAAGUGAAACUUGUGUUUUCCGUUGUAGAUCAAAUGGCUCGCAACACCGCGUUCAACUUAGGCCCGAUGUUAGAGAAAGAGAAGUUAGCUACGACUGGAAACAACUAUGCGGACUGGGUCCGUAACCUGAGGAUUGUCCUCAGGAGCGCUAAGAAAUUGUACGUGCUUGAAACUGCUCUUCCAGCUAAACCGGCGGCAGAUGCACCGGUAGAUGAACAAAAUGUCUGGGCCACUAAGGAUGAUGAUCACAACUUAGUGCAGUGCCUCAUGCUAGCUUGCAUGACUCCAGGGCUUCAAAAACGUUUUGAAUUCCAUAAAGCCCGUGAUAUGAUCUGGGAAUUGGAUGCUCUGUACAAGGAAACCGCAAAGUCUGAGCGAUAUGAUAUCAUGAAGGCUUUGAUGGAUUGCAAGAUGGCUGAGGGUAGUUCAGUUGGUGAACACGUGGUCAAAAUGAUUGGCUAUUCUGAAAGGCUUAAAGCCCUAGAAUUUCCACUUCCACCUGGCCAUAUGAUGGACAUGUUGCUUUCUUCACUCCCCCCGUCUUACGGCGGUUUUGUCAUGAACUACAACAUGACAGGGAUGGAGAAGACACCGGAAGAGGUGCUCGCCAUGCUGAAAACUACAGAAGGAGGACUGCGGAAAAAUCGCAAGCAAGUGUUGCUUGUGAAUAAAACCGCCAGUUUCAAAAAGAAGAAAGGCAAGCCAAAGAAGGGCAAGGGCGCCGGUAAGACCGGCUCCCAAAGCAACUCUAAGGGCAGAGCCAAGAAUGAAACUGAGUGCUUCUACUGCAAGGGCACAGGACACUGGAAGAGAAACUGCAAGAAGUAUCUGGAAGAUAAGAAGACCGGGAAAACCGGAAAAGGUAUAAUUGUUAUACAGGUUAAUGUCAUUGACGUUUUGCUUGCUAGCGAAAAUUCUAAGUCUUGGGUAUUUGAUACCGGAUUGGUUGCUCACAUUUGCAACUCGAUACAGGGGCUUCAGAAGGUGCGCAAGCUGGCAAAGAAUGAAGUCGUAAUGCGCAUCGGGAACGGCACUGGGAUCGCCGCUCAAGCCAUCGGCAUUAUGCCUCUACGUCUCCCUUCAGGAUUUAUCUUAGAACUAAGUAACUGUUAUUUUGUUCCACUGUUGUGUAGAAACAUUAUCUCCGGAUCAUGUUUAGUACACGAUGGGUAUUCGUACAAGUCUGAGAACAAUGGUUGUUCACUUUAUUGUAAGGAUAUGUUUUAUGGAUUUGCACCCAUUGUUGGGGGCCUUUUCAUACUAAAUCUUGAAUGUGAAAAUGAUGUCUUUAACGUGAAUGCCAAACGCCUUAAGAAGGCUGAUACCACCACCACUUACUUGUGGCACUGUCGGCUUGGCCACAUCGGAAAGAAACGUAUGCAAAGACUCCAGAGAGAUGGAGUUUUACCGUCCUUUGAUUUUGAAUCAUUUGACACAUGCGAAGCUUGUCUGAUGGGGAAAAUGACCAAGACGCCGUUCACGGGUCAUCCUGAACGGGCGGGUGAAUUAUUGGAAAUAAUACAUAGUGAUGUAUGUGGUCCAAUGAGCACAGCCGCACGGGGUGGGUAUUUCUACUUCGUGACUUUUACUGAUGAUUUAAGUCGGUAUGGCUAUAUCUACUUAAUGAAGCAUAAGUCGGAAACCUUUGAAAAGUUCAAAGAAUUUCAGAAUGAGGUAGAAAAUCAUCGUAACAAAAAGAUUAAGUUUCUGCGGUCUGAUCGCGGAGGCGAAUAUCUUAGUCAUGAGUUUGGCCAACAUCUGAGUGACCGUGGAAUCGUUUCACAGCUUACGCCUCCCGGAACUCCACAGAGAAACGGAGUAUCGGAAAGACGUAACCGAACCCUGUUGGACAUGGUAAGGUCAAUGAUGUCUCUUACAGAUCUGCCGAUAUCUUUUUGGGGUCAUGCACUAGAAACUGCCGCUCACACACUAAACAGAGCACCGUCUAAGUCUGUUAAGACGACACCACAUCAGAUGUGGAAUGGGAAGAAACCCAGUUUGUCGCAUCUUAAAAUUUGGGGAUGUGAGGUACAUGUAAAACGUUUACAACCUACCAAACUCGAUCCCAGAUCAGACAAGUGUAACUUUGUAGGUUAUCCAAAAGAAACAAUUGGGUAUUCCUUCUACCUACCCUCCGAGCACAAAGUGUUUGUAGCUAAAAGCGGAGUCUUUCUUGAGAAAGAAUUUCUCGCCAAAGAAUUAAGUGGGAGGACAGUACAACUUGAUGAGAUUAGUGAAUCUUCGGUAACUGUUGAUAUGGCUAAGGAACCGGAAGAAAUUUCGCUCAUUAUCCCUGCAACUGAGCCGGAAGUUGUCGCAUAUGAUGCGGAGACUUCAGACAAUGUUGUAACUGAACCGCGCAGAUCAGGUAGGGCUAUCCAGCCACCUGAAUGGUUUCAUAAUGAAAUCUUCAUUCUUGAAGACGAUGAACCUGCGCACUACAAGGAAGCGAUGGCGGGGCCCAGCUCAAAGGAAUGGCACAAGGCCAUGAAAUCCGAAAUGGAAUCCAUGUACGAAAACCAAGUUUGGAACUUGGAAGAACUUCCUGAAGGCGUAAAGCCGAUUGGUUGUAAAUGGAUUUCAAAAGGAAGACAGACGCGGAUGGUAACAUUACUAUCCACAAAGCUAGACUUGUCGCGAAAGGGUUCACACAAGUUCCAGGAGUGGACUACGACGAGACUUUCUCGCCGGUAGCUAUGCUUAGGUCUGUUCGGAUAUUACUAGCAAUUGCUGCUUAUUUCGAUUAUGAAAUAUGGCAGAUGGAUGUCAAAACGGCUUUCCUAAAUGGAAACCUCAAAGAGGAUGUAUACAUGAUACAGCCAGAAGGUUUUGCCGUUCAUAAGGAUGCUGGAAAGGUAUGCAAACUUCAGAAAGCCAUUUAUGGUCUGAAGCAAGCGUCAAGGAGCUGGAACAUUCGUUUUGAUGAAGUGGUCAAAGAAUUUGGUUUCAUCAGGAAUGACGAAGAAUCUUGUGUUUACAAGAAAUUUAGUGGGAGCGCAAAAGCAUUUCUAAUCUUGUAUGUGGAUGACAUAUUAUUGAUUGGAAAUGACGUGAAUUUUCUUAGCGAAAUAAAAGACUCAUUGAAGAAAAGUUUUUCAAUGAAAGACUUAGGCGAAGCGGCAUAUGUAUUGGGCAUCAGAAUCUAUAGAGAUAGAUCAAAACGCCUGAUAGCGCUUAGCCAAAGCACGUACAUUGACAAGGUGUUGAAAAGGUUCAACAUGGAGAACUCCAAGAAAGGCCUACUCCCCAUGUCACCUGGCACAGUGCUUUGCAAAAAUCAGAGUCCUCGGACUCUGGAUGAGCGAGUACAAAUGAAUGAUGUUCCAUAUGCCUCGGCAGUUGGUUCUAUUAUGUAUGCCAUGCUAUGUACAAGACCAGAUGUUUCCUAUGCGCUAAGUGUUAGCAGCCGGUACCAAAGUGAUCCAGGGUUGGAACAUUGGGCCGCAGUCAAGGGUAUUCUUAAGUACCUCAGAAGGACCAAUGAUUUACUCCUUGUGUAUGGAGGUGAUGAAGAGCUCAUUGUAAGUGGUUACACUGAUGCAGGCUUCAUGACUGACCCAGAUGACUUCAAAUCUCAAUCAGGCUAUGUUUUCAUAUUGAACGGCGGCGCAGUUGAUUGGAGAAGUUCCAAACAAAAGACUGUGGCAGAUUCUACGACAGAGGCGGAGUAUGUUGCCACUUCAGAAGCCUCCAAGGAGGCGGUAUGGAUCAAGCAAUUUAUUGAAGACCUUGGUGUGGUUCCAAGUGCUCUGGACCCGGUGGAAAUCUAUUGUGAUAAUAGUGGCGCCGUGGCUCAGGCAAGGGAGCCAAGUUCGCACCAUAAGACAAGACAUAUUCAACGCAAAUAUAAACUCAUUCGACAUCAUAUCGAAGAGGGUUUAGUGAAAGUACGCAAAGUUCACACGGAUCUGAACGUGUCAGACCCGAUGACAAAGCCUCUACCCCGAGCAAAGCAUGAGCAGCACCGGAUAGCCAUUGGUGUUAGGGAAGCCAUGUAACUGGAUUAUGACUCUAGUGCAAGUGGGAGUCUGUAGGAGAUAUGCCCUAGAGGCAGUAAUAACAGUUAUUUUGUAUCUCCAAAGCUUGUAAUGAAUGUUUAGCUUCCAUGCUAUAACUGCAAUGAUUCCCGAGUCUGCAAUAUCCACGAGGCUCGGAGGGAAACUCAUGUGCACGUGUGGUAUACUAAACGGUAAAAUGUAUUCCUAGUCUUGCCUCUAAGACUGGCUCAUGUAUUGCAUGAUGAUCCUGUUUUCCUGAUCAUGGGCAUGUCUAUGCUGGCAAUUCUGAGGGCGCGAUGUUGGUAGAACACUUGUGUUGAAUCGACCCAAAUUGAUGUUAAGCUAUGAGAUACCUUCGUCACAAGUUUAUGGUUAAUAUCAUUGAGAUAGUUAAUGUUUGCAUAAUUCCUUAGACCAUGAGAGUAUCAAGUUCCUUCGUGCUUGCUUCGUGAACUUUGGGGUUUGUUAAACGUCAUCCGUAACUGGGUGGCUAUUACGGCAGCUUUCGGGUUCACGGAAAAGUAUAGGAAGUAACAAGAUAGCUCAAGAUUGGGAUUUGCUCCUCCGACGAUGGAGAGAUAUACUCGGGCCCUCUCGGUGUAACGGUAUCCAUCAUCGUCUGGCCAGACACAUUGUGAUUUGAUCACUGGGAUGCCGGAACACGGAAACGAGAAAAGAGAACAAAACCGGUAACGAGGUAACUUGCAUGGUGGACAAAUUGUUCGUCCAUGGGCAUGCAAUAAAUCUCACCUCGGGUGUUUGUGACAUAUCGCGAAGCAACAGGAAUAGCUCACUGCAACUGGAGGUUCACUCGAAUAUUCAUUCGUGUGGGUAUAGGGGUCAAUAUGGGUGUCCACGGCUCCGAUGUUGAUCAUUGAUCGGAAGGGGUUCCAGGUCAUGUCUAUACUUCACCGAACCUAUAGGGUCACACGCUUAAGGGUCAUCUAUCUACUGAAUACUAGACAGGGAGUCUGAGAGAAAAUCACCGGAAAAGUUUCGGACACCGAAAAGUUUCGGACAGCGGAAUCGUACCGCAGAGAGAGGUCAUCGGAUAAGUUUCGAUGAUACCAAAAAGUUGUUUUGGGAUACACCAUUAAGUCAAAUUGGUUUUGGCACAUGCCUGAUAAUUCUUGGAGGAUGCCAGAAUCAUUCUGGAAGCUUUUUGGAAUUUUCUGAGAUAAAAACCGGAAAUGUUCCGAAGCUGCCGGAGCCACUUCAGAUGCGUUUCGCAGAUGAAAAUCACUAAAACCGGAAUUGUUUCGGAACGCGUUGAAAAUCAUUUUAGUGGGUACUGGAAAUGUUCUUAGCCCACAUAAAUAUUUUCAGUUUGAUCAGACGCUGAAAAAUGUCGUCGUGAAUAGUGAAAAUCAGCUUUAUGGUUACUUUAUGGAAAGCCACCUUUUGGGGCUUUGCUCCAAAAGAUCUUGGGGAUGACAUGGAUGGAUAGGACCCAUUUUUUGGGCCCCUCAUGGGGGUGUGGCCGGCCACAUGGGGUAUCCCCCCUUGGGGACCCUUUUGUUCAUUGGUUUCACUUCUAGGUCCUUGUGGAAGGACUUCAUUCAUGUGCAUUUUGGGUUUUUGUGUGAAACUACCCUACCCCUUGGGAUUUCCUAUAAAUAGAGGUGGAGGGGCAGCCCUCCACACUCAUCCCUUGCUCUCAUACACAUGCCAUGCAUUAUCUGGCUUCUUCUCUCCCUCCCACGAAAAGAGUUUCGUAGAGCCGUAAGGCUGUCUGGUUCCGGCAGGAACUAGUUCUGGACGGCGAAGCCCUGCCGGAUAGCUGACACCGUAUGUGUGCAACCCCGUAGAGAGAUUGUAGUUUCGAUCUUUUUCCCGAGGGGCUGUUCGAGUGUCCUCCCGAAGGGCUGUCCGAGUCUCCGUCCGAGUUUCGAGGGUCCUCCCGAAGGGCUGUCCGCGACAUUGUCCGGGGGACUGUCCGACCGCCUCCCGAAGGGCUGUCCGGAGAGGGAGUACAUCCUCGCGGUUGGGAGGUUGUAAAUCCUAGCUGCGGGGAUCUGCACCGACGAUCUACACCGACUCUUCUUCCGCUGCGCUUCGAGUCGGUACGGAUCAGAUCAAACCUUGUAUGCAGUCUCCAUAGUGGUCCUGGGCGUGCUCGCUAUACCGAAAAUUUUCGUUUUCUGUCGCGUUCCCCUACACAUAUCAUGUCACUAUUUGAUUGCAUGUGAUGUUUAUCAUGUUUUGCAUCUUAUUUGCUUAGAACGACGGUAGUAAGUAAGAUGAUCCCUUAUAAUAAUUUCAAGAAAGUGUUCCCCCUAACUGUGCACCGUUGCGAAGGUUCGUUGUUUCGAAGCACCACGUGAUGAUCGGGUGUGAUAGAUUCUAACGUUCGCAUACAACGGGUGUUGACGAGCCUAGCAUGUACAGACAUGGCCUCGGAACACACGCAAUACACUUAGGUUGACUUGACGAGCCUAGCAUGUACAGACAUGGCCUCGGAACACGGAGGACCGAAAGGUCGAGCAUGAGUCGUAUAGAAGAUAUGAUCAACAUGGAGAUGUUCACCGAUGAUGACUAGUCCGUCUCACGUGAUGAUCGGACACGGCCUAGUUUGACUCGGAUCAUGUAUCACUUAGAUGACUAGAGGGAUGUCUAUCUGAGUGGGAGUUCAUAAAAUAAUCAGAUGAACUUAAUUAUCAUGAACAUAGUCAAAAGGUCUUUGCAAAUUAUGUCAUAACUUACGCUUAAGUUCUACUAUUUAAGAUACGUUCCUAGAGAAAAUUUAGUUGAAAGUUGAUAGUAGCAAUUAUGCGGAGUAGGUCCGUAAACUGAGGAUUGUCCUCAUUGCUGCACAGAAGGCUUAUGUCCUUAAUGCACCGCUCGGUGCGCUGAACCUCAGCGUCGUCUGUAGAUGUUGUGAAACAUCUGACAUACACGUUUUGAUGACUACGUGAUAGUUCAGUGCGUAAAUGCUAACAGUUUAGAAUUGUGGCACCAAAGACGUUUUUUGAAACAUCGCAGAACAUAUGAGAUGUUCCGAAGACUGAAAUUGCGAUUUCAGACUAGUGCCCACGUCAAGAGGUAUGAGACCUCUGACAAGUUUCUUAAGCCUGCAAACUAAAGGAGAAAAGCUCGUUGAGCAUGUGCUCAGAUUGUCUGAGUGCCACAAUCGCUUGAAUCGGGUGGGAGUUAAUCUUCCAGAUGAGACAGUGAUGGUUCCCCAUAGUCACUGCCACCAAGCUAUUAGAGCUUCGUGAUGAACUAUAACAUAUCAGGGAUAGACAUGAUGAUCCUUGAGCAACUCGCGAUGUUUGACACUGCGAAAGUAGAAAUCAAGAAGGAGCAUCAAUUGUUGAUGGUUAGUAAAACCACUAGUUUCAAGAAGGGCAAGGGAAGAAGGGAUACUUCAUGAAACAGCAAAUCAUUUGCUGCUCUAGUGAAGAAUCCCAAGGUUGAACCCAAACCCGAGACUAAGUGCUUCUGUAAUGAGGGGAAUGGUCACUGAAGCGGGACUACCCUAGAUACUUGGUAGAUGAGAAGGCAGGCAAGGUCGACAGAAGUAUAUUUGAUAUACAUUAUAUGAAUGUGUACUUUACUAGUACUCCUAACAGCACCAGGGUAUUAGAUACCGGUUCGGUUGCUAAGCGUUAGUAACUCGAAAUAAAAGCUACGAAAUAAAUGGAGACUAGCUAAAGAUGAGAUGACGAUGUGUGUUGGAAGUGUUUCCAAGGUUGAUGUGAUCAAGCAUCGCAUGCUCCCUCUACCAUCGAGAUUGGUGUUAAACCUAAAUAAUUGUUAUUUGGUGUUUGGGUUAAGCAUAAACAUGAUUGGAUUAUGUUUAUCGCAAUACGGUUAUUCAUUUAAGGAGAAUAAUGGUUACUCUGUUUAUUUGAAUAAUACCUUCAAUGGUCUUGCACCUAAAAUGAAUCUCGAUCGCAGUGAUACACAUGUUCGUGCCAAAAGAUAUAAAAUAGUAAUGAUAGUACCACAUACUUGUGGCACUGCCAUUUGAGUCAUAUUGGUAUAGAACGCAUGAAGAAGCUCCAUGUAGAUGGAUCUUUGGACUCAGUCGUUUUUUUGAAAAGAUUGAGACAUGCGAACCAUGUCUAUUGGUAUAUAUGCAUGAAGAAACUCCAUGCAGAUGGAUCGUUUGGACUCAGUUGAUUUUGAAUCACUUGAGACAUGCAAAUCAUACCACAUGGGCAAGAUGACUGAAAGGCCUCGUUUUCAGUAAGAUUGAACAAGAGAGCAACUUAUUGGAAGUAAUACAUUUUGAUGUAUGCAGUCCAAUGAGUGCUGAGGCAUGCAGUGGAUAUCGUUAUGUUCUUACUUUACAGAUGAUUUGAGUAGAUGCUGAGUGUAUUUACUUGAUGAAACACAAGUCUGAAUUAUUGAAAGGUUCAAGUAAUUUCAGAGUGAAGUUGAAGAUCGUCGUGACAAGAGGAUAAAAUGUCUGUGAUACGAUCAUAGAGAUGAGUAUCUGAGUUACGAGUUUGGCACACGAUCAAGACAUUGUGGAAAGUGUUUCACAAUUAAUACCGCCUGGAACACCACAAUGUGAUGGUGUGUCCGAACAUCAUAACUGCACCUUAUUGGAUAUGGUGCAUACCAUGAUGUCUCUCAUCGAAUUACCACUAUCGUUUAUGGGUUAGGCAUGAGAGACAACCGGAUUCACUUUAAAUAGGGCACCACGCAAUUCCGUUAAGACGACACCGUUUAGAGAAACCUAAGCUGUCGUUUCUUAAAAGUUUGGGGCUGUGACGCUUAUGUGAAAAAGUUUCAGGCUGAUAAGCUCGAACUCAAAGCGGAUAAAUGCAUCUUCAUAGAAAACCCAAAACAGUUGGGUGUACCUCCUAUUUCAGAUCUGGAAGCAAAAGUAAUUGCUUCUAGAAACGAGUCCUUUCUUGAGGAAAAGUUUCUCUCGAAAGAAUUGAGUGGGAGGAUGGUGGAGACUUGAUGAGGUUAUUGAACCAUAACUUCAACUAGUGUGUAGCAGGGCACAGGAAGUUGUUCCUGUGGCACCUACACCAAUUGAAGUGGAAGCUUAUGAUAGUGAUCAUGAAACUUCGGAUCAAGUCACUACCAAACCUCGUAGGACGACGAGGAUGCGUACUACUUCAGAGUAAUGCGUAAUCCUGUCUUGGAAGUCAUGUUGCUAGACAACAAUGAACCUACGAGCUAUGGAGAAGUGAUGGUGGGCCCAUAUUCCGACAAAUGGUUAGAAGCCAUGAAAUCCGAGAUAGGAUCCAUAUAUCAGAACAAAGCAUGGACUUUGGUGAACUUGCCCGAUGAUCGGCAAGCCAUUAAGAUAAAUGGAUCUUUAAGAAGAAGACGGACAUGGACGGUAAUGUUGCCGUCUGUGAAGCUCGACUUGUGGCAAAGAGUAUUUUCACAAGUUCAAGGAGUUGACUACGAUGAGAUUUUUCUCAUCCGUAGCGAUGCUUAAGUCCGUCGGAAUCACGUUAGCAUUAGCUGCAUUUAUGAAAUCUGGCAGACGGAUGUCAAAACAAGUUUCCUUACCAGUUAUCGUAAGGAAAGGUUGUAUGUGAUACAAUCAGAAAGGUUUUGUCGAUCCUAAGGAUGCUAAAAGGUAUGCUAGCUCCAGCGAUCCUUCCGUGGACUAGAGCAAGCAUCUCGGAGUCAGAAUAUAUGCUUUGAUGGAGUGAUCAAAGUUUGUUAGAAACUUGUAUUUACAAUAAAGUGAGUGGGAGCGCUACAACAUUUCUGAUAAGUAUAUGUGAAUGACAUAUUGUUGAUCCGAAAUGAUGUAGAAUUUCUGGAAAGCAUAAAGGGUUGUUUGAAAGGAGUUUUUCAAAGGAAGACCUGGAUAAAGCUGCUUACAUAUUGGGCAUCAAGAUCUAUAGAGAUAGAUCAAGAUGCCUGAUGAUACUUUCAAAGAACGCACACUUUGACAUGAUUUUGAAAGAGUUCAAAAUAGAUCAGCAAAGAAGGAGUUCUUGGCUGUCUUACAAGGUGUGAGUAUUGAGUAAGACUCAAGACCAGACCACAGCAGAAGAGAGAGAAAGGACGAAGGUCGUCCCCUAUGCUUUAGACAUAGGCUCUACAGUAUGCUAUGCUGUGUACCGCACAUGAAGUGUGCCUUGCCAUGAGUUGGUCAAGGGGUACAAUAGUGAUCCGAGAAUGGAUCACAUGACAGCGGUCGAACUUAUCCUUAGUAUUUAGUGGACUAAGGAAUUUUCUCGAUUAUGGAGGUGAAAAGGAGUUUGUCGUAAAGGGUUACGUUGAUGCGAACUUUGACACUAAUCCGGAUGACUCUGAAUAGUAAACCGGAUUCGUACAGUAGAGCAGUUAUUUGAAAUGGCUCCAAGUAGCGCGUGGUAGCAUCCACAAGCUGACAUAGAUAUUCGUAAAGCACACACGGAUCUAAAAGGUUCAGACCCGUUGACUAAUAACCUCUCACAAGCAUAACAUGAUCAAACCAGAACUCAUUGAGUGGUGAUCACAUAGUGAUGUGAACUAGAUUAUUGACUCUAGUAAACUCUUUGGAUGAUUGGUCACAUGGUGAUGUGACCUGUGAGUGUUAAUCACAUGGUGAUGUGAACUAGAUUAUUGACUCUAGUGCAAGUGGGAGACUGUUGGAAAUAUGCCCUAGAGGCAAUAAUAAAUUGGUUAUUAUUAUAUUUCCUUGUUCAUUAUAAUCGUUUAUUAUCCAUGCUAGAAUUGUAUUGAUAGGAAAGUCAGAUACAUGUGUGGAUACAUAGACAACACCAUGUCCCUAGUAAGCCUCUAGUUGACUAGCUCGUUGAUCAAUAGAUGGUUACGGUUUCCUGACCAUGGACAUUGGAUGUCGUUGAUAACGGGAUCACAUCAUUAGGAGAAUAAUGUGAUGGACAAGACCCAAUCCUAAGCAUAGCAUAAAAGAUCGUGUAGUUCGUUUGCUAGAGCUUUUCCAAUGUCAAGUAUCUUUUCCUUAGACCAUGAGAUCGUGUAACUCCCGGAUACCGUAGGAGUGCUUUGGGUGUGCCAAACGUCACAACGUAACUGGGUGACUAUAAAGGUACACUACGGGUAUCUCUGAAAGUGUCUGUUGGGUUGACACGGAUCGAGACUGGGAUUUGUCACUCCGUAUGACGGAGAGGUAUCUCUGGGCCCACUCGGUAAUGCAUCAUCAUAAUGAGCUCAAUGUGACUAAGGAGUUAGCCACGGGAUCAUGCAUUACGGUACGAGUAAAGUGACUUGCCGGUAACGAGAUUGAACAAGGUAUUGGGAUACCGACGAUCGAAUCUCGGGCAAGUAAAGUACCGAUUGACAAAGGGAAUUGUAUACGGCUUUGAUUGAAUCCUCGACAUCGUGGUUCAUCCGAUGAGAUCAUCGUGGAACAUGUGGGAGCCAACAUGGUUAUCCAGAUCCCGCUGUUGGUUAUUGACCGGAGAGGCGUCUCGGUCAUGUCUGCAUGUCUCCCGAACCCGUAGGGUCUACACACUUGAGGUUCGGUGACGCUAGGGUUGUAGAGAUAUUAGUAUGCGGAAACCUGAAAGUUGUUCGGAGUCCCGGAUGAGAUCCUGGACGUCACGAGGAGUUCUGGAAUGGUCCGGAGGUGAAGAAUUAUAUAUAGGAAGUCCAGUUUCGGCCACCGGGAAAGUUUUGGGGGUUAUCGGUAUUGUACCGGGACAACCGGAAUGGUCCCGGGGGUCCACCGGGUGGGGCCACCUAUCCCGGAGGGCCCCAUGGGCUGAAGUGGGAAGGGAACCAGCCCUUAGUGGGCUGGGGCGCCCCCCAUGGGCCUUCCCCUUGCGCCUAGGGUUGGAAACCCUAGGGUGGGGGGGGCGCUCCACUUGACUUGGUGGGGAAGCCACCCCCUUCCCCCUUGGCCGGCGCCCCCCCAUGUAGAUGGGUUCCAGGCCGGCGCCCCCCCUCCCAGGGGGCCUAUAAAUAGUGGGGGGGGGGAGGGAGGGCAGCAGCACCACAGCCCCUGGCGCCUCCCUCUCCCCCUGCAACACCUCUCCGUCCCGCUUGUGCUUGGCGAAGCCCUGCCGGGAUCCCGCUACUUCCACCACCACGCCGUCGUGCUGCUGGAUCUCCAUCAACCUCUCCUUCCCCCUUGCUGGAUCAAGAAGGAGGAGACGUCGCUGCUCUGUAUGUGUGUUGAACGCGGAGGUGCCGUCCGUUCGGCACUCGGUCAUCGGUGAUUUGGAUCACGGCGAGUACGACUCCAUCAACCCCGUUCAUUGGAACGCUUCCGCUCGCGAUCUACAAGGGUAGGUAGAUGCACUCCUCUCCCCUCAUUGCUAGUAUACUCCAUAGAUGGAUCUUGGUGAUGCAUAGGAAAAUUUUAAAUUCUGCUACGAUCCCCAACAGCGGCUCAGCCGUCGGAUCCGCAGCAGCAUGAGCCACACAUGCGGCAAGCCACGCCACAGUGCCGUCUGUGCGUUCCUUUGGCCGAAAAACACCAGACCGGCUGCGUGUGUGUGGACGAUGAGCGACCACAGCAGGCGGCGCCGGCAACACGGGGCUUGCCACAGGAGACGAAGGCGAGACCGAUCCUGAGCUGGAGGAGCCAGGGUCAUCAGGCUCAGCACCGGACGACAUGGCCGAGACAGGGCUGCCGAGCCCAGCCGACGACAAGGCCGGCUCGCGAGGAGCCGAGGGGGCCGAGGCGGGGCUGGCCGGUGCAGCUGACGUGGCCACUGGGCCACCUGCCGCUGAGCCAGUGGCUGCUAGGCCACCUACCGCUGGGCCAGGCAAGGGCGACGCUGGCGGCGUUGACUCGUCAGCAGGCCCAGGUGACGCGGCCAACGGGGCGGGCGAGCCAGGCGAUCCGGGCGACGGGGCGGGCGAGCCGGGCGCAGCUGCGGGCGCUGCCGACGCCCGCGGGGCGGUUGUGGAUGCAUCGGGCUGGCGGGCACGACCCGCCAUGCAUGGGCCAUGCACCGGAUCGACAUGACCAUGGUGAGUGUUGUCCAUAGCCUCAUCAUCCAGGAGUUCAAGACGGGCACCACGUCCAAUACCUGCAACAUGGUUAGGAAGCAACACAGGAGCAUUUGCAACAUCCACAAAUUGAUCAGGCGAAGGUGUAGCUGAGUGCACAGGUGGUAAACUAAUGGUAGAGUGGUUCGGAAGAGCACGAAAAGGGAACACAUUCUCAUCAAACACGACGUCACGGGAAAUGUGGACACGAUUGGUGGGCACAUGAAGAGACUUGUACCCUUUGUGGAGAGAACUGUACCCAAGAAAGACACACUUCUUAGACCGAAACUCUAACUUACGUUUGUUGUACGGCCGCAAGUGCGGCCAACAUGCACACCCAAACACUUUGAGAAACGUGUAGUCUGGGAUAUCAUUGAGCAAGAGUUCAAGAGGGGUUUUCAUUUUCAGUAGUCGCGAGGGAAGCCUAUUUAUCAAGAAACAGGCGGUGGAGAAAGCAUCACUCCAGAACCGAAACGGGACGGAGGCAUGCGCUAGUAAAGUAAGUCCAGUCUCUACAAGAUGACGAUGCUUACGUUCAGCGGUGCCGUUUUGCUGAUGUGUAUGAGGACAAGAUACGCGAUGCGAGAUCCCAAGCUUGUUAAAAAACGAGUUGAGGUUGUGAUAUUCACCCCCCCAGUCGGAUUGAACAUGAAUAAUUUUGUGCUUAAGGAGACGCUCAACGUGUGCUUGGAACUGAACAAAAACAUCAAACACAUCAGAUUUACGCUUGAUAAGAUAUAGCCAAGUAAACCGACUGUAAGCAUCAAUGAAACUAACAUAAUAGUUGUGACCACUAACAGACGUUUGGGCAUGACCCCAUACAUCAGAAAACACAAGCUCAAGAGGAUGUUUCACAACACGACUAGACUCUGAAAAAGGUAGUUGGUGACUCUUGCCCUACUGACAGGCAUCACAGAUAGUUUCAGCACUUUUAUUUGACACAACUGGUAGUUCAUGGCGAUGCAGCACAUGACUAACUAUAGGAGCAGUAGGAUGACCAAGGCGCGCAUGCCAGUGCGUAGGCGACACACGAACACCACUGAACACCUGAGGAGAAGACGGCGUAGGAGAUGCAGGCGGUGCGUCAAGUGCAUACAAGCCAUGGCGAAGACGACCACUAAGCAGAACGGCCCUCGUGUCCCGAUCCUUGAUAAAGAAACGAAAAGGGUGAAACUCAGCAAGGACAUUAUUAUCACGAGUAAGUUGAGGAAUAGACAACAAACUACGUGUAGCAGAGGGAACUCGAAGGACACUAGAAAGAUGCAGUUUGCGAAAAUUGUGUGCAAGAAGUGAUGCCUGACCAACAUGGGAGAUGCGCAUACCUGCUCCGUUGGCGGUGUGCACCUGAUCAUGUCCACGAUAUGGUUCCUGAGUGGAGAGCUUGCCCAUCUCACUGGUAAGAUGAUUCGUCGCUCCUGUAUCCAUAUACCACGCCGGAUCAAGAGAGUAGGACUGGGUGCGUCCGUGCUCGUGCCCCGUCACAGCAGCUGCAGCCUGCUUAUCAUUCCCUUUUCCAUUGUUACCAAGGACAAGGAAGUCUUGCUUGUAGCGUCUGUGGCAGCGAGAGGCGAGGUGACGAUCUAUGCCACAAAGCUGACAGGCCUGAGGAGCACCGCAACUAGAACAACAAGCAACUGGGCGACGACUCCCGCUAGUGAUGGUCGGCGCGUUGCCCCGCGAGGCCUGUGACGAGGAAGCCGGUGGUUUGCCACCUGAUGGGGCCGGCUUCUGAGGUUUGUCGCGUGUGGCGGCGUUGGCGGAGACGAAGCUGGGGGAAACACGGUGCGCCUUGAUGCGCUGCUCACGCCCAAGGAGGCGCGCAUAGAGCUCACGACGCGGGAGCGUAUCCUCUCGACCAUGGACGUUCUCAAUGAGAUUGUCAUAAUCAUCAUCGAGCCCGUUAAGCACAAAGGUGGUGAAGUCCUCGUCCUGAAGCGGCUGACCAACAGAGGCCAAGGUGUCGGCGAGGCUCGUCAUCUUGUUGAAGUACUCCGUGAUGCUGAGAUCUCCAAGCUUGGUCUCACCCAGCUCGGUGCGUAUAGAGUGUGCACGCGCCUGAGACUGAGAGGCGAAACUAGUGUGGAGGGCCACCCACGCCUCCCUGGACGUAGCGGCAAAGAUGACCAUCGACGAAACACUCGGCGUGAGCAAAGACUGGAUGGCGGAGAGAAUGGCCUGAUCCUGCGCCACCCACGUGUGAUAUGCCGGAUGGUGAGGGGGUGGGCACGGGAUGGACCCGUCGACAUAGCCCUCCAAGCAGCGGCUGCGGAGUAGAGGCAAGACCUGAGCACGCCAUGACAGGUAGUUGUCCGGCGCGAGCUUCACCGGCAGCAGGUGCGAGAAAUAAAACGGCGGAGGCGCCGCGGUUUGAGCAGUGUACGCUUGCGCGAGUGGUGCAUAGGGAUCCAUGGACAGGGCCAUCUCUGGACGAGGGACCAUCGCGUAGGCGCCAGGCGAGGAGUAGGAUCUGGGAGAGGCGCCUGCCAAAGCGCCGUGGUCGGGCGCUGCAGGAGGACCGUAGGUGCCUUGCGCGGCGUAGGGGCCAGCACCCGCAGCAGCCGAAGCACCUUGGCUGGGCGCUGCAGGGGCGCCAUACGGCGAGGUGGCCGCGCCCCCAUAGGUCGGCUGGGGCGGCGCCGGGUAGUAGUGGUGCGGUGGCGGCGGAUGCGGCACCGCCGUGUAGGGUUGCGGCGGCGGCGCAACAUAGGCCGACCCCGACCAUAAGGACGACGGCGGCAGGGGCGCACCAUAGGAUGGCGCGGGAGCGCCGUACCAUGGCAACCCAGCACUAGGGUGUGAACUCGGCGGAGGAGGGCCGCCAUGGGCCGGCAGUGCCGCGGGCUCGGGCGGGCGAUCAGAUCGCCCGGAGCCCCCGAGGCCUGCGGGGAAGCGGGCGGUGGCGGCAAGGCACCGUACGUCGCCGCGAGGGGCCGGGAGGCCAGGAAGGGCGACAUCGGGGCGAGGGCCGGCGCGGCGGCGGCGGUCGAGAUCGGCGCGGCGGCAGCGGGAGGUGGUGCAGCGGAAGACAUCGUAACCUAAACUGAUACCAUGUAAAACAUAGGGUUUGGGAAACUGGCUCGACACCCUAAAACGGGGUGUAGCUAUCUCAUUAUAUAGACGUACCAAGAGGUACAAUACAAGGCCUAUAGAAAACUACGUAUAUACAGUCUAACAGCCAUUGCCGGCGAAGCGUAGAUAACAAACUUGGAUCAUUUUCGUCGCGGCCAAAUUGAUGAUAACGAGCUUGGGACAUGGUCACCGCGGGCAAGGCGCCGACAACAAGCUUGGGGCAUGGUCGUCAGGCAAAUACGCCGUUCUAAAAUAAAUGUCUCAACUAUAUACUAAAUUUAGUAUAAAAUUUGUACUAAGGUUAAGACACUUAUUUUUGGACGGAGGGACUAGAUGAUAACGAGCUCAGGGCAUAAGCAUCGCCAUCAGGGUGGGGAUGAUUACGACCAGGAUGCCUUGAGGAAUGGACUGAAGAGCACCCCAUGGAGCCUUGAGCAUCUUACAGCGUCGAGCAUGGACUGACGGCCCGAGUCCGAGGCGCCGGCAAGGCUAUGCUCGUGGCAAGUUUCGGUCUAAAUACCUACAUUUUUUUAACAUGCACUGACAUAUACACCCUAACCAACACUGGUAGAAAAUGGGCCUUUAGUCCCGGUUCGCAAAGGCCUUUAGUCCCGGCUGUGCAACCGGGACUAAAUAUGCGCGACUAAAGACCCCCCCUUUAGUCGCGCCUCUUACGAACCGCGACUAAAGGCUUUAGUCCCGGUUCUCGUGGCUAACCGGGACUAAAGGCCCGUCCACGUGGGCGCCAGGGGUCCGUCGGGGCGGAGGACCUUUAGUCCCGGUUCUCAUGGCUAACCGGGACUAAAGGCCUCCUCCGCAGGUUUAGGGUUUUAGCCCCCCUAAACCUGGUUUCUUUUUAAUUUGUAGUGUUUUAUUUCUUUUAUAUUUUAUUUUGUGUUUCAUUUCAAUUUUGAUGAAGUUUCAGUACACAUAUUCUACGCUACUAUAUACAUGCAUAUGAAAUUUCAAACAAGAAGAAUUCAAGAGGAAUAUAUAAUAUAUAUUCAAUCUCGGGUGACCAUAUACAACUUCAAACAAGUUUCCAUACACAAUUAGGAUGGAUGACCAUAUACAACUUCGAACAAGUUUCAAUCUCGGGUAUGCAUAUAAAUUUCUUCGUCCUCGGUAUAGUGUUCUCCUUUAGGAUUGAUGACUUCCCUCAUGAAAAAUCCUGCUAAUUCAUCUUGAAUUGGUCGGAAGCGAGCUUCUGGACUAAGCCUCCUCUGCAAGUUAUCCGUCGCCUUCCGCACGCUAUCCGAUGCCUUCCGCUCAGAGGUGUGUCUCCGGAUGUUCUCACAAACAUAGUAUCCACAUAGAUUGGUCCCUGGUGGCUGCUUAUCCACAUUAACUAACCUUCUAAAAUCUAGCUCAUGUUUGAAUUCACCGACAAUUUCUUCUGAGAACCGUCUCCAAACCCUACAGGGCAAAGAAAAUUAAAUGAACAAGGGAGUUAUUAGUUCCUUGAUAUUAGGAAAUGAACGAAAGAGACCGAUCGAUAUAGAGCUCAAAUGAUUGAAAAUAAUUACUUUUGCAGCAUUUUUCUCAUGUCGGCCCAACGCUUUGGAUCCGAAUCCAUAGAGUCCAUGAUUAGAACUCUGGAGGUGUGAAGUUCAAUAUUUAGCAGAAUCCAGUGGAACCUGCGGACACGUUACAUGCACAGUCAUGCAUAACUCAUCGAUUAGACAUACCAUGCAUGAAGUAAACAAAAGAGAAUGGGCACAAGAGAGAAACACUCACCCAAAAUGGUAAGGAAAUAGAAUAUGACUUUUGAGUUGAUGCUUUCUAAGAAACUUGUACAAGUCUUUCUCCACGUCUUCGGGGUGAUUUUGUAACACAUGUCCAUUAACGAUAUGUGGGUCAAUGAACCCAACAUCAUGGAUGUUUCUUAUUUUGCAUUCCCAAAUCUUCAAUCUGCAUAAUAGCGUACGCAACAAUAUAGUUAGGACAAUAUAUAUAUAUAUAUAUAGUGCAGGCAAUGAAGAACGAGAUGAGGUAGAAAUAAAUCACUUACAGAACGUAGCAACUCAGCAUAGAUUUGUCGAGGUCGCGCAGAUUGAACAGCUGGAACAAUUCACUCAUAUGAACUUGUACAGAGUACCAUUUGGUGUGAUGCUCCUCUGUAACAUCCGCAUAAACAUAUUCUUUGUCGGCCCAUGUUAUGAAUUGCUUGUACCAACGUAGCAGAUUUCGCAUUUGUGGUGGUAGACUCUUUUCCCGCGCAGGCUCGACGAGAGGCCCAUUCCGCACAUAUUGUAAUGCUAUCUCACAUACUGGCGCAUCCUCAAGGCCUAAGAAGGCACGAAGAGUCAAACCCAUCUCGGACGCUUGUUUCAUGGCACUCGGUACAGUUAAUCCAAGUGCUGUCGUAGCUGCUAUGAUCUCGGGGUCCUCUUCCGGACCGGCUUUCACUAUGAGCGGGGGGAUCGAUUGUUUGUUCUGCAUCCGAGCUGGUCAACUUGUUUCCCGCUUUUUUUACUUUCUUCUUUCUCCUCCUUCAAUAUUUUUGCUUGCCUACGAAGUUCAUGUCCAUAGUCGUCAGGCAUAUCAGCUCGGCUUGGGACGGUGUCGUCAAAAAAUCCUUAGCCCACUUCUUUUGCUUCUCAGUGAAUACUUGCUUGGGCUCAGGCUCUUUUAUCGCCUUCAUAUCCGCCUUCCAUUUCUCAUAAUGAGCAGACGCAGCCAAUUUGGUUUCAGCUUCACUAAGUUCCCAAGGCCUUGGGAGGAGAGGCUUCAGUGAUGGCUCCGGUACCCUUGUGGUCUUAGGUACAUAAGGGUCCGGGUUAAUAGUCCAGGAGCGGGUUUCCUUGCUGUCCGCCUGCUUCUGCUUCUUCGCCGGAGGUGGAUUGGGGGGCGUCGUACCCGCCGGAGGAGGAUUGGGGGGCGUCGUGCCCGCUGGAGGUUGUGGAUCGGGGGACGGCGUCGAAUGGCGUGAAGGAGGUGUAGGUGAACCACCACGACCACCGCCACCACCACCACCACCACCAUCGGAGGGGGGUGGACUUGUUAGCCUUGGUGCCUCGCCUGGAAACACUAUGUACUUCUUUUUCCAUAGAAUGAUCUGGCGCUUGACAUCUCCAAGUCUUCUCUCCCCUUCGGGUGUAGCUUUGUCAAUCUCCAGGUCCUCAAACCCUUGGACUAUGUCUUCCACCGUGACACGAGCAUAGCCAUAUGCAAUGGGGUUGUUGUGGUGGAGUGCUCCGGGUGUACAGGGUAAAGCACUGCCGCUAGCUACCUUCGUGGACACGUUCCCCACGGGAUAAUGCAGAUCACAUUCUUUCAUCUCCUUUACAUCAUCCACGGGGUAGUGAGGCUCCGGUGCACGAAUCUCGAUCAUCGGUGCACUAGCACCAGGCGGGGCAUCCGUGGAAGCCAUGCUGCUUCUCCGCUGCUGGCUUCCGCGAUCCGCUUCAUGAUCUUCAUGCGGCCCUGCAGCCGAUUUUUCUUUUACUAGUUCAUGCACGGUCUGCUUCAACUCAUGGAGUUCCGAUGCAAACUUCGCCAUAAGAUCUGCAUCCCGGUCCGUCUUUCUCUUACGGUUUCUGUAACAGUACGGGUCAUUGUCCUGGGAAAACCCUACUUUCCACGGAACUUUGCCUUUGCCUCGUACACGUCCUCCGUGUUCAUCAUUCCCGAGGGCUGUUGUCAGUGCGUCUUUCUCUCUGUUGAACUUGAUCAAGCCCUCUUGAGCUUGGGUCAUUGCGUCAAUAAGGGCUUGGGUGGGAGCAAACUUUUUCUUCCGGUGAACACACACCCCUGUCUCCGGGUCUAGCGAUCCCCCAUGCCCGUACCACCAGCUUUUGGCCCUUGGGUCCCAUCCCUCUGUACCUAGAGGGAUUCCUCGCACCCUCAGGUCCUCCUCCAUCUUCUGCCACCUAGGCUCCGAAAGGCGGUAUCCUCCUGGCCCCAUAAUAUGAUGGAACUUUUUCUUACUCGCAUUAUCCUUAUUUUUUUCGAUAUUUCCUUGAAAUGCUCCGAUUGCUUUUGCCUCACAAAUUCUGGCCAAUCAUCUUUCAGUUUCUCAUGUUGUCCAUUGAAAUCCGGAGUCUUGCCCUUGUUGACAUAGUCACGGGUUAAAUUUUUCUUGAAGUUCCGGAAUGCUUCGCCCAUCUUCUGAAGAGCGAACUCUUUAACUAGCCUCCUCCUCUCACGUCCACCCGGAACCUCGUUACCGAAUUCAUCGACUUUGUUGUAUUCCGGAGGUAGAAUGAAAUGUUCCAUAAGCUUUCUCCAGCAAUCCUUUUUCGUUCUCUUGUCGACAAAACUGAAACCAAGACGUGCCUUCUUUGGCUCCUUCCAUUCCUGGACGGUGAUCGGGACGUUGUCUCUAACAACGACUCCGCAUUGGUUGAUAAACUUUGACGUGUGCUGUAGGGGCUUGCCGGUUUCACUGACAAACUCAAUGGCAUAUGUUUCUCCUGUUUUCAUCGCCUUGGAUUUGCCACGCUUUGUCGUACUCGAUCCGGCCGAGGGCUAAAAAAAGAAAGAGAGUCGCGCGCGUUAAUACAUAUGUAUUCACAUUCAGUAAGUUUGUAUCACGAGAGGCUCAAUGUAUAUAUAUACCUCGCCGGAGGUGGUUGCUACUUGCAAUUCGAGAUCGUCGUUUGUUGACGGUUGACCUCCGUCGACAAUGUCCGUUCCUUCACCUUCUUGAUCAUCGACAAUGUCUGUUCCACCGUCAAGGUUCAGAAAAGAAGAGACUACAUCCUCUUCUUGCUCAUAUUCUGAGCCCGGCACAUAAGGAAUCUCGUUGUUGAUGAUGCCCAUUAAAUAACGUUCAGCCUCCGGAUCCCUAAGCGGCUCGGCUCUAUCGUCCGCCAUAUGUCACUCCUGCAUGUAGUAAAAAUUCUUUAAGUAUAAAGGAAUUAAAAAAUAAGAUUAAGGGGACAUAGAGGAGGAGGAAUUAAAAAAUAAGAUUAUUGAGCACUGCCAAGUAUUUUGUUUUUCCUUUUCUUUUUUCCUUUUCUUCUUCCUUUUCUUCUUCCUUUUCUUCUUCCUUUUCUUNNNNNNNNNNNNNNNNNNNNNNNNNNNNNNNNNNNNNNNNNNNNNNNNNNNNNNNNNNNNNNNNNNNNNNNNNNNNNNNNNNNNNNNNNNNNNNNNNNNNNNNNNNNNNNNNNNNNNNNNNNNNNNNNNNNNNNNNNNNNNNNNNNNNNNNNNNNNNNNNNNNNNNNNNNNNNNNNNNNNNNNNNNNNNNNNNNNNNNNNNNNNNNNNNNNNNNNNNNNNNNNNNNNNNNNNNNNNNNNNNNAGUUUAGUCCCACCUCGCUAGUUGAGAGGGGCGCGCAGUGGUUUAUAAGCCCCACUGCCGCUCCCCUCUUGAGCUCCUCUCCAUUGCAGGCUUACGGGCCUAAUUGUGACUGCUAUGCCUGAUGGGCCUACUGGGCCUUCUGCGGGCCUGAAUCCUGGCCCAUCGAUGGGUUUCUAGUCGUAUUCAGGCCGUGGUGGCCCAGUAGGUGGCAUAUUUUUUAUUUUUUGCCUGUUUUUUGUUUUCUUUUUUGCUUUAUUUAUUUUGUUUUGUUUCUACUUACAACAAAAAACUUAUUUAUUUUAUUUUAUUUUGUUUCUAAUUACUUAUUUAUUUUACUUUAUGAUAAUUAUUUUUGCUAUUAAAGUUUCUAAGAAAAAAAGUUCUUUAUGAAAAUACAAUUAUAUAUCAAAAAAAUCAGAAAAAUAAAACUAAUUCAUUUUAAAAUCUUAAAAAUACAAUUAUAUAUCAAAAAAAUCGGAAAAAUAAAACUAAUUCAUUUUAAAAUCUUAAAAAUACAAAUAAUAUAUCAAAAAAUUCAGUUCAUCGAUCCCUUGAAGGUUUGACAAAAGGUUUGAUACAUCAUUCAGUUCAUCGACCAAAUACAAAGUUUGGUACAAUAAAUUAUUACACAUCAAUUCUUCCCUUGUGUCCCUGCUUGCUUACGAUUGNNNNNNNNNNNNNNNNNNNNNNNNNNNNNNNNNNNNNNNNNNNNNNNNNNNNNNNNNNNNNNNNNNNNNNNNNNNNNNNNNNNNNNNNNNNNNNNNNNNNNNNNNNNNNNNNNNNNNNNNNNNNNNNNNNNNNNNNNNNNNNNNNNNNNNNNNNNNNNNNNNNNNNNNNNNNNNNNNNNNNCAGAAAAAUAAAACUAAUUCAUUUUAAAAUCUUAAAAAUACAAAUAAUAUAUCAAAAAAAUUAGAAAAAUAAAACUAAUUCAUUUUAAAAUCUUAAAAAUACAAAUAAUAUAUCAAAGAAUUCAGUUCAUCGAUCCCUUGAAGGUUUGACAAAAGGUUUGAUACAUCUUUUAGUUCAUCGACCAAAUACAAAUCAUCCGGAUUCGCCAUCGUACGUUUUAAUUCACAUGAUCCAUUCAACAAAGUUUGGUACAAUAAAUUAUUACACAUCAAUUCUUCCCUUGUGUCCCUGCUUGCUUACGAUUGUGCCGUAUCCAUGGAGCAUCCUCAUCAUUUAACUUAAUGCUUGGGUCAGUGUUCACUUUGAAGGGCGGAAUUUCACCAAACAUAUUAUAAUCUUCUGACAUGUCUGUCUUGUCCUCCACUCCCACGAUGUUUCUUUUCGCUGAAAGAACAAUGUGGCGCUUUGGAUCAUCGCAUGAUGUACUGAUCGUUUUCUUAUCUUUCCGUUUCCUCGGUUUGCUACUCAUGUCCUUCAAAUAAAAAACCUGAGCGACAUCUUUGGCAAGGACGAAUGGUUCUUCAAGGUAACCAAGAUUGUUGAAAUCCACCAUUGUCAUUCCGUAUUGCUCGUCCACCUUUACCCCACCUCCUGUUAGCUUGAACCAUUUGCACCGGAACAAAGGGACCUUAAAGGAGGGUCCAUAGUCAAGUUCCCAUAUCUCCUCUAUGUAACCAUAAUAUGUGACCUUUUGCCCAUUCUCGGUUGCUGCAUCAAAGCGGACACCACUGUUUUGGUUGGUGCUCUUUUUAUCUUGGGCGAUGGUGUAAAAUGUAUUCCCAUUUAUCUCGUACCCUUGGAAAAUCGUUAUAGUCGAAGAUGGUUUCUUGGCCAACAUGUACAGCUGAUCUCCAACAUCAUUGUCAUUCAUUAAAUGUUUUCGCAACCAACUGCCGAAAGUCUCCAUAUGGGCCUUUCUAAUCCAGGAUUCAGGCUUCCCCGGGUUGUCCGAGCGUAAAAUAUUCUUGUGUUGCUCGAAGAACGGAGCCACCAAGCUGGAAUUUUGCAGAACUGUGUGGUGUGCUUCAGUCAUAGAAUGACCGUCCAUACAUAUCGUUGAUUUCCUUCCGAUCGUGCCUUUUCCACUUAGUCUCCCCUCGUGCCGCGAUUGAGGAAUACCAAUCGGCUUAAGGUCAGGAACAUAGUCAAUACAGAACUCAAUGACCUCCUCAUUUCCAUAGCCCUUGACGAUGCUUCCUUCUGGCCUAGCACGGUUACGAACAUAUUUCUUUAAUACUCCCAUGAACCUCUCAAAGGGGAACAUAUUGUGUAGAAAUACUGGACCGAGAAUGGAAAUCUCUUCGACUAGGUGGAGCAGGAGGUGCGUCAUAAUAUCGAAGAAGGAUGGUGGGAACACCAACUCGAAACUGACAAGGCAUUGGACCACAUCGUUCUGUAACCGUGGUAGAUCUUCUGGAUUGAUUACCUUCUGAGAGAUUGCAUUGAGGAAUGCACAUAGCUUCACAAUGGCUACUCGAACAUUUUCCGGUAGGAGCCCCCUCAAAGCAAUCGGAAGCAAUUGCGUCAUAAUCACGUGGCAGUCGUGAGACUUCAGGUUUUGGAACUUUUUCUCCGCCAUGUUUAUUAUUCCCUUUAUAUUCGACGAGAAGCCAGACGGGACCUUCAUACUGCUCAGGCAUUCAAAAAAAAUGACCUUCUCUUCUUUGGUAAGAGCGUAGCUGGCACGACCUUGAAACCAUUCCGGAUGCCGGUCAUCUGGGUCUUUCAAAAGUUGCUGGUCCUGCCGUACUUCCUUUGUAUCAUUUAUCUUCCCAUACACGCCCAAGAAGCUUAGCAGGUUCACGCAAAUAUUCUUCGUAACAUGCAUCACGUCGAUUGCAGAGCGGACAUCUAGGACUUUCCAAUAUUCUAGCUCCCAAAAUAUAGAUUUCUUCUUCCACAUGGGUGCGUGCCCGUCAACUCCCCGCGGAACUGAUUGUCCGCCAGGACCCUUUCCAAAGAUGACUUUCAAAUCCUUGACCAUAUCAAAUAUCUCAGCACCAGUACGUUCCGCAGGCUUCGGCCGGUGAUCUGCCUUGCCGUUGAAAUGCUUGCCUUUCUUUCUUACGUUAUGAUUUCGGGGAAGAAAUCGACGAUGACCCAGGUACACGUUCUUCUUACAAUUAACCAAACGUACACUUUCAGUCUCAUGUAAGCAGUGCGUGCAUGCAUUGUAUCCCUUAUUUGUCUGUCCCGAAAGGUUACUGAGAGCAGGCCAAUCGUUGAUGGUUACAAAAAGCAACGCUCGUAGGUCAAAUUUCUCUCCUUUGUGCUCAUCCCAGACACGUACACCAGGUCUGGCCCACAACUGUAAAAGUUCAUCAACUAAUGGCCUUAGGUACACAUCGAUGUCGUUCCCGGGUUGCUUUGGACCUUGGAUGAGCACUGGCAUCAUAAUGAACUUCCGCUUCAUGCACAACCAAGGAGGAAGGUUGUAGAUGCAUAGAGUCACGGGCCAGGUGCUAUGGCUGGAGCUCUGCUCGCCAAAAGGAUUCAUGCCAUCAGUACUUAGACCAAAUCUUAUGUUCCUUGCGUCAGCUGCAAAAUCUUUGAACACUCUGUCGAUCUUUCUCCAUUGCGUUCCAUCAGCGGUGUGUCUCAACUCCCCAUCGGACUUACGGUCCUCUUUGUGCCAUCACAACGACUUGGCAUGCUUUUUGUUCCUGAACAGACGUUUCAACCGUGGUAUUAUAGGAGCAUACCACAUCACCUUGGCGGGAACCCUCUUCCUGGGUUUCUUGCCCUCAACAUCGUCACCAGGGUCAUCGCCUCUGAUCUUAUAACGCAAUGCAGUGCAUACAGGGCAUUCAUUCAAAUUCUCGUAUUCACCGCGGUAGAGGAUGCAGUCGUUAAUGCAUGCAUGUAUCUUCAGAACCUCUAAACCUAGAGGGCAGACAACCUUCUUUGCUUCGUACGUACUGGCGGGCAACUCGUUAUUCUUUGGAAACAUAUUCUUCAACAUUUUCAGCAAAUUUUCAAAUGAUGAGUCACCUACACCUUCCUGUGCCUUCCAUUUUAGCAAAUCCAGUGUGCAGCCCAGCUUUUUCAGACUAUUAUCGCAUCCUGGAUACAACGACUUUUUGUGAUCCUCUAACAUGCGAUCCAAAUUCUCCCUAUCCUUGUCAUUUUCGCAGCAUCUCCGUGCAUCAGCAAUGGUCCGACCAAGAUCAUCAGCGGGCUUAUCAUGUGCCUCUUCUUCACCUUCACCUAACCCUUCCCCACCUUCAGCAUCAUCCUCCAUGAAAGUAUCACCGAAAUGAUCAUGAUAGUUGUCAUCGAUAUCAUCCCCUUCUUCAUCUUCUUCCAUUCUAACCCCUCUUUCUCCAUGCUUGGUCCAACAAUUAUAGCUUCGCAUGAAACCGUGCCGAAGCAGGUGCAUGUGAACGUCUCUUGAGGAGGAGUAACCCUUCUGAUUCUUACAGACAGCACAUGGACAGAUAAUAAAACCUUGCUGCUUGUUCGCAUUUGCCACCACGAGGAAAUCUUUCAAACCCGUAGUGAACUCGCCGAAGAGUCGGGGACCGUACAUCCAUUGCCGAUUCAUCUGCAUUAUUAUUAUAUAAAGUAUAUAAUUAACCAUCAUGCAUUUGUUAAAACUAACUAGCUAGAAAUAAUACAAAUUAAACAAUGAACUACACACAUGCAUAUUUUAUCAAUGACACAUGAAAGGUUCAAGUUGCUAACCGCGAUCGCGGAGGAAAAAUAAAUGAGAAAGCUCAAGUGUGGCUCGGACACUUCAUAUCAUGUUUGUUUCAGGCUCUCGGGCAUUUCAUCGAACACCUUGUGUGCAUAGGAGGAACCAAAAGCAAACCCACCACCCCCUUCUGAAUAUUGUGAAGUGAGCUGAGUGAAGUGAAGUGAGCUGAGUCAUAUAUAUAGGGAUGGGCCUUUAGUCCCGGUUGGCCUGGCCAACCGCGACUAAAGGCCUUCGGGGACCUUUAGUCCCGGUUGGCCAGGCCAACCGGGACUAAAGCCCCUCCCGUCCGCCAGCUGUCGACCGAGCGCGCUGGGCCCAGAUAGUUGGUCGCGGGUCUCCUCCCGAACCGCGACUAAAGACCCCUUUUGUCGCGGUUCGAUUAUUUUGGGGACUAAUGAGGGCGUAUGAAAGCCUCUUUUUCUACUAGUGCAAUCUUUUGAAUCUACCAUUGUUUGUAUUUUUUUUUAACAAGGAUAGGUCAGGCUCAGGUUGAGGUUGUCGAGUUGGACAUUUUAAGGUCUUGUUGGAGAGUCAAUACACAAGCUGUCAAGUGUCGGAGUAAUACUAUCGACGUGAUACAUUUUAUUCAUCCAAAAACUAUGCAUGUCACUAUUGUGACAUAACGUGCGUGAAUUAUUCAAAGUAGAACCGACGAAUCACUAAACUACAGUGAACCGAACCAUGACAAGGUUCUCUCACCAUUACACGGUCACAUAGCUUGUUUGUUCAUUCAUGCCCGUCGUGUGGCGAGCAUGAUGGACGAUUUACGAGCAACCAAAAGCAUGACCAUCCAUCUUCGAACGACCAGCCAUGCUUUCAGCAUGGCCAAGAAGCGAGCGUCAAACUCGUGAUAAUUUUUUUUUUUGCCUGGUCAAGCGCUGUUUGGUUCGUGCCCUGGCCCGGGGAGCGCUAAAAAGUCGAUCUGGCCUCCGACACGGCGAUUUGAUUCCUCCUCCAACGCCUCGUUUCUUCGGCCCUGCGAUUAAUAAGCCCAGGCUCCUGCUCCAGGCAAGCCCAGGCGUCCAAUAUCCGUUGCCUGGAGCAGGCUAACCAAGUUUUCUCGUUUUGUGGCCAGGUUAAUUGCGUUGGCAUGUUCUGCGGCCAGGCUAGCUCCCUCAUCUCCAGGACUUCAACCAAACAGGAGCCAGGCAGCUCCCAGGGGGGCCCCAGGCCAGGCAUGAAACGUCCAGGACGUGAACCAAACUAGCCCUGGGUCCGUGUCCUCCGUUGCCUCGCCUAUAUAAAGCUGUGCUCUCGCACCCCCCAUUGAGCCUCUGCCCCGUACACGCCUGUUCUUCCUCCUCCCUCCUCCAUGGCGAGCUAAACAAGCUCUUCAACCCCCGUUCUUCCUCAAUAGCUGCAAUAUUUCCUCCCUUGUGCACAAGAGAGGAACCGGCCAUGUGGCUAGGGAUGAAAACAGAGCGGAAACGGACGCAACUGGGUGCUACCAUAUUUGUUUUCAUAAUUUUUUUGCAGAAGCGGAAACGAAUAUGGAAACUUCGGAAAUGAAUACGAAAAUAGAUACUACCGGAAACAGACACUAAGCAAAUACAGAGCGGACACGAAAACAAAAUGGUGUGUUGACCGGAACUUAAAACCCUCUUGAACCAUAGAGAAAUACACAGAAAACAAAGAAAUUUAAGAAUUUGUUAACAUGGCUACAUAAUAAUAUGGUUGCGUUGGCAACAUAGGGUAGCAUUAUAGUAGUACAUAACAAUUCUGUACAGUGUCUAGUUGAGAACGUGUGUGGUAGUAAAAGUUGGUCCUCAAAUGAGCUCAUUGUGUCAUUAUGUGUUGUUUGGUAGUUGGGCUACAAAGCAACCAUGGCCUUAUAGUAGAAAUAGAAAUUCCAUAUUCACGGAAACGGAAAGUUCUGUUUUCACGUCUGUUUCACCGGAAAACACCGUUCUGUUUUUGUUUGUGUUUUCGCAUAAAAAAUUUCACUUCCAUAUCAAUUUUGCAAAUUUCCGUUUCUAUUUUCAUAUUUCCUCUCCGUUUCCAUUUUUUCUCCGGAAAAGCGGAAACUUUCCACUCCAUUUUCAUCCCUACGUGUGGCCGACUUCUCUCUUGUCCGCAAAGAAAGAAAAUAAUCGUAUAUGCCAUCCUCAAGGUAAGAAGGAUUGUAUAUGCCAUCAUGAAGGCAAGAAGGAGAAUUUGUGGCGGCUAGUAUCCAACCAAGAUUUAUUCUCUUGACGUGUUUGUUUCGUUCCCUUGUUCAUACUGUUCGUGUUCAUGUGUUGCUUUUCUGACCAAAUUAAGCAACUUUUCUCAUAGCAAACGCAGGUGCCAUCCAUCAAAGAUAAAGAGGAAACAAAGGUUAUUCGCCAAAAAAAAGAAGAAGAGGAAACGAAGGUUAUUCGCCAAAAAAGAGAGGAAACGAAGGUAGUGUUCGUGGGCGUUAUCCAAUAGAGCGAUGAUCCCUUCUUCAAAAAAGAUCUAUCCUCAGGAGGUAAAAAUAAGGCAUCGUUUUUUAUUGUGUUGCUGUUUUGUGAUGAAAAUUGAUAAGCGCAAUCUUUUUUUUGGUCUGCAUUAUUUUUUGACCCAUCAAAUUAUCCAAGUUCAGCAGCCCCUGAUGGCCAGAACCCAACCCGCCAGCCGCAGCUCGCGUCCUUGCCUUGGCCCACGACCGCCGCUCCCACGCACGCCGCUUGCGAGCCCAGCUCGCGUCCGCGGCCUCGGCCCAAGCCCGCCGCUCCCACCCAUGUAUAGCUGGCCAAACAAGCCGGGCCAAUCAGACCAACCCACGAGCACACCGGCACGGCCCGCCAUGGACCAGGCAUGGCACGGGCUAAACGGGCCGUGCCUGGCACGCACUGGGCCAUGCUUUGGCUGUUAGGCUGAGCACACGGGUCGGCACGACACGGCCGGAUUAUCUGUUUUUUAUUUUUAUUUUUUAUAUAUCUCUAUAUGGCCUAAUACUAGCCCAGUGGAAAAAAUAGGCCCGAAAACGGCAAAUAUGCCAAACAACUGUGGGCCAGCGUGCCUGGCGUGCUGGCCCGAUUACCAGCUGGGUCGUGCCUGGGCUGUAUGCUGCAGCACGCGGACCAGCACGGCAUGACUCGGCCCGUAUAAUAAUCGUGCCAUGGCAGGCCAGGCCGGGCCGUGCAAGGCACGAUUACAAUCGGCCGGGCCGGGCUGACCUGUUUGGCCAGCUCUGCACCCACUCCCGCCCACCGUUGUGACCUAGAAACAUGGCUAUAAAAAGGCCCCUCUCACCCCACGCCCCCUCCCUUUCCACUCCGCCUCUUCCGCCGCCGCCGCCGAACCAGACGCGCCUUCCUCGUCGCGAUCUCUGUUGGGGAACACAGUAAUUUUAAAAAAAUUCCUACGAUCACACAAGAUCUAUCUAGGUGAUGCAUAGCAACGAGCGGGGAGAGUGUGUCCACAUACCCUCGUAGACCGAAAGCGGAAGCGUUUUAUCAACGCGGUUGAUGUAGUCGUACGUCUUCACGAUCCGACCGAUCCUAGCACCGAACGUACGGUACCUCCGUGUUCAGCACACGUUCGGCUCGAUGACGUCCCUUGUACUCUUGAUCUAGUUGAGGCCGAGGGAGAGUUCCGUCAGCACGAUGGCGUGGCGGCGGUGAUUAUGAAGUUACCGGCGCAGGGCUUCGCCUAAGCACUACGAUGAUAUGACCGAGGUGUGUAACUGUGGAGGGGGGCACCGCACACGGCUAAAAGAUCAACUUGUGUGUUCUAGGGUGCCCCCCUCCCCAUGUAUAUAAAUGAGGGAGGGGGAGGCCGGCCGGCCCUAGGGGGCGUGCCCAAGGAGGGGAGUCCUACUAGGACUCCAAGUCCUAGUAGGAUUCACCAAGAGGGAGAGAGGGGGAAGGAAGGAGAGGGAGAGGGAGUAGGAAAGGGGGCGCCGCCCCCCUUCCCUUAUCCAAUUCGGACUCCAAGGGGAGGGUGCGCGGCCUGCCCUGGCUGCCCUCCUCUCUCUCCAAUAGGGCCCAUGGUGGCCCAUUAGUUCCCCCGGGGGGUUCCGGUAACCCCUCCGGCACUCUGGUUUUACUUGAAACUCUCCGGAACAAUUCCGGUGUCCGAAUGUAACCUUCCAAUAUAUGAAUCUUUAUGUCUCGACCAUUUCGAGACUCCUCGUCAUGUCCGCGAUCUCAUCCGGGACUCCGAACAACCUUCGGUCAUCAAAUCACAUAAACUCAUAAUACAAAUCGUCAUCGAACGUUAAGCGUGCGAACCCUACAGGUUCGAGAACUAUGUAGACAUGACCGAGACACAUCUUCGAUCAAUAACCAAUAGCGGAACCUGGAUGCUCAUAUUGGCUCCUACAUAUUCUACGAAGAUCUUUAUCGGUCAAACCGCAUAACAACAUAUGUUGUUCCCUUUGUCAUCGGUAUGUUACUUGCCCGAGAUUCGAUCGUCGGUAUCCACAUACCUAGUUCAAUCUCGUUACCGGCAAGUAUCUUUACUCGUUUCGUAAUGCAUCAUCCCGCAACUAACUCAUUAGUCACAUUGCUUGCAAGGCUUAUAGUGAUGAUCAUUACCGAGAGGGCCCAGAGAUACCUCUCCGAUACACGGAGUGACAAAUCCAAAUCUCGAUCUAUGCCAACUCAACAAACACCAUCGGAGACACCUAUAGAGCAUCUUUAUAAUCACCCAGUUACGUUGUGAUGUUUGAUAGCACACUAAGUGUUCCUCAGGUAUUCGGGAGUUGCGUAAUUUCAUAGUCAUAGGAACAUGUAUAAGUCAUGAAGAAAGCAAUAGAAACAAACUAAACGAUCAUAGUGCUAAGCUAACGGAUGGGUCUUGUCCAUCACAUCAUUCUCUAAUGAUGUGACCCCGUUCAUCAAAUGACAACACAAGUCUAUAGCUAGGAAACUUAACCAUCUUCGAUUAACGAGCUAGUCAAGUAGAGGCAUACUAGGGACACUCUGUACGUCUUUGUAUUCACACAUGUACUAAGUUUCUGGUUAAUACAAUUUUAGCAUGAAUAACAAACAUUUAUCAUGAUAUAAGGAAAUAUAAAUAACAACUUUAUUAUUGCCUCUAGGGCAUAUUUACUUCAGUCUCCCACUUGCACUUGAGUCAAUAAUCUAGUUCACAUCGCCAUGUAAUUUAACACCAAUAGUUCACAUCGUCAUGUGAUUUAACACUCUAUAGUUCACAUUGUCGUGUGACCAAUACUCAAAGGGUUUACUAGAGUCAAUAAUCUAGUUCACAUCGCUAUGUGAUUAACACCCAAGAACAUUAAGGUGUGAUCAUGUUUUUCUUGUGAGAUAAGUUUUAGUCUACGGGUCUGUCACAUUCAGAUCCGUAUGUAUUUUGCAAAUUUCUAUGUCUACAAUGCUAUGCACGGAGCUACUCUAGCUAUUUGCUCCCACUUUCAAUAUGUAUCUAGAUCGAGACUCAGAGUCAUCUAGAUCAGUGUCAAAGCUUGCAUCGACGUAACUCUUUACGACGAACUCUUUAUCACCUUAUUCCACUAAGGAUAAUUUUGACGAAUGUCCAGUGAUCUACUCCUAGAUCACUAUUGUACUCCCUUGCCAAACUCAGGGAAGGGUAUACAAUAGGUCUGGUACACAGCAUGACAUACUUUAUAGAACCUAUGGCCGAGGCAUAGGGAAUGACUUUCAUUCUCUCUCUAUCUUCUGCAGUGGUCGGGCAUUGAGUCUGACUCAAAUUCACACCUUGUAACACAUGCAAGAACCCUUUCUUUGCUUGAUCCAUUUUGAACUUCUUCAAAACUUUAUCAAGGUAUGUGCUUUGUGAAAGUCCAAUUAAGCGUCUUGAUCUAUCUCUAUAGAUCUUGAUGCCCAAUAUAUAAGCAGCUUCACCGAGGUCUUUCAUUGAAAAAUUCUUAUUCAAGUAUCAUUUUAUGCUAUCCAGAAAUUCUAUAUCAUUUCCGAUCAACAAUAUGUCAUCCACAUAUAAUAUCAGAAAUGCUAUAGAGCUCCCACUCAGUUUCUUGUAAAUACAGGCUUCCCCAAAAGUCUGUAUAAAACCAUAUGCUUUGAUCACACUAUCAAAGCGUAUAUUCCAACUCCGAGAUGCUUGCACCAGUCCAUAAAUGGAUCGCUAGAGCUUGCACACUUUGUUAGCACCUUUCGGAUCGACAAAACCUUCUGGUUGCAUCAUAUACAACUCUUCUUUAAGAUAUCCAUUAAGGAAUGCAGUUUUGACAUCCAUUUGCCAAAUUUCAUAAUCAUAAAAUGCAGCAAUUUCACAUGAUUCGGACAGACUUAAGCAUCGCUACUGGUGAGAAAGUAUCAUCAUAGUCAACUCCUAGAACUUGUCGAAAACCUUUUGCAACAAGUCGAGCUUUGUAGACAGUAACAUUAUCGUCAGCGUCAGUCUUCUUCUUGAAGAUCCAUUUAUUCUCUAUGGCUUGCCGAUCAUCGGGCAAGUCAACCAAAGUCCAUACUUUGUUCUCAUACAUGGAUCCCAUCUCAGAUUUAUGGCCUCAAGCCAUUUCACGGAAUUUCGGCUCAUCAUCGCUUCCUCAUAGUUCGUAGGUUCGUCAUGGUCAAGUAACAUGACCUCCAGAACAGGAUUACCGUACCACUCUGGUGCGAUCUUACUCUGGUUGACCUACGAGGUUCGGUAGUAACUUGAUCUGAAGUUUCAUGAUCAUCAUCAUUAGCUUCCUCACUAAUUAGUGUAGGAAUCACAGGAACUAAUUUCUGUGAAGAACUACUUUCAAAUUCGGGAGAAGGUACAACUAACUCAUCAAGUUCUACUUUCCCCACACUCACUUCUUUCAAGAGAAACUCCUUCUCUAGAAAGGAUUCAUUCUUAGCAACGAAUAUCUUGCCUUCGGAUCUGUGAUAGAAGGUGUACCCAACAGUUCCCUUUGGGUAUCCUAUGAAGACGCAUUUCUCCGAUUUGGGUUCGAGCUUAUCAGGUUGAAGCUUUUUCACAUAAGCAUCGCAACCCCAAACUUUAAAAAACGACAGCUUAGGUUUAUUGAUAAACCACAAUUCAUACGGUGUCGUCUCAACGGAUUUAGACAGUGCCCUAUUUAACGUGAAUGCAGCUGUCUCUAAUGCAUAACCCCAAAAUGAUAGUGGUAAAUCGGUAAGAGACAUCAUAGAUCGCACCAUAUCUAAUAAAGUACGGUUACGACGUUCGGACACACCAUUAUGUUGUGGUGUUCCAGGUGGCGUGAGUUGCGAAACUAUUCCACAUUGUUUCAAAUGAAGACCAAACUCGUAACUCAAAUAUUCACCUCCACGAUCAGAUCGUAGAAACUUUAUUUUCUUAUUACGAUGAUUUUCCACUUCACUCUGAAAUUCUUUGAACUUUUCAAAUGUUUCAAACUUAUGUUUCAUCAAGUAGAUAUACCCAUAUCUGCUCAAAUCAUCUGUGAAGGUUAGAAAAUAAUGAUACCCGCCGCGAGCCUCAACACUCAUCGGACCGCAUACAUCAGUAUGUAUUAUUUUCAACAAGUGUGUUGCUUGCUCCAUUGUUCCGGAAAACGGAGUCUUAGUCAUCUUGCCCAUGAGGCAUGGUUCGCAAACAUCAAAUGAUUCAUAAUCAAGUGAUUCCAAAAGCCCAUCAGCAUGGAGUUCCUUCAUGCGCUUUACACCAAUAUGACCUAAACGGCAGUGCCACAAAUAAGUUGCACUAUCAUUAUUAACUUUGCAUCUUUUGGCUUCAAUAUUAUGAAUAUGUGUAUCACUACGAUCGAGAUUCAAUAAACCACUUAUAUUGAGUGUAUGACCAUAGAAGGUUUUAUUCAAGUAAAUAGAACAACAAUUAUUCUUUGACUUAAAUGAAUAACCGUAUUGCACUAAACAUGAUCCAAUCAUAUUUAUGCUUAACGCAAACACCAAAUAACAUUUAUUUUAGGUUCAACACUAAUCCCGAAGGUAAAGGGAGUGUGCAAUGGUGAUCUUAUCAACCUUGGAAUCACUUACAACACAUAUCGUCACUUCGCCCUUAACUAGUGUUUGUUCAUUUUGCAACUCCUGUUUCGAGUUAUUAAUCUUAGCAACUGAACCGGUAUCAAAUACCCAAGGGUUACUAUGAACACUAGUAAAGUACACAUCAAUAACAUGUAUAUCAAAUAUACCUUUGUUCACUUUGCCAUCCUUCUUAUCCGCCAAUUAUUUGGGGUGUUUCCGCUUCCAGUGAUUAUUUCCUUUGUAGUAGAAGCACUCAGUUUUAGGUUUAGGUCUGGCUUUGGGCUUCUUCACGAGAGUGGCAACUUGCUUGCCAUUCUUCUUGAAGUUCCCUUUUUUCCCUUUGCCCUUUUCUUGAAACUAGUGGCUUUGUUAACCAUCAACACUUGAUGCUCCUUUUUUAUUUCUACCUUCGCCAAUUUCAACAUCGCGAAGAGCUCGGGAAUCGUUUUCGUCAUCCUUUGCAUAUUAUAGUUCAUCACGAAGUUCUAGUAACUUGGAGAUAGUGACUAGAGAACUUUGUCAAUCACUAUCUUACCUGGAAGAUUAACUCCCACUUGAUUCAAGAGAUUGUAGUACCCAGACAUUCUGAGCACAUGCUCACUGGUUGAGCUAUUGUCCUCCAUCUUGUAGGCAAAGUAUUUGUCAGAUGUCUCAUACCUCUCGACAUGGGCAUGAGUCUGAAAUACCAAUUUCAGCUCUUGGAACAUCUUAUAUGCUCCGUGGCGUUCAAAACAUUUUUGAAGUCCCGAUUCUAAGCCGUAAAGCAUGGUGCACUACUACAAGAAAAACUACUUGUAGAGAUGUCGUAUUCCAUAGCUAGAGACGUGUUAUUUCAUCUCUAGGCAACCAUAGAGUCGACUUAGUAAAGCGUCUUUGGAGCGUCUCCUCAUGGACCGUCUCAAAACAUGUAGACACGCUAGCUAAGCGUGUGUACAUGGCAUGAGACGCUAUAUUGGGACUUUAAAAAGCGUCCCUAGAUAUGAGGCGCUAUAUUGGGACGUACAAAAGCGUCCUUAGAUAUGAGGCGUUGUAUUGGGUUAUUCAAAAGCGUCCAUAGAUAUGAGACGCUAUAUUGGGAUGUUCAAAAGCAUAUCUAGGUAUGUAGAGUCGUUUUGUUAGAUGCGCUUAUCUCGUCUCUACUCAUAGAGCCUUUUCAUUCAUCAUGGGCCCUAACCCCAUUCUUAUACACGCUAUGUAGAGAUGCUAUAUUCUUCUCUAAAUAUACACAAGAUAUUUGUAACUACGUAAUAUUUAACUCUAAAAAUUAUUUGAGUUAUUUUGAAUUUUUAUUUCACCAUUUCAAAUCCAGUUACUUCAUCAGAACACAUGCUUGUGCAGAAGAUCAACAAAUAUUGUUAUGUAAAGGUAUCCACUCAUAUCACGAGUCACAUUCAUAGGCAACAAAUAUUAUAUAAAGGGAUCAUCCCAUAUCACCAAUUGUAUUCACAAGCACCUCAUUUGCACAAUUUCAAUAAGGAUCAAACACCUUGAGUUCAGAACUGAAUCAAAUUAUAUAUUCAUAUGAAAGAUGCAAAUAAUUAAGAGAAGAUGGUACAACCAGAACAAAGUUUUCCUAUGAAGCUAAAUCCUUUAAAAAUACAAUAUUUGUGCAUUUAAAAAGUAAUUCUUCUGUAGUUGCUCUUCGCUCCUACAAUGCACUCCUUUUCUAAUUAAUCUUGAGCUACCCUGAAAAAGGAAGUUAACUGAGAAAAAAUUAGAAUGUAAGCUUUAAGUGUAGUGUGUGAAGAAAUGUACUCUUGAUGAAAUUGUAAGAGAUUUACCAGUGUUUGGUGGCUUUUUGGAGGCUGUGUAGGAGUGGUUGGGAUUGAUUUUUUUACCCUAAAAACACGAUGAUUCUUCAUAAAUAAUAAACCUUAAAUAUGUACAUUGGAGCAUAAUCGAUGAUUGUAUGGAAGUGUACUUACGUGUGAUCGAGGCCAUGCAAUAACAAGACUAAUAGCAUCCCAAACUAUUUGGAAUUUGUCAUAUGGUCUAACCAGUGUCUCAUCUCCAAGUCUUAAAACAUCAAAAACAGAAACUGCUACACGUUGCUCUCCAAGCAUGUUUCCUCCAACCACAUAUGUUUUAUCUCUACUCACUGAAGUUCCUUCGGCCACACAUUUACUUUUGCUUCUCAGGUUCAACGAAAAUAACAAGACUUUCAUUUUAUCCUAUGUUUUCAAGAAAUGAAACAUCCAUUAUCACAAACCAUGGAAAAUUUCACUCUAUGCAAAAAUGGACGAUUGCACAUGAAAUUAGACCAACUAACUAUUCUAACCAUUUAUCGUUCUAUGAUGCAGUUUAGCUGUACACUUGAUUCAGGACCACCUUGCUUGACCGCAUAGCUGUUUUCAGCAUGACCAUUCUAUGAUUCAGGACCAUCAUGUGCUUUCUAGUUGUGGUUCAGUUCAGCUUAAACUUAUACAAAACAUAGACAUUGUUUGAUAACAAAGUAGAAAUUUAUGCGCGAGCGCGGACACACACACACACCCCUUAGCAACUAUGUGUUCAUCUGGUGAAGAUAAACUGGUGCAACCCUCUUUAGCUCUCGCGCAAUUGCUAGGAUGCAAUUCCUGGUUAGUGAACUGCUUGUCCGAUAAAGUUGAUUCUACACAGCCUUGAUUGACCCUAUAAAUUUUUCAAUGUGUGCUUUCUACAGUUGGUUCAGUUUGGUUGUAAGUAAACAUAUACAAAACAUAGACAUUGUAUGAAAACAAAGUAGAAAUUUUUUCACAACAGACACACCUUGGCAACCAUGUGUUCAUGUGGUAUAGGAAAAAUUGUGUAAUCCUCUUUGGUUGAUUUUACACAACCUUGAUUGGCCCUAUCAAACUUUUUAAUGUGUGCUUCCUACAGUUGAGGUUUAGUUCAGUACUACAUAAACAUACACAAACCAUAGGCUAUGUUUGAUAACGAAGCAGAAAUUUAUGCACACUCGCACCUUAUCAACCAUGUGUGGUAAAGAUAAACCAUUGGAAUCCUCCUUGGUUCUUGCAGAAAAGCUACGAUGCAAUUCCUGGGUAGUGAUCUGCUUGUACGGUAAAGUUGAUUCUGCACUUUGUUGACUGGCCCUAUCAGACUUCUCAAUGUAUGCUUUCUACAGUUGAGGUUCAGUUCGGUUAUAAGUAAACUUAUGCAAAACAUAUGCAUUUUCUAAUAACGAAGCAGCAAUUUUAUGAACACACACACAAACACACACACACACACACACACACACACACACACACACACACACACACACACACACACACACACACCCACCUUAGAAACCAUUUUUUCAUGUGGUAAUGAUAAACUGGUGUAACACUCUUUGGAUCUCACACAAUUGCUAAGAUGUAGUUCCUGCAACUUAUGACGAACAAUUCUUUUUAAGUAUCAGAAUAAACCAGAAUAUUUAUUAGUGAAGAAACUAUUAUAUCACCUGCAUAACACUCAAUGGAGCAUGCAUAUUGCCAGGUGAUCUUUCUACUAUGUUAUGUGAUUCAUUUGGGAGGUCAUUACCAACAACUCUUUCCUUGAGAUCAACCUGAAACAAGAACAUGACAAAGUAUAUUAAUACCCAUACUUUUAUCAUUGCAGAAAGAAAUUUGGUUUAAAUACCAACAUCAUAGCUUCCCGCUGUUACAAAUCCAUUUCUCCAAUCCUCUCUUGGGGAAUUUUUGCUUCAGGUAUGAACGCAUCAUAGCAAACUCGACCAUCAUGCUUUCUGCAUUAUCUGCUAGUGCCCACGGUGCAAAUUGAACAUUUCUUUCUUUCUCAGAAUGUUGUACAAAAGACAUUCCCUCAGAAACUUUUAUUCCGCUCCAAUAAUGAUCACCAUAAUACCCUCUAAGUUAUUUCGCCUCUUCGCCAUGCAUACCUGUAAAUACUUCUCUAUAAUCAUUGAAUGAAAGGCAUUGUUAUCUUUCUUUCUUCAAGUUUCUCCUAUUGAAAUAAAUACAAACAACUCAUUACACUAAGUUUAAAUUAAAGCCUUUACUUUAAUCACAAGUAGAAGUACACAUCAGUAUCUUUGUGUUCGCAAUUUUGUAUUUACCGUCCUUCUUCUUAAUAGCUUCAUCCCAUAGUUCAAUCUUGCUAACCUUUCGAUUGCUCUUGAUUUCCUGUACAAAGUUAAUUAGAAUGUUUGUUAAUGUUUCUGUUAGAACAUAUUCAGUUUUCUUCACUAACAAAACUUUUCUCAACCAUCUUUACAAAUAAAAAGUUUCACCAUCCCUUUUCUGAGCCUAGCAUGGCUUUUUUUCUCCUGGUUGUGUGUGGAUUCUUCUGCUUCUUUGCAUACUCGGUGUUCUUUUUGCAUAAUUUCUGGUAGAAGAACAAAUCCAGUCAAUACUAAUGUCACCAAACUAGUUAUGUAUGCCAAAUUAAGUAUGAGAAUAGAACACAUAACCAUGCGUCCUGACACCAAAACCCAACAAGAGUAUCCUAGUGAUGUUCAUUAACACCUUUGGGACCACCUGCUAUAAUAUCAGCCAAAGCCUAUUAUCACGCUUGAAAUAUUUAUUCUUCAACCGAAACUUAUACGGUCUCUAUUUUUGUUAAUAGUCAAUAUGAUCCAGUCUCGUGUAAGUUGUCUCAUCUCAUUGGGGUAGAUAAAUUUCUCCUUCAAAAAUUAAAAUUGGCAGUCAGCAAUGUCCAAUUAACAGUCUUGAACAAUGCAUGAAUUAAAGAAGAUACAGAACAACGAAUCGGCGUGUUUUGCGGCAGAGAACGUUCAAUGCAAAACUCUAGAGGGACGACUUCUUUUAUUUAGCUGAUGAAGCAUACGGGUAUAUACAGUAACAAAUCUUCCUUUUAUGUUAGUUGGGAAUUGUAAAAAUAUAACUUGUGCGAGCUUCAAAUGGGCAAAAGAUUGAAAAAGGCUUUUGGGUUAUAAAAAAUGGUUUUACAUGUACAGCUAAGUAUACUGUUUUGGUUUAACAAAAUUUUGUUCGUGUAUAAUUUUGUUAUCAAUUUUGUUCUUCUUGUAAAAUAACAGAGUACGUUGCAGUUGUAUAACCAAACACUAUCAUGUUUUAAACUCCAGCGUAAAUGUAAUCUAAGGUUAUUUGGCCAGUCUAUCUAACACCAAUUGUACAAUUGUUGAGUUUUGCCAUGUAAAAUUAGAUUGUACCAAAGAGUUGCUCACAUAUUUUCAAGAAAAUAUGUUAGAACUGAAUUCUAGGCAAGCAAACAAUUCACCAAACAGUUAGAGUGCAUUGCCUACAGGAAGGAAGUAAGGAGACCAGCGAGAAGAGGAUCGAGACUUGAGAUGCAUUAAUGGAGGAGGCCACUUUGGUUGAUUUGAUGAUAAAACUGCAGGGGCUAUGGGAAUCAAGGAUCACCUGCUUGGCGUGGUGGAGGCUGAAGAUGCUGGACGGAGACGAGAGCUGCUUAUGGGGCGAUCGAUGUACCGAUGGAACACACGGCGAAACUUCGGGUGAAGGAUGAGACCGGCAUGGACGCGGCUUCGUGUCGGCGAUCACGACGUCCGGAGGAGCACGGCUUCGUGGCGGUGAGGACGACGGGGUUGACGGGGCUCCAACUAGCGAGCUUGCCGAUGGAGGAAAACUGGAGCCGGUGCCGGGCGGAGCAAGGGCCGGAGGGCAUCCCUUGAGGUUGAGGUGAGGCUUCCACUGCGCGGGGUGCGGGAAUGGGCGGUGUGCGCGGUGGUGAUGCCGGCGUAGAUUGGAGUCGGGCGGUUGGACGAAUGGGGAGGUGGGGGAGAUGGUGGCGAGGAAACUUAUCCGGCUACACAUACGGAUAUAAAAAAUUGAUUAAGUGUAAAUAAUCUGGGAACGUCAGAUUUGGUUAAGUGCAAAUAGUUUUUUUUUGCAUGAAAAGUGCAAAUAGUUUGGGAGCGCCAACUAACCACAUAUAUGGAUAAAUAUUUUGAUAGGUGUAUUUUUAUUCGGAUAAAUCUAUAUUUUUUUGUACACAGUACAGACGCAAGAGCUCAUACAUACGCGCAUACACUCGCCCCUAUGAACACAUACACGCACACCCUACCCCUAUGAGCACCUCCGAGAGACUGAGCCGGCAUAUAAUCUUGUGAUUUACAAAGUCAUCAUAGGCGCCUCGUCGAUGGGAACGUCUCCUCCCACUAAAAGCGCAUCGCCGAAAAUCCUAAAAUAAAUCCAGGAAUAAUGCGAGCACCAGGAGUAUGAACUCACACACGCACGCCCUACCCCUAUGAACACCUUCAAGAGACUGAGCCGGCAUAUAAUCUUGUGAUUUACGAAGUCACCGUAGGAGCCUCGUCCUCGACGGAAACGUCUCCUCUCACUGAAAGCGCAUCGCCGAAAAUUCUGAAAUAAAUCUAGGAAUAAUGCGAGCACCAGGACUUGAACCCUGAUGGGCCGGGGAUAGCACUGUCCCUCUAACCAUCCAACCACACGUUGGUUCGCAUCGGGUCCUUUUUUGUCCUUUGUCCUUUUUUAUUUAUUCUUUGUCCUUUUUCUUUUUUCUUUAUUCUUUGUCCGGGGAUAGCACCAACCUAAAAUCUUUAUUCUUUGUCUUUUUUCAAAAAGGAUAAAACUUUAUUGGGUAAUAUACAUAUGAAGAAAUAUCCACAUAGUUUUAAUAAAAAAGUAUAAAGCCAGUGGUAGAUUGAAGGGGCGGAGUGUGACUCAAAAAACAAGGAUGUCACUAUAAUCCAUGGACGCGUCCGCAGACACACAUAUGGGAGCUGGGCAUCCUCUACUGUACCUGAAACGCCUGCGCGCAUUUCAAAUAUAAAUUGAACCAAAUGGAGAAAUUUUAUGCAAACCUAACAAGUUUCAUGCAAACCGAUUAAAAGUAUGAUACAUUUACAUAAAUCGGGCGAGGACAAACACUGAAUCCUCCUCGCUGAUCUUGAUUGUUAAGAUUUUGUAUUUGUAUUAGUUUGUGGUUUCUGCUAUAUGCCAUGUAAACCUUGUAUUUCUACAGGAUUUCAUCUUAUAAAUAUAUAGGUACAUGCCAUCCUUCACAACUGGCAUACUCGCCGCCGCAUGCCUUCUUCACCAAUGGGGGAGGGGGGGGGGGGUCCUCUGUACCUCCCUAAGGGCAGGACUCCCCGACCGCCCUUGCCCUCGGUGAUGUCGUCGAACCAGUGGUGGCCGAUGCUCCUUUGCGGUUAAUCGUGUCUGUCAGUACCUCCACUCACCUCGUGAUUCACAUGUCCUAAGAGGGGAAAGACAAAGGCAAGCGACAAGAAGGCGGUCGCUGGGGGUAAGUAGAUGGACGACUCUUCGACAGGAGGUAGUGGAAUAUCCAAACCUUAGAAGACCAUUUAUUUGAUAUCGCUCCUAGCACUACCGGGAGGGUGCUUGGCCGGGUCCUAAAAAAACUUGAAGAGUGGGUCCCACACACUCUAGCAAGGGAGCAAGCCGGCGACACCAAAGAUGGCUCCAUAUUAAGUGUAAACAAAUGUAUGCGAAUUCUGGAAGUUUCCACUAGUUCCCAAAACCAGCUAAAUAUGAGGCAAAGGACCAUUUUGAAAAACAAAAAGAAAAUUCAAAAGAACUGGUAACGUUUCAAAGAAAAGGAACUACUCUUUCCUCUAAAACCGAAGGACGGAACUUUCAACAAACGAAGAAGUGAAUUGGAGCCUUCCUUUUCAGCCGGGAGAUGUCAGGGAUGGCUCUAAGAAUUCUUAUAUUUAGAGUAAGGAAACCGAAGGAAUCAUCACACAUCCAGAAGGGUCCCUUUUAAUUAGUUCACACCAAGAACAGUGUUCAACAUAUUUAAGUUGGUGAGAAUCAGCAUAUGGGGGCCAUGUGGCACUAUUUAAAUGAAAUAUCCGUAGGCAUUAAUACCACAAGGUGGGAAUCUUUUUUUUUUUGCAAGAUGAUGGUGCGCGCGGGCUGUGGUGGAAGAGGUCGAACAGCUGGAACGCAUGCACCAUAUAGGGAGUCCCGCGGUUGGGCCAGCCCACUGGGGCGAGCGCGCUGGAUGUUUUCUUUAGCGCGAUUAGAAAAACGCAGUGCGCUAGGAAGUAGUCGAAUCGCAACCACAUAAUACAGAGUGCACACUGUUAGCCACUAGAACUAAACAUUCUUGUUGAUUUGUUGAAGCGCAAUAUAUGUGAAGAACAGAGUACAUUACCGAGAUUUGAAAAGACAUUUAUGAAAAUGUGAACCUAUUUAUUUUAAGAAAGUGAAUUAUAUUUUGAAAUGCGGACAUUUUCAAAUUUUGAAAAAAAUAUAAGAAUUCCAAUAUUUUCUUAGUAUAUAGAACAUUUUUGAAUCUAUGAAUUAAUUCUCGAAAUGGGAGCAUUUUUUGAAAUCUUGAACAAAUUUUAAAACACAAAUAUUUUCAAAUUUGUGAAAAAAAUAUAAAAACUCAAAUAUCUCAAACAGUUUUUAUCUGUGAAGAAUUUUUGCAAAUGGGAAUGUUUCUUGAAAUUUUGAACAAAAUUUGAAAACACAAAUUUUUUCGAAAAACAAACUUGAAAAGCGAACAUUUCUUUUGGGUCUGUGAACAUCAAUUGGUCAUCGUAUGGCACCACAUACUUGUUGGGCCAAUUAAAUGGGCCGUAGCAAGGUUUUUGUCUGGGAGUGCAGGUUCAGGCCCAGCUUGUUGGGCGCAUUGGAACUGACACGGAUCCCCUCAAAAAAAAACUGACACAGAGGAUGCGCACGGAUCAAGUAGGGUCUAACCCCACGUUUCAUACAAAGCAUGCGCUAGUUCAGUUGGUACUACCUCCGUCUUUUAAAGAGUGUACUUCCAAAUUUGUUGGAGAGUUAAAUUAACUUAAAGUUUGACUGAGUUUGUGCAAAAAUAUAUCAAUAUUUAUGAAACCAAAUAGGUAUAUGAUAAAAGUAUAUUUUAUCAUGAAUCUAAUGCUACUAAUUUGAUGGCAUAAAUGUUGAUUUAACAUUAUAUAAAUACGGUCAAACAUAAAAAUGUUUGACUUUUCAACAAAGUUGGAAUUACACUCUUUAAAGGACGAAGGAGUAUAUCACUUUACUCUACAUUAGUCUUCUAGGUCGCUGGUUCAAAUCGUGUGUCUUGCAAUUAAUUUUUUUUGGGUUGAAUUAUACUCAUAUUGUUCGCUGGUGUGGCAGGCCUAACCGCCAAAUUUUUUACACAUACGAUUUUAGCGGCUUCUGGCCAUGGAGGAAAAUAAUUUUAAUACACUGAACGGACCGAAAAUUUGAAGAAAUACACCUUACUUCAUAAAAAUUAAUAAUAUUAAUAAUUUAAAAUUGAAGUAUAGAAAUGUCAUUGUGGCCGGAUGGUUGGUGCUCGCACAUGCCACGAGCUUAUGUUGCAAUAAGUUCGAACCGGGGUUUUCUUUUUCUGCACACCCUUUUCCCGUUUUGAUUUCUACUUCAAUUCCUGCGGUCCGUCUUAUAUAACUUAAUUGUGCUUGUUAAAUGCCAAACGUCAGCUAGUCUAGUGGCUAUCUAUGCGAGCGAAAACGCAGAACGACGUGGUUCGACCCUCCCCCCUCCCCGCCCCAACAUUUAUUAUUAUUCCAGGAUCCCCCUCCCCCUCCUCCAGCAUUUUUCAUUUUAUUUCAGGAUUUUCUACGUAAAUAAAUAAAAUGCAACAGUGCUUUCUGAAGAAAAAAACAAUGCACGCGAGCUACCCACCGCCUCGACCACUGAGAGUGGGCCACCGCCAUGUUGGCGCAUCACGCGUGCACGGGGUACGACCUGAUACGAUAGANNNNNNNNNNNNNNNNNNNNNNNNNNNNNNNNNNNNNNNNNNNNNNNNNNNNNNNNNNNNNNNNNNNNNNNNNNNNNNNNNNNNNNNNNNNNNNNNNNNNNNNNNNNNNNNNNNNNNNNNNNNNNNNNNNNNNNNNNNNNNNNNNNNNNNNNNNNNNNNNNNNNNNNNNNNNNNNNNNNNNNNNNNNNNNNNNNNNNNNNNNNNNNNNNNNNNNNNNNNNNNNNNNNNNNNNNNNNNNNNNNNNNNNNNNNNNNNNNNNNNNNNNNNNNNNNNNNNNNNNNNNNNNNNNNNNNNNNNNNNNNNNNNNNNNNNNNNNNNNNCAACAUUUUUCAUUAUUUCAGGAUCCCCCUCCCCCUCCUCCAGCAUUUUUCAUGUUAUUUCAGGAUUUUCUACGUAAAUAAAUAAAAUGCAACAGUGCUUUCUGAAGAAAAAAACAAUGCACGCGAGCUACCCACCGCCUCGACCACUGAGAGUGAGCCACCGCCAUGUUGGCGCGUCACAAGUGCACGGGGUACAACCUGAUACGAUAGAAAGCACCAUGUAUGAACGGAAGGACAAGUUAGACGAUUAGAAACACGUAUUUUUGCAAGUUUAAGCAGCAAACUGGCGGUCACGCGCAAGUUCUAAGACUCCACAUGUAUUUACCUCUUUUCUUUAGUCUAAGAAAAGAAUAGAGUGGCACAUUAAAACAUCUCACAAAUCGUCUCGAAGAAUAGAGUCGCACAUUAAAACGUCUAACAAAUCGUCUCUAAGAAUAGAGUCGCACAAUAAAACGUCUCACAAAUCGUCUCUAAGUUAAUUAAAGUUAAAUACUUAUUAUUUGAAGGCUAAUUACAAUGAAAAGUUUGUGGCGCUCUGAAAACGUCUUAAGAAGCGUCUUUAGGUCGCUAGUGUUCAUGAACGUAGAGACGAAUAAAAAAGCGACUCAGAGAAAGCGACCAUACGUGAUGUUUUUGUUGUAGUCAUCAUACCGAGCUUUGUCAAACAUUCAUAACGUUUGUAUCUGCUCCUGCAAUAGGUCUAUCACCUAGUGGUGCAUCAAGGACAUAAUAUUUCUGUGCAGCAAUGAGAAUAAUCCUCUGAUCAUGGACCUAGUCCGCAUCAUUGCUACUAUCAUCUUUCAACUUAGUUUUCUCUAGGAACAUAUCAAAAUAUAAAACAGUGGAGCUAAGCGUGAGCUAUUGAUCUACAACAUAGAUAUGCUAAUACUAUCAGGGCUAAGUUCAUGAUAAAUUAAAGUUCAAUUAAUCAUAUUACUUAAGAACUCCCACUUAGAUAGACAUCCCUCUAGUCAUCUAGGUGAUCACGUGAUCCAUAUCAACUAAACCAUGUCCGAUCAUCACGUGAGAUGGAGUAGUUUUCAAUGGUGAACAUCACUAUGUUGAUCAUAUCUACUAUAUGAUUCACGCUCGACCUUUCAGUCUCAGUGUUCCGAGGUCAUAUCUGCAUAUGCUAGGCUCGUUAAGUUUAACCCGAUUAUUCUGCAUGUGCAAAACUGGCUUGCACCCGUUGUACGUGAACGUAGAGCUUAUCACACCCGAUCAUCACGUGGUGUCUCGGCACGACGAACUGUCGCAACGGUGCAUACUCAGGGAGAACACUUAUACCUUGAAAUUUAGUGAGAGAUCAUCUUAUAAUGCUACCUCCAUACUAAGAAAAAUAAGAUGCAUAAAGGAUAAACAUCACAUGCAAUCAAUAUAAGUGAUAUGAUAUGGCCAUCAUCAUCUUGUGCCUUUGAUCUCCAUCUCCAAAGCAUCGAUGAUCACCAUUGUCACCGGCUUGACACCUUGAUCUCCAUCGAAGCAUCGUUGUCGUCUCGCCAACUAUUACUUCUACGACUAUCGCUACUGCCUAGUGAUAAAGUAAAGCAAUUACAUGGCGAUUGCAUUUCAUACAAUAAAGCGACAACCAUAAGGCUCCUGCCAGUUGCUGAUUAUUUUUACAAAACAUAAUCAUCUCAUACAACAAUUUAUAUAUCACCACGUCUUGACCAUAUCACAUCACAACAUGCCCUGCAAAAACAAGUUAGACGUCCUCUACUUUGUUGUUGCAAGUUUUACGUGGCUGCUACGGGCUUAGCAAGAACCGUUCUUACCUACGCAUAAAAACCAUAACGAUUUUUCGUCAAGUGUGUUGUUUUAACCUUCAACAAGGACCGGGCAUAGUCACACUCGAUUCAACUAAAGUUGGAGAAACAGACACCCACUAGCCACCUGUAUGCGAAGCACGGCGGUAGAAUCAGUCUCAUGAAUGCGGUCAUGCAAUGUCGGUCUGGGCUGCUUCAUCCAACAAUACCGCUGAACCAAAGUACGACAUGCUGGUAAGCAGUAUGACUAUUAUCGCCCACAACUCUUUGUGUUCUACUCGUGCAUAUAAUAUCUACGCAUAGACCUGGCUCGGAUGCAACUGUUGGGAAUGCAGUAAUUUCAAAAAAAUUCCUACGAUCACGCAAGAUCUAUCAAGGUGAUGUAUAGCAACGAGCGGGGAGAGUGUGUCCAUGUACCCUCGUAGACCGAAAGAGGAAGUGUUUUAUCAACGCGUUGAUGUAGUCGCACGUCUUCACGAUCGACUGAUCCUAGCACCGAACGUACGACACCUCCGUGUUCAGCACACGUUCAGCUCGAUGACGUCCCUUGUACUCUUGAUCCUGUUGAGGCCGAGGGAGAGUUUCAUCAGCACGACGGCGUGGCGAUGGUGAUGAUGAACUUACCGGCGCAGGGCUUCGCCUAAGCACUACAACGAUAUAACCGAGGUGUGUAACUGUGGAGGGAGGCACCGCACACGGCUAAAAGAUCAACUUGUGUGUUCUAGGGUGCCCCCCUCCCCAUGUAUAUAAAGGAGGGAGGGGGAGGCCGGCCGGCCCUAGGGGGCGUGCCCAAGGAGGGGAGUCCUACUAGGACUCCAAGUCCUAGUAGGAUUCCACCAAGAGGGAGAGAGGGGGAAGGAAGGAGAGGGAGAGGGAGUAGGAAAGGGGGGCGCCGCCCCCAUUUCCCUUGUCCAAUUCGGACUCCAGGGGAGGCGGCCAGCCCUAGCUGCCCUCCUCUCUCUCCAAUAGGGCCCAUGGUGGCCCAUUAGUUCCCCCGUGGGGUUCCGGUAACCCCUCCGGCACUCCGGUUUUACCCGAAACUCUCCGGAACACUUCCGGUGUCCUAAUGUAACCUUCCAAUAUAUGAAUCUUUAUGUAUCGACCAUUUCGAGACUCCUCGUCAUGUCUGUGAUCUCUUCCGGGACUCCGAACAACCUUCGGUCAUCAAAUCACAUAAAAUCAUAAUACAAAUCCUCAUCGAACAUUAAGCGUGCGGACCCUACGGGUUCGAGAACUAUGUAGACAUGAUCGAGACACAUCUCCGGUCAAUAACCAAUAGUGGAACCUGGAUGCUCAUAUUGGCUCCUACAUAUUCUACGAAGAUCUUUAUCGGUCAAACCGCAUAACAACAUACGUUGUUCCCUUUGUCAUAAGUAUGUUACUUGCCCGAGAUUUGAUCGUCGGUAUCCACAUACCUAGUUCAAUCUCGUUACCAUGAUCUCGCAACUAACUCAUUAGUCACAUUGCUUGCAAGGCUUAUAGUGAUGAUCAUUACCAAGAGGGCCCAGAGAUACGUCUCCGAUACACGGAGUGACAAAUCCUAAUCUUGAUCUAUGCCAACUCAACAAACACCAUCGGAGACACCUGUAGAGCAUCUUUAUAAUCACCCAGUUAUGUUGUGACGUUUGAUAGCACACUACAUGUUCCUCCGGUAUUCGGGAGUUGCAUAAUCUCAUAGUCAUAGGAACAUGUAUAAGUCAUGAAGAAAGCAAUAACAACAAACUAAACGAUCAUAGUGCUAAGCUAACGGAUGGGUCUUGUCCAUCACAUCAUUCUCUAAUGAUGUGAUCCCGUUUAUCAAAUGACAACACAUGUCUAUGGCUAGGAAACUUAACCAUCUUUGAUUAAUGAGCUAGUCAAGUAGAGGCAUACUAGGGACACUCUGUAUGUCUAUGUAUUCACACAUGUACUAAGUUUCCGUUAAUACAAUUCUAGCAUGAAUAAUAAACAUUUAUCAUGAUAUAAGGAAAUAUAAAUAACAACUUUAUUAUUGCCUCUAGGGCAUAUUUCCUUCAAUCUCGUCACCGACGACCGCCGGCUGCUUUGUCUCAGUUACCCAUGAGAGCGAGUCACGCUCUGCUCCGUAGAUCCUCGUCCUGCAGCUGUGUGCAUGCCCUAGAUCAAUGCUCUGCUCCCUUAGAUCCCCGUCCCGCAGCUGUGCGCACACCCUGGGUUAAUCUCGUUUGUCCGCUAGAUCGCCGUGGUAUCAUCCUGCAGCAUUUCGACGCCUUCUUAGACGCUCUAGAUCUCGGUGUAGCUGUCCACAUGAUCCUAUAGAUCUCGGUUACUUGUGUUUGAUUCUCCUGUGCUUGUGCUUGUGCUUGUGCUUGUCCAGAACUGUUGUGGCCUUGUCUUGCAAUGUGGUUGUCAGCCUGUCCUUGCUAGUUUUGUUUUUGUCUAUACGAUGUCGUUAUACAGUGUUAUGUUAGUUUUUAUGUGCAAAUUUUGGCUGUUUUGCAGUAGCUUUGGUAAAUUAUGAUUAAAUGAGCCCUAAAUUCAUGUUGUCCUAAAGUCGAUAGGAGCCAUCUGGAUUCUGAUUCUAUAAUGUGUUACUCUGUAUGAUUCGUCAUGGUCUGAUUAUGUUGGUAUUAAACCCCUUGAGCACCUUGUUUUUACCUUUUGUUCUUCUCCAUUGAUUCAGGUUUGCGGCAAUGGUGUGCGAAGUUAAGACGAGCUCGCUUACCCCGGGUUUGCUGGGUGUAGGUAGCGACCUCUAUCACAAAGGAUACAAGAUUGAAGGUAGUUUGGUGGUGGUUAAUAGCACUGUACCAUUUGAUUUGUUCUUCGUACACAAUUUGACAUCAAAUAUUUCUUCAUUUUGUAGGCCUACGUACUCAGUAUGUCAUCUGGAGGGAGAAUUACAUGGAUGAUGUUAAUCGCACAGUGGUAUGCAAUGGGAGAUACUCUACAAUCUUCACUCUAUUUACUGUGCGGUCUGACAAUAUUUGCCCCGCAGGUAAAACUAAAGUACCAGCUGCCAGAGGAUGUGAAUGUGGACGGGAUGUCUGUUCAGAGUCUCCUGGAGCUUGUCACCAUUGAGCUUCAAGACACUAGGGUUCGUCCGGUGACAUUCAGUGUUGAAAGAAAAGUCCUAGCUGGAAGUGUCCAUGCUAUUCAUUUUAUGAUAGUUUCAUUUCACAAUUCUAACAAAUUGUAUUGUGAUGCAGGUGGUUUGUGAUGCCCCCCCCCCCCGCCACGUCCGUAGGAGGUGUGCGACAAAUUUGGGCCCUAGGCGAAAUAAAAUUAUAUUUUAUACAAAACUUUUAUACUUAUGUUUAUUUUAAUACAAUAUUAAAGAGUAUAAUUUUAAUUUUAGUUGGUAUAGUUAAUCAUAUAAUUUACUUAGUAUAGUUAAAAAGUGUUUUUCAUUNNNNNNNNNNNNNNNNNNNNNNNNNNNNNNNNNNNNNNNNNNNNNNNNNNNNNNNNNNNNNNNNNNNNNNNNNNNNNNNNNNNNNNNNNNNNNNNNNNNNNNNNNNNNNNNNNNNNNNNNNNNNNNNNNNNNNNNNNNNNNNNNNNNNNNNNNNNNNNNNNNNNNNNNNNNNNNNNNNNNNNNNNNNNNNNNNNNNNNNNNNNNNNNNNNNNNNNNNNNNNNNNNNNNNNNNNNNNNNNNNNNNNNNNNNNNNNNNNNNNNNNNNNNNNNNNNNNNNNNNNNNNNNNNNNNNNNNNNNNNNNNNNNNNNNNNNNNNNNNNNNNNNNNNNNNNNNNNNNNNNNNNNNNNNNNNNNNNNNNNNNNNNNNNNNNNNNNNNNNNNNNNNNNNNNNNNNNNNNNNNNNNNNNNNNNNNNNNNNNNNNNNNNNNUCUAGUGUAUUAUUAGGUGUGCAUAUUUGUAGAACCCAUAAAUUGUACCAUUUGCAAAUGUACUUCAAGUUAGAUACAGUAAUAAAUUCAAAGAUGAAUGAUGAAUGUAAUAUAUCACCGAUUUAGCAAUGCUUACAUGUAAUUUAUUUAUCUGGUAUGCUCAUCUAGACAUCUGAUUUUAUCUGAUGUACACAAAGAGUUCAUGCUAGUUUCUAAAAUAAAAUGUUUUGGUGUUUAAAAAUUUAAAAUGUUUUGUACAUAUUAAACUUAGAAUCUAUCUUUCGAAGAGAGGCUAGCAGGCUAACUAAGCUCUUUGUCACCGAUCAAAUUCACAAUUGACUAUCAGAUUGUUUCUUAGUUUGAUGUGAUGUUGAUUUCUCCUGUAAAACUAGAAUUUUAUUUUACAUGUUUGCAAUAAUCUUUCGAACAUAAUAGAUAAUAUGACUUGAUAAAUAAUACUACAUUGAUUUGGGCCUUUUGAACCUCUUCGACUUCCAUCUCCAGAAACUCCACGCACGUAGUUGACCAGAACUCCUUAGCUCCGUGGAGUCGAACUUAAGAAGCACAACACCCCCUAGUGUAAAAAAAAAAAAGAAUUUGGGAAAGCCCAGAUUCAUAAAAACUGAAAAGGGAGAGUUACUCUUAUUUACAUGAGGAGUGCCACCAUAACGAAAACGGUUGAGCCUCACGACCGUGAAUUCUCGAUAGCCUCCUCUCGCUCCUCCUACAUCCCUCGGAUCGAUACACUAAUGGGCUGGUCUUAGCCGGCCCAAAGAAUUGCCAAACAACCGAGAAGGAUUCUGCCAGGCCCGAAUGCUACAGGAAGCUCCUGCUCGAGCCGAACGCUAGGCCGACCCUUGUUUUUUUUUUCUUUUUUAGUUUUUUUCCUUCUGUUUUUGUUUUUUCUUCGUUAAAUAAUUCGUGAUUUAAAAAAACAAAUUCAAAAAAAUUGCAAAUUUUCUAAAAGUCUGUGGUGCCCAAAAUUGGCUUUGAUUUCAAAUAAUGUUCACGAAUGUAAAAAAGUUGAUGAUUUAAAAAUAUGUUAUAAAAAUUGAUCGCAAUUCAAAAAUUGUGCAUGAAUUAAAAAAAUCAUGAAUUUAAAUAUUUUACAUUUAUUCGAAAAGUGUUCACGGUUUCGCAAAAUGUCGGCGGCUAGAAAAUGUUCACGAAUUCAAAAAAGUUCACAACUUAAGAAUAUAAAAAAAAUCAUUUGGAAGAAAAAAUAUAUUGUUCAUGAACAUUUUUUUAAUGUUGAUGAACGUUAUUUUAUUAGAGGAGCAAAAUUGUACAAGCUCAAAGCAGCUGCAACUGAGGGGCGAAAGUGGAGUUGUCAGUGCCAGUUGCAUGUCCACCACUAGACAUGCAACUAUACAAAUAUUUUUUUUCUGUUUCACAAUUUUUUUUCAUUUUUUAUACAUGCAAUGAACAUUCAGAAAUACAUGACGACAUUUUCCAAAUAUGAAGUGAAUAGUUUUGAAUACAUUGUAACCACUUUUGUGAAUACUUUCUUUCAAAUAUGCAACUACUAUCCUUAGAAACAUGUCGUGAACUUUUUUGACGAAUGUUUUUUUAAUACCCGGUGAACAUGUUUUUAAAUACUUGAAGAACAUUUUUCAAGUUUGAACCUAUAUUUUUUAAAUUUUCCAGUGUAUAAUAUUGUUUCCUUAAUUUUAGCCAUCUAACAUUUUUUAAAGUAAUUUGUUAUUUUUUCUGAAGUGUUAAACAAGCUCAGGCACAAAACGGGGCCUGGCUGAAGGAAAUAUGCCCUAGAGGCAAUAAUAAAGUUAUUAUUUAUUUCCUUAUAUCAUGAUAAAUGUUUAUUAUUGAUGCUAGAAUUGUAUUAACCGGAAACAUGAUACAUGUGUGAAUACAUAGACAAACAGAGUGUCACUAGUAUGCCUCUACUUGACUAGCUCGUUGAUCAAAGAUGGUUAUGUUUCCUAGCCAUAGACAUGAGUUGUCAUUUGAUUAACGGGAUCAUAUCAUUAGGAGAAUGAUGUGAUUGACUUGACCCAUUCCGUUAGCUUAGCACACAAUCGUUUAGUAUUCUGCUAUUGCUUUCUUCAUGAGUUAUACAUGUUCCUAUGACUUUGAGAUUAUGCAACUCCCGUUUACCGGAGGAACACUUUGUGUGCUACCAAACAUCACAACGUAACUGGGUGAUUAUAAAAGUGCUCUACAGGUGCUUCCAAAGUUACUUGUUGGGUUGGCGUAUUUCGAGAUUAGGAUUUGUCACUCUGAUUGUCGGAGAGGUAUCUCUGGGCCCACUCAGUAAUGCACAUCACUAUAAGCCUUGCAAGCAUUGUAACUAAUGAGUUAGUUGCGGGAUGAUGUAUUACAGAACGAGUAAAGAGACUUGCCGGUAACGAGAUUGAACUAGGUAUUGAGAUACCGACGAUCGAAUCUCGGGCAAGUAACAUACCGAUGACAAAGGGAACAACGUAUGUUGUUAUGCGGUCUGACCGAUAAAGAUCUUCGUAGAAUAUGUGGGAGCCAAUAUGAGCAUCCAGGUUCCGCUAUUGGUUAUUGACCGGAGACGUGUCUCGGUCAUGUCUACAUAGUUCUCGAACCCGUAGGGUCCUCACGCUUAAAGUUCGAUGACGGUUAUAUUAUGAGUUUAUGUGUUUUGAUGUACCGAAGGUAGUUCGGAGUCCCGGAUGAGAUCUGGGCAUGACGAGGAGUCUCAAAAUGGCCAAGACGUAAAGAUCGAUAUAUUGGACGACUAUAUUCAGACUUCGGAAAGGUUCCGAGUGAUUCGGGUAUUUAUCGGAGUACCGGAGAGUUACGGGAAUCCGCCGGGGAGAAGUAUUGGGCCUUAUUGGGCCAUACGGGAAUAGAGGAGAGAGGCCAAAAGGAAGGAGGCGCGCACCCCCCCUCUGGUCCGAAUUGGACAAGGGGUGCAGCCCCCUUUUCCUUCUCCCUCUCCCCCUCUUUCCUUCUCUCCUACUCCAACAAGGAAAGGAGGAGUCCUACUCCCGGUGGGAGUAGGACUCCCCCCUUGGCGCGCCCUCCUCCUUGGCCGGCCGCCUCCCCCCUUGCUCCUUUAUAUACGGGGGCAGGGGGGCACCCCAUAGACACAACAAUUGAUCGUUUGAUCUUUUAGCCGUGUGCGGUGCCCCCUCCACCAUAGUCCACCUCGAUAAUACUGUAGCGGUGCUUAGGCGAAGCCCUGCGUCGGUAGAACAUCAUCAUCGUCACCACCCCGUCGUGCUGACGAAACUCUCCCUCAACACUCGGCUGGAUCGGAGUUCGAGGGACGUCAUCGGGCUGAACGUGUGCUGAACUCGGAAGUGCCGUGCGUUCGGUACUUGAUCGGUCGGAUCGUGAAGACGUACGACUACAUCAACCGCGUUGUGCUAACGCUUCCGCUUUCGGUCUACGAGGGUACGUGGACACACUCUCCCCUCUCAUUGCUAUGCAUCACCAUGAUCUUGCGUGUGCGUAGAAUUAUUUUUGAAAUUACUACGUUCCCCAAACAGUGGCAUCCGAGCCUGGUUUUAUGCGUAGAUGUCAUAUGCACGAGUAGAACACAAGUGAGUUGUGGGCGAUAUAAGUCAUACUGCUUACCAGCAUGUCAUACUUUGGUUCGGCGGUAUUGUUGGAUGAAGCGGCCCGGACCGACAUUACGCGUACGCUUACGCGAGACUGGUUCUACCGACGUGCUUUGCACAUAGGUGGCUGGCGGGUGUCAGUUUCUCCAAGUUUAGUUGAACCGAGUGUGGCUACGCCCGGUCCUUGCGAAGGUUAAAACAACACCAACUUGACAAACUAUCGUUGUGGUUUUGAUGCGUAGGUAAGAAUGGUUCUUGCUAAGCCCGUAGCAGCCACGUAAAACUUGCAACAACAAAGUAGAGGACGUCUAACUUGUUUUUGCAGGGCAUGUUGUGAUGUGAUAUGGUUAAAGCAUGAUGCUAAAUUUAUUGUAUGAGAUGAUCAUGUUUUGUAACCGAGUUAUCGGGAACUGGCAAGAGCCAUAUGGUUGUUACUUUAUUGUAUGCAAUGCAAUCGCCCUGUAAUGCUUUACUUUAUCACUACGCGGUAGCGAUAGUCGUAGAAGCAUAAGAUUGGCGAGACGACAACGAUGCUACGAUGGAGAUCAAGGUGUUGUGCCGGUGACGAUGGUGAUCAUGACGGUGCUUCGGAGAUGGAGAUCACAAGCACAAGAUGAUGAUGGCCAUAUCAUAUCACUUAUAUUGAUUGCAUGUGAUGUUUAUCUUUUAUGCAUCUUAUCUUGCUUUUUUUUGACUGGGAACUGUAGGGGAAACCCCCACAGCAUAUCAAAACUUUAUUGAUAAAGAGAGAGCAAGUACAAGUAUUAUGGGGGAUUACAAGAGGUAAUCAAACUAAACUAAGGGAAGAAGGAGAAGAAACAGGUUUAAAUUACAGACUAUUGGCCUCAAGGUGGCAGAAAUGAGAUCCAUCUGAGGAGAUCAUCCUUAUAGGCAGCUUUCACUCUAUAUUGCAUUAAGCAAAUGUCAUGGAUGAAUGUACUUCUCCAUUUAUUGAAUCCAGCUCUCUCAUGCCUGAAGACCUUAGCAUUCCCGAGGAUCCAGAUAUUCUAGCAAGCAAUAAACACCACUUCAGUGAAGAAGGGCUUCCUAAGACUCCUGCUAGCAUUAAUAACCAAAUCAGCCAUGGAGUCACCAGAUGACCAAUCAAUUUGCAGAUAGUUCCAAACUCUGACACUAAAAUUGCAAUUAAAGAACAGAUGAUCCCUUGUUUCCCUAGUCUGCAAAGGACAAAGGACACAGUUUACUCCAUCCUCCAAAUGCCAAUGUCGCCUGUCCACCAUGUCCUUGGUGUUCAACCUGUCCAUAAUAAGCAUCCAAGCAAAUACUUUGAUUUUCAUUGUACAGGAGGACUUCCAGAUCCAAGCUGUCAAAGGGUUGAAGGAUUCUGAUGCAAAAGUAUGUGAGUAAAACAACUUUGGUGAGUAUCCCUUGGCAGUGCCAUUCCAAAACCAAAUAUCCUUGGACCCAGGUGUUCUAUUGUGGCCACCCAACAGAGACUGGAGAGUGGUCAGGUCAUCAAAAGCCUGGCUGGACAAAGGAAGGUGGAAGUGCUGGAACAUGUCCUGGGAGUCCAAGAACUCUUGAACAGUGAUCCAGGGGUCCUUAACAUAGGAAUAGAGCCUGGGAAAUCUGAAUUGAAGGCUAGACACCUGAUCAUCAAGCUGCAAGUUGUCUGACCACAUGAGGGCAGUGUCCCCUCCAUUAAUCUGAACCCAAGCACACUCCCUAAAGUUUUGCAUGACCUUGCAUAUAUCCUUCCACCAGAAAGAGCCACAAACAGAAGUUCCUUGGGGUACUCUAUCAUGAUAGUAGGUAUCCCAAAUUAAAGACACCCAAGGGAGAUCCUUUUUAUUAAGAAAGUUAUUCGCAUGUUUGAGCAGAAGUGCAACAUUCUGAACACCAAGAUUAAGAAUACCAAGGCCUCCCCUGUUUUUUGGCCUGCAAAUAAGGUCCCAAGCAGCAAGUGAAGGGGCAGGCUGACCCCUAUUCUUCCUCCAGAGGCAUUGUCUCUGGAUUCUCUCCAAUUGCUUUAGAAUUCCAGCAGGGACAGCCAAACUGCAAAGGAAGAAAAUGGGCAUACAAGACAAGGCAGAGUUUAGAAACUGCAGCCUUUCCCCCUGAUUUAAAAAAGAUGAACUAGCUGUCAUUCUCCUCUCCAUGCAGUCAACCAAUGGCAUAAAAUCCACCAUUUUAGGCCUUGUAGUUCCCACUGGUAACCCAAGGUAGGUAAAUGGCAUUCUCCCAAUCUGGCAUCCAAAUGCAGCAGCUAAUUCAGUCAUGACAGCAAUGUCCACAUGUUUAUUUUGAUUGACGGUAGCAUUAUAAGAUGAUCCCUCACUAAAUUAUCAAAGUAUAAGUGUUCUCCCUGAGUAUGCACCAUUGCGAAAGUCCUUCGUGCUGAGACACCACGUGAUGAUCGGGUGUGAUAGGCUCUACGUUCAAAUACAACGGGUGCAAAACAGUUGCACACGCGGAAUACUCAGGUUAAGCUUGACAAGCCUAGCAUAUAACAGAUAUGGCCUCAGAACACGGAGACCGAAAGGUCGAGCGUGAAUCAUAUAGUAGAUAUGAUCAACAUAAAUUAUGUUCACCAUUGAAACUACUCCAUCUCACGUGAUGAUCAGACAUGGUUUAGUUGAUAUGGAUCACGUGAUCACUUAGAAGAUUAGAGGGAUUUCUAUCUAAGUGGGAGUUCUUAAGCAAUAUGAUUAAUUGAACUUAAAUUUAUCAUGAACUUAGUCCUGAUAGUAUUUUGCAAAUUAUGUUGUAGAUCAAUAGCUCGCGUUGUUGCUUCCCUAUGUUUAUUUUGAUAUGUUCCUAGAGAAAAAUUAUGUUGAAAGAUGUUAGUAGCAAUGAUGCGGAUUGGAUCCGUGAUCUGAGGAUUAUCCUCAUUGCUGCACAGAAGAAUUAUGUCCUUGAUGCACCGCUAGGUGACAGACCUAUUGCAGGAGCAGAUGCAGACAUUAUGAACGUUUGGCUAGCUCAAUAUGAUGACUACUUGAUAGUUUAGUGCACCAUGCUUAACGGCUUAGAAUCGGGACUUCAAAAACGUUUUGAACGUCAUGGACCAUAUGAGAUGUUCCAGGAGUUGAAUUUAAUAUUUCAAGCAAAUACCCGAGUUGAGAGAUAAAGUCUCCAACAAGUUCUAUAGCUAAAAGAUGGAGGAGAAUAGUUCAAGCAGUGAGCAUGUGCUCAGAUUGUCUGGGUACUACAAUCGCUUGAAUCAAGUGGGAGUUAAUCUUCCAGAUAAAAUAGUGAUUGACAGAAUUCUCUAGUCACCAUCACCAAGUUAGUAGAACUUCGUGAUGAACUAUAGUAUGCAAGGGAUGAUGAAAGUAAUUCCCGAGCUCUUCGCGAUGCUGAAAUCGACGAAGGUAGAAAUCAAGAAAGAGCAUCAAGUGUUGAUGGUUAACAAGACCACUAGUUUCAAGAAAAGGGCAAAGGGAUAGAAGGGGGACUUCAAGAAGAACGACAAGCAAGUUGCUGCUCAAGUGAAGAAGCCCAAGUCUGGACCUAAGCCUGAGACUAAGUGCUUCUACUGCAAAGGGACUGGUCACUGGAAGCGGAACUGCCCCAAGUAUUUGGUGGAUAAGAAGGAUGACAAAGUGAACAAAGGUAUAUUUGAUAUACAGAUUAUUGAUGUGUAUUUUACUAGUGUUCGUAGCAACCCCUCGGUAUUUGAUACUGGUUCAGUUGCUAAAGAGUAGUAACUCGAAACGGGAGUUGCAUAAUGAACAGAAACUAGUUAAGGAUGAAGUGACGAUGUGUAUUGGAAGUGGUUCCAAGAUUGAUAUGAUCAUCAUCGCACACUCCCUAUACUUUCGGGAUUAGUGUUGAACCUAAAUAAGUGUUAUUUGGUGUUUGCGUUGAGCAUGAAUAUGAUUUGAUCAUGUUUAUUGCAAUACGGUUAUUCAUUUAAGUUAGAGAAUAAUUGUUGUUCUGUUUACAUGAAUAAAACCUUAUAUGGUUACACACCCAAUGAAAAUGGUUCGUUGGAUCUCGAUCGUAGUGAUACACAUAUUCAUAAUAUUGAAGCCAAAAGAUGCAAAGUUAAUAAUGAUAGUGCAACUUAUUUGUGGCAUUGCCGUUUAGGUCAUAUUGGUGUAAAGCGCAUGAAGAAACUCCAUGCUGAUGGGCUUUUGGAAUCACUUGAUUAUGAAUCACUUGAUGCUUGCGAACCAUGCCUUAUGGGCAAGAUGACUAAGACUCCGUUCUCCGGAACAAUGGAGCGAUCAACUGACUUAUUGGAAAUAAUACAUACUGAUGUAUGCGAUCCGAUGAGUGUUGAGGCUCGCGGCGGGUAUCAUUAUUUUCUGACCUUCACAGAUGAUUUGAGCAGAUAUGGGUAUAUCUACUUGAUGAAACACAAGUCUGAAACAUUUGAAAAGUUCAAAGAAUUUCAGAGUGAAGUGGAGAAUCAUCGUAACAAGAAAAUUAAAGUUUCCACGAUCUGAUCACGGAGACGGAUAUUUGAGUUACGAGUUUGGUCUUCAAUUAAAACAAUGUGGAAUAGAUUCACAAACUCAUGCCGCCUGGAACACCACAGCGUAAUGGUGUGUCCGAACGUCAUAACAGUACUUUAUUAAGAAACGGUACAAUCUAUGGUGUAUCUUACCGAUUUACCACUAUAAUUUUGGGGUUAUGCGUUAGAGACAGCUGCAUUCACGAUUAAUAGGGCAUCAUCUAAAUCCGUUGAGACGACACCAUAUGAACUGUGGUUUGGCAAGAAACCCAAGUUGUCGUUUCUUAAAGUUUGGGACUGCGAUGCUUAUGUGAAAAAGUUUCAACAUGAUAAGCUUGAACCCAAAUCGGAGAAGUAAAUCUUCAUAGGAUACCCAAAAGAAACUAUUGGUACACCUUCUAUCACAGAUCCGAAGGCAAGAUAUUCGUUGCUGAGAAUGGAUCCUUUCUAGAGAAGGAGUUUCUCUCGAAAGAAGUGAGUAGGAGGAAAGUAGAACUUGAUGAGGUAACUGUACCUGCUCCCUUAUUGGAAAGUAGUUGAUCACAUAAAUCUGUUCCUGUGACAUUUAUACCAAUUAGUGAGGAAGCUAAUGAUGAUGAUCAUGUAACUUCAGAUCAAGUUACUACCGAACCUCGUAGGUAAACCAGAGUGAGAUCCGCACCAGAGUGGUACGGUAAUCCUGUUCUGGAGGUCAUGUUACUAGACUAUGACGAACCUACGAACUAUGAAGAAGCGAUGGUGAGCCCAGAUUCCGCGAAAUGGCUUGAGGCCAUGAAAUCUGAGAUGGGAUCCAUGUAUGAGAACAAAGUAUGGACUUUGAUUGACUUGCCGAAAUGAUCGGCGAGCCAUUGAGAUUAAAUGGAUCUUCAAGAGGAAGACGGACGCUGAUAGUAGUGUUACUAUCUACAAAGCUAGAAUUGUCGCAAAAGGUUUUCGACAAGUUCAAGGUGUUGACUACGAUGAGAGUUUCUCACUCGUAUCUAUGCUUAAGUCUGUCCGAAUCAUGUUAGCAAUUGCCGCAUUUUAUGAAAUCUGGCAAAUGGAUAAACAAAACUGCAUUCCUUAAUGGAUUUAUUAAAGAAGAGUUGUAUAUGAUGCAACUAGAAGGUUUUGUCGAUCCUAAAGGUGUUAACAAAAUGUGCAAGCUCCAGCGAUCCAUCUAUGGACUGGUGCAAGCAUCUCGGAGUUGGAAUAUACGCUUUGAUGAGUUGAUCAAAGCAUAUAAUUUUAUACAGACUUGUGGUGAAGCCUGUAUUUACAAGAAAGUGAGUGGGAGCACUACAACAUUUCUGAUAAGUAUAUGUGAAUGACAUAUUGUUGAUCGGAAAUAAUGUAGAAUUAUUCUGCAAAGCAUAAAGGAGUUUUUCAAAGAAAGACCUCGGUGAAGCUGCUUACAUAUUGAGCAUCAAGAUCUAUAGAGAUAGAUCAAGACGCUUGAUAAGUUUUUUCAAUUAGUACAUACCUUAACAAGAUUUUGAAGUAGUUCAAAAUGGAACAGUCAAAGAAAGAGUUCUUGCCUGUGUUACAAGGUGUGAAAUUGAGUAAGACUCAAAGCCCGACCACGACAGAAGAUAGAAAGAGAAUGAAAAUCAUUCCCUAUGCCUCGGCCAUAGGUUCUAUAAAGUAUGUCAUGCUGUGUACCAGAUCUAUUGUAUACCCUACACUGAUUUUGGCAAGGGAGUACAAUAGUGAUCUAGGAGUAGAUCACUGGACAACGGUCAAAAUUAUCCUUAGUGGAAUAAGGAUAUGUUUCUCGAUUAUGGAAGUGACAAAAGGUUCGUCGUAAAGGGUUACGUCGAUACAAGUUUUGACACUAAUUCAGAUGAUUCUAAGUCUCGGUCUAGAUACAUAUUGAAAGUGGGAGCAAUUAGCUAGAGUAGCUCCGUGCAGAGCAUUGUAGACAUAGAAAUUUGCAAAAUACUUACGGACCUGAAUGUGACAGACCCGUUGACUAAAAUUAUCUCACAAGCGAAACAUGAUCACACCUUAGUACUCUUUGGGUGUUAAUCACAUAGCGAUGUGAAAUAGAUUAUUGACUCUAGUAAACCCUUUGGGUGUUGGUCACAUGACGAUGUGAACUAUGGGUGUUAAUCACAUGGUGAUGUGAACUAUUGAUGUUAAAUCACAUGGUGAUGUGAACUAGAUUAUUGACUCUAGUGCAAGUGGGAGACUGAAGGAAAUAUGCCCUAGAGGCAAUAAUAAAGUUAUUAUUUAUUUCCUUAUAUCAUGAUAAAUGUUUAUUAUUCAUGCUAGAAUUGUAUUAACCGGAAACAUGAUACAUGUGUGAAUACAUAGACAAACAGAGUGUCACUAGUAUGACUCUACUUGACUAGCUCGUUGAUCAAAGAUGGUUAUGUUUCCUAGCCAUAGACAUGAGUUGUCAUUUGAUUAACGAGAUCAUAUCAUUAGGAGAAUGAUGUGAUUGACUUGACCCAUUCCGUUAGCUUAGCACACAAUCGUUUAGUAUUCUGCUAUUGCUUUCUUCAUGACUUAUACAUGUUCCUAUGACUAUGAGAUUAUGCAACUCCCGUUUACCGGAGGAACACUUUGUGUGCUACCAAACGUCACAAUGUAACCGGGUGAUUAUAAAGGUGCUCUACAGGUGCUUCCAAAGGUACUUGUUGGGUUGGCGUAUUUCGAGAUUAGGAUUUGUCACUCUGAUUGUCGGAGAGGUAUCUCUGGGCCCACUCAGUAAUGCACAUCACUAUAAGCCUUGCAAGCAUUGUAACUAAUGAGUUAGUUGCGGGAUGAUGUAUUACAGAACGAGUAAAGAGACUUGUCGGUAACGAGAUUGAACUAGGUAUUGAGAUACCGACAAUCGAAUCUCGGGCAAGUAACAUACCGAUGACAAAGGGAACAACGUAUGUUGUUAUGCGGUCUGACCGAUAAAGAUCUUCGUAGAAUAUGUGGGAGCCAAUAUGAGCAUCCAGGUUCCGCUAUUGGUUAUUGACCGGAGACGUGUCUCGGUCAUGUCUACAUAGUUCUCGAACCCGUAGGGUCCGCACGCUUAAAGUUCAAUGACGGUUAUAUUAUGAGUUUAUGUGUUUUGAUGUACCGAAGGUAGUUCGGAGUCCCGGAUGAGAUCGGGGACAUGACGAGGAGUCUCGAAAUGGCCAAGACGUAAAGAUCGAUAUAUUGGACGACUAUAUUCGGACUUCGGAAAGGUUCCGAGUGAUUCGGGUAUUUAUCGGAGUACCGGAGAGUUACGGGAAUCCGCCGGGGAGAAGUAUUGGGCCUUAUUGGACCAUACGGGAAUAGAGGAGAGAGGCCAAAAGGAAGGAGGCGCGCACCCCCCCUCUGGUCCGAAUUGGACAAGGGGUGCAGCCCCCUUUUCCUUCUCCCUCUCCCCCUCUUUCCUUCUCUCCUACUCCAACAAGGAAAGGAAAAGUCCUACUCCCGGUGGGAGUAGGACUCCCCCCUUGGCGCGCCCUCCUCCUUGGCCGGCCGCCUCCCCCCUUGCUCCUUUAUAUACGGGGGCAGCGGGGCACCCCAUAGACACAACAAUUGAUCGUUUGAUCUUUUAGCCGUGUGCGGUGCCCCCCUCUAUCAUAGUCCACCUCGAUAAUACUGUAGCGGUGCUUAGGCGAAGCCCUGCGUCGGUAGAACAUCAUCAUCGUCACCACGCCGUCGUGCUGACGAAACUCUCCCUCAACACUCGGCUGGAUCGGAGUUCGAGGGACGUCAUCGGGCUGAACGUGUGCUGAACUCGGAGGUGCCGUGCGUUCGGUACUUGAUCGGUCGGAUCGUGAAAACGUAUGACUACAUCAACCGCGUUCUGCUAACGCUUCCGCUUUCGGUCUACGAGGAUACGUGGACACACUCUCCCCUCUCGUUGCUAUGCGUCACCAUGAUCUUGCGUGUGCGUAGGAAUUUUCUUGAAAUUACUACGUUCCCCAAACACUGGCCUGUGCGCCAAAGGCUUCCUACAGGCCAAAUGGAAAAAAGCAACGAAAAAAAUCUCACUCAAAAUCGGAAUACGUUGCACGUUCCUGCACCGUAUUCCGAUUUUGAGUGAGAUUUUUUUCGUUGCUUUUUUCCAUUUGGCCUGUGCGCCAAAGGCUUCCUCCAGGCCAAAUGGAAAAAAGCAACGAAAAAAAUCUCACUCAAAAUCAGAAUACGGUGCACGUUCCUUGUGUUCUCCUACCACAUGCUCUCGUACCACAUAACACAUUCAGCCUAGCAAUAAAGUACGUAAAUACAAAGGCUUAUACGUAAAAUAGUUGUUCCUGUUUCUUCACAAAAUUGCAAAGAAAGCACAAAUAAAAAGAGAAAACGAGAAAACGAAAGCAGGUCUUGGAGCGCCAUACAAUGCACCCCAUGCCAGCCCAUCUUAACAAGCCCAACAACGCACAACCCCAACCCACAGUAAAACAGCAUGAGCAAACAAUAUACGGAUGACAUCAGCCUGCCAUCAGCUAAAUGAGACAUAACUAUAUCUCAUUCAGCUGAGCUCCAGGCGCUCCCUUCGCGAAAUGUCAGCCUUGAGUCCGGCGUCUCCGACACAGUUGACAAUACUAAUUUUCUUUUGCUAUAAUCUAGAGGGUUGGAGGGUCAUACCUGCCUAAUGGCAUGUCAAUCCUCGGCUCGCUGGCUGAGGACGAGGACGUCGGUGUACGGUAGCGGGUUGAGGAUGCGGGAGAUGGGAUCUAGAGGAGCCUUCUAUUUCGGAUGGAGGAGGUGGCGGCUACCACUAGUAGAAAAAGACCCAUUUGUCCCGGUUCCAGAGGCCCAUUAGCCCCGGUUCUGGAACCGGGACUAAAGGGUCGGGACUAAAGCCCAAAACCUUUAGUCCCGGUUCGCUUACGAACCGGGACAGAAGGCUCUCCACGUGGCCGCUGCGGGGAGCGCACGCAGGAGGGCCUUUAGUCCCGGUUGGUAACACCAACCGGGACCAAAGGGCAUCCACGCGUCAGCGGUUGGCAGUAGCUGGGGUUUUUGUUUUUUUAAGGGGGGGGGGGGUUAGGGUGUUUUGGAGGGUUAAUUUAGGGGUUUCAUAUUGUGUUAGCUAGCUAAUAGAGAGAAGUGUCCUCUCUUUCUCCGUGCUUGGUCGACGCUAUCUACUAUACGUAUAGAGAGAACUCGACACGCUAGCUAGUAAGCAGAUGAAGGAACCAUUAAGUACACAAGAUUGUCAUGAACAUAUACAGAGAGAAGUGAUCAACCUCUCUUUCUCUGAGAGAUUGGUCGAACAACAAGUUUUCGUAUAUCUAUCCGACGUUACUAGCUACAUAUAUACAAUAUAAGAUCUCUUACAAUCCCUAACAUCUAAUGUCAAAUUCCACAUGGUAUUCUCCGGCUUUAUUUAUGACGUGGUCAAGAAAGAAUCCCGCCAAUUCCUCUUGAAUUGCUCGUAUGCUAUCAUGUGGUAGGAGUUCAUCCCGCAUCUGCCAAAUCUAAUUUACAGAAGGGGGUCAAUACAUAUAUAUGAAUGAAACUCAACACAAAUGAUGGUAAUAAAAUAAAAUUAUGAAUAUUAUUUCUUACGUACUUCAUAUUGUUUUUCGGAGUAGCCCCGCUCACAGGUCGAGUGGCAGAUGAACUCGCAAACGUAGUAUCCACAAAAAUCAUUCCCGCUUUCCUGCCACAAGCACUUUACGAGAAAUAGAGUUCAAUCAAGCAUGAUAGAUGGUAUUGAUGAAACUAGCUAGAAUAAAUGGGAGACGCGCGGAACUAGCUAGUAGUACUUACUUUCCGGUGUGUAAAUCGCAGCUCCCCCAGCAGUCCCGGAGCUAUUGCGGUGAACUCUUUCGAAACCCUGCCAGACAAAGAAAAUAAUUACUUGAUAUCAGGAAAUGAACAAAGUUGCCGAUAUGGUGCGAUAAUGAUCGAUUGAACUUACUUCUGGAGUAUUUCAGUCAUGUCCGCAUAGUCCUGGGGAUCUUUUCGUCUCCAGUCUAAAAUGGUUACUACUCCCCAGUCAAGCUUAAUCUCUAGCAGAAUAAAGUGAAAGCUGCGCCCACAUGCAUAACUCAUCAAUUACAUUACUAUAACCUCGAGUAAUAAGGGAAACCGAACAUAUAUAUGCACAAGACAGUAACACUCACUUGAAGUUGUAAGGAAAGAGUAUUUUAUCUUUGUUUUGAUUUUUGAGCAACGAUUGUAGCAAGUUGUCCUUGGUUUCUGUGACAUUGUGUUUAACCGUCCAUUCAUGUAUGACAUUUGGGUUAAUGAACCCAAUGUCAUAGAUUUGUGCUUUUCUGCAUUCGACGAUCUUCAAUCUGCAUAAUAUAGUGAGGAUAAUUAUAUAUACAUGCAAUAAAAGAGCUGAGCUAUAUAUAGAGACUUAAUUACAAAAGUAGUACUUACAGACAGUAGCGAGUCAAGAGUGUUUUGUCGAGGGCCUUUUGAUUGGAUAACUGGAAUAACUCGUCAAAUGCAACAAACAACUGAUCCAUUCCAACGAGGUCGUGCUCAUCUUUAAUUCUCAGCGUCAAAGUAUCCUUCCCAGACUCGCUGUGGGUUUUCAUAUACCAUUCAUGGAAUCUUCGCAUCAUUGUUGUUAGAGGAGGAUGAUCAGGUUUGACGAGAGGCUUAUCAUACGUCUUCAACGUAUCUAUAAUUUUUUAUUGUUCCAUGCUAUUAUAUUAUCCAUCUAGGAUGUUUUAUAUGCUAUUUUAUAUGAUUUUUGGGACUAACCUAUUAACCCAGAGCCCAGUGCCAGUUUCUGUUUUUCCUUGUUUUUGAGUAUCGCAGAAAAAGAAAACCAAACUGAGUCUAAUUGACCUGAAAUUUCACGGAGCCUUUUGGCCGGACGGCGGAGGCGUUCUGGCGUUUUGGUCCUUCCUGGAGGCGCCGUUCAAGGGGUGGUUGGAGGUUGGGCGUGGUGCUUGGUGGUGGGAGGCGGCGGCGGUGCUCGGAUCCCCUGCUUGCCGGCUUUGGUGGUGGCGUAUGGGUUCUUCUACAUCUUUCAGGGGCUCCCCGCCUUGUCUGUCGUUGGUUGCCGGCCGGUGGUGGGCGUCCACGUGUUCAGCACGGUCUGGACGAAGGGGAGAUAGUGGUCUCCCCUCCGGCAGUGGCCCGAGGCAGCAGGCGGCGGAGUCGUUGGUUUCCUUCAAGCGGUCUGGGCCUUCAUGUCCACGACAAUUGUCGGCGCAGGGUGGCUUCGGCCCUACUGUUCUGUCUGCACAAGAUCUCCGGCGGCUUGAUCGCAGUUUCUCUUGAUGCUCUGUUCGCUGCUGCUCCAAGUCGUAGUGAAUUUGGCAUGUAUUUUUCAGUUUUUGGUCAAGUCUUUGCCUAUGUAAUUCAGCACCACUGUAUCCUAGCCGGUUGAUGGUUUCAUUAAUUUUAAGUCGGGCCUUCGUGCCUUUUCUCUAAAAAUGAAGCAUGCUUGAAAUCUUUACUCAAGCAUGUUCCUGUUACCACGACUCUCAAGCAAGGACGUUGUUUUUAGAAGGCGUCUAGAUUUUCUUUUAAAAUUAAUUGAGUUCUGAGUUCUAGCAACAUAAUGGCCAGCAUAUUGAAGACAAUUUUGUGCCAAGUGUAUGCUUGGAGGCAAACUACGAACACUCAUUACUAAGUUACUCCCUCCGUUCCAUGAUAUAAGAACAUUUUUGAAACUAGUGUAGUGUCAAAAACAUUUUAUAUUAUGGGACAGAGGGAGUGUAUGAUUGUUCACAUUUACAUAUAAUAUUUUAGAAAAGAAUAUGAUAUAUAUAUUGAUUAGAUAUAAACUCCAUACACUGUUUCUCUGAUAAUCGCAGAGAAACAACUACAUUUUUUAUAUCUCGAAAUGGAUCACGUACUUGUACCUCGAUGGACCUUGGUAAAUGAUUGAGUUUUCCUUGCAUUCCUCAAUAUACAUUUUUUUAUAGAUGACUGAUCGCGCACAAAUUAAAUUGAGUCACUGCAUCCUAGAGUAUAUGAUCGAAAAUCUAUUCGGUAUUCAGAAUUAUAAGGCGGCAUAGAACAUUGGACAGAAAAAAUGAAACUUGUGGAAUUCUGUAUUGCAAGGAAUUAUUAGAAUUCUCCAUGAUUUGGAAGUAUAUAUCAUAUAGAAAACGAAAAACUUUGUGCACAUAAACACAAACACUUGGCGGUCAGAAGUUUCGUGAGGUAUCAGUUUAGUCAUAUUGGAUUAGAAGGCACGGAUCAACAAAAAUGAUAAGAGGAGACUAGCUAUGAGUUUCAACGCACUUCAUUAGCUCUUCGGCUGGGGCAUAUAUACAGUUUACAGGAACCUCCAGGGAGAGGGAUCGUGCGCCACUACUGGUGAUCGUGCGCCACUAACACACGCACACGAUCACAGGUACACUACUCGUAUACAUACACAGAUACACUACGUACAUACACAUGUGGUCUAACACCCCCCGCAGUCGUGUCGUCGGCUGUGUCGACGCAAAGACUGGACCUGAACUAGAGGAAAACGUCCUUGGGCAGGCCUUUGGUCAUGACAUCAGCCAAUUGCUGCUUGGUGGGGAUGUGAAGGACACGGAACUCGCCGAGCGCGACGCGCUCGCGGACAAAGUGGAUGUCCAGCUCCACAUGCUUGGUGCGUCGGUGAUGCACUGGAUUCGCCGAGAGGUAGACGGAGGAAACAUUGUCGCAGAAGACGAGGGUCGCCUUGGUCACCGGAGCGCAGAGUUCACCGAGGAGUUGGCAGAGCCAAACGCAUUCGGCAACGGCGUUGGCGACGCCGCGGUACUCCGCCUCGGUGCUGGAGCAAGAGACGAUGGCUUGGUGUUCGGACGACCAGGAGACGAGGGCGUCCCUGAGGUAGACGCAGAAGCCGGAGGUCGAGCGACGGGUGUCGGGGAAGCCGGCCCAGUCGGCAUCAGUGAAGGCGCGCAAGUCCAGGCGCGCCGAGGCACGCAGGUGCAAGCCGAGCGACGGGGUGCCACACACAUACCUGAGCACGCGCUUGAUCAGAUUCUGGUGGCAAACGCGGGGAUCAUGCAUAUGAAGGCAGAUCUGUUGCACCGCGUAAGCCAGCUCGGGCCGAGUGAUGGUGAGGUACUGCAGCGCACCGGCGAUGCUGCGGUAGGCAGAGGGAUCAUCGACCCGCGGCCCAUCAGACUGCGGUAGCUUGCCCUUGGUGUCGAUGGGCGUCGGAGACGGCUUGCAGGUGUCCAUGCCAGCACGGUCGAGCACGUCCUCAGCGUACUGACGCUGACAGAGGAAGAAGCCGGCGGCGGUGCGCUCGACAUGGAUGCCGAGGAAGAAGUGGAGCGGGCCGAGGUCCUUCAUGGCGAACUCACUGGUGAGGCGGACAACGAUGCACUCAAGGAGCCCCGCUGUGGAGGCGUGAGCACGAUAUCGUCGACGUACAGGAGGAGGAAGGCCAUGUCGUCGCCGUGCGCGCAGACGAACAGGGACGAGUCCGAGCGCGUGCUGGUGAAGCCGAUCGUCUUGAGGAAGCUGGCGAAGCGGAAGAACCAGGCGCGUGGGGCCUGCUUCAAGCCAUAGAGAGACUUGGCCAGGCGACAGACAUGGUCAGGACGAUCGGCGUCGACGAAGCCGGCGGGCUGAUGGCAGUACACCUCCUCCUCGAGCGUGCCAUGCAGGAAAGCAUUCUUGGCGUCGAGCUGGUUCACAGGCCAGCGGCGCGAUGCAGCAAUGGUGAGCAUGGUGCGGAUUGUUGCAGGCUUGACGACCGGCGAGAAGGUCUCGCCGUAGUCGACGCUGACGCGCUGACGAAAACCGCGCACCACCCACCUGGCCUUGUAGCGUUCGAGCGUCCCGUCAGCACGCAGCUUAUGCUUGAACACCCAUUUACCAAUGAUCAGGUUGGCGCCGGGAGGACGAGGCACCAGAUCCCAGGUGCGGUUGUGGACGAGAGCGUUGUACUCUUCGCGCAUGGCGGCCAGCCAGUUCGGGUCACGCACGGCGACACGAACAGAGCUAGGAAGCGGAGAGAGAACAACAGUAGUUGAGGCAGUGGCGGCUUCGUAGUAGCGUGGAUUGGGACGGAAGAUCCCAGUUUGUGCACGCGUGACCAUCCGACGCGGCAGAGCAGGCCCGGCCGGUACGGGUGAGGCACCAGGUGAAGUAGCGGGUGCCGAGGAGCCGCAGCCAUCCGAUGAGGAAGGAGCGGCAGAGCUUGAACGCGCGGUCUGCGUGCUAACGCAGGAGUCGUUCGCGCCAGAUCCAACGGCCCCGUUCGAACCCGAGGAGGGCGCGACGGAACUGGAGCCAUCCAAUGAAGAAGGCACGGCAACCAGCGAUCCCUGCUGAGGAGCAGAGGGAGGCGCGGCAACAGAGCUCGAUGCGGGCACCUGCAGAAUUAGUGGCACAGCAGCACAGCAGCAGGCAAGGGCAGGGGCGGCUCAGGUGGAGAAGCGAUGCAUCGAGCGAAGGGGAAAACGUCUUCGUGGAACACGACAUGGCGUGAGGUGAGGACGCGGCGAGUUUGGGGAUCGAAGCAGCGAUAGCCACGGUGAUCUGAAGGAUAUCCAAGAAAGACACAUGCUAUGGAGCGAGCGGCAAGCUUGUGGCGUGCAGUAGCAGUAGUGUUAGGGUAGCAUAAGCAACCAAAAACACGCAGCAGACUGUAGUCAGGAGCGACGCCUAGAAGAAGCUCGUGGGGAGAGCGAGGGGUAGUGACAUGACAAGGACGCCUGUUCUGUAGGUAGGUGGCGGUGUUCAGGGCUUCAGCCCAGAACCGCAGCGGCAUCGAUGCGUGGAAGAGGAGCGCGCGCGCACUGUCAUUCAGGGUACGGAGCAUGCGCUCUGCCUUGCCAUUCUGCUGGCUCGUGCAAGGGCAAGAGAGGUGAAGGACAGAGCCAUGCGCAGAGAGGAGCGCGCAACUGAAGCACUGUCGAAUUCCGGCCCGUUGUCAGUCUGAAGAGAGAAAGCGGGGAGCUGAAACUGCGUACGAGCAUAAGCAAAGAAAUCACACAGGAUUGGUGGAACAUCAGACUUGUUUUUCAGUGGGAACGUCCAGACAUAGUGUGUAUAAUCAUCAAGUAUUACCAAGUAGAAUUGAUAGCCAGAAAUACUAGUGACAGGCGACGUCCAUACAUCCAAAUGCAAGAGCUGAAAAGGGAAAUAUGUGGUACUGACUGAAGAAGAAAAAGAUAAACGAGUGUGUUUGCCCACUUGGCACCCAUGGCAAUGGUGAGGUGCAGAUUUGGCAAAGGCAAAAGGCAGCUGUGAAGCCAGCAAUCGAAGCGACGCCUCCCCCGGAUGCCCAAGACGCUGGUGCAGAAGCUCGGUGGUGACCACGCCAGCGAACGGGAGAGAGGAAAGCGACGGUGCAGACGCCACCCGAUACAGAUCGCCCGUGGAAUUACAUCGCAGAAUCACCGUACGAGUCAGGAGGUCCUUAACAGAGAAACCAAAUAAGUCAAACUCUACGAAAACAGGAUUGUCACGGCAUAAUUGACGAACAUAGAGGAGAUUUUUGAUCAAAGAGGGAGCAACAAGAACAUUGCGAAGCUAAAUAGGAGAAGUGCCGGAAAUUAAGGAGCCAGUACCAACAUGAGUGAUUGGGAGAUAUUCACCGCUACCAACGAUGAUGUGUGAAGGAGAGGUAGGGGGUGAACAGAGUGAAGGUUACCAGGGUUGUUUGCCAUAUGCGAGGCCGCGCCGGAGUCCAAGUACCAGUCAGAGGUACUGCCCGACGACGAGGGACCAGCUGUGGCGCUGUGGAGGGCCGCCUGGAGAGAAGCCAUGUCCAGGGGUUGUUGCUGAGGCGCUCCAGAGGGCGGGCCGUAGCCGUACUACGGCGCGUGGCCGGGCGGCGGGCCAUAGCCGUAAGGCCCAGGUGCAGCAGGGAACGGCGCAACAUACAUGGCUUGCUGAGGCAGCGUCCCUGGACGGGGGCCGAGGACGUCAGACCCGGGUGCGCGCCACGGCAUGGGCCAGGCCUGGACGAGGCCGGUCCAGGAGUUGGUGCCAGGCGCUGGAGCGGGCAGGCCAGGAGCGCGAGGAGGCGCGGUCUGGGACGGGGCGCCGCUCGUGCCUGUUGGAAAUAUGCCCUAGAGGCAAUAAUAAAUGGUUAUUAUUAUAUUUCUUUGUUCAUGAUAAUUGUCUAUUGUUCAUUCUAUAAUUGUGUUAUCCGGAAAUCAUAAUACAUGUGUGAAUACAUAGACCACAACGUGUCCCUAGUAAGCCUCUAGUUGACUAGCUUGUUGAUCAACAGAUAGUCAUGGUUUCCUGACUAUGGACAUUGGAUGUCAUUGAUAACGGGAUCACAUCAUUAGGAGAAUGAUGUGAUGGACAAGACCCAAUCCUAAGCUUAGCUCAAAGAUCGUGUAGUUCGUUUGCUAGAGCUUUUCUAAUGUCAAGUAUCUUUUCCUUAGACCAUGAGAUCGUGUAACUCCCGGAUACCGUAGGAGUGCUUUGGGUGUGCCAAACGUCACAACGUAACUGGGUGACUAUAAAGGUGCACUACGGGUAUCUCCGAAAGAGUCUGUUGGGUUGGCACGGAUCGAGACUGGGAUUUGUCACUCCGUAUGAUGGAGAGGUAUCUCUGGGCCCACUCGGUGAUGCAUCAUCAUAAUGAGCUCAAUGUGACUAAGGAGUUAGCCACGGGAUCAUGCAUUACGGUACGAGUAAAGAGACUUGCCGGUAACGAGAUUGAACAAGGUAUUGGGAUAUCGACGAUCGAAUCUCGGGCAAGUAACAUACCGAUUGACAAAGGGAAUUGUAUACGGGAUUGAUUGAAUCCUCGACAUCGUGGUUCAUCCGAUGAGAUCAUCGUGGAGCAUGUGGGAGCCAACAUGGGUAUCCAGAUCUCGCUGUUGGUUAUUGACCGGAGAGGCGUCUCGGUCAUGUCUGCAUGUCUCCCGAACCCGUAGGGUCUACACACUUAAGGUUCGGUGACGCUAGGGUUGUAGAGAUAUGAGUAUGCGGAAACCCGAAAGUUGUUCGGAGUCCCGGAUGAGAUCCCGGACGUCACGAGGAGUUCCGGAAUGGUCCGGAGGUGAAGAAUUAUACAUAGGAAGUCCAGUUUUGGCCACCGAGAAAGUUUCGGGGGUUAUCGGUAUUGUACCGGGACCACCGGAAGGGUCCCGGGGGUCCACCGGGUGGGGCCACCUAUCCCGGAGUGCACCAUGGGCUGAAGUGGGAAGGGAACCAGCCCUUAGUGGGCUGGGGCGCCCCCCAUGGGCCUCCCCCCUGCGCCUAGGGUUGGAAACCCUAGGGNNNNNNNNNNNNNNNNNNNNNNNNNNNNNNNNNNNNNNNNNNNNNNNNNNNNNNNNNNNNNNNNNNNNNNNNNNNNNNNNNNNNNNNNNNNNNNNNNNNNNNNNNNNNNNNNNNNNNNNNNNNNNNNNNNNNNNNNNNNNNNNNNNNNNNNNNNNNNNNNNNNNNNNNNNNNNNNNNNNNNNNNNNNNNNNNNNNNNNNNNNNNNNNNNNNNNNNNNNNNNNNNNNNNNNNNNNNNNNNNNNNNNNNNNNNNNNNNNNNNNNNNNNNNNNNNNNNNNNNNNNNNNNGCCGCCCCCCCAUGUAGAUGGGUUCUAGGCCGGCGCCCCCCUCCCAGGGGGCCUAUAUAUAGUGGGGGGGAGGGAGGGCAGCAACACAACAGCCCUUGGCGCCUCCCUCCUCCCCUGCAACACCUCUCCCUCUCGCAGAAGCUUGGCGAAGCCCUGCCGAGAUCUCGCUAAAUCCACCACCACGCCGUCGUGCUGCUGGAUCUCCAUCAACCUCUCCUUCCCCCUUGCUGGAUCAAGAAGGAGGAGACGUCGCUGCUCCGUACGUGUGUUGAACGCGGAGGUGCCGUCCGUUCGGCACUCGGUCAUCGGUGAUUUGGAUCACGGCGAGUACGACUCCAUCAACCUCGUUCAUUGGAACGCUUCCGCUCGCGAUCUACAAGGGUAUGUAGAUGCACUCCUUUCCCCUCGUUGCUAGUAUACUCCAUAGAUGGACCUUGGUGAUGCGUAGAAAAUUUUAAAAUUCUGCUACGAUCUCCAACAGUGGCAUCAUGAGCCAGGCCUAUGCGUAGUUACUAUGCACGAGUAGAACACAAAGUAGUUGUGGGCGUUGAUGUUGCCAAUUCUUCUUGCCGCUACUAGUCUUAUCUUGUUUCGGCGGUAUUGUGGGAUGAAGCGGCCCGGACCGACCUUACACGUACGCUUACAUGAGACAGGUUCCACCGACUGACAUGCACUAGUUGCAUAAGGUGGCUAGCGGGUGUCUGUCUCUCCCACUUUAGUCGGAAUGGAUUCGAUGAAAAGGGUCCUUAUGAAGGGUAAAUAGAAAUUGGCAUAUCACGUUGUGGUUUUACGUAGGUAAGAAACGUUCUUGCUAGAAACCUAUACAAGCCACGUAAAAACUUGCAACAACAAUUAGAGGACGUCUAACUUGUUUUUGCAGCAUGUGCUAUGUGAUGUGAUAUGGCCAGAAGAUGUGAUGAAUGAUAUAUGUGAUGUAUGAGAUUGAUCAUAUUCUUGUAAUAGGAAUCACGACUUGCAUGUCGAUGAGUAUGAAAACCGGCAGGAGCCAUAGGAGUUGUCUUUAUUAUGACCUGCAUGUCAUUGAAUAACGCCAUGUAAAUUACUUUACUUUAUUGCUAAACGCGUUAGCCAUAGAAGUAGAAGUAAUCGUUGGCGUGACAACUUCAUGAAGACACGAUGAUGGAGAUCAUGAUGAUGGAGAUCAUGGUGUCAUGCCGGUGACAAAGAUGAUCAUGGCGCCCCGAAGAUGGAGAUCAAAGGAGCAAAAUGAUAUUGGCCAUAUCAUGUCACUAUUUGAUUGCAUGUGAUGUUUAUCAUGUUUUGCAUCUUAUUUGCUUAGAACGACGGUAGUAAGUAAGAUGAUCCCUUAUGAUAAUUUCAAGAAAGUGUUCCCCCUAACUGUGCACCGUUGCGAAGGUUCGUUGUUUCGAAGCACCACGUGAUGAUCGGGUGUGAUAGAUUCUAACGUUCGCAUACAACGGGUGUUGACGAGCCUAGCAUGUACAGACAUGGCCUCGGAACACACGCAAUACACUUAGGUUGACUUGACGAGCCUAGCAUGUACAGACAUGGCCUCGAAACACGGAAGACCGAAAGGUCGAGCAUGAGUCGUAUAGAAGAUACGAUCAACAUGGAGAUGUUCACCGAUCUUGACUAGUCCGUCUCACGUGAUGAUCGGACACGGCCUAGUUAACUUGUAUCAUGUUUCACUUAGAUGACUAGAGGGAUGUCUAUCUGAGUGGGAGUUCAUUGAGUAAUUUGAUUAGAUGAACUUAAUUAUCAUGAACUUAGUCUAAAAUCUUUACAAUAUGUCUUGUAGAUCAAAUGGCCCACGUUGUCCUCAACUUCAACGCGUUCCUAGAGAAAACCAAGCUGAAAGAUGAUGGCAGCAACUAUUGACUGGGUCCGGAACCUGAGGAUCAUCCUCAUAGCUGCCAAGAAAGAUUAUGUCCUAGAAGCACCGCUAGGUGAAGCACCAAUCCCAGAGAACCAAGACGUUAUGAACGCUUGGCAAUCACGUGCUGAUGAUUACUCCCUCGUUCAGUGCGGCAUGCUUUACAGUUUAGAACCGGGUCUCCAAAAGCGUUUUGAGAAACAUGGAGCAUAUGAGAUGUUCGAAGAGCUGAAAAUGGUUUUUCAAGCUCAUGCCCGGGUCGAGAGAUAUGAAGUCUCCGACAAGUUCUUCAGCUGUAAAAUGGAGGAAAAUAGUUCUGUUAGUGAGCACAUACUCAGAAUGUCUAGGUUACACAACCGCUUGUCUCAGCUGGGAGUUAAUCUCCCGGAUGACGCGGUCAUUGACAGAAUCCUUCAGUCGCUUCCACCAAGCUACAAGAGCUUUGUGAUAAACUUCAAUAUGCAGGGGAUGGAAAAGACCAUUCCUGAGGUAUAUUCAAUGCUGAAAUCAGCGGAGGUGGAGAUCAGAAAAGAACAUCAAGUGUUGAUGGUGAAUAAAACCACUAAGUUCAAGAAGGGCAAGGGUAAGAAGAACUUCAAGAAGGACGACAAGGGAGUUGCCGCGCCCGGUAAGCCAGUUGCCGGGAAGAAGUCAAGGAAUGGACCCAAGCCUGAGACUGAGUGCUUUUAUUGCAAGGGAAGUGGUCACUGGAAGCGGAACUGCCCCAAAUACUUAGUGGACAAGAAGGCCGGCAACACCAAAGGUAUAUGUGAUUUACAUGUAAUUGAUGUGUACCUUACCAGUACUCGUAGUAGCUCCUGGGUAUUUGAUACCGGUGCGGUUGCUCAUAUUUGUAACUCAAAACAGGAACUGCGGAAUAAACGGAGACUGGCAAAGGACGAGGUGACGAUGCGCGUCGGGAAUGGUUCCAAGGUCGAUGUGAUCGCCGUCGGCACGCUACCUCUGCAUCUACCUACGGGAUUAGUUUUAAACCUCAAUAAUUGUUAUUUAGUGCCAGCUUUGAGCAUGAACAUUGUAUCUGGAUCUCGUUUAAUUCGAGAUGGCUACUCAUUUAAAUCCGAGAAUAAUGGUUGUUCUAUUUAUAUGAGAGAUAUGUUUUAUGGUCAUGCCCCGCUGGUCAAUGGUUUAUUCUUGAUGAAUCUCGAACGUGAUGUUACACAUAUUCAUAGUGUGAAUACCAAAAGAUGUAAAGUUGAUAACGAUAGUCCCACAUACUUGUGGCACUGUCGCCUUGGUCACAUUGGUGUCAAGCGCAUGAAGAAGCUCCAUGCAGAUGGACUUUUGGAGUCUCUUGAUUACGAAUCAUUUGACACGUGCGAACCAUGCCUCAUGGGUAAGAUGACCAAGACUCCGUUCUCCGGAACAAUGGAGCGAGCAACCAACUUAUUGGAAAUCAUACAUACCGAUGUGUGCGGUCCAAUGAGUGUUGAGGCUCACGGAGGAUAUCGUUAUGUUCUCACUCUCACUGAUGAUUUAAGUAGAUAUGGGUAUGUCUACCUAAUGAAACACAAGUCUGAAACCUUUGAAAAGUUCAAGGAAUUUCAGAGUGAAGUCGAGAAUCAACGUGACAGGAAAAUAAAAUUCUUACGAUCAGAUCGUGGUGGAGAAUAUUUAAGUCACGAAUUUGGUACACACUUAAGGAAAUGUGGAAUAGUUUCACAACUCACGCUGCCUGGAACACCUCAGAGAAAUGGUGUGUCCGAACGUCGUAAUCGCACUCUAUUGGAUAUGGUGCGAUCUAUGAUGUCUCUUACCGAUUUACCGCUCUCAUUUUGGGGUUAUGCUUUAGAGACUGCCGCAUUCACUUUAAAUAGGGCUCCGUCGAAAUCCGUUGAGACGACACCGUAUGAAUUAUGGUUUGGGAAGAAACCUAAGCUGUCGUUUCUAAAAGUUUGGGGAUGCGAUGCUUAUGUCAAGAAACUUCAACCUGAAAAGCUCGAACCCAAAUCGGAAAAAUGCGUCUUCAUAGGAUACCCUAAGGAAACUAUUGGGUACACCUUCUACCUCAGAUCCGAAGGCAAGAUCUUCGUUGCCAAGAAUGGGUCCUUUCUAGAGAAGGAGUUUCUCUCGAAAGAAUUGAGUGGGAGGAAAGUGGAACUUGAUGAGGUGAUAGUCACCCCUUCCGAACCGGAAAGUAGCGCAGCGCGGGAAAAUGUUCCUGUGGUGCCUACACCGACUGGGGAGGAAGUUAAUGAUGAUGAUCAUGAAGCUUCGGAUCAAGUUACUGAACUUCGUAGGUCCACAAGGACACGUUCCGCACCAGAGUGGUACGGCAACCCUGUCCUGGAAAUCAUGUUGUUAGACAACGGUGAACCUUCAAACUAUGAAGAAGCGAUGGCGGGCCCGGAUUCCGACAAAUGGCUAGAAGCCAUGAAAUCCGAGAUAGAAUCCAUGUAUGAAAACAAAGUAUGGACUUUGACUGACUUGCCCGAUGAGCGGCGAGCCAUAGAAAACAAAUGGAUCUUUAAGAAGAAGACGGACGCGGAUGGUAAUGUGAGCAUCUACAAAGCUCGACUUGUCGCUAAGGGUUAUCGACAAGUUCAAGGGGUUGACUACGAUGAGACUUUCUCACCCGUAGCGAAGCUGAAGUCCGUCUGAAUCAUGUUAGCAAUUGCUGCAUACUAUGAUUAUGAGAUAUGGAAGAUGGACGUCAAAACGGCAUUCCUUAACGGCUUCCUUAAGGAAGAGUUGUAUAUGAUGCAGCCGGAAGGUUUUGUCGAUCCUAAGAAUGCUAACAAAGUAUGCAAGCUCCAACGCUCAAUCUAUGGGCUGGUGCAAGCAUCUCGGAGUUGGAACAUUCGCUUUGAUGAGAUGAUCAAAGCGUUUGGGUUUACACAGACUUAUGGAGAAGCCUGUGUUUACAAGAAAGUGAGUGGGAGCUCUGUAGCAUUUCUCAUAUUAUAUGUGGAUGAAAUACUAUGAUGGGAAAUGAUAUAGAAUUCUUGGAAAGUAUAAAGGCCUAUUUGAAUAAGUGUUUUUCAAUGAAGGACCUUGGAGAAGCUGCUUAUAUAUUAGGCAUCAAGAUCUAUAGGGAUAGAUCAAGACGCCUCAUUGGUCUUUCACAGAGUACAUACCUUGACAAGAUAUUGAAGAAGUUCAAUAUGGAUCAGUCCAAGAAGGGGUUCUUGCCUGUAUUGCAAGGUGUGCAGUUGAGCACGGCUCAAUGCCCGACCACGGCAGAAGAUAGAGAAAAGAUGAGUGUGAUCCCCUAUGCCUCGGCCAUAGGGUCUAUUAUGUAUGCCAUGCUGUGUACCAGACCUGAUGUAAACCUUGCCGUAAGUUUGGUAGGAAGGUACCAAAGUAAUCCCGGCAUGGAACACUAGACAGCGGUCAAGAAUAUCCUGAAGUACCUGAAGAGGACUAAGGAUAUGUUUCUCGUUUAUGGAGGUGACGAAGAUCUUGACUAGUCCGUCUCACGUGAUGAUCGGACACGGCCUAGUUAACUCGGAUCAUGUUUCACUUAGAUGACUAGAGGGAUGUCUAUCUGAGUGGGAGUUCAUUGAAUAAUUUGAUUAUAUGAACUUAAUUAUCAUGAACUUAGUCUAAAAUCUUUACAAUAUGUCUUGUAGAUCAAAUGGCCCACGUUGUCCUCAACUUCAACGCGUUCCUAGAGAAAACCAAGCUGAAAGAUGAUGGCAGCAACUAUACGGACUGGGUCCGGAACCUGAGGAUCAUCCUCAUAGCAGCCAAGAAAGAUUAUGUCCUAGAAGCACCGCUAGGUGAAGCACCAAUCCUAGAGAACCAAGACGUUAUGAACGCUUGGCAAUCACGUGCUGAUGAUUACUCCCUCGUUCAGUGCGGCAUGCUUUACAGCUUAGAACCGGGGCUCCAAAAGCGUUUUGAGAAGCAUGGAGCAUAUGAGAUGUUCGAAGAGCUGAAAAUGGUUUUCCAAGCUCAUGCCCGGGUCGAGAGAUAUGAAGUCUCUGACAAGUUCUUCAGCUGUAAAAUGGAGGAGAAUAGUUCUGUUAGUGAGCACAUACUCAGAAUGUCUGGGUUACACAACCGCUUGUCUCAGCUGGGAGUUAAUCUCCCGGAUGACGCGGUCAUUGACAGAAUCCUUCAGUCGCUUCCACCAAGCUACAAGAGCUUUGUGAUGAACUUCAAUAUGCAGGGGAUGGAAAAGACCAUUCCUGAGGUAUAUUCGAUGCUGAAAUCAGCGGAGGUGGAGAUCAGAAAAGAACAUCAAGUGUUGAUGGUGAAUAAAACCACUAAGUUCAAGAAGGGCAAGGGUAAGAAGAACUUCAAGAAGGACGGCAAGGGAGUUGCCGCGCCCGGUAAGCCAGUUACCGGGAAGAAGUCAAAGAAUGGACCCAAGCCUGAGACUGAGUGCUUUUAUUGCAAGGGAAGUGGUCACUGGAAGCGGAACUGCCCCAAAUACUUAGCGGACAAGAAGGCCGGCAACACCAAAGGUAUAUGUGAUAUACAUGUAAUUGAUGUGUACCUUACCAGUACUCGUAGUAGCUCCUGGGUAUUUGAUACCGGUGCGGUUGCUCAUAUUUGUAACUCAAAACAGGAACUGCGGAAUAAGCGGAGACUGGCAAAGGACGAGGUGACGAUGCGCGUCGGGAAUGGUUCCAAGGUCGAUGUGAUCGCCGUCGGCACGCUACCUCUGCAUUUACCUACGGGAUUAGUUUUAAACCUCAAUAAUUGUUAUUUAGUACCAGCUUUGAGCAUGAACAUUGUAUCUGGAUCUCGUUUAAUUCGAGAUGGCUACUCAUUUAAAUCCGAGAAUAAUGGUUGUUCUAUUUAUAUGAGAGAUAUGUUUUAUGGUCAUGCCCCGCUGGUCAAUGGUUUAUUCUUGAUGAAUCUCGAACGUGAUGUUACACAUAUUCAUAGUGUGAAUACCAAAAGAUGUAAAGUUGAUAACGAUAGUCCCACAUACUUGUGGCACUGCCGCCUUGGUCACAUUGGUGUCAAGCGCAUGAAGAAGCUCCAUGCAGAUGGACUUUUGGAGUCUCUUGAUUACGAAUCAUUUGACACGUGCGAACCAUGCCUCAUGGGUAAGAUGACCAAGACUCCGUUCUCCGGAACAAUGGAGCGAGCAACCAACUUAUUGGAAAUCAUACAUACCGAUGUGUGCGGUCCAAUGAGUGUUGAGGCUCGCGGAGGAUAUCGUUAUGUUCUCACUCUCACUGAUGACUUAAGUAGAUAUGGGUAUGCCUACCUAAUGAAACACAAGUCUGAAACCUUUGAAAAGUUCAAGGAAUUUCAGAGUGAGGUUGAGAAUCAACGUGACAGGAAAAUAAAAUUCUUACGAUCAGAUCGUGGUGGAGAAUAUUUAAGUCACGAAUUUGGUGCGCACUUAAGGAAAUGUGGAAUCGUUUCACAACUCACGCCGCCUGGAACACCUCAGCGAAACGGUGUGUCCGAACAUCGUAAUCGCACUCUAUUGGAUAUGGUGCGAUCUAUGAUGUCUCUUACCGAUUUACCGCUCUCAUUUUGGGGCUAUACUUUAGAGACUGCCGCAUUCACUUUAAAUAGGGCUCCGUCGAAAUCCGUUGAGACGACACCGUAUGAAUUAUGGUUUGGGAAGAAACCUAAGCUGUCGUUUCUAAAAGUUUGGGGAUGCGAUGCUUAUGUCAAGAAACUUCAACCUGAAAAGCUCGAACCCAAGUCAGAAAAAUGCGUCUUCAUAGGAUACCCUAAGGAAACCAUUGGGUAUACCUUCUACCUCAGAUCCGAAGGCAAGAUCUUUGUUGCCAAGAAUGCGUCCUUUCUGGAGAAAGAGUUUCUCUCGAAAGAGUUGAGUGGGAGGAAAGUGGAACUUGAUGAGGUGAUAGUCACCCCUUCCGAACCGGAGAGUAGCGCAGCGCAGGAAGAUGUUCCUGUGGUGCCUACACCGACUGGGGAGGAAGUUAAUGAUGAUGAUCAUGAAGCUUCAGAUCAAGUUACUACUGAACUUCGUAGGUCCACAAGGACACGUUCCGCACCAGAGUGGUACGGCAACCCUGUCCUGGAAAUCAUGUUGUUAGACAACGGUGAACCUUUGAACUAUGAAGAAGCGAUGGCGGGCCCGGAUUCCGACAAAUGGCUAGAAGCCAUGAAAUCCGAGAUAGGAUCCAUGUAUGAAAACGAAGUAUGGACUUUGACUGACUUGCCCGAUGAUAGGCGAGCCAUAGAAAACAAAUGGAUCUUUAAGAAGAAGACGGACGCGGAUGGUAAUGUGACCAUCUAUAAGGCUCGACUUGUCGCUAAGGGUUAUCGACAAGUUCAAGGGGUUGACUACGAUGAGACUUUCUCACCCGUAGCGAAGCUGAAGUCCUUCCGAAUCAUGUUAGCAAUUGCCGCAUACUAUGAUUAUGAGAUAUGGCAGAUGGACGUCAAAACGGCAUUCCUUAACGGCUUCCUUAAGGAAGAAUUGUAUAUGAUGCAGCCGGAAGGUUUUGUCGAUCCUAAGAAUGCUAACAAGGUAUGCAAGCUCCAGCUCUCCAUCUAUGGACUGGUGCAAGCAUCUCGGAGUUGGAACAUUCGUUUUGAUGAGAUGAUCAAAGCGUUUGGGUUUACACAGACUUACGGAGAAGCAUGUGUUUACAAGAAAGUGAGUAGGAGCUCUGUAGCAUUUCUCAUAUUAUAUGUGGAUGACAUACUAUUGAUGGAAAAUGAUAUAGAAUUCUUGGAAAGUAUAAAGGCCUAUUUGAAUAAGUGUUUUUCAAUGAAGGACCUUGGAGAAGCUGCUUAUAUAUUAGGCAUCAAGAUCUAUAGAGAUAGAUCAAGACGCCUCAUUGGUCUUUCACAGAGUACGUACCUUGACAAGAUAUUGAAGAAGUUCAAUAUGGAUCAGUCCAAGAAGGGGUUCUUGCCUGUAUUGCAAGGUGUGCAAUUGAGCACGGCUCAAUGCCCGACCACGGCAGAUAGAGAAAAGAUGAGUGUCAUCCCCUAUGCCUCGGCCAUAGGGUCUAUUAUGUAUGCCAUGCUGUGUACCAGACCUGAUGUAAGCCUUGCCGUAAGUUUGGUAGGAAGGUACCAAAGUAAUCCCGGCAUGGAACACUGGACAGCGGUCAAGAAUAUCCUGAAGUACCUGAAGAGGACUAAGGAUAUGUUUCUCGUUUAUGGAGGUGACGAAGAGCUCGUCGUAAAGGGUUACGUCGACGCUAGCUUCGACACAGAUCUGGAUGACUCGAAGUCACAAAUCGGAUACGUGUAUAUUUUGAAUGGAGGAGCAGUAAGCUGGUGCAGUUGCAAGCAAAGCGUCGUGGCGGGAUCUACAUGUGAAGCGGAGUACAUGGCAGCCUCGGAGGCAGCACAGGAAGCAGUCUGGAUGAAGGAGUUCAUUACCGACCUAGGGGUGAUUUCCAAUGCGUCGGGCCCGAUGACUCUCUUCUGUGACAACACUGGAGCUACUGCCCUUGCGAAGGAGCCCAGAUUUCACAGGAAGACCAGGCAUAUCAAGCAUCGCUUCAACUCCAUUCGUAAAAGUGUUCAAAAUGGAGACAUAGAUAUUUGUAAAGUACAUACGGACCUGAAUGUAGCAGAUCCGUUGACUAAACCUCUCCCUAGAGCAAAACAUGAUCAACACCAGGACACAAUGGGUGUUCGAUUCAUCACAAUAUAACUAGAUUAUUGACUCUAGUGCAAGUGGGAGACUGUUGGAAAUAUGCCCUAGAGGCAAUAAUAAAUGGUUAUUAUUAUAUUUCUUUGUUCAUGAUAAUUUUCUAUUGUUCAUGCUAUAAUUGUGUUAUCCGGAAAUCGUAAUACAUGUGUGAAUACAUAGACCACAACGUGUCCCUAGUAAGCCUCUAGUUGACUAGCUCGUUGAUCAACAGAUAGUCAUGGUUUCCUGACUAUGGACAUUGGAUGUCAUUGAUAACGGGAUCACAUCAUUAGGAGAAUGAUGUGAUGAACAAGACCCAAUCCUAAGCUUAGCUCAAAGAUCGUGUAGUUCGUUUGCUAGAGCUUUUCCAAUGUCAAGGAUCUUUUCCUUAGACCAUGAGAUCGUGUAACUCCCGGAUACCAUAGGAGUGCUUUGGGUGUGCCAAACGUCACAACGUAACUGGGUGACUAUAAAGGUACACUACGGGUAUCUCCGAAAGUGGCUGUUGGGUUGGCACGGAUCGAGACUGGGAUUUGUCACUCCGUAUGACGGAGAGGUAUCUCUGGGCCCACUCGGUGAUGGAUCAUCAUAAUGAGCUCAAUGUGACUAAGGAGUUAGCCACGGGAUCAUGCAUUACGGUACGAGUAAAGAGACUUGCCGGUAACGAGAUUGAACAAGGUAUUGGGAUAUCGACGAUCGAAUCUCGGGCAAGUAACAUACCGAUUGACAAAGGGAAUUGUAUACGGGAUUGAUUGAAUCCUCGACAUCGUGGUUCAUCCGAUGAGAUCAUCGUGGAGCAUGUGGGAGCCAACAUGGGUAUCCAGAUCCCACUGUUGGUUAUUGACCGGAGAGGCGUCUCGGUCAUGUUUGCAUGUCUCCCGAACCCGUAGGGUCUACACACUUAAGGUUCGGUGACGCUAGGGUUGUAGAGAUAUGAGUAUGCGGAAACCCGAAAGUUUUUCGGAGUCCCGGAUGAGAUCGCGGACGUCACGAGGAGUUCCGGAAUAGUCCGAAGGUGAAGAAUUAUAUAUAGGAAGCCCAGUUUUGGCCACCGGGAAAGUUUCAGGGGUUAUCGGUAUUGUACCGGGACCACCGGAAGGGUCCCGGGGGUCCACCGGGUGGGGCCACCUAUCCCGGAGGGCCCCAUGGGCUGAAGUGAGAAGGGAACCAGCCCUUAGUGGGCUGGGGCGCCCGCCAUGGGCCUCCCCCCAUGGGCCUCCCCCCUGCGCCUAGGGUUGGAAACCCUAGGGUGGGGGGGGCGCCCCACUUGGCUUGGGGGGAAGCCACCCCCCCUUCCCCCUUGGCCGCCGCCCCCCCAUGUAGAUGGGUUCUAGGCCGGCGCCCCCCCUCCCAGGGGGCCUAUAUAUAGUGGGGGGGAGGGAGGGCAGCAACACAACAGCCCUUGGCGCCUCCCUCCUCCCCUGCAACACCUCUCCCUCUCGCAGAAGCUUGGCGAAGCCCUGCCGAGAUCCCGUUACAUCCACCACCACGCCGUCGUGCUGCUGGAUCUCCAUCAACCUCUCCUUCCCCCUUGCUGGAUCAGACGUCGCUGCUCCGUACGUGUGUUGAACGCGGAGGUGCCGUCCGUUCGGCACUCGGUCAUCGGUGAUUUGGAUCACGGCGAGUACGACUCCAUCAACCUCGUUCAUUGGAACGCUUCCGCUCGCGAUCUACAAGGGUAUGUAGAUGCACUCCUUUCCCCUCGUUGCUAGUAUACUCCAUAUAUGGACCUUGGUGAUGCGUAGAAAAUUUUAAAAUUCUGCUACGAUCUCCAACAGUGCCGUUGCCGCGCCCGCGGCGAUGCCCACGGCCACCACGGCCACGCCCGCCUCCGGCGGCGUCAGGCGAAGCGGCAGGGGGUGCAGUGGAUGGCGAGGGAGAAGGCGGAGCGGCGCCACGCCCGGCGAAGAGCGCGUGGGCGCCCUGCAGGCGUGCGGUCUGCUCGACACGAUGCUCCUCGAGCAGCAGGAAGGAGCGCGUCUGGAGGAGCGAGGGCAGCGACGAUUGCGACGUGAUGUGAGGGAUGGCACCAUGGAACUGGCGGUUGAGCCCGCGGAGGAGGUGGAAGACUUGGCGCGGCUCGGACAUCGGCUGGCCAAGAUCGCGGAGCUGAUCAGCACACGUCUUCAGUUUAGUACAGUACUGCAUGAUCGUCAGAUCACCCUGCACCACGGCAUGGUAUUCGGCGUCGACGUAGACGGCGCGAGCGAGCUGGUUGUUGCGAAAGAUCCCGUCGAUCGCUGUCCAGACGGUGAGGGCGGUGUCGUCGUCCGCCAUCACGCCAUCCAGAAGGUCGGGGGCGACGGUGGUGUUUAGCCAAUGAACGACGGCGUGGUCCGGCAUCGCCCAGCCAGGGUCGUCGAAGCGCGGAACAGCCUCGGCGUCCACGUGAUCGCGGAGGCCGAACAUACCGAUCGCCGUGUCGAAGUGGCGGCGCCAUUGCCGUAGUUGCCGGCGAGCAAAUCGAGAGUGACGGGGACGUGACGGCGGAUGUCGAGGGUUUGCAGGACCGCCGGGGAGAGGUGGUCAGAGGCGGCGACGGAGCGGCCGCGACAGCAGGAACGCCAGCGACGGGGCGGGCCGGAGGGAGGGCAGGUGGUGCUGGGACUGGGGCAACGGCGACAGGAGCGCCAGAGCCAUCGGCAGCAGGGGAGGAAGGAGAGCUGGGGCUGUCACCCAUAGCGGCAGAAGCGGGAUCGUCGGCCGGAGCAAAGGGAUUGGUCCGGUCGCCGGUAUCUGAUACCAUGAUAAGAGGAGACUAGCUAUGAGUUUCAACGCACUUCAUUAGCUCUUCGGCUGGGGCAUAUAUACAGUUUACAGGAACCUCCAGGGAGAGGGAUCGUGCCGCACUACUGGUGAUCGUGCGCCACUAACACACGCACACGAUCACAGGUACACUAGUUGUAUACAUACACAGAUACACUACGUACACACACAUGUGGUCUAACAAAAAAAAAGGUCUACUAUGAGAAACACUCCAUGUUAACUGAUUUUUAUAAUCUUUUAAAAAAUGCGUUCAGUACGUGAUCCGAAUUCCAACAACACUCCCGCAGCACCGCCAGCACAACGCGUAUUGGACGCGUUUUUCGAUGAUGCCGGAGCGAAGCACGAUCUGGUGACCUGACCAAGGACAGGAGAGGCGGGAGAGACUGCACAUGGAUAGCAUGGGUGGUAGGAUGGGGAUUGUGGCGGCUGGAAGGGUGUGGACUAUGGUGCAGACGAAUGUGCGAUCAACGGUGCGGCCGCAGUGAUCGAUCUAGAAAAUACAGAGUGGAAAAUGGGAUGAGUUACGGUGGUCUGACCGAUCGUGCGGCAGAAGAGUCGAGAAGCGACGACUUUGUCGGCCUGGGUUCUGGUUGUUCCAGUUUUUCUUUCAGUUCUAGGUGGUUCCAGUUGCGGUGCGGAGUUGCUCUAAUCGCGCGCGGGGCAAAUUUGAACUUAUAUAUCCCACGUGUAAUGAUCUUGUGCAUCACAGGAAUUGAUCCGACGGCCAGAAACUAUUCUCAGCCAUUGGAUGGAGCAGAUCCAACGGAUGAUAAUAGAAGUUAUUCCCACACUACAGAGGGGUAUAGAUGUAUAUCGAGUAGACAGUAACAUUUCAACCAAAAAAAAAUACACAAUACUUCACAAGUCAAAUUUAAUACUCACUAUGAUACAUGUUGCCAUGUUGGCACACUUCAAUUAACAUAAAAAUAAAAACUAUAACAAAAAGUGUUACACAAGUAAAAUCGUUUACAGAAUCCAAAUUAUGAGCUCUCACAUAUAGUUAUAUACCCAUGCCUCUAUAUCCGGGAGCUUUUUCGCUCCAAGAUUCACCCACUUGGGUGAAAGCUCCUCGCCAAUUAACUGUGCAUCGCCACGCGUAUUUGUUUGGGUUCCUGGGAUGUAUGAUUUACUUGUGACUGUAUGCAUUCCUUUCAAAUUUUCUCAACGUUCUUUCCGUCACUGUUGGUGCGCAUAUCGUUUUUGUGCUGUUUGUGGGCCGUCCUGCCGUGUUGACUUCGUGUGCAUGCAGGUUGUUAGAGCAUGUCUAACAGAGCCCUCAAACUGGUCAAACCCUCAAAAAUAACUGCCAGUUUGAGGGUUGAGCAGAAAAAAGACGCAGAUCAGCACCCUCAAAUCCCUAAACCCUAAAAAAAUUCCAGGCCGAACCCUCAACUUCGAGUCCAACCUGCACUAGUGAGGGUUUGGGCCAAUUUUCCAGGCCGAACCCUCACUCGGUCAACGUCCGCACGGGAGGGAAAUUUCCCCCACCUUCCUCCCUCCUCCUCCUCCAUCCGACCUCGACNNNNNNNNNNNNNNNNNNNNNNNNNNNNNNNNNNNNNNNNNNNNNNNNNNNNNNNNNNNNNNNNNNNNNNNNNNNNNNNNNNNNNNNNNNNNNNNNNNNNNNNNNNNNNNNNNNNNNNNNNNNNNNNNNNNNNNNNNNNNNNNNNNNNNNNNNNNNNNNNNNNNNNNNNNNNNNNNNNNNNNNNNNNNNNNNNNNNNNNNNNNNNNNNNNNNNNNNNNNNNNNNNNNNNNNNNNNNNNNNNNNNNNNNNNNNNNNNNNNNNNNNNNNNNNNNNNNNNNNNNNNNNNNNNNNNNNNNNNNNNNNNNNNNNNNNNNNNNNNNNNNNNNNNNNNNNNNNNNNNNNNNNNNNNNNNNNNNNNNNNNNNNNNNNNNNNNNNNNNNNNNNNNNNNNNNNNNNNNNNNNNNNNNNNNNNNNNNNNNNNNNNNNNNNNNNNNNNNNNNAGCCCCGCCGCGUCGCCGUCCGCCCCCACCGCCGCAGUUUGCUGUUCAGUUUUGAGGGUUUGAAGGCCGGGGCGCAGAUCAGUGCCCUCAAACGAACCCUCAAAACAGAUGUUUUGAGGGUUGGUUUGAGGGCACUGAUCUGCACCAGCGAUUUUCGGCCUUUAAAAUGACAAUUUCUCAACCCUCAAACCGGUUUUGAAGGUUGAGGUUUUGAGGGUUCUGUUAGACAUGCUCUUACUCCCUUCGCGAUCCACGUGAGUGUGCUUGCGGGUCGGCGAUCGCUGCCGCUUUUACCGUGCCCUCUAGAGCCACCACUUUCCUUAAUUGGUGCCGCCUCCAUCGUUCAAUCUGGAGACCUGUCGUUGCUUCUUACUUGAUGGUUCUCGACGCCGCUUCGAUCGCUGUUCUGGUGACUUGGGAAUACUAUAAAUACGUGUGUGCUGGAUCGUACUAGGAUUCACCAGCAGAACGCCCUGGCGCACGGGAGUGCAAUCCGUCGACUCGAUCUUCGCUGCCGUGUGAGGCAACGCCGUGGCCGUCAUCAUGGACCGCGGCCGCUGCGAUGGCCAGCAGGUCAUGCACGACAUGUUCGUCGUGUUCUUCGGCUGGGCGGACGACCUAGAGGCCCUCGAGCUCGCCAGGAAGAGGGCCGAGGCGCUGAGCACCCCGGCAUGUAGAUCACCGUGGUGCGCUUCCUCGAUGGGAAGGCCGCCAGCCAGGAGCACAUGGAAGUCGCACUGCUUCCGUCCGACGCCAGGAACGGUGAGAAGAGCUACACCUUCUAACGCUUCAAGCUCUGGAUGGUCGCCGGCGACGCGACGCGGUCGACGGCCUCGACAGCUCCUCCUUUCGUCUCCCCGCGCACUUCCUCGCUCGCCGUGUAGGACGGACUGGCGGCGCCCAGGUCGCCGACUGCUGCCAGUGCCAGGACAGGCAAGCUACAUGUACGCUGAGCUCGCCAAGGAGUUGCGCGCCGCAGAGGACCGCGUCGGAGCCUCCGACGAUCUUCCCAUCCUACCCGCGGACGCUUCGAGCUCGCGACCUUCCAGGCCGACAGCGCCCCGCCGUCCCGUGUCAUCUCACCACCGACUCGACGUUGCGUUCGCCCAGGCCGUCGUCGCCUUGUCAUCCAGCGACAUCGAAGCCCUUCGGCUCGCGUCGUCGUCGUGGAGAGAUGCUAUCUCGGAGAGGCUCGAGCCGAAGCUAACGGGAGAAGGCGCCCCUGCUCCUUGACCCUGCUCCUCGGCGUCAACUGUGCGAUGGCGAGCACUCUGCACACGAUGGCUGCCUCUUCCACGCUCUCUUCGCAGUCCGCGCUGUGUCGCGCGUGUGUAUGACACCGUCGUUCCCAACUGCUCGGUACAUUCCAGGUAAGCGCCACCGCCACAUAACAGAGUCGUCUACCGCUGCAGGUAACUUCCUGUCCACCACGCCGGCAGUGCUCUUCGUGUGGUACACGAACUCUGAAGGCAAGUUCGUGCAGUGUUGCACUUCUCCUUCGGUCCUUCCUCACCGACUCCUUGUCAGCUCGAAAGCGAUAGCAGCAGCACCACCAGGGGUAUGUGCUUGCUCUCACGCCUCAGCUUAGGUGCUCCACGGUGCCACCGUUGUAUGCAGUCGUGUCUCAUUGGCUUACUUUCAUUCAGCAAACCUAGAUGUGGAUAACAUGAUGCUGAGGUUGCAAACUUUAGUUUUAGAAAUUAGAACUAAUAGCAUGCUUUCCAGUGUCGCAGUUUUAAAUUUGACUUUUGUACUGCUCUGUACAUCUUUGAAUAGAAAACACAUUGUUUAAGUGAAUAGCUUUUGAAUAGAUUGAUUUUUUCGUGUUGUUAUUUUGUAGCAUAUAUAGGCAAGUUCUUUUCCCGUCAAAAAUAAAAAAAUAGGCAAGUUCUUUCCCCUGCAAAAUAAAAUAUAAUAGGCAAGUUCUUUUGCAUGACAAAAACACUAUGGUGGUCAAAGAGAGAUGAGAAUUGGCAGGUAACCGAGUUAAUCUUGAGUUGAGAUUUCGAGGACGUAUUUUUCACCGGUUCAAUUUUGUGCAAAACAAAAAUUGCUUUGAAUUCUUGGUUCAUGGCAAGUCCGAUAGGCGUGGUGUUUAUACAUGCAUACGUGUGUGUGUGUGUAUAUAUGUACAUAUGUGUGUGUGUCUAUAUACCUAGGAUGGACCGUCUCAUUUUGCUCUCUUUUCUCUUUGGUCCGAGUACAUGCUUGGAGAGACAAGCGCAAGAGACAAGCGCAAGGAUAUGUGCGUGGCUGGAAAUAAGCCCAAGGACGUCUCACACUCAGAUUUACAUGCUUACAUAAUAAUUUACGUACCCCUAAAAAAAGAUAAUAAUUUAUAUUUCAUAAAUUGAUAUUUAUACCCCUCCGGUAAAAAAAUCUUAUGGAAGGGAGAGUCUUCUGAUUUCUUCAUUGUAAUACAUAAAUGCACCAUUGCAGUUUUAGUUCUCCCUUGGUAGUUUUGAGCUUCGAGCAAUAAGGAUAUCAAUUGUUAGUUCAGAUUUGAAGGGUGUGCAUAUAGUACAAAAAAUAUAUGCCUAAUUGGUUCUGUAUUCCUUUUUGAUAGAUUACAUGAAUUAUGGUAGCCAGCCUUUUUUGUUUGCUCUAUCUUUUCCAUUCACCCGGCGUUGGUAUUUGGUCUUCAUUUGUGUUUGCGGCAGAUGAUGGACAUCCUAGGAUGCUUUUUAUGUAAUGAUAAUAAUAAGUUUCAACAAAUGAAAGCAAGCUUUAGUCCUGCUGAAUGACUCCAACAAUAAUUUGGGUUAAACAGUAAGUGAAUAUUGUACCCUUUAUUCUGCUUGAAACUUUUCUUUUACCUUCAUUAAGCAAAAUCCUUUUUGCAUUUUGCAUAUUUUAACUUUAAGAAUCUGAUUCUUUCAGAUUUGACUAUGAUGUACCUGUUGCAUUCUUGGAAAUAUAUUUUUUCCUGCAGGUUUGUGGCAAGAUAAUAUUUCUAAGUAUGCUUUUUUGUGUACUUGGUAAUUAUUUUUCCUUCUUGUGACAUUUAUCUAUGGUCAUCAAAAACUUACGUGCACAAUAUAUUGCCUCUAUAUUAUGUUAGCUAAUAGGUGAAGAACACGUGCACCACUUGGGGAUUUGGUCGGGGAUGCUCGCUGAUGCCUUUAGCAUAUUUUUUGGCGAUUUCGUUUCUCGAUCAACUGGGUUUUUUUUUGGGGGACUCAUUGCAUGUCUGUUUAGCGGCUACGAUCUUUAUUCUUCUACAGCGCAUGCACAGAUUGGUAAUUGAUGCUGUUGACACGAUGGUGUGAGCGUGGUGUUGCCUCGCGGCUUCCUCAUAUCCGCUUGAUUUGCUUCUAGAGAGAUCGCGGGCCUUAUAUACGAGGAUUUGGUUCCAGCUACUCCCUCCAUUUGAAUUGUAGGGGGUUUCCCAAGGGCGUCGAGACGAAUUGUAGGCGUACAGUGGCUUCCCAAGGGUGUCAGACAUGAUGCGACUGCCCAAAUACCUGGACUAUUAACAUGAUGCGACUGCCCAAAUACCUGGACUAUUAACGAUAACAACUACUAUGCACUUGAGGUGGCAAAAGAAAUCUCCUUACAAUACAGAGAAGGAACGAACAAACCACUUAAAAUAAGCGGGUAGAUACCUCAGAAAACAAUCAACAACUCAAAAAAAAUGAACAAAUCAAUGGCAGUUUACGCCGUCAGUAGGUAACCACACAACAAAAUAAAUUUACAAUGCAAACAAGAAUUGAAGUAAAGAUGUGCAACAACUUUUCUGACUUGAUACGACUCUGCAUGUACCCUCACUUCAUAUAGACACACUGUAUCGACUGGCGCAGUGUGCCGCCGUGCGAGCUUUGCUAGUACUAUAUGAGAAAGUGCGACAAAUCCUCAAACAGAGACAAAGGGCAGUAGUUAUCCGAGAAGUAGUACCGCAUCGUCAAUUCUGGGCAUUAUUGCUGAUUGUUAGAAGGGAGAGAGGGAUUGGUGGAAUAGUUGUUGUUGAGCCUCGUGGGCAUAUAUAUAGGAGUACAAUGAUCUACUUGGAGUACAAGACAAGCCAGAACAAAUCCUAGUCUAUCUCAUCUUUCCUAAUAAUCACGAUACUCAACAUCCCCCGCAGUCACAACGGUAGCGAUGCAGACGGUGAGACUGGAGAAGAAUCCGAAGGCAAGCUGACGGACACCCCCCCACAGUCGUAACGGUCGAUGCAUCGCGGAGUCGUGGCUGGAGUGAAGACCGACGAGGUUGCUCAAGCAGGCGGUAGCCCUUUGUGCCGUUUGUCGAUGUAGCCGAGAGCGUGGGAGGUGGAGCCGUGGUCGAGGUGGCUGCUCGAAGAAUGUCGUGGUCGAUGUCGAGUCGGGGUAGCCGGUGUCGAGGAAGUCGCCGUGGAGCCGCGGGCGCAAGGAGGUGCCGAGUUAGUCAUGGGCGCAGUUGUGGCACCCCGGCUCAGAGCGACCGGUUUACUUUGCAUUGCCAGCCCAGAGAUCUUGUCUUCUGGCAACACACAACAACAUGGUACAGAAAAUAACCUCUUUAUUCAUGCUAGCGGAGCAUAGUUCAUAUUACAACAGUUAGCGAGGCCAAGCGGCACACACGGUGCGGCUGAACAAUAUGUACAUUAUUUAGUGAAUAUAAAGGGGGCCUCAAUCAUGACAACUACUCGGCAGCGGAACAACAUCGUAGCGGGGCUCCAUAGCACAAGGACACGGACGUGGACACGGUCUAGACUCGGACAGCAUUCCCUCCAUUUGAAUUGUAGGGGGUUUCCCAAGGGCGUCGAGAUGAAUUGUAGGCGUACAGUGGCUUCCCAAGGGUGUCAGACAUGAUGCGACUGCCAAAAUACCUGGACUAUUAACGAUAACAACUACUAUGCACCUGAGGUGGCAAAAGAAAUCUCCUUACAAUACAGAGAAGGAACGAACAAACCACUUAAAAUAAGCGGGUAGAUACCUCAGAAAACAAUCAACAACUCAAAAAAAAUGAACAAAUCAAUGGCAGUUUACGCUGUCAGUAGGUAACCACACAACAAAAUAAAUUUACAAUGCAAACAAGAAUUGAAGUAAAGAUGUGCAACAACUUUUCUGACUUGAUACGACUCUGCAUGUACCCUCACUUCAUAUAGACACACUGUAUCGACUGGUGCAGUGUGCCGCCGUGCGAGCUUUGCUAGUACUAUAUGAGAAAGUGCGACAAAUCCUCAAACAGAGACAAAGGGCAGUAGUUAUCCGAGAAGUAGUACCGCAUCGUCAAUUCUGGGCAUUAUUGCUGAUUGUUAGAAGGGAGAGAGGGAUUGGUGGAAUAGUUGUUGUUGAGCCUCGUGGGCAUAUAUAUAGGAGUACAAUGAUCUACUUGGAGUACAAGACAAGCCAGAACAAAUCCUAGUCUAUCUCAUCUUUCCUAAUAAUCACGAUACUCAACAUCCCCCGCAGUCACAACGGUAGCGACGCAGAUGGUGAGACUGGAGAAGAAUCCGAAGGCAAGCUGACGGACACCCCCCCACAGUCGUAACGGUCGAUGCAUCGCGGAGUCGUGGCUGGAGUGAAGACCGACGAGGUUGCUCAAGCAGGCGGUAGCCCUUUGUGCCGUUUGUCGAUGUAGCCGAGAGCGUGGGAGGUGGAGCCGUGGUCGAGGUGGCUGCUCGAAGAAUGUCGUGGUCGAUGUCGAGUCGGGGUAGUCGGUGUCGAGGAAGUCGCCGUGGAGCCGCGGGCGCAAGGAGGCGCCGAGUUAGUCAUGGGCGCAGUUGUGGCACCCCGGCUCAGAGCGACCGGUUUACUUUGCAUUGCCAGCCCAGAGAUCUUGUCUUCUGGCAACACACAACAACAUGGUACAGAAAAUAACCGCUUUAUUCAUGCAAGCGGAGCAUAGUUCAUAUUACAACAGUUAGCGAGGCCAAGCGGCACACACGGUGCGGCUGAACAAUAUGUACAUUAUUUAGUGAACAUAAAGGGGGCCUCAAUCAUGACAACUACUCGGCAACGGAACAACAUCGUAGCGGGGCUCCAUAGCACAAGGACACGGACGUGGACACGGUCUAGACUCGGACAGCACUCCCUUCCAUCGGGACUUUCUUGAAAUCUGGCAUGACACGCCAGGUCAGUACAUUGAAUGUACUUGCAAGCUCACAAUAAGCAUAAACAAGAUGACAGACAAUAUUAUGAUAUUUAUCCAAUUUAAUCAACCAUGCAACUAAAUAACCAACAUGAUGUGACAGUGCUUAACAGGUACUCAUUCUCCGACUUGCUUACCCGAUGUGACCAACAAACAUUAUAUUACCAACACAUACUCGUGAUCCUUACGGCGAUCACCACCCGACCAUCUCAUGGCCCGUGAUCCUUACGGCGAUCACAACCCGACCAACUCGUGGCCCGUGAUCCUUACGGCGAUCACAACCCGACCAACUCAUGUCCAACUCAACACGAUGACUCAAGGAAAUAUGCCCUAGAGGCAAUAAUAAAGUUAUUAUUUAUUUCCUUAUAUCAUGAUAAAUGUUUAUUAUUCAUGCUAGAAUUGUAUUAACCGGAAACUUGAUACAUGUGUGAAUACAUAGACAAACAGAGUGUCACUAGUAUGCCUCUACUUGACUAGCUCGUUGAUCAAAGAUGGUUAUGUUUCCUAGCCAUGGACAUGAGUUGUCAUUUGAUUAACGGGAUCACAUCAUUAGGAGAAUGAUGUGAUUGACUUGACCCAUUCCAUUAGCUUAGCACUCGAUCGUUUAGUAUGUUGCUAUUGCUUUCUUCAUGACUUAUACAUGUUCCUAUGACUAUGAGAUUAUGCAACUCCCGUUUACCGGAGGAACACUUUGUGUGCUACCAAACGUCACAACGUAACUGGGUGAUUAUAAAGGUGCUCUACAGGUGUCUCCAAAGGUACUUGUUGGGUUGGCGUAUUUCAAGAUUAGGAUUUGUCACUUCGAUUAUCGGAGAGGUAUCUCUGGGCCCACUCAGUAAUACACAUCACUAUAAGCCUUGCAAGAAUUGUAACUAAUGAGUUAGUUGCGGGAUGAUGUAUUACGGAACGAGUAAAGAGACUUGCCGGUAACGAGAUUGAACUAGGUAUCGAGAUACCGACGAUCGAAUCUCGGGCAAGUAACAUACCGAUGACAAAGGGAACAACGUAUGUUGUUAUGCGGUCUGACCGACAAAGAUCUUCGUAGAAUAUGUGGGAGCCAAUAUGAGCAUCCAGGUUCCGCUAUUGGUUAUUGACCGGAGAGGUGUCUCGGUCAUGUCUACAUAGUUCUCGAACCCGUAGGGUCCGCACGCUUAACGUUACGAUGACGGUUAUAUUUUGAGUUUAUGUGUUUUGAUGUACCGAAGGAGUUCGGAGUCCCGGAUGAGAUCGGGGACAUGACGAGGAGUCUCGAAAUGGCCGAGACGUAAAGAUCAAUAUAUUGGACGACUAUAUUCGGACAUCGGAAAAGUUUCGAGUGAUUCGGGUAUUUUUCGGAGUACCGGAGAGUUACGGGAAUUCGUAUUGGGCCUUAAUGGGCCAUACGGGAAAGGAGAGAAAGGCCCCAAAGGGUGGCCGCACCCCUCCCCAUGGACUAGUCCAAAUUGGACUAGGGAGGGGGGGCGCCCCUUCCUUCCUUCUCCUUCUCCCUUCCCUUCUCCUACUCCAACAAGGAAAGGAGGAGUCCUACUCCCGGUGGGAGUAGGACUCCCCCCUUGGCGCGCCCUCCUCCUAGGCCGGCCGCCUCCCCCCUUUCUCCUUUAUAUAAGGGGGCAGGGGGGCACCCCAUAGACACAACAAUUGAUCUAUUGAUCUCUUAGUCGUGUGCGGUGCCCCCCUCCACCAUAUUACACCUCGAUAAUAUCGUAGCUGUGCUUAGGCGAAGCCCUGCAUCGGUAGAACAUCAUCAUCGUCACCAUGCCGUCGUGCUGACAAAACUCUCCCUCAACACUCGGCUGGAUCGGAGUUCGAGGGACGUCAUCGAGCUGAACGUGUGCUGGACUCGGAGGUGCCGUACGUUCGGUACUUGAUCGGUCGGAUCGUGAAGACGUACGACUACAUCAACCGUGUUGUGUUAACGCUUCCGCUAUCGGUCUACGAGGGUACGUGGACAACACUCUCCCCUCUCGUUGCUAUGCAUCACCAUGAUCUCGCGUGUGCGUAGGAAAUUUUUUUGAAAUUACUACGUUCCCCAACAAUGACCUCACUGUCAUCCUUAGUGCAAUUUAGUGUGCAUAUUAAUUAAGUGUUGACCCAUGGUGUACCUUACUUUCGAGCGUGUCCGUAUCCGUGGACUCGGCUAUCGAUAGAUUAAAAACACUCUGUAGAGGUUAGUACACUGUACCCACACUACGUAACCCAUGGCCCCACUCUCCCAUCCGAGUGGACCAACAGCGUUCUGACGAAACCAUUCCAGUGUCAUGACACUCUCCCAGCCCCUCCGAUUCAGACCCCACUGGGCUAGUCCUGGGUGGCCCCGUGUCUACCUCCAGACACCUCGACCACCGUCGUGGCCACGAUACACACUGGGAUCCGGUACCAAACUUAACUUAACAACGGGCUCACAAGGUUAUGCUUGCCUACCGGGAGAGGGUACAGCACGCCCAUAACCUUCCCUAAAUUGAGGUACCGACCAGAGGCACGACAAUGAAACGCAUUAAGGCCGUCCCAUACCGGCAAGUGUGGUUGCACUGGGAAAGACUCGUUUCAGCGGCACCAGGACCCGGUCAACAACAUGUUCAAGUUGAAUAUUAAUCAGGUUCAACUUUUAAUGUGAAAAGAAAAUAACCGGUGUCAUACUGCCAUACCAUGCAUCACUUAACAUAUGCACCACAUAACCACGCAAAACUGCACCAACUACGCUCCCACGGAGCCAACAUAAACUCAUGCUACUAUACUGGUUAAAACCUUUCUUAACUCAUACCAGAACUAUUUCUAGCAAUUAUCAUCAUUUUACCUCAUGCAAAAAUAAUAUUCAAAUUACUCAUCAAACUUUAUGACCAUAUUAUUUAUUUAUCACUAACAACUAAGUUCUCAUCAUCCUACCAACAAUAUUUGCUUUAAACCUACUGAAGUUCAAGCAUUUUAACAUAACAAGCAUAUAACAGAAUAGAUUCAUUAUAUAACUAAUUUAAAUGCAUUAAUAUUCAUAAGUUCAAGUAUGAGAAUCAUAAAUAUUGAAGUGGCACCAUGAAAAUGUUACUGUGGCUUGCCUUAGUACUGAUGAGGGUCACAAGGCUCCUGGUGAUCCUCAAGACAAGCUGGUUCCUCUGAAAAAUAUUCAAAAACCACAAUUGAAAAUAUCAAGAAACCUUCUGAAAAUUGCCAGAAAAUCUAGACAGCAAGGAAAAAUCCCAUCUUUUGGGAGCUCUUAGGUUUUUGGACAAAGAACACAAUGCAAAAAGAAUCACUGCAUUUGGACAUGUAGAAUAAAAAUUAUGCCUGUUUGAAUGCUACUGGAAUUUAAAUGAAUUUGAAAAAAGAAAAACAGAGAGGGGGUGACGUCGAUGGCGUAUUUUCCCGGGGCGCCACCACUCAUACCGCUUCGCGCGCGUUAUGAGUGGCUGACUAGCGGGCUCCGCUAGUCAGGCCGGAGGGAGGGGGAAAGAAACAGAGAGGCGCAGCGCUUCGCCGGAGCUUACGCCGGCGUUGAGGCAUCUUGGAGGGAAACGAGAGGGAGGGAUCGACGGAGAAGGUUCUUGCGCACCUGCCCGUACCCGUGGCGUGGCAAACGGUGACCGGACGGCGUCGGAUUCUUCCUGGCAAGCGGAGGCAGGACACGGUGGUCGCCGGAGAUGAGGAAGACGGCGGCUAGGGGCGGCUCCAGGGGCUCGGGCUUGGCUCGUUAGCUUCACGGAGGAGAGGCGGAGGCCCUGGCGGGGUCGCCUCGGCUUGGGAGUGGCCGGAGCUGCGGGGUCGAUCCAGAGGGGAUCGCCGGCAAGCUCGGCUCGGGGACGGCAGCCCGCGGCCUGCCCGGCCGGGCUGCGGCUUCUAGUGGCUAUAGGAGAGACAGGUGGUGAGUUGCGAUGCUCCAGGAGGCUGCGGAGGGGGGGUUUUAUAGGCGGGGCAGCGAGGAGGGCUCAGGCUCCGCCGGAGGAGAGCUGUCACCGGCGCCCGGCGACGAAUGGUGCCAGAGAGAGGGAGAAGGCGACAGGGUUCACGCGGGAGCUGUGCACAGACGCGAACGAGCACAUGAGCGAGGAGGAAAGGGACGAACACAGUGCGCGGGCACUGUGCCGUUGGCUGGACUGUGCCCGUGCUCGCUGCGGCGAGCUCCGGCGUCAGCGAGCGGCAGGGAGGAGUAAAGGAGGUGGAGACGAGGAUGGUGGCGAGGGGGACACGCCCUGGCUGGCCGAGCAGCGUGCACGCGCGCCACAGAGGCGCUGGCGACGCGCAGAGCGCGCGUUUGGCAUGCCAGCACCCUCGAAUGAACGCGGUCACCGCGUGGACCGUGACAUCAGGCCACAUAUGCACUAACCAGGAUGUCUGGCGUGUAGUCCUUAGUAACUUUAGGUGUUACCAUGGCUCGGUUGGUUUCCAGGUGCAGUAGAAGUGAAAUGGUGAAGAUGUUUAGUUACUGGACAGAAACUUUGGACUGUUACUGUUACUGGGGUUUUACUGACUCUUACUAAGGUGAAUAAGCACAGGGAAAACCAGCUACAAUGGAGCUAGUAAAAACGUAGUUGCUGUAGAAACUACCAAUUCAGCCCAGAAGUGAAAAUAUUUUUUGUUGCAAAAAUACUCCAAAAAGUGGUGAAAUAUUUUUGCUCAGAAAUUUGCCCUAGGGUCCAAAGAAUAUUUGGGAUUUUUCUCAGGAUUUUUGGGGCAACGGAAAUGAGGGUUGCUUUGGAGGUCAAAGAUUUUAGCUAGGGUUUAGGAGGCAAAAUGAAUAUUUUUCAUUUAAGAAAAAUAUUCCAAGCAAUAUUGUUGGGUUGGCCAGGGGUGAAAUGAUGGAUUAGAAGAGGAGAGGGGGCACUUGGGUGAAAAUCAAGGGAUACCCAAGUGAUCAAGUCCAAAUGGAAUGAUUCAAAAACUCCAAAUCCAAACCAACUCAGUUGAAAACCAAGCAAAGAAAAGAGGGCAAAAACCAGGCUGUGACAAACCUCCCCCACUUAGAAUGAAUCUCGUCCUCGAGAUUCGGUUGCUUGGGAAAACCAUUCUGGAUAACAUGCCCUUAGAAAUUCUUCUGAUUCCCAGGUUGAUUCUGACUCGGUAUGAUGCAUCCAUUGAACCUUGUAAAAUUUCCGUGACUUACUGCGAGUAACUCUUUCCAUCUGAUCCAAAAUUUUCACUGGCCUCUCUUCGUAGGUCAAAUCCUUUGCCAGCUCUAUUUCUGCCAAAUCGGUCUUUUUCUCGGGUGGUGAGAUGCACCGUCGCAGUUGUGAAACGUGGAACACGUUGUGCACGUCGGAUAGUUCCGGAGGCAGUUCCAACUGAUAUGCCACAGCACCUACUCGUGUCAUGACGGGAAAUGGACCAAUAAACCUGGGUGCCAACUUUCCACGGGUUUGGAACCUUCUUACUCCCUUCAUGGGUGUGACUCGAAGGUAGACAUGUUCUCCGGGUUCAAAACUGAUAUGCCGGUGCUUUGCGUCGUAAUAACAUUUCUGUCACAAUUUGGCCAGUUGUAGUCUGUCUCAGAUCUCUUUGACUUGCUUUUCGGCUUCCAGCAUGAGAUCUGUUCUGAAAAUACUGCUGUCGCCGGUUUGAGACCAAUUUAAUGGAGUGCGGCACUUACGGCCAUACAAAGCUUCAUAAGGUGACAUCUUUAAACUGGUCUGGAACCCAUUGUUAUACGAGAACUCGGCGUACGGCAAGCAAUCUUCCCAUUGUGGUCCUUGGGCUAAUACACAGGCUCGGAGCAUAUCUUCGAGUAUCUGAUUUACUCUUUCCGUUUGCCCAUUCGUCUGAGGAUGAUAAGCAGUGUUGUAUUUUAAUUCCGUCCCAAGGGCUUGAUGGAGACGGGUCCAGAAAGCAGAGGUGAAAAGUGAACCUUGGUCAGUAGUGAUGGUUCUGGGAACUCCAUGUAAACUGAAAAUCCUGGAUACAUACAGUCGGGCAAGCUCAUCUGCUCGGUAUGAGGUUUUGACUGGGAGGAAGUGAGCCACCUUGGUUAAUGUAUCCACUAUGACCCAGAUCGCAUUAUUGCCUCGUCGGGUCCUGGGUAAUCCUGUGAUGAAAUCCAUACAGACAUCAUCCCAUUUCCAUUGUGACACGGGCAGUGGUUGGAGAAGUCCGGCUGGUUUCUGAUAUUCCGCCUUAACCUUGUUGCAGAUGUCGCAACAGGCCACGAAAUAAGCAAUGUCUUUCUUCAUUCCACCCCACCAGAAUAUUUGUCGAAGUUCUUCAUACAUUUUUGUGCCUCCAGGGUGGAUUGAAUACGAGGACUCGUGUGCUUCUGGAAAAAAAUUCUGCUUUAGGUCAGCUUGAUUAGGCACACAAAUCCUUCCCCUGAAUCGGAGGGUACCGUACCGAUCCUUCGAGAAAUCGGAUGACUUGAUGCGUUUCUGCAGUUUGGCAUCGCCUGGCUGGGCCUUGCAGAUUUAUUCCUCGAGAGUAGGAGUGACCGUCAGAAUAUUGGCAAGACCAGCCUCAACAAUGACCAGGUUGAGCUGAGAAAUUUCUUCUUUGAGUUCGGAAGGCAGAGAUUCCAACAUGACGUUUAAACUGACGGGCUUUCGACUGAGUGCAUCGGCAACCACGUUGGCCUUACCCGGAUGGUAAUUUAUUCCAAUAUCAUAAUCCUUGACCAACUCUAGCCAUUUUCGCUGACGGAGGUUUAAAUCUGGCUGAGUAAAUAUGUAUUUGAGACUUUUGUGGUCGAUAAAAAUUUGGCACCUUUUUCCAAUGAGGUAGUGUCUCCAAAUUUUUAAAGCAUGAACCACUGCGGCCAAUUCCAAAUCAUGAGUGGGGUAAUUGCCUUCAUGGGGUCGUAGCUGCCGUGAGGCGUAGGCUACUACCUUGCCAUCUUGCAUAAGCACGCACCCAAGUCCUUGCCGGGAAGCGUCACAAUAUACGUCAAAGCUGCGGUAGAUAUCUGGAAGUGUUAAUACCGGCGCAGUUGUUAAGCGCUCCUUUAACUCGGUGAAACUUUUCUCACAGUCUGACAUCCAUUCAAACUUCUUAUCCUUUUUAAGCAACUCCGUCAUGGGUUUAGCAAUCUUGGAGAACCCUUCAAUAAAUCAACGGUAAUAUCCGGCUAAUCCAAGAAAACACCGGAUCUGAGACACGGUGGCGGGUGGCAACUAGUCGAGCAUGUCUUUUACUUUGCUUGGGUCCACGGCUAUUCCUUCAGCGGAUAGUAUAUGCCCGAGGAAUCCAACUUGCUUGAGCCAAAACUCGCAUUUGCUGAACUUGGCGAACAACUGGUGCUCACGGAGUCGUUGUAGCACUGCGCGGAGGUGUCCUUUAUGCUCUUCUUCAUUUCUUGAGUAAAUAAGUAUAUCAUCGAUGAAGACGACCACGAACUUAUCAAGGAAAUCCAUGAACACUUUUUUCAUCAUGUGCAUGAAGAAGGCAGGGGCGUUGGUGAGGCCGAAGGACAUAACGGUAUAUUCAUAAAGACCGUAGCGAGUGGUGAACGCGGUCUUGGGAAUAUCCUCCUUUUUAAUUUUGAGCUGGUAUAUCCAGUCCGCAAAUCAAUCUUCGAGAAGACCUUGGCUCCACUGAGUUGAUCAAACAAAUCAUCAAUUCUUGGCAGAGGGGAUUUGUUCUUGAUCGUGACAUCAUUCAACUGUCGGUAAUCCACACACAUGCGAAGGCUGCCAUCUUUCUUGUCCACAAAAAUAGCGGGUGAUCCCCAUGGCGAGGAACUGGGGCGGAUAUAUCCUUUUUGGAGCAUUUCAUCGAGCUGUUUCUUUAGCUCCACCAACUCGGAUGACGGCAUUCGAUAAUAUUUCUUGUGUAUGGGUGUGGUUCCAGGCACAAGAUCUAUUGCAAACUCAAGCUCUCGGUCAGGUGGCAUGCCUGGCAGUUCUUCUGGGAAUACAUCGGGAAACUCACUGACCACUGGAAUUACUUCCAUUUCUGCUAUUGUUGUAAAAACCAUUUCCUUGGAGGGUAUGCUUCUAUGAGCAAUAAACUUGGUAGCUUGUCCAUCUUGUCCAGUCAAAUUGACUUCCCGGGUCGCACAAUUUAUGCAUACUUGGUACUGAGUCAGCCAAUUCAUACCCAAGAUGACAUCCAAUUUUUCAGACUCAAUCAGUAUCAGAGACGUCGGGAAACGGAUCUCGUUGAUCCUGACUUCCAGAUUGCGGCAGACAAGAUUGCUUUGAAUAAUAGAUCUCGGGGUUUGUACCAGCAUAUUCUUGCCCAAAAGCGAACAAGGAAAAUUGUUUUGGGCGACAAAACUCCGAGAAAUAAAAGAGUGGGAAGCCCCAGAGUCAAAUAAAAUUACUACAGGUAUGCUAUUAACAGGGAACAUACCAAUGACGACUUCGGGAUUUUCUUGGGCUUCGUCGGCUGAAAUGUGAUGAACGUAUCCCGUGACGUCGUGCUGACUUGGACCGGCUUCCAAAUAAUGGAUUUGAGGCUUGAACGUAGCAUUUGUCCAAGUGUUCUUGGGACACUGUUUGGCAUAAUGUCUGGUUUGUCCGCAACUAUAACAGGAAUUGUUGCGCAGACGAUUCUCCAUAAUUGGGUUGAGCACAUCAUUCUUCACUUGGGUGGUGGUCUUGUUAACAUUUUGUUGCCAACUGGGCUGGUAUGCCAUCGGAGCUGGCUGCCAGGUACGAACCUUCUGCACUGGCUGCAUUUCCUUCUUGGGCUCAAAUUUGCGUUUGUGAUCGUUAUGGGCAGACUUAGUAUCUGACACGAGCUUGUGUUCCCUCCCAGCAAUGAAAGCCUUGUUCACCAAAGUUUGAAAAUCUGGAAAUCGAACAUACUGAGAGCACAGCGAAGUUGCGGGUUUAAUCCACCAAGAAAGCGGUCCAUCUUCCUUUCUUCAGUGGCCACGUCAUAUUGAGAGUAACGUGACAGGUGAUUGAAUUUUUGUAAAUAUUCUCCCACUGACUGACUUCCUUGGAGGAGCGCGAGACAUUCACGCUGCUUAGUCUUCAUAAUUCCCGCAGGGAUGUGAUAUUUUCGGAACUGCUCCUUGAAUCUUGACCAGGUAAUUGCUUCAUUCUCAGUCCCUAUGGCUUUCUCAUUUUUCCCACCAUAUGGCAGCAGCGCCUUCCAGAUAAUGUGUUACAAACGGAACUUUAUCUUCUUCAUCAGUUCGAGCAACCUCAAGUUUCUUUUCCAUAGUCCUUAACCAAUCAUCUGCAUCCAAGGGAUCAACGGCCUGGGAGGCUUAGUUCUUUGAAAAUCAGAUAGUUUGGAGUGAGAGGCAGGCUGAUUUCCAUUCUGUCCAACCAUUGCUUGAAUACUUCUGAAUAUUUCCAUUAGAUCAUUGUUUCUUCGUUCCUCGAACAUACGCAUAAUUUGCUCGGUGGAGGGCGGAUUUGGCGGUGGAGGCGGUGGUGGAACGUACGGCUCGGGUGCUUGUCCUGCCUGUCGUGCGGAAUGCCGAACAGGAGAACCCUCGCGAACGUUGCUACUGCAGCCUCCCCGCGUCAUCCUAAUAUGAUUUUUCCCAAGUCAACGCAACCGAGAUGAGAAGCAUUCAAUAAAAACUGGGGAGAAGCCAGCAACAAAAAUCAAGCGAAACCGAAAAGACGAAGAAAAUGCGGCGAAUAAAACAAAGUCCAGCAUAAUUAUACAUAGACUCAUACAUGAAAGAUAAAAACAUGCCAGGUCCAACUACCCUCAUACAUGAAACGAAACAGCAUGACUAGUACGAUUACAACCAUACUCCAUCCCGACGACUGAGAAUACACGAAAGCUCUACUGCUCGGCUGGCGCUGCGGGGUCCUCUCCUGAUGCAGACUCAGAUCCGGAACUAACGGGGUUAACGGAGACCUCCGGGUUAAAAGUGACACGACGACGCUGCCUCGAGGGCUCUCCCUCUGGGGCAGGUGAAGGGCGGAUCAUCGGGGCUGCAGGAGUGGUGAGGAGUGAAACCCACUCUGCAGGAGCACUAAGGGGACUCGCAGUCGCGGUGCCCGAGCUACUCGGGGGAGUAACUGGAGAAACAGGGGAUCUAGAACUGGCAGGAAUGUAGGGAAUAAAUCCCACAGAUGGAGAAGUAGUGGCUGAGCGAGCAGUGACUAGAGUAGAGGCUAAAGCAGUACGGGCACGACUCAGCUCACGAGCCAGCUCGUAGAUCAAAAGAUAGCUAGCAGUGAUGUAGCGAGAAAGGUGGCUAGCGACACUAUCGGACACCGGAUCAAUGACAGAGAAUCGGACACUACCAUUAUCGUGGAGAGAAAGGUAGUAAUGGAAACCUGGGUGAAUCUGCAUCCGGACCUCGUUGUAGCGGAGCUCAACAAGUACCUCGGAUGCAGCAAACUGGACAGCCUGAGAAGCGGAAGAAGCGUAGCCGCUACGAGUACGAGUGUAAGAACUGGAAUCGGAACUGGUGCGCAGAGUAACCACGGCGUGAUACUCAUACACUGAGUCAGCUAGGCGCACCCGGUACACACGAUAGACUGGAUCGUCUCCGUGAGGGUACAGCCGAUGCCACACGUUGCGAAGGAGAUGCGGCGACGUGUACGGCAUCAGCCGCAACUGGCACGGAUACAACUCCUGAGCCAUCUACACUCACAACCAUUAGCAGAUUAGCAUAGAAAAAUAUAAUCAGUGCAUGCAAUGCAAAAACCAGCUACAGUCAUUACCGACACUCAGCUACAACUCGUAUCUAGCGUCCAGUUAACUCGGCUUAGUCUAGCGUGGCCUAUAGUCAGCGCGGCUCUGAUACCAAGCGUUGUGGCACCCCGGCUCAGAGCGACCAGUUUACCUUGCAUUGCCAGCCCAGAGAUCUUGUCUUCUGGCAACACACCACAACAUGGUACAGAAAAUAACCGCUUUAUUCAUGCUAGCGGAGCAUAGUUCACAUUACAAUAGUUAGCGAGGCCAAGCGGCACACACGGUGCGGCUGGACAAUAUGUACAUUAUUUAGUGAACAUAAAGGGGGCCUCGAUCAUGACAACUACUCGGCAGCGGAACAACGUCGUAGCGGGGCUCCAUAGCACAAGGACACCGACAUGGACACGGUCUAGACUCGGACAGCACUCCCUUCCAUCGGGACUUUCCUGAAAUCUGGCAUGACACGCCAGGUCAGUACAUUGAAUGUACUUGCAAGCUCACAAUAAGCAUAAACAAGAUGACAGACAAUAUUAUGAUAUUUAUCCAAUUUAAUCAACCAUGCAACUAAAUAACCAACAUGAUGUGACAGCGCUUAACAGGUACUCAUUCUCCGACUUGCAUACCCGGUGUGACCAACAAACAUUAUAUUACCAACACAUACUCGUGAUCCUUACGACGAUCACCACCCGACCAUCUCAUGGCCCGUGAUCCUUACGGCGAUCACAACCCGACCAACUCAUGUCCAACUCAACACGAUGACCUCACUGUCAUCCUUAGUGCAAUUUAGUGUGCAUAUUAAUUAAUUGUUGACCCAUGGUGUACCUUACUUUCGAGCGUGUCCGUAUCCGUGGACUCAGCUAUCGAUAGAUUAAAAACACUCUGCGGAGGUUAGUACACUGUACCCACACUACGUAACCCAUGGCCCCACUCUCCCAUCCGAGUGGACCAACAGCGUUCCGAUGAAACCAUUCCACUGUCAUGACACUCUCCCGGCCCCUUCGACUCAGACCCCACUGGGCUAGUCCUGGGUGGCCCCGUGUCUACCUCCAGACACCUCGACCACCGUCGUGGCCACGAUCCACACUGGGAUCCGGUACAAAACUUAACUUAACAACGGGCUCACAAGGUUAUGCUUGCCUACCGGGUCAGGGUACAGCACGCCCAUAACCUUCCCUAAAUUGAGGUACCGACCAUAGGCACGACAAUGAAACGCAUUAAGGCCGUCCCAUACCGGCAAGUGUGGUUUCACUGGGAAAGACUCGUUUCAGCGGCACCACGACCCGGUCAACAACAUGUUCAAGUUGAAUAUUAAUCAGGUUCAACUUUUAAUGUGAAAAGAAAAUAACCGGUGUCAUACUGCCAUACCAUGCAUCACUUAACAUAUGCACCACAUAACCACGCAAAACUGCACCAACUACGCUCCCACGGAGCCAACAUAAACUCAUGCUACUAUACUGGUUAAAACCUUUCUUAACUCAUACCAGAACUAUUUCUAGCAAUUAUCAUCAUUUUACCUCAUGCAAAAAUAAUAUUCAAAUUACUCAUCAAACUUUAUGACCAUAUUAUUUAUUUAUCACUAACAACUAAGUUCUCAUCAUCCUACCAACAAUAUUUGCUUUAAACCUACUGAAGUUCAAGCAUUUUAACAUAACAAGCAUAUAACAGAAUAGAUUCAUUAUAUAACUAAUUUAAAUGCAUUAAUAUUCAUAAGUUCAAGUAUGAGAAUCAUAAAUAUUGAAGUGGCACCAUGAAAAUGUUACUGUGGCUUGCCUUAGUACUGAUGUGGGUCACAAGGCUCCUGGUGAUCCUUAAGACAAGCUGGUUCCUCUGAAAAAUAUUCAAAAACCACAAUUGAAAAUAUCAAGAAACCUUCUGAAAAUUGCCAGAAAAUCUAGACAGCAAGGAAAAAUCCCAUAUUUUGGGAGCUGUUAGAUUUUUGGACAAAGAACACAAUGCAAAAAGAAUCACUGCAUUUGGACUUGUAGAAUAAAAGUUAUGGCUGUUUGAAUGCUACUGGAAUUUAAAUGAAUUUGAAAAAGAAAAACAGAGAGGGGGUGACGUCGAUGGCGUAUUUUCCCGGGGCGCCACCACUCAUACCGCUUCGCGCGCGUUAUGAGUGGCUGACUAGCGGGCUCCGCUAGUCAGGCCGGAGGGAGGGGGAAAGAAAGAAAGAGGCGCCGCGCUUCGCCGGAGCUUACGCCGGCGUUGAGGCAUCUUGGAGGGAAACGAGAGGGAGGGAUCGACGGAGAAGGUUCUUGCGCACCUGCCCGUACCCGUAGCGUGGCAAACGGUGACCGGACGGCGUCGGAUUCUUCCUCGCAAGCGGAGGCAGGACAUGGUGGUCGCCGGAGAUGAGGAAGACGGCGGCUAGGGGCGGCUCCAGGGGCUCGGGCUUGGCUCGUUAGCUUCACGGAGGAGAGGCGGAGGCCCUGGCGGGGUCGCCUCGGCUUGGGAGUGGCCGGAGCUGCGGGGUCGAUCCAGAGGGGAUCGCCGGCGAGCUCGGCUCGGGGACGGCAGCCCGCGGCCUGCCCGGCCGGGCUGCGGCUUCUAGUGGCUAUAGGAGAGAGAGGUGGUGAGUUGGCGAUGCUCCAGAAGGCUGCGGAGGGGAGUUUUAUAGGCGGGGCGGCGAGGAGGGCUCGGGCUCCGCCGGAGGACAGCUGUCGCCGGCGCCCGGCGACGAAUGGUGCCAGAGAGAGGGAGAAGGCGACGGGGUUCACGCGGGAGCUGUGCACGGACGCAGACGAGCACAGGAGCGAGGAGGAAAGGGACGAACACAGUGCGCGGGCAUUAUGCUGUUGGCCGGACCGUGCCCGUGCUCGCUGCGGCGAGCUCCGGCGUCGGCGAGCGGCAGGGAGGAGUAAAGGAGGUGGAGACGAGGAUGGUGGCGAGGGGGGACACGCCUUGGCUGGCCGAGCAGCGUGCACGCGCCACAGAGGCGCUGGCGACGCGUAGAGCGCGCGUUUGGCAUGCCAGCACCCUCGGACGAACGCGGUCACCGCAUGGACCGUGACAUCAGGCCACAUAUGCACUAACCAGGAUGUCUGGCUUGUAUUACUUAGUAACUUCAGGUGUUACCACGGCUCGGUUGGUUUCCAGGUGCAGUAGAAGUGAAUUGGUGAAGAUGUUUAGUUACUGGACAGAAACUUUGAACAGUUACUGUGGUCAAACCACAGUGAUUCAAGGGCUGAUCUUUGGGGUUUUACUGACUCUUACUAAGGUGAAUAAGCACAGGGAAAACCAGCUACAAUGGAGCUAGUAAAAAGGUAGUUGCUGUAGAAACUACCAAUUCAGCCCAGAAGUGAAAAUAUUUUCUGUUGCAAAAAUACUCCAAAAAGUGGUGAAAUAUUUUUGCUCAGAAAUUUGCCCUAGAGUCCAAAGAAUAUUUGGGAUUUUUCUCAGGAUUUUUGGGGCAACAGAAAUGAGGGUUGCUUUGGAGGUCAAAGAUUUUAGCUAGGGUUUAGGAGGCAAAAUGAAUAUUUUUCAUUUAAGAAAAAUAUUCCAAGCAAUAUUGCUGGGUUGGCCAGGGGUGAAAUGAUGGAUUAGAAGAGGAGAGGGGGCACUUGGGUGAAAAUCAAGGGAUACCCAAGUGAUCAAGUCCAAAUGGAAUGAUUCAAAAACUCCAAAUCCAAACCAACUCAGUUGAAAACCAAGCAAAGAAAAGAGGGCAAAAACCAGGCUGUGACAGCAGUGGUGUCGAAGUAGUGGUGCGCCAGGAAGUAGAUGAUGUUGACGACUCGUCGUGUCGGGGUUGCCAACCCCGGGGACACAUCGUAGACGAAGGUACGCGUCGGUGUUGCCAGCACCGGGCAUGCGUAGACGGACGAAGACGAAGUUGACGAAGCGCCGCACCAGGCUUGCCAGGCCCGGGGACACAUCGUGGACGAAGGCACGCGGCGGUGUUGCCAGCACCGGGCAUGCGUAGACUGGGACCUGCACGAGCUGUACGCCAUGUCGAAGAAGUCGGAGAGGCUAGCAGAGAAGGACUCGACGACGGUUGCGGCUCCAAUCGGAGCGGGGCCAAUGUCGCCCGUAGUUGUCGGAGUAGAUGAAGCGGUCGGGGUAGAUGACGGCGAUGCUGGCGACGGGCUGGUGCUGGACGAAGACGACAGGGGUGGACGGGCGGCUGCAGCGGCUACGGGGGUAGCGGCGGCGGCGACCGAAGAAGAGUGGUGGCGGCGGCCUGAUGGCGGCGGCGGCGGCUACGGGGGGAGCACGGCGGUGAUGCUCGAAGUAGGCGAAGAACCCUGACGGCGUGACGAAGACCGUCGCGGACGGUGGCGUUCCCGCGCCAAGGGAGAUGGCACGGCGCAUACCACGGAAAGUCGACGCGCGAUGACGGCGGAGUGGACCGCGGGCUGCGACGCUACGGCCCGAAGGGGCGAAGCGGCGGCGGCAGGACGGUCGGGGCGACGGCGGGAAGACCUUGGGGCGGCGACGGGAACCGCGGGCCGCGACGCUGCGGCCUGAAGGGGCAACACAACGGCGGUUCGCGAGUCGGUGCAGCCGCGGGGACGGCCUCGGGACGGCGGCGGGGAUCGCGUAUCGCGACACUACGGCCCGAAGGGGCGUCGCAGCGGCGACGCACGGGUCGAUGCAGCCGCGAGGAGAACCAUGGGGCGGCGGCGCCGCGGCCCGACGGGGCGACGCAGCGGCAGCCCAAUGCUCGAUCGGUGGAGAGGCGCGCUGUACUCGGGGACGAUCUUCACGGGACCUGCGGAGGCGCGCGUAACCGACGGGCCAGGUCGGUCGCGCGGCGUAGAUGAGGCGGAUCGCCGCGGCGAGCGGGUGAUCAAGUCGAUCACGCGCGAGGUCGGGGACGGCACUCGGUGGAGACGUGGUGGCGGCGGUGUCCGAGAUGAAGCCGGCGACGACGGACGGUGUGAGACGUCGUGCGGACGAGCUUGUCAGCACCGGCACCCGGGCUGCCAAAGCAACGCCGGCGCCCGGGCAGUGAGGCCCGAGCGACCAACGGAGCAGCGGCGCCCGAGUUGAGGCAGCCGACAAGCCUGACGCAGCCGUCCCGACGCAGCCGAGGACGAGGCCGGCGAGGUAGACCGCCGGGCCGCCGUGCAGACGCGGCGGAGGCGGGUGAUGUGGAUCGAUGGGCGGGCCGGCGCGCGAGCGACGACUAUGAUUGGCCGUCGCAUGGCGCGUGGCCGCCGGAUCGGGGCGAUGCAGGUGUCCCGGUCGGAGCAGGGCGGUGACGGCCGGCGCAGGGCGACGGGCGGACCGACGCGCGGACGACAGCUGGCCCUGACGGGCCGCCUCGGCGCGUGUGGCCGCCGGGUCGGAGGAGAGGCCGGUGGGUCACGCCGGGGUUGGAGUAGAGGCGCUCGGGGUCGACGGCGGCGGUGGGCGACGCAAACCGAUCAAGAAUAGAUCGGAAAACCAGAAAGAAACUGCACGAUCAAGAUGACUAGCGGGAGAGAGAAAACCCCAGAGCAAGGUUCGGGAAAAAGACUCUCUAGGGCAGCAGGCCAACACGACCGGCGGACGAACCCUAGGUACGGGCGGCGCGGCCCCCGGCGGCGGUCAUGGAGGCCGACCGCCCCGGGGGCGGCGCGCAGGUGCGGAAGCGGCAGCGGCUAGGGUUUAGGAUCGACUUGUGAUAGAUAUCAUGUUAGAAGGGAGAGAGGGAUUGGUGGAAUAGUUGUUGUAUUGCUUGAGCCUCGUGGGCAUAUAUAUAUAUAGGAAUACAAUGAUCUACUUGAAGUACAAGACAAGCCAGAACAAAUCCUAGUCUAUCUCGUCUUUCCUAAUAAUCACGAUACUCAACACUGAUAAACCUCUCUGCGCCCUUUAUGGUUUCUGAAUUAUAAACACCACCAACACCUACAAAUAAUUUAAGCAGACAGCUCAGCAUGAGGAAUUAACCUUUACAGCAGCGGUACGUGAAUUGGCUGUAUUUUGAGCAGUCUUGUAUCCUGGGUUAUUCUUGUUAGCUUUAUCAGCCCACGCUCAGGCGCUCAGCUGCCAUCAUAUGGUAAUCAUAAUUGAGUCCAGUGUUAAUGAUUUUCUGUAAUUAUUAACACUGUUAAAUAUAUUUCGACAAAAUAUAUAAAGUGCCAAGCCAAAAAAAUAAAGCAGAACUCCAGUGCUGACCAAGGUAGUGUCUAAAAGGUAAAAAAAAAAGGUACAAGAAACCUCAUGGCACCCAUACAGUACAGAACUUCAAACCGUGAACUGAAUGUAACUAGAUAAUGAGACAGAACUUCAUAGUUUUUCAUACAGUGAUGAUAACUAUUCAAGACCUCCGCAGACAGCAAUUUGGGGCACGGAAGUGAAGCCUUAUGUCACGCUGCUGGAUGGGACCACCAGCAUGCCAGAUCGUGGUAAGGAGGAGGAGAAAGGAGGCAGCUAUGAAGGAGCGUUUCUGAAGAUACACUCUGACAAAACUGAAGAAAUGCGCUGUGCCAUCGAGCCUGUUGAAAUAAAUAAUUACGUAGCCCGAAGAAACCGAAGAAAUAAGUUCCUUGUGUCUCUCUUUCUUCUACUCCCCCAAGUCUUGUCUCUUCUGAUCCCUGUUCUUCUUCACCAGAUCCGUUACAUACCCAUGUAGUACAAGAGAGAGGGUAAGCUCUGCUGGUGCUUCAGAGGGAGUCGGGGAGACACCAAACGAAAUUUCUUAACCCUAGCGAGCAUGGUACAGAAGAGAGAGAGAGAGAGAGAGAGAGAGAGAGAGAGAGAGAGAGAGACCAGUUUACUCAUUUCACAGGAUACCCACUCCCCCAACAUCAGCGGUUCUGGCCCUCCAGCUGCACAACUGAAAGCCAUGGAGAUCGCAACAGACACUAGUAUGCUUUCUAUGAUGCUGAGUGUAGUUACUGAACUAGAAACUGCAGCAGAAUGCCACAUUUCACCUAAUGCAUUUCUCGGUCCUACUAGCACCAAAACAACUAGUCUCGAGGUCUUGGUAGGUAAUCAGGUGCUUCUCUUGUUGAUUCUGGCAGUUCUCACAGUUUUCGCAACCAAGAGUUCGUCGACAGACUGAAUCUGUCAGUUACUUCCAGGCCCACGGUGCAGGUCAAAGUAGCUAAUGGUGACAUACUAACCAGCUCAACUGAACUUUCCCAGCUUACAUGGUUUAUUGGGUGGUUAUGAUGCUGUUCUGGGAAUUGACUAGUUAGUCCUAUACAGUCCUAUGAAAUGUAACUGGGUGGACAAGUGGGUUCAGUUUGAUUAUCAGGGCAAUUCAGUGAGACUUCCAUGUAGUGGUGUCUUCUCCCCUCAGCACACUCACAGAGGCCACUUUAGAGCAAAUUGACACUUGGCACAAAAGAAGAAGCUCUGUUGCUGUCCCACACUACUGAAGUUCCUUCGGUGUUUGAGGAUCUGCUAAUCAAAUACGAGGAUAUUUUCUCUGAACCAAAUACACGGCCUUCUCAUAGGCAAUUUGAUCACGCUAUAGCUUUACAGGAGAUGAAGACGGCCACCAUAAAAAACAAGUUUCCAUUACCAUUUUGGAUGAACUAACAGGAGCCACUUACUUUUCUAAAAUGGAUCUAAGAAGUGGUUACACCAGAUCAGAAUGAAUGCUACUAGAAGCUGAUGAACAGAAAACAACAUUUAAAAGCCAACAUGCUCACUUUCAGUUCCGAGUUAUGCCUUUUGGCUUAACAAAUCCCCCAGGUACUUCUCAGUGUUUGACGGAUGCUAUAUUUGAUCCAUUCAUGAUGAAAUUUGUGAUAGUUUGCAUGGAUGACAUCCUUAUCUAUAGUCCCAACCGAGCAUGUUCAGCAUUUGGAGCAGGUGUUCUCUGUCCUGCAGCAUAAUCAGUUCUUUGCCAAGGCAACCAAGUGUGUGUUUGCUGUUACUCAAUUGCAAUACCUUGGACACAUCAUUUCUCAGCAAGGUGUAACCAUUGAUCCACAAAAAACUGCAGCACGGCCCACCCCUGCAAAUGUGACUCAACUGAGAGGGUGAUUAACAGGCUAUUAUAGAAAGUUUGUCCAUGGAUAUGGCCUCUCGGCCAAACCUCUCACCUUGCUGUUACAAAAAAACAAGCCCUUCAUCUGGACGGCUACACAAUAAGCUUUUGAGCUGCUCAAAAAGGCAAUGGCAUCUAAACGUGUGCUCGCCCUACCAGACUUCACCAAACAGUGUCACUGAAACAGAUCUGUGCUAGAGGAGUGAGGGCAGUUGUCUCUCAAAGGGCCACCCAGUUGCUUAGGGAUGCAAAAUAAAAAACUAUCUAUCUAUGAGAAAGAAUUCCUUGCCAUCAUUAUGGCCAUUGAUAAAUGGAGAUCCUAUUUGGUCAGAGCACUAUUUGUCAUCAAGAUUUAUCAUAAGAGUUUUUGCCAUCUGGAUGAUCAAUCUCUUUCUUUGGACUUACAAAAGAAGGCUAUGACUAAGCUUAUAGGACUACAGUAUCAGUUCCAGUAUGAAAAAGGGAGUGGAUAACAAAGCAACCAAUGCACUCUCACAUGUGGCCCAACAGUUGGAUUUGCAGGCCAUUUCUGUAGUCCAACCUCUCUAGUUACAGGAGGUGCUAAAUUCCUAUCGAACUGACAACUCUGGACAGAAGGUGCUUCAGCAGUGGGCUUUGCACAGUCCUGAUUUUAUCUGAAGCUUUGCAGACUAAACUGAUCUGAGCUUUACAUGUGUCUGCCCUAGGAGGCCACUCAGGCAUUCAAACAAUAUUUCAGUGAAUUCACAAACUGUUUGCUUGGUUUGGGUUCAAAAGGGAUGUCACUGAAUUUGUACAGCAGUGCAGCUAAACAUGAACACUGCUAGACACCUGGCCUCCUCCAGCCACUGCCAGUGCCACAGGAAAAGGGUCCUGGCAAGACAUCUCUAUGGAUUUUAUAGAAGGUCUGCCUAAAUCCAAUGGCCAUUCAGUCCUUUUUGUCCUGGUGGGCAGAUAUACAAAAUGUGCACAGUUCUUUCCUCCGAAACAUCCAUACACAACAGCUACAACAUCUCACGUACUCUUCGAUAUCGUCAAGUUACAAGGUAUACCCAGAUCAGCAGUAUCAGAUAGAUAUAAGAUUUAUAAGUGCGUGCAUUUUUCAAGAUUUGUUCAAAAGACAUGAUAUUCAGUUAGCACUCAGUACAGCUUAUCAUCCCCAGCCUCAUGGCCAGACAGCGCGAGUCAAUCAGAGUCUUGAGAUGUAUCUGCGGUCUUGGCUGCCCAUGGCUGGGUUUUAGUAUAACUCUUCUCACCAUUCCUCACUGGCUUGUUCCCCUUUCAAGGCCUUAUAUGGUACAGAUCCUACUGCUGAUUUUCUACCUGCUUCUCCUACUGAUGAUAGAACUUAAGUUGGUGCUCUACUGCAAGACAGAGCAGCUCACUCUGUUCUACUUCAACAUCAGUUGGCCUGGGCUCAACACAAGAUGAAGAAGUAUGCUUAUUUAAAGAGAUCACAUUGAGAGUUCCAGGAAGGUGACCAAGUGUUCCUCGAACUCCAGCCCUAUGCUCAACAUUCUGUCAUUAGCAGGCCUUCCCCAAGUUGGCCUUUAAGUAUUUUGGGCCAUACAAGAUCCUCUCCAAGGUUGGUCAAUUGGCUUAGAAACUGGACUUAGCAGAUCAUAGACAUGUCUUUGCGGAUUUACCUCCUGGUCUCACGCUGGAUUGCCUGGUGGUGGAACCGGAACUGAUUCUGGAGCGUCGGCUGGACAAAAGGGACAGUAUGCCUCUCCUUCAGGUGCUGGUUAAAUGGACCAUGUUACCUGCAACAACGGCGACUUGGAAGGACCACUCCGUGCUGCAGCAAGCUGGACCUCAAGCGGGUGGCAAUGUCACGCUGCUGGAUGGGACCACCAGCAUGCCAGGUCGUGGUAAGGAGGAGGAGAAAGAGGCAGCUCUGAAGGAGCGUUUCUGAAGAUACUGUCAGGCCGGUUAGUCUGAAUCUGCUUUGUUUCUCUCAAACUGUCGAAGCGUCCUGUUUAGUAGUGCCGGAUGCAAGGAUCGACGUCCAUCUUCAAUCUGACGGUUGGUUGGGAACUUACAGCUUCGCUCCCCCGAUCUCCAACAGCAACCGUAGAUCUCCAAUCUGAUGGCUACCGCUCAUUCACCUGUAGUAGUUUGAAUUUACCUUUUGCUUUUUGCCACUGUCAGGCACCUUUCUCUCUUUUUACCUGCUUGUAAGGCUAUAAGGUCGAGUCCCUGGAUGACAGCGGACUGAGAUUUAUGUAUCAGGUUGUAACCAUAGCCACCGUGUUCCGGCUCGCCUAAACCUACCUCCUUAAUUCAAGUAGAUCUGAGCCAUUUGUCUCCACAAAUUUGCUAUUUUUACACUGAAUUCCUGAAAUUCUUCGUCAGACUUUAGAUCGAGCCUGACAGAUACACUCUGACGAAACUGAAGAAACGCGCAGUGCUAUUGAACUUGAAGCUGAAGCCGGGGGAAAGGUUUUGACAGUUGUGAAGGAAACGGGAAAGGGAAAGACAUCUCUACCACGUUGACGAGGUCUGGAGUUGUUCGGGUGGGGUCCUGGUGUCAGUGUGAGUGGGCAUGGUUAUAAGCCUGGGUUUUGCUUAUUUCUUAUAUAUGUGUCCGUCCAUGACGUGGUUCAAUACAAUACUCCAGUAAGGUAAAACAAGACUGAAGAAACAAAUUAUGUCCAUUAUUUGCUUGCAUGUGUAUUAUCAGUCCAUGAAUGUGAUAAAAAUAAGCAAAGAUGAACUAAAACGAAAAAACAAAGUAUAUUCAUUAUGUUGUGAGAUGUGUGCAUAAAGCUUCUCUUCACCUUAUGAUACAUGAAAAGAGAUUCCAUGGACUCCCUGUGUAUGCCAGCAUUACACCAGGCGGUACUGCGUAGAAGAAACUUCCCUACAGACAAAAAAAGAAUCAGAAACGAUACCUGCCGAGUUAAAUGCAUACAUGUUUCUACUUGCGAAAACAGGGGUAAUUGUGCCUACGGGUAUAUAUGAGGACACUAAGCAUGAGAUGUCUUACAAAAAUAAAGUAAUGAAACUAAUAAAUCAUCAACACUAUAGAAAGUUGUGACAGGUAACCUGUGAAAGUUGAUCAGAUGCUUUCAAGAUGCCAAAGUCAUUCAGCCUGUCAGGAGUAGAUGCUGCUUCAGUCUACACGGCAGAAUCAGAAGCCCGAAUGUUAUAUUCAAGAAAUCGAACAGCAUGAUCCUGAAUAUGAGAUCGAAGAGGACGUAUAGACUGUUCCGUUUCUAUGGAUUCAUUACCCUGCAAAUCCACAGAUGAUGUCAAUCUCACAGAUCAUAGACACUAAACAUGAUUUUGUGAGGGUGAAACUGUUAAAGAAUUCCAUUUUAUUCAGUUUCUAGAAAGAUCCAUCAAUAUACUGCUACUAGAACGAUACAUGCGCGAUGUCAUGACAACGCAUACACUACAGCCCGUGACAAAAGGUUGUCUCUACUAGCAUAUUUGAAUCAUUUUACUGAAUCACUUUAGCUAUUCAGCCAGUAAGUAGGAAAGCCUCAACUGAACACCAAAAUCUCAUGAAACCCUUUGCAGGGCUUCUAAUGAAAGAUUUCUGCUUCUAAGAAUGAUUGUCAAACUUGGCCAGACCAUCAGAGGCAAUCCAAUUGCACAUUUCGAGAUGCAGCCGUAAUUAUCCAUAUGCAUUCCUGUUAAUCAGACCAUCAGAUUAAACCAGGACAACAAGACUAACUCUAGAAAAAGAAUAAAUUGGACCAUGGUCCCUCAACUAGCACUGAAUUAUCACUAAAAUCCCUGAAUCUGAAAAUUAAUUUGUCAGGUCACUAAAUUUGCAACAGACACAAAAUAUGCUAAUUGUGUCACUUUAGAUAAUUACAACUAUUCAAUUAGCUAAAUUUGUUAACAUAAUGCUGGCUCUUCACUAAGGAUAUACAUGGAGAUCGUUCACAAACUCUCCUGAGACCCAUCUAUUGCACACAAUUAUCUUCACUCUUUUUAGAACACGAUCAAUAUUAGAUGAUAGAAAUUAAAUACACUAACAAUACCUUUCUAUAAGACGAGCUUUUCUAAGGAUAGAUUCUUCGUCUUCAUCCUUUGUCAUCUUAUUGACAUUCUCUCCAUAUUUUUGAAUCUCACUCUCCACAUUAGACCCAUCGGGUCUUAAUGAUGGUGUUAGAGUAGAAUCAAGCGAAGUAUUUGAAGCUGAGCCUACAAUGAUAGGAUGGGCCAUGACAACUGACAGUCCUCUCCAAACCUGGACUUCCCUUAUUGUUCAUAAUGUGUCCCGGAUAUGGGCAGCUUGUAUCCUUCUGUGCAACUGUCAUCACAAAUCUCCAUUUCAACUUUCACACGAACAAAUGGUACUAACUUCAGGUGGUACAGAACUGGAAAUUUCGAUCACAGAAGUAGGCCUGCUAAAACCUUCCAGUUGUGCACGUUCCUCAACAGCCUUGUGAUACGUCUCCAACGUAUCUAUAAUUUCUUAUUGUUCCAUGCUAUUAUAUUACCCGUUUUGGAUGUUUAUGGGCUUUACUUUACACUUUUAUAUCAUUUUUGGGACUAACCUACUAACCGGAGGCCCAGCCCGAAUUGCUCUUUUUUUGCCUAUUUCAGUGUUUCGAAGAAAAGGAAUAUCAAACGGAGUCCAAAUGGAAUGAAACCUUCGGGAGCGAUCUUUUUGGAACAAACGUGAUCCAGGGGACUUGGAGUGGACGUCAAGCAACAGAGGAGGCGGCCACGAGGGUGCCCGGCGCGCCCCUUGGAGGUGGGCGCGCCCCCCACCCUCGUGGGCCCCUCAAGCGUCCACCGACCUACUUCUUCCUCCUAUAUAUACCCAUGUACCCCGAAAACAUCCAGGAGCACCACGAAAAACUAUUUCCAACGCCGUAACCUUCUGUAUCUGCGAGAUCCCAUCUUGGAGCCUUCGCCGGCGCUCCGCCGGAGGGGUAAUCGACCACGGAGGGCCUCUACAUCAUCUCCAAGGCCCUUCCGAUGAGUUGUGAGUAGUUUACCACAGACCUUCGGGUCCAUAGUUUUUAGCUAGAUGGCUUCUUCUCUCUCUUUCAAUCUCAAUACAAAGUUCUCCUCGAUAUUCUUGGAGAUCUAUUCGAUGUAACUCUUUUUGCGGUGUGUUUGUCGAGAUCCGAUGAAUUGUGGGUUUAUGAUCAAGUUUAUCUGUGAGAAAUAUUUAAAUCUCCCCUGAAUUCUUUUAUGUGUGAUUAAGUUAUCUUUGCAAGUCUCUUCGAAUUAUCAGUUUGGUUUGGCCUACUAGAUUGAUUUUUCUUGCAAUGCGAGAAGUGCUUAGCUUUGGGUUCAAUCUUGCGGUGUCCUUUCCCAGUGACAGCAGGGGAAGGAAGCCACGUAUUGUAUUGUUGCCAUCGAGGAUAAAAAGAUGGGGUUUAUAUCAUACUGCAUGAGUUUAUCCCUCUAUAUCAUGUCAUCUUUCUUAAUGCGUUACUCUGUUCUUAUGAACUUAAUACUCUAGAUGCAUGCUGGAUAGCGGUCGAUGUUUGGAGUAAUAGUAGUAGAUGCAGGCAGGAGUCGGUCUACUUGUCACGGACGUGAUGCCUAUAUACAUGAUCAUGCCUAGAUAAUCUCAUAACUAUGCACUUUUCUAUCAAUUGCUCGACAGUAAUUUGUUCACCCACCGUAGUACUUAUGCUAUCUUGAGAGAAGCCACUAGUGAAACCUAUGGCUCCCGGGUCUAUCUUUUAUCAUAUAAGUUUACCAUCUACUUUUAUUUGCAUCUUUUACCUUUGCAAUCUAUAUCAUAAAAAUACCAAAAAUAUUUAUCUUAUCAUAUUAUCUCUAUCAGAUCUCACUUUCGCAAGUAGCCGUGAAGGGAUUGACAACCCCUUUAUUGCGUUGGUCGCGAGGUUCUUGUUUGUUUGUGUAGGUGCGUGGGACUUUUGAGGAGCCUCCUACUGGAUUGAUACCUUGGUUCUCAAAAACUGAGGGAAAUACUUACGCUACUUUGCUGCAUCACCCUUUCCUCUUCAAAGAAAACCAACGCAAGCUCAAGACGUAGCAAGAAGGAUUUCUGGCGCCGUUGCCGGGGAGGUCUUCGCUCAAGUCAAGACAUACCAAGUACCCAUCACAAACUCAUCUCCCUCGCAUUACAUUAUUUGCCAUUUGCCUCUCGUUUUCCUCUCCCCCACUUCACCCUUGUCGUUUUAUUCGCCCUCUUUUUUCCGUUUGCCCUCUUCUUCCUCCUCGCUUUUGUCUGCCGUUAUGUCUGAAAUUGGGGAGAUUAUCGUCGAUUUGGACAAUAAUGAUAACAUGGAAAAUUCUGAUGCUCCUGCUGAAGAACCCCCUAUCUUGCAUACUAAAAAGUUUCGAAUCGGUAGCGGUAAUAUUAUUGGAAAAGGGGUUAUUCAAGAUUUCUUUACUUGUGUCGGUGCUUUACCUUCUAUGGGUAGUUCUAUCUUGCAUAGAACUAGUAGUCUUGCGGAUUCUAUCGCCAUGCUUAUAGUUGAACUUGAAAGACAGUUUAUGCACAUGCAUCCUUGCAUACAAAGAAUUUUCCUAGAAUUUUCUAAUAUUGAGCAUUCUUCUGUUAAGCACGCAGCUACUAUCUUUUUGGCACAUGAGUUUAGAUUUAUAAUAAAAGAAGCCAAAAAAAUUUUUGCGCACUAUAGGGUGGACGCCGGUCGUCCUCCCAUAGAGGCGAUCCUCUUCGAUCAAGAGGAAAUUAUGCGUUUCCAAUCUUUGGACUAUAUUGCUUUUAAUGAAAACCUUAGAAAAAAGGUUCCUACCACUGUCCUAAUUGAUAAAAUCUCUGAACUCAAUAAUGAUUUUUCUAUUCGAAAUAAUGAGCUAGGAUAUUCUCUUGAGUGUAGACUCAAGAGGUUCUGUCAAAAGAAUGUUUAUAAUGAUGAAUUGGUUGUGCAAUAUGAAGGACCCAAGGAGGAACCUAUACCUCCUGAGAUUGAUCUUGGGGACUUUUGUCCCAUUAAAUUUAUCCCUUUUGAUUACUUUUGGUUGCCUCAAAGGAAACUUGCUGCUGAACGUAGAGAGUAUGAGAUGAGUUUUCGUGAUCUAUCUUAUUAUGGCACUACUUAGAUCUAUUCUCGCCUUUAUGCCUAGCUAGGGGCGUUAAACGAUAGCGCUAGUUGGGAGGCAACCCAAUUUUAUUUGUGUUUUUUGUUUUUGCUUCUGUUUAGUAAUAAAUAUUUCAUCUACCUUCUGUUUAGAUGUGUUUUCAUGUUUUAAUUAGUGUUUGUGCCAAGUAGAACCUAUAGAUAACCUACAGUGAUAGUUAAUUUGAUUCUGCUGAAAAACAUAAACUUUGCACGCACGAAAAUAAUUUUAGUAAUUCACAAAAACGUGCUUUUGCGUUGAUUCUUUUUGCUGUAGAUCAAUAGACAAAUUUCCCAGGAAUUCCUAUUUUGGUAGGAUUUUGAGAGUUCCAGAAGUAUUCGAGAGUUACAGAUUACUACAGACUGUUCUGUUUUUGACAGAUUCUGUUUUUCGUGUGUUGUUUGCUUAUUUUGAUGCAUCUAUGGCUAGUAUCAAGGGGUAUGAACCAUAGAGAAGUUGGAAUACAGUAGGUUUAACACCAAUAUAAAUAAAGAAUGAGUUCAUUACAGUACCUUAUGUGGUGGUUUUUCUUUCUUGCACUAACGGAGCUUAUGAGAUUUCCUGUUGAGUUUUGUGUUGUGAAGUUUUCAAGUUUUGGGUAAAGAUUUGAUGGACUAUGGAAUAAGGAGUGGCAACAGCCUAAGCUUGGGGAUGCCCCGGAAGGCAUCCCCUCUUUCUUCUUCGUCUAUCGGUAACUUUACUUGGAGCUAUAUUUUUAUACGCCACAUGAUAUGUGUUUUGCUUGGAGCAUCUUGUAUGAUAUUAGUCUUUGCUUUUUAGUUUACCACAAUCAUCCUUGAUGUACACAUCUUUUGGGAGGAACCCACUUGAUUGGAAUUUAUUAGAAUACUCUAUGUGCUUCACUUAUCUCUUUUGAGCUAGAUAGUUUUGCUCUAGUGCUUCACUUAUAUCUUUUAGAGCACGGCGGUGGCUUAAUUUUAAAGAAAUUGUUAAUCUCUCAUGCUUCACUUAUAUUAUUUUGAGAGUCUUUUAGAACACCAUGGCAUUUGCUAUGGUUAUAAAAUUGGUCCUAGAAUGAUUAGCAUCCAAGUUGGGUAUAAUAAAAACUAUCAUAGGAAGUGAAUUGGAUGCUAUGAUCAAUUUGAUACUUGAUAAUUGUUUUAAGAUAUGGAGGUUGUGAUAUUAGAGUCAUGCUAGUUGGGUAAUUGUGAAUUUAAAGAAUGCUUGUGUUGAAGUUGGCAAGUCCCGUAGCAUGCACAUAUGGUAAAAGUUGUGUAACAAAUUUGAAAUAUGAGGUGUUCUUAGAUUGUCAUCCUUAUGAGUGGCGGUCGGGGACGAGCGAUGAUCUUUUCCUACCAAUCUAUCCCCCUAGGAGCAUGUGCGUAGUGCUUGGUUUUUGACGACUUGUAGAUUUUUGCAAUAAGUAUAUGAGUUCUUUAUGACUAAUGUUGAGUCCAUGGAUUAUACGCACUCUUACCCUUCCAUCAUUGCUAGCCUCUUCGGUACCGUGCAUUGCCCUUUCUCACCUUGAGAGUUGGUGCAAACUUCGCCGGUGCAUCCAAACCCCGUGAUACGAUACGCUCUAUCACACAUAAACCUCCUUAUAUGUUUCUCAAAACAGCCACCAUACCUACCUAUUAUGGCAUUUCCAUAGCCAUUCCGAGAUAUAUUGCCAUGCAACUUUCCACCGUUCCGUUUAUCAUGACACGCAUCAUCAUUGUCAUAUUGCCUUUCAUGAUCAUGUAGUUGACAUCGUAUUUGUGGCAAAGCCACCAUGCAUAAUUUUUCAUACAUGUCACUCUUGAUUCAUUGCCCAUCCCGGUACACCGCCGGAGGCAUUCAUAUAGAGUCAUAUCUUGUUCUAGUUUUGAGUUGUAAUUCAUGAGUUGUAAAUAAAUAGAAGUGUGAUGAUCAUCAUUAUUAGAGCAUUGUCCCCAAAUAAAAAAAAGAAAGGCCAAAAAGAAAAAAAGAAAGGCCAAAGAAAGAAAAAAGAGAGAAAAAAAGGCCAAAAAAAGAAAGGCCAAAGAAAAAAAGGGGGCAAUGUUACUAUCCUUUUCCACACUUGUGCUUCAAAGUAGCACCAUGUUCUUCAUAUAGAAAGUCUUUUAUGUUGUCACUUUCUUAUACUAGUGGGAAUUUUUCAUUAUAGAACUUGGCUUGUAUAUUCCUACGACGGGCUUCCUCAAAAUGCCCUAAGUCUUCGUGAGCAAGAAAGUUGGAUGCACACCCACUUAGUUUCUUUUGUUGAGCUUUCAUACAUUUAUAGCUCUAGUGCAUCCGUUGCAUGGCAAUCCCUACUCCUCAUGUUGACAUCAAUUGAUGGGCAUCUCCAUAGCCCGUUGAUUAUCCUCGUCAAUGUGAGAAUUUCUUCCUUUUUGUCUUCUCCACACAACCUCCAUCAUCAUAUUCUAUUCCACCCAUAGUGCUAUAUCCAUGGCUCACGCUCAUGUAUUGCGUGAAAGUUGAAAAAAGUUUGAGAUUGCUAAAGUAUGAAACAAUUUCUUGGCUUGUCAUCGGGGGUGUGCAAGAUGAGAGCAUUCUCGUGUGACGAAAAUGGAAGCAUGACCAAACUAUAUGAUUUUGUAGGGAUGAACUUUCUUUAGCCAUUUUAUUUUGAGAAGACAUGAUUGCUUAGUUAGUAUGCUUAAGUAUUACCUACUUGAGGACGAUCAGGAAUUAAGCUUGUGGAUGCUUGAUACGUCUCCAACGUAUCUAUAACUUUUGAUUGUUCCAUGCUAUUAUAUUACCCGUUUUGGAUGUUUAUGGGCUUUACUUUACACUUUUAUAUCAUUUUUGGGACUAACCUACUAACCGGAGGCCCAACCCGAAUUGUUGUUUUUUUGCCUAUUUCAGUGUUCCGAAGAAAAGGAAUAUCAAACGGAGUCCAAACGGAAUGAAACCUUCGGGAGCGAUCUUUUUGGAACAAACAUGAUCCAGGGGACUUGGAGUGGACGUCAAGCAACAGAGGAGGCGGCCACGAGGGUGCCCGGCAUGCCCCUUGGAGGUGGACGCGCCCCCCACCCUCGUGGGCCCCUCGAGCGUCCACCAACCUUCUUCUUCCUCCUAUAUAUACCCAUGUACCCCGAAAACAUCCAGGAGCACCAUGAAAAACUAUUUCCACCGCCGUAACCUUCUGUAUCCGCGAGAUCCCAUCUUGGAGCCUUCGUCGGUGCUCCGCCGGAGGGGGAAUCGACCAUGGAGGGCCUCUACAUCAUCUCCAAGGCCCUUCCGAUGAGUUGUGAGUAGUUUACCACAGACCUUCGGGUCCAUAGUUUUUAGCUAGAUGGCUUCUUCUCUCUCUUUGAAUCUCAAUACAAAGUUCUCCUCGAUCUUCUUGGAGAUCUAUUCGAUGUAACUCUUUUUGCGGUGUGUUUGUCGAGAUCCGAUGAAUUGUGGGUUUAUGAUCAAGUUUAUCUAUGAGAAAUAUUUGAAUCUCCUCUGAAUUCUUUUAUGUGUGAUUAAUUUAUCUUUGCAAGUCUCUUCAAAUUAUCAGUUUGGUUUGACGUACUAGAUUGAUUUUUCUUGCAAUGGGAGAAGUGCUUAGCUUUGGGUUCAAUCUUGCGGUGUCCUUUCCCAGUGACAGCAGGGGCAGCAAGGCACGUAUUGUAUUGUUGCCAUCGAGGAUAAAAAGAUGGGGUUUAUAUCAUAUUGCAUGAGUUUAUCCGUCUACAUCAUGUCAUCUUUCUUAAUGCGGUACUCUAUUCUUAUGAACUUAAUACUCUAGAUGCAUGCUGGAUAGCGGUCAAUGUGUGGAGUCAUAGUAGUAGAUGCAGGCAGGAGUCGGUCUACUUGUCGCGGACGUGAUGCCUAUAUACAUGAUCAUGCCUAGAUAAUCUCAUAACUAUGCGCUUUUCUAUCAAUUGCUCGACAGUAAUUUGUUCACCCACCGUAAUACUUAUGCUAUCUUGAGAGAAGCCACUAGUGAAACCUAUGGCUCCCGAGUCUAUCUUUUAUCAUAUAAGUUUACCAUCUACUUUUAUUUGCAUAUUUUACCUUUCCAAUCUAUAUCAUAAAAAUACCAAAAAUAUUUAUCUUAUCAUAUUAUCUCUAUCAGAUCUCACUUUUGCAAGUGGCCGUGAAGGGAUUGACAACCCUUUAUUGCGUUGGUUGCGAGGUUCUUGUUUGUUUGUGUAGGUGCGUGGGACUUUUGAGGAGCCUCCUACUGGAUUGAUACCUUGGUUCUCAAAAACUGAGGGAAAUACUUACGCUACUUUGUUGCAUCACCCUUUCCUCUUCAAGGAAAACCAACGCAAACUCAAGACGUAGCACCUUGCUAGAGAAUACCACUGAUGUUCAGAUCUUCAUGAGACUUUAUAUCAAUUUUCAAUGGAACUAGAUUAUUGUCACCUGCAUGAUUUCUAAUAGUUCUGGUAAUGUCUUCACAACAUGGAUACAUGGCAUUUUUGUGCAAAGUGGUAGUUUGGACAGCACAAACAGGAAUCAUACUGCUGUUAUCCAGUUUACCUGCGUGGACUUGAGCCAUAUCUUCAUCUAGGUGAUCAUGACCUUCUCAUCAUCAGCAAGUUUCUGUCUCAUCAAGUGUAGAUGCUCAUUCUCACACUUUGGUCUUGCCAGGUUUAAACUUGAAUCACAGGAUACAGCAAGAUCAUCUAAUUGUUUUCCCUUGGUUAGAUCCCUUGCAUCUUUUGGUUCAGAAACUGUAGCAGGAACCACAGGAGAUGUAACAGAAGUCACAUUAGUACUCUCCGUACAUGGCUUUGACCUGUUGCAUCGAACAUAUGCCUAAUUCUUCACUCCAAGGCGUGUGACAAACCAGAAUCAUCAACUCUGGAUCCCUGCUUUAACAAUUUUUCCCUUCACUACACCAUUGUUAUCUCCACCAAAAAGCAUAACAGUGUCUGCUGUGUUGGUUUUGCAACACGGUGACUUCCUAGUUUGCCGCAACUCUCAACUGAAUCUACACGAGGUGAUGCAGCAUAUGCAAACUACCUUUAGCUUCACUACAAUUGAAAGCACAAAAGAAGUUAAAUCAACUUACGGUAUGUGCUCAAAUGCUACCUCAGGAAGCAAUCAUUACCUUAUCACAUUGUGUUCAGUUGUGAGAGAAGAGGACCGCAAACUGACUGAUUCUACCUGGUCAAAUUUGAAAUCAAAUGGGUUCACACCCUGUAAAAUAAUAGUAGUAAUUAGACAAAAGGAACAGGAAAACCCAAUCUGCAAAAUGUCAUGCAAACUUACUUUCUGCAGAAAUUCCAGCUCCCUCCGUUCUUCACAGACAUCAUACUCCUGGCUGAAGUUCAUAGCCACAAUGUAAGUCACGCAGUUCCAUUCCCCAGCAUCCACCCAAAAGCUGGAAAAUCUCAUAUCAGUAGCCCACCUGAGCUCCUCUUGAGCUUUUUCAGUGGACACACUAUCCGGGAAGAUUUGGUACCGACACUAACGCCAUUCCAUCAACAGAGCGCGGCUCAGCCUUCAUGAUAGCUACAACAAACGAGAAGAAGAACCCGGGCGCAAAUGUGAAUAAACAAAAAAAACAGGACCCAAUUCUGCCUGCAUGACAUGCUGGCAUGCUGCGAUUGCAUCGCUAAAACUAAGUAAUUGAAGGCAAUGGGGCCCCGAAACCCGUAUCCCCGUGGGUUUUUACCCUAUUAGGGGACGGGGAUGGGCAUGUUUUCAUCCCUGCGUUGGCCACAUUAUACAACUCGACACGUUUCGUGGGUUUACACCCGUUUCGGUAGUCCCUGAACUCGAAACCCGGCAAUCCCCGCAAAAUUACAUUUUUUUACCAAGCACUGAUCCGGCACAACCCAAUGUGACCGAGCCCCCCCCCACCCCUCCCCCCAGCGUCGAGGCCAAACCAACCCCUCGCUGGGUGGCCAGUAUCGCUCGCUCUUUCCCCCUCACUCGAGCCCUCAACUCUCUCUCUCUCUCUCCCUCAGAAUACCUAAACCUAAACCUAGGACCAUAGCGGAUCAAAGGUCUCCCAGCACGACGAACAGCUCUCUGGUGCAUGAACAUGGCACAUGCCUGAAUCACACUUAUCAGUGCUGCUGCCUGAAUUAUCAGCCUCAUCCGUGCGUCCAUAACCUAGUCGACAUCGACGGUUCGUUCAGUGGGAAAUCGAUCCUACACCUUGCCUAACGGCCUAACCACCGACCUAACAAAGGGGGGAGGGGGUGCUGAUUACAGGCAUCGGAGACGAGGACGACGUAGGGGGAGCCAUGCCACAUACAAGGUCGACCAGACAGUGGCCAACAAUAAGGGGAGCACCAGAUCCGCCGCAAACGCCGCCGCCUCUUCCGCCGCCGCCGCCCCUAGCACAGGUAUGAAAUCGCAGCCGCCGCCGGGGGUGAGGCAGUAGGGAAGAAAAGGGGGGUAGGGAAAGUGGCUAUGGGUGAGCGAGUAGAAAGGGGGUGGGGCUAGAUUUUGCGCCGGGACGGCGCGCCAGAUUUCCCAUCUCCCGCCAUCCCCCCUCGCCCUCACGUCGCACCCGCCCGUGCGACCUCGCGCCGCACUAAGCCUGGCUCGCGAGAAAAUGCCGAUCCGAGUGUUUCCAGCAAGACAGGCUGUGGGCUGUGAUACGUCCAUUUUGCAUCAUGUUUUUUAUUGACAUUUAUUGCAUUAUGGGCUGUUAUUACAUGUUAUGUCACAAUACUUAUGGCUAUUCUCUCUUAUUUUACAAGGUUUAUCAUGAAGAGGGAGAAUGCCGGCAGCUGGGAUUCUGGCAGGAAAAGGAGCAAAUAUUGGAAACCUAUUCUGCACAGCUCCAAAAGUCCUGAAACUCCACGAAAGUCAUUUUUGGAAUUAAUAAGAAUUAUUGAGCAAAGAAAGUACCAAAGGGUGCCCACACUCUAGCCACGAGUGUGGGGGGCGCGCGCCCCCUGUCUCGUGGGCCCCCUGGUGGCCCUCCGGUGCCCAUCUUCUGCUAUAUGAAGGCUUUUUUACCCUGGAAAAAAUCAUAAGCAAGCUUACGGGACGAAACUCCGCUGCCACGAGGCGGAACUUUGGCGGAACCAAUCUAGGGCUCCGGCAGAGCUGUUCUGCCGGGGAAACUUCCCUCCGGGAGGGGGAAAUCAUCACCAUCAUCAUCACCAAUGAUCCUCUCAUCGGGAGGGGGUCAAUCUCCAUCAACAUCUUCACCAUCAUCAUCUCCUCGCAAAACCCUAGUUCAUCUCUUGUAUCCAAUCUUGUAUCAAAACCACAAAUUGGUACCUGUGGGUUGCUAGUAGUGUUGAUUACUCCUUGUAGUUGAUGCUAAUUGGUUUACUUGGUGGAAGAUCAUAUGUUCAGAUCCAAUAGAACUGUCAAUAGAUCUAGAUAGAAUUGGUCCAAGAAACUUGAUGAUGCAUUAUGGGCCUAUAGAACUGCAUAUAAAAAUCCUAUGGGUAUGUCUCCGUAUAAGAUGGUUUAUGGAAAAGCAUGUCACUUACCUCUCGAACUUGAACAUAAGGCAUAUUGGGCCAUUAAAGAGCUCAACUAUGAUUCCAAACUUGCCGGCGAGAAGAGGUUAUUUGACAUUAGCUCACUUGAUGAAUGGAGAACCCCCAAGCUGUUUAAAGAAAAAGUUAAAAGAUGGCAUGACAAAAGAAUACAAAAGCGAGAAUUUAACGUGGGUGAUUAUGUGUUGCUAUUCAACUCUCAUUUAAGAUUUUUUGCAGGAAAACUUCUCUCUAAGUGGGAAGGUCCUUACGUUAUCGAGGAGGUCUAUCGAUCGUUCCGGUGCCAUAAAAAUCAACAACUUCGAAGGCACAAGUCCGAGGGUGGUGAACAGUCAUAGAAUCAAACAUUAUAUCUCAGGUAAUCCUAUAAAUGUUGAAACUAAUAUUAUUGAAACCGUAACCCCGGAGGAAUACAUAAGGGACACUUUCCAGAACGUUUCAGACUCUGAAAAGGAAUAGGUAUGUGGUACAGUAAGUAAACCGACUCCAAAACAGUUCUAAUGGCAAUUUUUCUCCGUUUUGGAAUAUUUAAGAAUUUUGGAAAGCAAGAAGUAAUCCGGGAAGGACACGAGGCCUCCACGAGGGUCGAGGGCGCGCCCACCCUUAUUGGGCGCGCUCCCCUGUCUCGUGGGCACCUCGUGUGCCUCCCGGACUCCGUUUUCUUGUAAGUUACUUCUCUUGGUCGGUAAAAUUCAUUAUAUAAUCUCCCGAAGGUUUUGACCACCGUAUCACGCAAAAACCCUCUGUUUUUGUUUCGAGCUGUUUCUGCUGCAAAUUAGAGCAAUAUGCCAUCCCAGCAUUCGGAGGGAGAAAGCUAUGUGGCCGAUUACCUUGCAGACCCUAAGGUCUAUGGGGACUUGGAUCAUUCUGGCUGGACCACUGAGGAAGAAGAAGACUACAAGCCUAAGGGGAAGGAGGAGACGAGCUCAGACGAAGACGAAGUCCCGUUACCUCAUGAUACGUCUCCAACAUAUCUAUAAUUUUUGAUUGUUCCAUGCUAUUAUAUUACCCCUUUUGGAUGUUUAUGGGCUUUAUUUUACACAUUUAUAUCAUUUUUGGGACUAACCUACUAACCGGAGGCCCAGCCCGUAUUGCUGUUUUUUUUUGCCUAUUUCAGUAUUUUGAAGAAAAGGAAUAUCAAACGGAGUCCAAACGGAAUGAAACCUUCGGAAGCGAUCUUUUUGGAACAAACGUGAUCCAGAGGACUUGGAGUGCAAGUCAAGAAGUAGCCGAGGCGGCCACGAGAGGGUAGGGCGAGCCCUCCCCUAUAGGGCGCGCCCCCUGUCUCGUGAGCCCCUCGGGCGGCCACCGACCUACUUCUUCCUCCUAUAUAUACCUACGUACCCCGAAACCAUCCAGGGAGCACCCGAAACACAAUUUCCACCGCCGUAACCUUCUGUAUCCGCGAGAUCCCAUCUUGGAGCCUUCGCCGGCGCUCCGCCGGAGGGGGAAUCGAUCAUGGAGGGCUUCUACAUCAACACCAUAGCCCCCCCGAUGAGUUGUGAGUAGUUUACCACAGACCUUUGGGUCCAUAGUUAUUAGCUAGAUGGCUUCUUCUCUCUUUUUGGAUCUCAAUAUAAUGUUCUCCCCCUCUCUUGUGGAGAUCUAUUCGAUGUAAACUCUUUUUGCGGUGUGUUUGUCGAGAUCCGAUGAAUUGUGGGUUUAUGAUCAAGUUUUAUUUAUGAGAAGUAUUUGAAUCUCUGAAUUCUUUUAUGUAUGAUUGAGUUAUCUUUGCAAGUCUAUUCGAAUUAUCAGUUUGGCUUGGCCUACUAGAUUGAUCUUUCUUGCCAUGGGAGAAGUGUUUAGCUUUGGGUUCAAUCUUGCGGUGUCCUUACCCAGUGACAGAAAGGGUUGCAAGGCACGUAUUGUAUUGUUGCCAUCGAGGAUAAAAAGAUGGGGUUUAUAUCAUAUUGCAUGAGUUUAUCCCUCUACAUCAUGUCAUCUUGCUUAAAGCGUUACUCUGUUCUUAUGAACUUAAUACUCUAGAUGCAGGCAGGAGUCGGUCGAUGUGUGGAGUAAUAGUAGUAGAUGCAGGCAGGAGUCGGUCUACUUAUCACGGACGUGAUGCCUAUAUACAUGAUCAUGCCUAGAUAAUCUCAUAAUUAUUCGCUUUUCUAUCAAUUGCUCGACAGUAAUUUGUUCACCCACCGUAAUACUUAUGCUAUCUUGAGAGAAGCCUCUAGUGAAACCUAUGGCCCCCGGGUCUAUCUUCUAUCAUAUUUUCUUCCGAUUUACUUUUACUUGCAUCUUUACUUUUUGCAUCUAUAUUAAAAAAUACCAAAAAUACAUUUACUUUAUCAUAUCAUCUCUAUUAGGUCUCACUUUCGCAAGUGGCCGUGAAGGGAUUGACAACCCCUUUAUUGCGUUGGUUGCGAGUUCUUGGUUUGUUUGUGUAGGUGCGUGGGACUUUCUGAGGAGCUUCCUACUGGAUUGAUACCUUGGUUCUCAAAAACUGAGGGAAAUACUUAUGCUACUGUGCUGCAUUACCCUUUCCUCUUCAAGGAAAACCAACGCAAGCUCAAGACGUAGCAAGAAGGAUUUCUGGCGCCAUUGCCGGGGAAGCUUUCACCAAGUCAAGACAUACCAAGUACCCAUCACAAGCUCAUCUCCCACGCAUUUACAUUAUUUGCCAUUUGCCUCUCGUUUUCCUCUCCCCCACUUCACCCUUGCCGGUUUAUUUGCCCUCUCUUUCCCAAUCUCCGCCUCCUUUUUCGCUUGCCUUUUUCCGUUUGCUUGUGUGUUGGAUUACUUGUUGCCAUGGCACAAGAUAAUACCAAGUUGAGUGAUUUUUCCAAUACCAAUAAUAAUGAUUUCCUUAGUACUCCAAUUGCUCCUCUUAAUGAUACUGAGUCGUGUGAAAUCAAUACUGCCUUGCUGAAUCUUGUUAUGAAAGAUCAAUUCUCUAGCCUUCCUAGUGAAGAUGCUGCUACCCAUCUAAACAAAUUUGUUGAUUUGUGUGAGAUGCAAAAGAAGAAAUAUACGGAUAAUGAUAUUGUUAAAUUGAAGUUAUUUCCGUUUUCACUUAGAAAUCGUGCUAAAGUUUGGUUUUCGUCUUUGCCUAAAAAUAGUAUUGAUUCUUGGAACAAGUGCAAAGAUGCUUUUAUCUCUAAGUAUUUUCCUCCCGCUAAGAUCAUCACUCUUAGGAACGAUAUUAUGAAUUUUAAACAACUUGAUCAUGAGCAUGUUGCCCAAUCUUGGGAAAGAAUGAAGUUGAUGAUUCGCAAUUGCCCUACUCAUGGUUUGAAUUUAUGGAUGGUCAUACAAAACUUUUAUGCUGGUUUGAACUUUGCUUCUAGAAAUCUUUUAGAUUCGGCCGCGGGAGGCACGUUUAUGGAAAUCACAUUAGGAGAUGCUACAAAACUUCUUGAUAAGGCUAAUUAUUCUCAAUGGCACACCGAAAGAUCUACUAGUAAAAAGUGCAUGCUAUAGAAGAAAUCAAUGUUUCGAGUGGAAAGAUGGAUGAACUUAUGAAAUUGUUUGCUACUAAAAAUACUCCUAUUGAUCCCAAUGAUAUGCCUUUGUCUACUUUGAUUGAGAAUAAUAAUGAAUCUAUGGAUGUGAAUUUUGUUGGUAGGAACAGUUUCGGUAACAAUGCUUAUAGAGGAAACUUUAAUUCUAGACCGUUCCCUAGUAAUUCCUCUAAUAAUUAUGGAAAUUCCUACAAUAAUUCUUAUGGUAAUUUUAAUAAGAUGCCCUCUGAUUUUGAGAAUAGUGUGAAAUAGUUUAUGAUUUCUCAAAAGAAUUUUAAUGCUUUGCUUGAAGAAAAAUUGCUCAAAGUUGAUGAGUUGGCUAGGAACGUUGAUAGACUUUCGCUUGAUGUUGAUUCUUUGAAACUUAGAUCUACUCCUCCUAAGCAUGAUAUCAAUGAGUCUCUCAAAGCUAUGAGAAUUUCCAUUGACGAGUGCAAGGAAAGAACCGCUAGAUUGCGUGCUAAGAAAGAAUGCUUUAUAAAAGCAUGUUCUUCUAGUUUCCAUGACAAUAAUGAUGAAGAUCUUAAAGUUAUUGAUGCGUCCCCUAUUAGAUCUUUGUUUUGCAAUAUGAAUCUUGAUAAUGAUGGGACUGAAUAUGAUCCACCUUUGCCUAGAAGGCGUUCCAAAAAUUCGGAGUUUUCAGAUCAUGAUGUAAAAUUUGGUAAAAGUGAGAUUGAAGAGGUUGAAACUCUAGACAAUAAAUUUACUAUCUCGGAUUUCAAGGAAUUUAAUUAUGAUGAUUGUUCUUUAAAAGGGUGUAUUUCCUUGUUGCAAUCCGUUGUUAAUUCUCCUCAUGCUUAUAGUCAAAAUAAAGCUUUUACCAAACAUAUCGUUGAUGCCUUGAUGCAAUCUUAUGAUGAAAAACUUUAGUUGGAAGUUUCUACACCUAGAAAACUUAAUUAUGAGUGGGAACCUACUAUAAAGAUUAGAAUAAAAGAUUUUGAGUGUUUUGCUUUGUGUGAUUUGGGUGCUAGUGUUUCCACGAUUCCGAAAACUUUAUGUGAUAUUCUAGGUUUCCAUGAUCUUGAUGAUUGCUCUUUGAAUUUGCACCUUGCGGAUUCCACCAUUAAAAAGCCAAUGGGAAGGAUCAAUGAUGUUCUUAUUGUUGCAAAUACAAAUUUGGUGCCCGUGGAUUUUAUCGUUCUUGAUAUAGAUUGCAAUCUUUCUUGUCCUAUUAUUCUUGGUAGACCUUUCCUUAGAACGAUUGGUGCGAUUAUUGAUAUGAAGGAAGGGAAUAUUAGAUUCCAAUUUCCAUUAAGGAAAGGCACGGAGCACUUUCCAAGAAAGAAAGUUAAAUUAACUUACGAAUCUAUCAUGCGAGCCACUUAUGAAUUUAAUGCCAAAGAUGGCACUACUUAGAUCUAUCUUCGCUUUUAUGCCUAGCUAGGGGCGUUAAACGAUAGCGCUAGUUGGGAGGCAACACAACUUUAUUUAUGUUUUUUUUGCUUUUGGUUCUAUUUAGUAAUAAAUUUAUCAUCUACCUUCUUUUAGAUGUGUUUUUAUGUUUUAAUUAGUGUUUGUACCAAGUAGAACCUAUAGGAUAACCUAUGAUGAUCGUUGAUUUGAUUCUGCUGAAAAACAGAAACUUUACGCACAUGAGAAAAAAUUUAGUAAAUCACAUAAAAUUGAUUUUGCGUUGAUUCUUUUUUUUGCUGAUCAAUAGACAAAUUUUCUAGGACUUCCUAUUUUGGUAGAAUUUUUGGGGUUCCAGAAAAUUGCGUUAGUUACAGAUUACUACAGACUGUUCUGUUUUUGACAGAUCUGUUUUUCGUGUGUUGUUUGCUUAUUUUGAUGCAUCUAUGGCUAAUAAAAUAGUUUAUAAACCAUAGAGAAGUUGGAAUAUAGUAGGUUUAACACCAAUAUAAAUAAAGAAUGAGUUCAUUACAGUACCUUAUGUGGUGGUUUUGUUUUCUUUCACUAACGGAGCUUACGAGAUUUCUGUUGAGUUUUGUGUUGUGAAGUUUUCAAGUUUUGGGUAAAGAUUUGAUGGACUAUGGAAUAAGGAGUGGCAAGAGCCUAAGCUUGGGGAUGCCCAAGGCACCCCAAGAUAUUCAAGAAUAGCCAAAAGCCUAAGCUUGGGGAUGCCCCGGGAAGGCAUCCCCUCUUUCGUCUUCGUUCAUUGGUAACUUUACUUGGAGCUAUAUUUUUAUUCACCACAUGAUAUGUGUUUUGCUUGGAGCGUCGUGUAUUAUAUGAGUCUUUGCUUUUUAGUUUACCACAAUCAUCCUUGCUGUACACACCUGUUGGGAGAAGCCUACUUGAUUAGAAUUUGCUAGAAUACUCUAUGUGCUUCACUUAUAUCUUUUGAGCUUGAUAGUUUUUGCUCUAGUGCUUCACUUAUAUCCUUUAGAGCACGGCGGUGGAUUAAUUUUAAAGAAAUUUCUAGUCUCUCAUGCUUCACUUAUAUUAUUUUGAGAGUCUUUUAGAACAGCAUGGUAUUUGCUAUGGUUAUAAAAUUGGUCCUAGAAUGGUAGGCAUCCAAGUUGGGUAUAAUAAAAACUAUCAUAGGAAGUGAAUUGGAUGCUAUGAUCAAUUUGAUACUUGAUAAUUGUUUUGAGAUAUGGAGGUAGUGAUAUUAAAGUCAUGCUAGUUGGGUGAUUAUGAAUUUAAAGAAUGCUUGUGUUGAAGUUAGCAAGUCCCGUAGCAUGCACGUAUGGUUAAAGUUGUGUGACAAAUUUGAAACAUGAAGUGUACCUGGCUUGUGCAUCCUUAUGAGUGGCGGUCAGGGACGAGCGAUGGUCUUUUCCUACCAAUCUGUCCCCCUAGGAGCAUGCGCGUAGUACUUGAUUUUUGAUGACUUCUAAAUUUUUGCAAUAAUUAUAUGAGUUCUUUUGACUAAUGUUGAGUCCAUGAAUUAUACGCACUUUUACCUUUCCACCAAUGCUAGCCUCUUCGGUACUGAGCAUUGCCCUUUCUCACCUUGAGAGUUGGCGCAAACUUCGCCGGUGCAUCCAAACCCCGUGAUAUGAUACGCUCUAUCACACAUAAACCUCCUUAUAUCUUCCUCAAAAAGCCACCAUACCUACCUAUUAUGGCAUUUCCAUAGCCAUUCCGAGAUAUAUUGCCAUGCAACUUUCCACCGUUCUGUUCAUCAUCAUCAUGACAUACUUUACUUUUGUCAUAUUGCCAUUGCAUGAUCAUGUAGUUGACAUCGUAUUUGUGGCAAAGCCACCAUGCAUAAUUUUUUCAUACAUGUCACUCUUGAUUCAUUGCACCAUCCUGGUACACCGCCGGAGGCAUCCAUAUAGAGUCAUAUCUUGUUCUAGUUUUGAGUUGUAAUUCAUAUGUUGUAAUCAAUCAAAGUGUGAUGAUCAUCAUUAUUAGAGCAUUUCCCAAAAAGAAAAAAGAAAGAAAAAAAAGAAAGGCCAAAAGAAAAAAAAGAAAGGCCCAAAAAAAGAAAAAAAAAAGAAGAAAAGAAAGAAAGAAAGAAAGAAAAUAAAUAAAAGGGCAAUGUUACUAUCUCUUUUUCCAUACUUGUGCUUCAAAGUAGCACCUUGUUCUUCAUGUAGUGAGUCUCAUAUAUUGUGCUUCAAAGUAGCACCAUGUUUUUCAUAUAGUGAGUCUCAUAGGUUGUCUUUUUCAUACUAGUGGGAAUUUUUUUUCAUUAUAGAACUUGGCUUGUAUAUUCCUACGAUGGGCUUCCUCAAAUGCCCUAGGUCUUCGUGAGCAAGCAAGUUGGAUGCACACCCACUUAGUUUCUUUUGUUGAGCUUUCAUUCAUUCAUAGCUCUAGUGCAUCCGUUGCAUGGCAAUCCCUACUCCUCAUGUUGACAUCAAUUGAUGGGCAUCUCCAUAGCCCGUUGAUUAUCCUCGUCGAUAUGAGACUUUCUCCUUUUUUGUCUUCUCCACACAAUCCCCAUCAUCAUAUUCUAUUCCACCCAUAGUGCUAUAUCCAUGGCUCACGCUCAUGUAUUGCGUGAAGGUUGAAAAAGUUUGAGAUUAUUUAAGUGCGAAACAAUUGCUUGGCUUGUCAUCGGGGGUAUAGAAGUUGGGAAUAUUUUUGUGUGACAAAGAUGAAGCAUAGCCUAACUAUAUGAUUUUGUAGGGAUAAACUUUCUUUAGCCAUGUUAUUUUGAGAAGACAUAAUUGCUUUUAUUAGUAUGCUUGAAGUAUUACUAUUUCUUUUAUCAAUACGAACUUUUAUUUUGAAUCAUUUGGAUCUGAACAUUCAUGCCACAAUCAAGGAAAUUACUUUGAGAAUUAUGCUAGGUAGCAUUCCACAUCAAAAAUUCUGUUUUUUAUCAUUUACCUACUCGAGGACGAGCAGGAAUUAAGCUUGGGGAUGCUUGAUACGUCUCCAACGUAUCUAUAAUUUUUUAUUGUUCCAUGCUAUUAUAUUACCCCUUUUGGAUGUUUAUGGGCUUUAUUUUACACAUUUAUAUCAUUUUUGGGACUAACCUACUAACUGGAGGCCCAACCCGCAUUGCUGUUUUUUUGCCUAUUUCAGUAUUUCGAAGAAAAGGAAUAUCAAACGGAGUCCAAACGGAAUGAAACCUUCGGAAGCGAUCUUUUUGGAACAAACGUGAUCCAGAGGACUUGGAGUGCAAGUCAAGAAGCAGCCAAGGCGGCCACGAGAGGGUAGGGCGCGCCCUCCCCUAUAUGGCGCACCCCUGUCUCGUGGGCCCCUCGGGCGGCCACCGACCUACUUCUUCCUCCUAUAUAUACCUACGUACCCCGAAACCAUCCAGGGAGCACCCGAAACACAAUUUCCACCGCCGUAACCUUCUGUAUCCGUGAGAUCCCAUCUUGGAGCCUUCGUCGGCGCUCCGCCGGAGGGGGAAUCGAUCACGGAGGGCUUCUACAUCAACACCAUAGCCCCCCCGAUGAGUUGUGAGUAGUUUACCACAGACCUUCGGGUCCAUAGUAAUUAGCUAGAUGGCUUCUUCUCUCUUUUUGGAUCUCAAUACAAUGUUCUCCCCCUCUCUUGUGGAGAUCUAUUCGAUGUAAACUCUUUUUGCGGUGUGUUUGUCGAGAUCCGAUGAAUUGUGGGUUUAUGAUCAAGUUUUAUCUAUGAGAAGUAUUUGAAUCUCUGAAUUCUUUUAUGUAUGAUUGAGUUAUCUUUGCAAGUCUCUUCGAAUUAUCAGUUUGGUUUGGCCUACUAGAUUGAUUUUUCUUGCCAUGGGAGAAGUGUUUAGCUUUGGGUUCAAUCUUGCAGUGUCCUUACCCAGUGACAGAAAGGGUUGCAAGGCACGUAUUGUAUUGUUGCCAUCGAGGAUAAAAAGAUGGGGUUUAUAUCAUAUUGCAUGAGUUUAUCCCUCUACAUCAUGUCAUCUUGCUUAAAGCGUUACUCUGUUCUUAUGAACUUAAUUUCUAGAUGCAGGUAGGAGUCGGUCGAUGAGUGGAGUAAUAGUAGUAGAUGCAGGCAGGAGUCGGUCUACUUGUCACGGACGUGAUGCCUAUAUACAUGAUCAUGCCUAGAUAAUCUCAUAAUUAUUCGCUUUUCUAUCAAUUGCUCGACAGUAAUUUGUUCACCCACCGUAAUACUUAUGCUAUCUUGAGAGAAGCCUCUAGUGAAACCUAUGGCCCCGGGGUCUAUCUUCUAUCAUAUUUGCUUCCGAUAUACUUUUACUUGCAUCUUUACUUUUUGCAUCUAUAUUAAAAAAUACCAAAAAUAUAUUUACUUUAUCAUAUCAUCUCUAUUAGAUGUCACUUUCGCAAGUGGCCUUGAAGGGAUUGACAACCCCUUUAUUGCGUUGGUUGCGAGUUCUUGGUUUGUUUGUGUAGGUGUGUGGGACUUUCUAAGGAGCUUCCUACUGGAUUGAUACCUUGGUUCUCAAAAACUGAGGGAAAUACUUACGCUACUGUGCUGCAUCACCCUUUCCUCUUCAAGGAAAACCAACGCAAGCUCAAGACGUAGCACCUCAACCUUGGAAGUGAAGCCUCCCUGAUAGGGCAAAUUAAGAAGCCCAAGAUCGAGUUUAUCCCUUUUCGUCUCUUGCAGGAAAACAAACAGGAACUAUGUAAAAGGAUAUUAACCCUUGAGCGGGAGAUCGAUGAUCUAAGGGAGCAAAAUUCCAUUCUCAAGGACAAGUUGAGAAGGAAGCCUACAUCACCAACAACUCCAUCAUCACCACCUCCGAGGACAUAACCACAUGGGUAUGGGCACUCCCCUUGGCAACUGCCAAGCUUGGGGGAGGUGCCCCGGUAUCUGUUGGGGAUCGUAGCAGAAUUUUAAAAUUUCCUACGCAUCACCAAGAUCCAUCUAUGGAGUAUACUAGCAACGAGGGGAAAGGAGUGCAUCUACAUACCCUUGUAGAUCGCGAGCGGAAGCGUUCCAAUGAACGGGGUUGAUGGAGUCGUACUCGCCGUGAUCCAAAUCACCGGUGACCGAGUGCCGACGGACGGCACCUCCGCGUUCAACACACGUACGGAGCAGCGACGUCUCCUCCUUCUUGAUCCAGCAAGGGGUAAGGAGAGGUUGAUGGAGAUCCAGCAGCACGACGGCGUGGUGGUGGAUGUAGCGGGAUCUCGGCAGGGCUUCGCCAAGCUUCUGCGAGAGGGAGAGGUGUUGCAGGGGGAGAGGGAGGCGCCAAGGGCUGUGGUGCUGCUGCCCUCCCUCCCCCCGACUAUAUAUAGGCCCCCUGGGAGGGGGGCGCCGGCCUGGAUCCCAUCUAAAGGGGGGGUGGCGGCCAAGGGGGGGGGGAAACUUCCCCCCCAAGUCAAGUGGGGCGCCCCCCACCCCUAGGGUUUCCAACCCUAGGCGCAGGGGGAGGCCCAAGGGGGGCGCCCCAGCCCACUAAGGGCUGGUGCCCUUCCCUCUUCAGCCCAUGGGGUCCUCCGGGACAGGUGGCCCCACCCGGUGGACCCCCGGGACCCUUCCGGUGGUCCCGUUACAAUACCGAUAACCCCCGAAACUUUCCCGGUGGCCGAAACUGGACUUCCCAUAUAUAAUUCUUUACUUCCGGACCAUUCCGGAACUCCUCGUGACGUCCGGGAUCUCAUCCAGGACUCCGAACAACUUUCGGGUUUCCGCAUACUCAUAUCUCUACAACCCUAGCAUCACCGAACCUUAAGUGUGUAGACCCUACGGGUUCGGGAGACAUGCAGACAUGACCGAGACGCCUCUCCGGUCAAUAACCAACAGCGGGAUCUGGAUACCCAUGUUGGCUCCCACAUGUUCCACGAUGAUCUCAUCGGAUGAACCACGAUGUCGAGGAUUCAAUCAAUCCCAUAUGUAAUUCCCUUUGUCAAUCGCUAUGUUACUUGCCCGAGAUUCGAUCGUCGGUAUCCCAAUACCUUGUUCAAUCUCGUUACCGGCAAGUCUCUUUACUCGUACCGUAAUGCAUGAUCCCGUGGGUAACUCCUUAGUCAGAUUGAGCUCAUUAUGAUGAUGCAUUACAGAGUGGGCCCAGAGAUACCUCUCCGUCAUACGGAGUGACAAAUCCCAGUCUCGAUCCGUGUCAACCCAACAGACACUUUCGGAGAUACCCGUAGUGUACCUUUAUAGUCACCCAGUUACGUUGUGACGUUUGGCACACCCAAAGCACUCCUACGGCAUCCGGGAGUUACACGAUCUCAUGGUCUAAGGAAAAGAUACUUGACAUUGGAAAAGCUCUAGCAAACAAACUACACGAUCUUUGAGCUAUGCUUAGGAUUGGGUCUUGUCCAUCACAUCAUUCUCCUAAUGAUGUGAUCCCGUUAUCAAUGACAUCCAAUGUCCAUAGUCAGGAAACCAUGACUAUCUGUUGAUCAACGAGCUAGUCAACUAGAGGCUCACUAGGGACAUGUUGUGGUCUAUGUACUCACACAUGUAUUACGAUUUCCGGAUAACACAAUUAUAGCAUGAACAAUAGACAAUUAUCAUGAACAAAGAAAUAUAAUAAUAACCAUUUAUUAUUGCCUCUAGGGCAUAUUUCCAACAGUAUCGUAUCACCGUCACACUCCUAUCUUUACCGUUUUUCUUAGUUCGAUCCUUUUAGUAAUAUCUAGAUCUGUUAGAAUAAAGUUUUGGUAUGAAUUAGUUUUGAGUUUUGCUUUGUGAUAUCUCUAUGUAAUCGAGUCCGUGAGCUAUAUAAUAAAGAUUAGUGUUGAGUCAAGGGCUUUGGUAUCUUGCUAUGAUCUUGAGAAAGUAGAAAGAAUAAAAAGAAUAAAAGAGUUCAUAUUGAUCUUAUGGAUAGUAAUGACUUCACAUAUAAAGAGUAUGAGACUUAAAAGUUGUUGAGAGUUGACAAACAUAGCUUUGGUCAUCGUUGCAAUUAAUAGGAAGUAAUAAAGAAAGAGAGGUUUUCACAUAUAAAUAUACUAUCUUGGACAUCUUUUAUGAUUGUGAGCACUCAUUAAAGUAUGACAUGCUAAAGAGUUGAUGUUGGACAAGGAAGACAACGCAAUGGGUUAUGUUUUCUCACAUCUCAGUUAAAGUAUAUUGUCAUGGAUCAUUCCAACAUGUUGAGCUUGCCUUUCCCCCUCAUGCUAGCCAAAUUCCUUGCACCAAGUAGAGAUACUACUUGUGCUUCCAAAUAUCCUUAAACCCAGUUUUGCCAUGAGAGUCCACCAUACCUACCUAUGGAUUGAGUAAGAUCCUUCAAGUAAGUUGUCAUGUUGCAAGAAAUAAAAAUUGCUCUCUAAAUAUGUAUGACUUAUUAGUAUGGAGAAACUAAGAUUUAUACGAUCGUGUGAUAUGGAAGUAAUAAAAGCGACGGACUGCAUAAUAAAGGUUCAUAUCACAAGUGGCAAUAUAAAGUGAUGUUCUUUUGCAUUAAGAUUUUGUGCAUCCAACCCUAAAAGCACAUGACAACCUCUGCUGCCCUCUGCGAAGGGCCUAUCUUUACUUUAUGUCUUUUACUUUAUGCAAGAGUCAAGGUGAUCUUCACCUUUCCCUUUUUCAUUUUAUCCUUUGGCAAGCACCUCGUGUUGGAAAGAUCCUGAUAUAUAUAUAUAUAUCCAAUUGGAUGUAAGUUAGCAUGAACUAUUAUUGUUGACAUCACCCAAAGGUGAAUAUGUUGGGAGGCCACAUUAUAAGCCCCUAUCUUUCUCAGUGUCCGAUUAAAACUCCAUAACCAUAAGUAUUGCGUGAGUGUUAGCAAUUGUAGAAGACUAUAUGAUAGUUGAGUAUGUGGACUUGCUGAAAAUCUCUAUUCUUGACGCUUUCCGAUGUUAUGAUAAAUUGCAAUUGCUUCAAUGACUGAGAUUAUCAUUUGUUAGUUCUCAAUGAAGUUUCUGAACCAUACUUGACAUUGUGAAUAGAUUGUUACUUGAGCAUAAGAAAUUAUAUGACAAAAUCUAUAUAUGUUGCUGUUAUAAGAAUGAUCAUGAUGCCCUCAUGUCCGUUUUUUAUUGAUAUUUAUUGCAUUAUGGGCUGUUAUUACACGUUAUGUCACAAUACUUAUGGCUAUUCUCUCUUAUUUUACAAGGUUUAUCAUGAAGAGGGAGAAUGCCGGCAGCUGGGAUUCUGGCUGGAAAAGGAGCAAAUAUUGGAAACCUAUUCUGCACAGCUCCAAAAGUCCUGAAACCCCACGAAAGUCAUUUUUGGAAUUAAUAAGAAUUAUUGAGCAAAGAAAGUACCAGAGGGGGCCCACACCCUGGCCACGAGGGUGGGGAGCGCGCGCCCCCUGUCUCGUGGGCCCCCUGGUGGCCCUCCGGUGCCCAUCUUCUGCUAUAUGAAGGCUUUUACCCUGGAAAAAAAUCAUAAGCAAGCUUACGGGACGAAACUCCGCCGCCACGAGGCAGAACCAAUCUAGGGCUCCGGCAGAGCUGUUCUGCCGGGGAAACUUCCCUCCGGGAGGGGGAAAUCAUCACCAUCAUCAUCACCAACAAUCCUCUCAUCGGGAGGGGGUCAAUCUCCAUCAACAUCUUCACCAGCACCAUCUCCUCUCAAAACCCUAGUUCAUCUCUUGUAUCCAAUCUUGUAUCAAAACCACAAAUUGGUACCUGUGGGUUGCUAGUAGUGUUGAUUACUCCUUGUAGUUGAUGCUAAUUGGUUUACUUGGUGGAAGAACAUAUGUUCAGAUAUCCUUAAUGCAUAUUAAUACUCCUCUAAUCAUGAACAUGAAUAUGCUUUGUGAGUAGUUACGUUUGUUCCUGAGGACAUGGGUGAAGUCUUGCUAUUAGUAGUCAUGUGAAUUUGGUAUUCGUUCGAUAUUUUGAUGAGAUGUAUGUUGUCUCUCCUCUAGUGGUGUUAUGUGAACGUCGACUACAUGACACUUCACCAUUAUUUGGGCCUAGAGGAAGGCAUUGGGAAGUAAUAAGUAGAUGAUGGGUUGCUAGAGUGACAGAAGCUUAAACCCUAGUUUAUGCGUUGCUUCGUAAGGGGCUGAUUUGGAUCCACUAGUUUCAUGCUAUGGUUAGGUUUACCUUAAUACUUCUUUUGUAGUUGCGGAUGCUUGCAAUAGGGGUUAAUCAUAAGUGGGAUGCUUGUCCAAGAAAGGGCAGUACCCAAGCACUUCAGGAUGUUCUUGACCGCUGUCCAGUGUUCCAUGCCGGGAUUACUUUGGUACCUUCCUACCAAACUUACGGCAAGGUUUACAUCAGGUCUGGUACACAACAUGGCAUCCAUAAUAGACCCUAUGGCCGAGGCAUAGGGGAUGACACUCAUCUUUUCUCUAUCUUCUGCCGUGGUCGGGCAUUGAGCCGUGCUCAAUUGCACACCUUGCAAUACAGGCAAGAACCCCUUCUUGGACUGAUCCAUAUUGAACUUCUUCAAUAUCUUGUCAAGGUACGUACUCUGUGAAAGACCAAUGAGGCGUCUUGAUCUAUCUCUAUAGAUCUUGAUGCCUAGUAUAUAAGCAGCUUCUCCAAGGUCUUUCAUUGAAAAACACUUAUUCAAAUAGGCCUUUAUACUUUCCAAGAAUUCUAUAUCAUUUCCCAUCAAUAGUAUGUCAUCCACAUAUAAUAUGAGAAAUGCUACAGAGCUCCCACUCACUUUCUUGUAAACACAGGCUUCUCCAUAAGUCUGUGUAAAUCCAAACGCUUUGAUCAUCUCAUCAAAGCGAAUGUUCCAACUCCGAGAUGCUUGCACCAACCCAUAGAUUGAGCGCUGGAGCUUGCAUACUUUGUUAGCAUUCUUAGGAUCGACAAAACCUUCUGGCUGCAUCAUAUACAAUUCUUCCUUAAGGAAGCCGUUAAGGAAUGCCGUUUUGACGUCUAUUUGCCAUAUCUCAUUAUCAUAGAAUGCGGCAAUUGCUAACAUGAUUCGGACGGACUUCAGCUUCGCUACGGGUGAGAAAGUCUCAUCGUAGUCAACCCCUUGAACUUGUCGAUAACCCAUAGCGACAAGUCGAGCCUUAUAGAUGGUCACAUUACAAUCCGCGUCUGUCUUCUUCUUAAAGAUCCAUUUAUUUUCUAUGGCUCGCCGAUCAUCGGGCAAGUCAGUCAAAGUCCAUACUUCGUUUUCAUACAUGGAUCCUAUCUCGGAUUUCAUGGCUUCUAGCCAUUUGUCGGAAUCCGGGCCCGCCAUCGCUUCUUCAUGGUUCGAAGGUUCACCGUUGUCCAACAACAUGAUUUCCAGGACAGGGUUGCCGUACCACUCUGGUGCGGAACGUGUCCUUGUGGACCUACGAAGUUCAACAGUAACUUGAUCCGAAGCUUCAUGAUCAUCAUCAUUAACUUCCUCCCCAGUCGGUGUAGGCACCACAGGAAUAUCUUCCUGCGUUGCGCUACUUUCCGGUUCGGAAGGGGUGACUAUCACCUCAUCAAGUUCCACUUUCCUCCCACUUACUUCCUUCGAGAGAAACUCUUUCUCCAGAAAGGACCCGUUUUUGGCAACAAAGAUUUUGCCUUCGGAUCUGAGGUAGAAGGUAUACCCAACGGUUUCCUUAGGGUAUCCUAUGAAGACGCAUUUUCCGACUUUGGUUCGAGCUUUUCAGGUUGAAGUUUCUUGACAUAAGCAUCGCAUCCCCAAACUUUUAGAAACGACAGCUUAGGUUUCUUCCCAAACCAUAAUUCAUACGGUGUCGCCUCAACGGAUUUCGACGGAGCCCUAUUUAAAGUGAAUGUGGCAGUCUCUAAAGCAUAGCCCCAAAAUGAGAGCGGUAGAUCGGUAAGAGACAUCAUAGAUCGCACCAUAUCCAAUAGAGUGCGAUUACGACGUUCGGACACACCAUUUCGCUGAGGUGUUCCAGGCGGCGUGAGUUGUGAAACUAUUCCACAUUUCCUUAAGUGUGUACCAAAUUCGUGACUGAAACAUUCUCCUCCACGAUCUGAUCGUAAGAACUUUAUUUUCCUGUCACGUUGAUUCUCAACCUCACUCUGAAAUUCCUUGAACUUUUCAAAGGUUUCAGACUUGUGUUUCAUUAGGUAGACAUACCCAUAUCUACUUAAAUCAUCAGUGAGAGUGAGAACAUAACGAUAGCCACCGCGAGCCUCAACACUCAUUGGACCGCACACAUCUGUAUGUAUGAUUUCCAAUAAGUUGGUUGCUCGCUCCAUCGUUCCAGAGAACGGAGUCUUGGUCAUCUUACCCAUGAGGCAUGGUUCGCACGUGUCAAAUGAUUUGUAAUCAAGAGACUCCAAAAGUCCAUCUGCAUGGAUCUUCUUCGUGCGUUUGACACCAAUGUGACCAAGGCGGCAGUGCCACAAGUAAGUGGAACUAUCGUUAUCAACUUUACAUCUUUUGGUAUUCACACUAUGAAUAUUUGUAACAUCAUGUUCGAGAUUCAUCAAGAAUAAACCAUUGACCAGCGGGGCAUGACCAUAAAGCAUAUCUCUCAUAUAAACAGAACAACCAUUAUUCUCGGAUUUAAAUGAGUAGCCAUCUCGAAUUAAACAAGAUCCAGAUACAAUGUUCAUGCUCAAAGCUGGCACUAAAUAACAAUUAUUGAGGUUUAAAACUAAUCCCGUAGGUAAAUGCAGAGGUAGCGUGCCGACGGCGAUCACAUCGACCUUGGAACCAUUCCCGACGCGCAUCGUCACCUCGUCCUUCGCCAGUCUCCGCUUAUUCCGCAGCUCCUGCUUUGAGUUACAAAUAUGAGCAACCGCACCGGUAUCAAAUACCCAGGAGCUACUACGAGUACUGGUAAGGUACACAUCAAUUACAUGUAUAUCACAUAUACCUUUAGUGUUGCCGGCCUUCUUGUCCGCUAAGUAUUCGGGGCAGUUCCGCUUCCAGUGACCACUUCCCUUGCAAUAAAAGCCAGUCUCAGGCUUGGGUCCAGUCCUUGGCUUCUUCCCGGCAACUGGCUUACCGGGCGCGGCAACUCCCUUGCCUUCUUUCUUGAAGUUCUUCUUACCCUUGCCUUUCUUGAACUUAGUGGUUUUAUUCACCAUCAACACUUGAUGUUCCUUUCUGAUCUCCACCUCCGCUGAUUUCAGCAUUGAAUAUACCUCAGGAAUGGUCUUUUCCAUCCCCUGCAUAUUGAAGUUCAUCACAAAGCUCUUGUAGCUUGGUGGAAGCGACUGAAGGAUUCUGUCAAUGACCGCGUCAUCCGGGAGAUUAACCCCCAGUUGAGUCAAGCGGUUGUGCAACCCAGACAUUUUGAGUAUGUGCUCACUGACAGAACAGUUUUCCUCCAUCUUACAACUGAAGAACUUGUCGGAGACUUCAUAUCUCUCGACCCGGGCAUGAGCUUGGAAAACCAUUUUCAGCUCUUCGAACAUCUCAUAUGCUCCGUGUUGCUCAAAACGCUUUUGGAGCUCCGGUUCUAAGCCGUAAAGCAUGCCGCACUGAACGAGGGAGUAAUCAUCAACACGCUGCUGCCAAGCGUUCAUAACGUAUUGGUUCUCUGGGAUGGGUGCGUCAACUAGCGGUGCAUCUAGGACAUAAUCUUUCUUGGCAGCUAUGAGGAUGAUCCUCAGGUUCCGGACCCAGUCCGUAUAGUUGCUGCCAUCAUCUUUCAGCUUGGUUUUCUCUAGGAACGCGUUCAAGUUGAGGGCAACGUGGGCCAUUUGAUCUACAAGACAUAUUGUAAAGAUUUUAGACUAAGUUCAUGAUAAUUAAGUUCAUCUAAUCAAAUUAUUCAAUGAACUCCCACUCAGAUAGACAUCCCUCUAGUCAUCUAAGUGAAACAUGAUCCGAGUUAACUAGGCCGUGUCCGAUCAUCACGUGAGACGGACUAGUCAAGAUCGGUGAACAUCUCCAUGUUGAUCGUAUCUUCUAUACGACUCAUGCUCGACCUUUCGGUCUUCCGUGUUCCGAGGCCAUGUCUGUACAUGCUAGGCUCGUCAAGUCAACCUUAGUGUAUUGCGUGUGUUCCAAGGCCAUGUCUGUACAUGCUAGGCUCGUCAACACCCGUUGUAUGCGAACGUUAGAAUCUAUCACACCCGAUCAUCACGUGGUGCUUCGAAACAACGAACCUUCGCAACGGUGCACAGUUAGGGGGAACACUUUCUUGAAAUUAUUAUAAGGGAUCAUCUUACUUACUACCGUCGUUCUAAGCAAAUAAGAUGCAAAACAUUAUAAACAUCACAUGCAAUCAAAUAGUGACAUGAUAUGGCCAAUAUCAUUCUGCUCCUUUCAUCUCCAUCUUCGGGGCGUCAUGAUCAUCUUCGUCACCGGCAUGACACCAUGAUCUCCAUCAUCACGAUCUCCAUCAUUGUGUCUUCAUGAAGUUGUCACGCCAACGAUUACUUCUACUUCUAUGGCUAACGCGUUUAGCAAUAAAGUAAAGUAAUUUACAUGGCGUUAUUCAAUGACACGCAGGUCAUACAAAAAUAAACACAACUCCUAUGGCUCCUGCCGGUUGUCAUACUCAUCGACAUGCAAGUCGUGAUUCCUAUUACAAGAAUAUGAUCAAUCUCAUACAUCACAUAUAUCAUUCAUCACAUCUUCUGGCCAUAUCACAUCACAAGGCAUAUGCUGCAAAAACAAGUUAGAUGCCCUCUAGUUGUUGUUGCAUGUUUUUACGUGGCUUCUAUAGGUUUCUAGCCAGAACGUUUCUUACCUACGUAAAACCACAACGUGAUAUGCCAAUUACUAUUUACCCUUCAUAAGGACCCUUUUCAUCGAAUCCGAUCCGACUAAAGUGGGAGAGACAGACACCCGCUAGCCACCUUAUGCAACUAGUGCAUGUCAGUCGGUGGAACCUGUCUCACGUAAGCGUACGUGUAAGGUCGGUCCGGGCCGCUUCAUCCCACGAUGCCGCCGAAUCAAGAUAAGACUAGUAGCGGCAAGUAAAUUGACAUGAUCUACGCCCACAACUGCUUUGUGUUCUACUCGUGCAUAGUAACUACGCAUAGGCCUGGCUCAUGAUGCCACUGUUGGGGAUCGUAGCAGAAUUUUAAAAUUUCCUACGCAUCACCAAGAUCCAUCUAUGGAGUAUACUAGCAACAAGGGGAAAGGAGUGCAUCUACAUACCCUUGUAGAUCGCGAGCGGAAGCGUUCCAAUGAACGGGGUUGAUGGAGUCGUACUCGCCGUGAUCCAAAUCACCGAUGACCGAGUGCCGAACGGAUGGCACCUCCGCGGUCAACACACGUACGGAGCAGCGACGUCUCCUCCUUCUUGAUCUAGCAAGGGGAAAGGAGAGGCUGAUGGAGAUCCAGCAGCACGACGGCGUGGUGGUGGAUGUAGCGGGAUCUCGGCAGGGCUUCGCCAAGCUUCUGCGAGAGGGAGAGGUGUUGCAGGGGGAGAGGGAGGCGCCAAGGGCUGUGGUGCUGCUGCCCUCCCUCCCCCCAACUAUAUAUAGGCCCCCUGGGAGGGGGGGCGCCGGCCUGGAUCCCAUCUAAAGGGGGGGGCGGCGGCCAAGGGGGGAAACUUCCCCCCCAAGUCAAGUGGGGCGCCCCCACCCCUAGGGUUUCCAACCCUAGGCGCAGGGGGAGGCCCAAGGUGGGUGCCCCAGCCCACUAAGGGCUGGUUCCCUUCCCUCUUCAGCCCAUGGGGCCCUCCGGGACAGGUGGCCCCACUCGGUAGACCCCCGGGACCCUUCCGGUGGUCCCGGUACAAUACCGAUAACCCCCGAAACUUUCCCGGUGGCCGAAACUGGACUUCCUAUAUAUAAUUCUUCACCUCCGGACCAUUCCCGAACUCCUCGUGACGUCCGGGAUCUCAUCCGGGACUCCGAAAAACUUUCGGGUUUCCGCAUACUCAUAUCUCUACAACCCUAGCGUCACCGAACCUUAAGUGUGUAGACCCUACGGGUUCGGGAGACAUGCAGACAUGACUGAGACGCCUCUCAGGUCAAUAACCAACAGCGGGAUCUGGAUACCCAUGUUGGCUCCCACAUGUUCCACGAUGAUCUCAUCGGAUGAACCACGAUGUCGAGGAUUCAAUCAAUCCCGUAUGCAAUUCCCUUUGUCAAUCGGUAUGUUACUUGCCCGAGAUUCGAUCGUCGGUAUCCCGAUACCUUGUUCAAUCUCGUUACUGUAGGGUAACGCGACAAAAAACAAAAAAAAUUCGACCUACGCACCAGCCCAGGACCACUAUGGAGACUGCAUACAUGGUUUGAUCUUUUUCGUUACCGACUCGAAGCGCAGCGGGAAGUAGAGUCGAUGACGAUCGGCGGUGCAGAUCCCCGCAGCUAGGAUUUACAACCUCCCAACCGUGAGGAUGUAUACCCUCAUCUGCUCCUUAGACAGCCCUCCGGGAGGCGGUCGAACAGCCCCCGGACGGUGUCGCGGACAGCCCUUCGGGAGGACCUUCAAAACUCGAACGGUCACUCGGACAGCCCUUCGGGAGGACCUUCGAAACUCGGACGGUCACAUGGACAGCCCUUCGGGAGGCACUCAUGAACUAAGACCGAAACUACGAUCUCUCUACAGAGUUGCACACAUACGGUGUCAUCUAUCCGGCAGGGCUUCGCCGUCCAGAACUAGUUGCUGCCGGAACCCAAACAGCCUUUCGUCUCUAUGAAACUAUUUUGUGGGGAGGGAGAGAGAAGCCAGAUCAUUGCAUGGCACUUGUAUGUGAGAAGGGAUGAGGUUUGGGCUGCCCACUCCUCCUCUAUUUAUAGGAAAGCCAAUGGGUAGGGAUGGCUCACAAAAACCCAAAAUGCCCAUGCAAAUGUCACACAUGAAGGGCAUAAUGGGGAGUGAAGUGGAGCUCCAUGGAGCCCCACACAUGUGGCCGGCCAACCCCCUUGGGGGACCCCCAUGAGGAGCAUGCUUGGCCCCCAAGCCCUUCUAGAAGCCUUUUGGAGAUAUCCCAAAAGGUGACUCACCAUAAAAUAUCCCAAAAAGCACUUUCACUAUUCACGAUGACAUUUUUCAGCGUCUGUUCGAACUGAAAAUAUUUAUAUGGACUUAGAACAUUUCCAGUACCCACCAAAAUUAUUUUCAACGCGUUCUGAAACAAUUCCGGUUUAGUGAUUUUCAUCUGCGAAAAGCAUCUGAAGUGGCUCCGGCAGCUCCGGAACAUUUCCGGUUUUUAUCUCAGAAAAUUCCAAAAAGCUUCCAGAAUGAUUCUGGCAUCCUCCAAGAAUUAUCAGGCAUGUGCCGAAACCAAUUUGACUUAAUGGUGUAUCCCGAAACAACUUUUCGGUAUCAUCGAAACUUAUCCGAUGACCUCUCUCUGCGGUACGAUUCCGCUGUCCGAAACUUUUCGGUGUCCGAAACUUUUUCGGUGAUUUUCUCUCAGACUCCCUGUCUAGUAUUCAGCAGAUAGAUGACCCUUAAGCGUGUGACCCUAUAGGUUCGGUGAAGUAUAGACAUGACCUGGAACCCCUUCCGAUCAAUGAUCAACAUCGGAGCCGUGGACACCCAUAUUGACUCCUAUACCCACACGAAUGAAUAUUCGAGUGAACCUCCAGUUGCAGUGAGCUAUUCCUGUUGCUUCGCGAUAUGUCACAAACACCCAAGGUGAGAUUUAUUGCAUGCCCAUGGACGAACAAUUUGUCCACCAUGCAAGUUACCUCGUUACCGGUUUUGUUCUCUUUUCUCGUUUCCGUGCCGGCAUCCCAGUGAUCAAAUCACACUGUGUCUGGCCAGACGAUGAUGGAUACCGUAAUACCGAGAGGGCCCGAGAAUAUCUCUCCAUCGCCGGAGGAGCAAAUCCCAAUCUUGAGCUAUCAAGUUACUUGACACACUUUUCCAUGAACCCGUAAGCCGCCGUAAUAGCCACCCAUUUACGGAUGACGUUUAACAAACCCCAAAGUUCAUGAAGCAAGCAUGAAGAAACUCGAUACUCUCAUGGUCUAAGGAAUCAUGCAAACGUUAACCAUCUCUGUGUUAUGUACCAUUAACUUGUGACGAAUGAAUCUCUUAGCAUAACAUCAUGCCGGGUCGAUUCAACACAAAUGUUCUCUUAACAUUGUGCCCUCAAGGUUGCUGACAUAGACAUGCCCAUGAUCAGGAAAACAUAACCAUCACGCAACACUUGAGCUAGUCUUAGAGGCCAGACUAGGAAUACAUUUUACCGUUUAUUAUUCCACACGUGCAUAUGAGUCUUCCUCCGAGCCUCGUGGUUAUUGCAGACUCGAGAACCAUAGCAGUUAUUGCAUGGAACAUAAACAUAAUUAUGAACUCGGAGAUAAAUAAUAUCAUUUAUUAUUGCCUCUAGGGCAUAUCUCCUACAGACUCCCACUUGCACUAGAUUCAAUAAUCUAGCUUAUGCUAAUGCACUUCACACCUGUGGCACACCGGUGUAACUAUGCUUCGCUUGUGGUAUAGCCUGAUGUCCAACGGAUCUGACGACUUCAGUUCCGUGUGUAUCUUUGCAUGUCCUCGCGUUUUCACGUUUUCACAAAAUUCAUAUUUUGUGUGGACUUGGCUUUGUAUGUAUGUGAAUCACAGGUCGAACCUGGAUUCCUCAGACUGAGUUAUGGAGCAACUACCUGCAGUAGUGUCCCAUUGUCAAAAGCCAUCUUGGAACUAUACUAAGUUCAUGAAUGAACUAUAUGAUUCAACAUCUUCUUUGUCGCUUCUAAAGCGUCAACAUACUUAGCCCUUGUUAUAGAAUUCGCCACAGUAACUAGUUUGAACAAAUUCCAACUAACUGUGCCACCACAUUGUGUGUUACACAAAACCCUUAAUUUAAAUCGAAAAUCACAUGGAGAAAAGAUGAAGACUGUAUCGAUGUAACAUUUUACAACGAACUCUUCAUGAUCUCUGCUUGCGAGAAAACCAUGUCAUCAGUACUUACUCUAGUACACUGUGACAUCUUUCACUGUUGUCCCAUGAUCAGUUAUUUGAUCACUUUGGUAUCCAUACUCGCAACACCUUGGGAGUACCGGACAUAUCUGGUUGUUUUACAUACCAUGGAAUACAUGAUUAAUCCAAACGCAAAAGUGUGUGGAAUCUACAUCAUGUAUUUUACUCAUCAGUGUUUUGGGACACCGAGUCUUGCAAAAACUCUUUCCAUGUGACUUUGGCAAGAAUCACUCCUUGGCGUUUUAAAUGCUAAAAGGUUUUAGCAUCUUGUCAAUAUGUAUUCAUUGCUUAGCCCCAUAAGGUAAAUCUAUCUCCAUAGAUCAUCAUGCCUAAUAUUGAGGAUAUUUAGCCUAAGCACUUCAUCGAAAAACUAUUUUCAAAUGAAGUCCUAAUUCGUGUCAAGAAAUUUAUUUCCAAUUACCAAUGUGCCAAGCACAUAAGGUUUUUAGAAAUAUUAUUACGCUCCCACUUACUUUCUUGAAUUACAAGUAUCUUCGUUACCCAUUGAUGAAGUCAAAACCCCCUUGACCAUUUCAUCAAAACACGAAGAUUCCAACUCCAUUUUGCUCUCUUCUGUCCAUUGCUGGAACUCUGAAGUUUGCAUACCUACUAGCAUCCUAUGGAUCGACAAAUUACUUUGGACUGUAUCAUAUACAAGUCCUAGCUUUCAUUUCCAUCAGAUGGAAAUCCUUUUAUCAUCCAUGUUUCAUAUCUCAUGAUUGAAAUAUGUAUUAAUUGCUAGUUCAACCCGAACCGACUUUAAGCAUCGCUACGAUGAAAACAACCUCAUCGUAGUCAACUCUUGAACUUGUUAUUUCAACAAGUCGAGCUUUAUGGAUAAACAUUUUAUCCGUAUCGGUUUUAAGUUCCAUAAAUAUUCGUUAGACUCUAAGUCUUCCGAAAGGUGUAUCAAGGUUUUAAUCUUGAAUCACUUAUAUGGAAACUAACUCGGGUUGUAUUGGCAUUUAGCCAAUUCCGGAGUCAGGGCCCAUCAACGCUUCCUUGUGUAUCGUAGGUAUAAUGUUGUCUAACAACAAUAUCUCGUUUGCGCACCUGAGAGGUUUGCACGAGCCUUGCCAACGUGGUUCAGCUGCAAGUUCGACCGAAGUUCAUACAUUUUAUUGUAGAGACUUCCGUAUCAGUCACAGUAGGAAACUCUAGAAUCACUUCCAAGGUCUCUUUCCUUUGAUCUGAUGACGUAGAUACUGUUUAUCUCGUCGAGUUGCACUAUUCUCCCACUCACCUUUUUGAAAGAACCAUUCUCUUUAAAAGCACACCGUUUCGCGGCAAAACUAUUUGCCUCGGUAUAGUGAGGGAGGAAUACCCAACAUUUUGGUAUAACCUACAAAGUAGCACUUGUCUGAUUUGGAAUAGGUUUGUAACCUUUUACACAAGCCCCAUAUUCCAAAUGUUAAGAAAAGAUAUAACAUGGUUGGGCGUACCGUACCAUGGCUUCAUUUCAACAGACCCGAUGUAGCUCUUUUCAGUGUAAAAGCCGCAGUCUCUAAAGCAUCACUUUAAAAGGAUAAUGGCAAAUUUAUUUAUGUCAUCUUUGACCUUACCAUGUCAUAAAUGGUUUGAUUACAUCUCCACGGACUUUCCACUUGCAGUGGUGUUCCGGGAGGUGCAAGUUUAUGAAACCCCUUUCACAACUCAUCAGACAUUCGCUAAACAUGUAACUCAAAUAUUCCUUUGUGCAAUCAAAUUGCAGAAACAUAAUUUUCUUGUUACAAUAACUUCUACUUCAUUUUUUAGAACCUUUCGAACGAUUUCAAAAGAUCCAGACUUACGUCUCAUCAAGUAAAUAUCCAUAUAUCUACUUGAGUCAUUUCUGAAGAUAAAUAAAUCCACCACUAACAACACUUAUCGGACUACACACAUCAAAUGUAUGAUCACUAAUAAGUUUGUUGUUCAUUCCUUAUGGCCUGUGAACGGUAUUUUAGUCACUUCACUUUUCGGAGGAAAGUUGCAAGUGUCAGACGAUUCAAAAUCAAAAAGACUUCAAAAUCCAUCAUAAUGGAAUUUUCCAUGCGGGUUUCUCCAAUGUGACCAAAUGUAGCGCCACACUUGUGUGGUAUUCUUUUAGUCUUGCGACAUCUAGCGUCAGUGUUAUGGAUGUAUCAUAUUACCCUCAAUAUUCAUAGCAUACGUCCCAUCGAUGAUGGAAGUAUGGCCCUUAUGUUAUUCAUAAUACUUAACAACAAUUGUUGUUUGUAUGAACAACUCUUUUGCAACAAACAUUGUGCAAUGGGCUAGAGUGUAUGAAACUCUAAAAUGAAUUAUGAAAGUAAACCCAGAGGUAUUGUAUUAUUAUCAAUAUUCAUAACAUACAUCUCAUUCAUAAUGAAAGUAUGGCCCUUGUGUUAUUCAUAACAUCGAACAUAAAAAGUUCUCUUAUGAACAACCUUCUUGCAAGAUACCUUAUGCAACGGGAUAGAGUUUGUAAAACUCUAAAUGAAUUAUGAAAAUAAAUACAGACGGCAAUACACCGAUGGAAGGUAUAGUAACAUUUACCAUGUUCCCUAUGUAUACCUUAACCUCAUUUCUAGCUAGUCUUUCAGGCCAUAGUAGUUCUUACAUCGAGUUGCAACAGAAUGCAAUCGAGCGGGCAUUUUUGUGAUGAACUCACAAUACCCAAGAAUUAGUGAUUAACAUGUUUAACCAUAAUUUGCAAGAACUAUAUCUUUGACCAGCCUUCUAUACAUCAAAAACUUGUAUGACAUUCAUACAUGAGCUGGAUAUUCCAGUCUUCUUUCCUUUUGCCUUUAUACUUCUAGCAGUUUAACUUUUAGUAUUUCUCCUACUCUCAGAAGAAGCACCCAACUUAAGAGUGGCAUUAGCCCCGGACUUCCUAGGCGUGUAAGUCAUACUAACACCCUUUGGACACUUCCUUUCUCUUUAAGUUGUUGAUUUAUUCACCUUUCAUUAUAUGAUAGGCGUUCUUCUGGAUCCCUUUCCCAACAGUCAAAUGCAUAGUAAACACUUUUACUAAUACUUGCAAACAAACAUUGCUUUGUUUGUAUCUGAAAAUAAUUUUUAGAUCCAUGAAUAUCAUAUAACUAUCCCAACUUUCGAAGUUUGGGUUUCAUGGAAGCAAACAUAUUCCACUUGACCGUAACAGAAUUCUAGCUUUUGGAUCGAAGGACGAGAGUCACAUGAUCCAUAGCAUUAGCGAAAGGAUACGGAAAGCAUGCGAUAGGACAAAGUCCUUCUCGGCACUUUUGAGGACAAUCCUCAUAUUAUGUUACCAAUCGUAAAGUUUUAACCAGAUAUUUAACAGCUAUUCAAGUUUAAUAGGGAAGGUGGAAAUGCGAGCCAUUAUUCUACAACUAUUAUGCAAGAAACACUUAAACAGUGUUCAUAAUUAAUUGCACUGGGAAUUAAACAUGUUAAUUCAACAGUGCGCUCCCACUCAAAUCAAUAUCUCUCAUAAUUGAUUUAGAGUGAUUCAAGAUCCAUAUUUCUAUUCGAUGCCGUUGACGGGUUCAUCACUGAUGACACGAAUUUCAAUCGGUAGGCCAACUUGCCGAUCACAUCUCUAUGUGAUUCUUGUUCAUCUUUCGAUGGGCGUGUUCCGAGAUCAGGACUCUCCUGCCUGAACGUCAAAGACAACCAAGUGAUCUUGCUGCGAGGUCUGACCUCACCCGCCUCAUUCCUCUCGAUUCGUUCGUGCUCAUGUGUACAUGGCGCACCCCGAAAAGAUACGAAUUUCAGACGGUGCUACACUUGGGUGAACACUAACUACUUUGAUAUUUUAAGUGAGAGAUCACCCUAAUAAAAAGCGACUACCACGCAAUCAAGAAGGGUGCAUCAUAAGGGAUAAACAUCUCAGGCAAUUCAUAAUAGCAUGAUAUGGUAUAGCCCUUUCUGACGAAGAAGUCUUUCAUUUCUUCGUCUUCGGCAUUCGCGUCAGUGUUCACCUUCGCGAAGAUUGCCACCACCUUGUCGAUGCACCAGAUAAUAUUGCUAUCUCUAUAGCUAACAAAAUAAUGCAUUACAACAAGGUUGACACGCAGGUCAUUAAAGUGCAAUCAUAUGGCUCCAGCCAUCAUGCCGAAUCAUGACACGCAGGUCAUGCUAAUCAAAUUACAUCAUAUAGUCAUCUCAUACAUAAUCGAAUUAGUAUGAGCACUGCUAUACCACAUCACAUGCACAUCCUGCAAAACCAAGUUAGACGCCUCUAAUCGGUUUAUGCAAAAUUUAUUUUACGUGGCUUCUAAGGUUUUGACUUAAACCACAGCUACCAACAUUUUAUCAUCAAGUAUGAUUAUUCAAGUUGCUAGAUUAACAUCUCGGGGUGUAUGAAACACGAGAUAAUUAAAUCUCGAGCCCCAUACUAAACUUCGUCAUACGUAUGACCCCCGUGCAGAUCAUAUCUGCAAUGCCCUUUCAUCUGCGAAUUUCAUCUUUCUUUUGACUACGGCAGAACCCAAAGAACUGAUAGCACUUCCAUGAUCAAUCAGGAUCACGGAUUGCCAGAACUUUGUCAAAUUCCACCAUGCUGUCUCGAGAUUGAGCAAACGCAAAUUCUAGGGAAGCAACAAGAACCUCGGGUAACAGAUUUCAUCUGUCACCCGCAUAAAUAAUUUUCAGCAAUAGAUCUCAUCUACUACCUAAUUAUAUUAUGCAAUACCCAUACAUCUCCAUGUAUUCUAGAUCGAAACCUACAUCUACGCAUAGCACGGCUCUUGAUACCACUGUAGGGUAACGCGACAGAAAACAAAAAAUUUCCGACCUACGCACCAGCCCAGGACCACUAUGGAGACUGCAUACAUGGUUUGAUCUUUUUCUUUACCGACUCGUAGCGCAGCGGGAAGUAGAGUCGAUGACGAUCGGCGGUGCAGAUCCCCGCAGCUAGGAUUUUUUCACGACCGGUUUUUCAAUAAAAUAUUUAUUGAGAGACCAAUCCCUUUUACGGACCAGUAAAGAAGAAUUCCUUCUCACUGGUAGACAAUAUCUUGGUCACAGAAGAAAAAUACCAGGAGUACUGAAUAUAAUACAAGGUUGAGCAGAGACUGCUUAACAAUUUAUUACAUGAACGCCGAUAAGACAUAGCGGCGGAUAGAGUGGCAUAACUACUAACUCACGAUAACAACGGUGGUGGAAAUAUCACCGCGAAGUGGGUGAUAUGACUCCUGAAAACUACAGCUCUUCGAGCGUCGGAGUGAGGCUCGAGGAGACUUAUUGCGGGUGGCGGAAGCGUUUAUGAUACAAGUGACCAAUAUCCAGGAUCGCACAGGACUGACUGGGACUCCUCUAGGCGUCGGACGCACUAUCAAACUCUUCAUCCAAGAGAUCGCCUUCGUCAACAUCUGGCCAAAUCAACAAGCCAGGUGAGUACUAUGAAAGUACUCGCAAGACAGUUCGGACAUAAGAUAUAACAAAUGUAAACAUGAAGCAUAUGAACAGAUUGACCAGCGCGCUCAGACAUAGAGAUAAUAAUGCAUGGGAAAAAUAACAGAGAAGUCGGGCGGUAGUCCUCCCGAAAUCCCAAAAUAAAUACUGGGUGCCAAACGAGGGUCUGAAUGACUCCUCGAGAGGAAACUGCAAGAAUAGUAAUACCGGUGCCAAACGAGGGUCUGAAUGACUCCUCGAGAGGAAACUGCAAGAAUAGUAAUACUGGUGCCAAACGAGGGCCUGAAUGACUCCUCGAGAGGAAACUGCAAGAAUAAAAAUACUGGUGCCAAAUGAGGGUCUGAAUGACUCCUCGAGAGGAAACUGCAAGAAUAAUAAUGCCGCAGUCGGGCGUCAGGGCGACACCACAUAAAGGGCUUAUAACAGAAAAUAAAAGACGAACAUGCCAUAGUCGGACGUCUGAGCGACAUCACAUAAAGGGCUUAUAUUGUAGCUCAAUAAUUCAGUAGCUCGAGAAUAAAAAUUAUUACAAGUACGAGACAAAUAUAAGGUUAGUCCAUCCGCAGGAAUAACAAUCAAACUGGGUUUGCCACUUGAGUUUGUUCACCGGGGAUAAAUUUCCACGAGGAUGGAUAAUGAUAAGCUGAUCACCCUACUUGAUUCAUGGAUACGAUGAUUUGGAAGGAUUUGACUCUGCAGAGUUUGUACUUAACCACAGCCAACGGAUUUCAGUAGUCACGGGGACUAGUUCCGUUUACGGUGUUUUGGAAGAAACACGUCUUACCAGUACACACCCAUUCAACAUUCCGAAGCCAGGGAUCACCCUCGGCAACGUUCAAGAAAAACCUUGAGACGGGGAGGCUACAACCUCGCGUAGCAUGGGAUCAAAUUUCUAUACGCGCGCUCUAAGGGGGUGCUCCCCCUCUCGGUCCCAACCGGAAACACCCAUGCCCCCUGACCAGAUGACUGGCUUUAAUCCAGGGCCAUGGAACCAUCAUCCCGGCCCCUCUGUUUGGUGUGUACACGGAAAGAGGUUACCAACUUACUAAACCGCAUCCUGGCAAAAGAAACAUGUGGUAGCACGGAAGGGAAAAGAACGAUAACGUGACUCCGUCCACGUUAACGUCGGAAUUUGUUGGAUGAUGCAAGGCUGGUACGCUCCAACAGUACCACCUUGCUGCCCUUCAUGUCACCACAUGAUUAGGCCAUCUCUCACUAGAGAUCAUCACAACUUUGGAACAUGCGGGUAGUUGCCUCACAAGCAACGGGGUACUCACCGACACUCAUAUGCCACGCACAAACUUUCACGCAAACAUGCAAAACACCUAUCAUAUCAAAGGUUCAAACAUGCUUGCCUGGUUCGGAGAAGUCGGAGUCUAGCUCGGCGAAGUUCGCGGCUCCGUCACCUCUUCUGGAACCUACGGUAUAGCGAAAAGGCAUACUAACGUGAAAACCAACGCGUGCAUAAAAGUUGUUCUAAAAAAUUUCCAAAUAAAUCCCAUAAAAAACUAGACAAAAUUUUAAGACUGUCAGAAAAAGAAUCACUCAAAAAUCACUUUUUAUUAAAAAGUUAUAAAGGUUUCUGUCCAGGGACUCAUCUAUAAUGAAACAGAAAAGUUCCAGGGGUUUAACUGAGAAAACAGAAAACGCUUCGAAUAGAAAUGCGCAAGCCCACAGAGAAAACGUACUCUGCCCGAAGGCGCCAACAGAAAACGAUUCGAGGGAGAAGAGAAUAGAGGCUGACAGGGGGGUCCACAUGUCAGGAUUGAAAACCUCGCCGGCGCCCGAAGACUGCGGAGGUCGCCGGCGUCGAACCACGGCGAAUCAGGGAGAUCGGAGUGUACCAAGAGCUUCAGCGUGUCCUUCCGCGUCGGUGGGUGGUGGACUUGGUCGUCGGAGAGCACCACGUCGAUGGCGACACUUUCUCCGGCGGACGGCGGCUCGGGUGAUGGUGGAGAACUCCGGUGGUGUGCUGCAAACUUCGAAUUGAAGCGCGGGUCAGAAGGAGGGAUGCACUAGAGGGCUACUGGCAAGAAAAGGGAGGCAGAGGUGCACGCACGGGAGUGAAUCGAGCUGGAUCGCGUGGCGGGUCGUGGCGGCCGGAGUUGAGGAAGGAGACCUCCUCGGGGCUCUUCCAGUGGCUAGGCAGGGUCUUGGUGGAGUGCAGAGGUGGUGUGGGUUCGAGUUGAAGCUCGGGGCCUCUAUUUAUAGGCGAAUCGAGGGGGAGACCGUGAACGGGGUUGCUCCGGCGAGCAAUUACGGCGAGGCAGUGCCUUGGCAGGGAGCUUAAGUGGCCAGGCAGCAUCAGUGAGAUGUACUGGUGCCGUUCCCCUGCUAAUCCUGGUCGGUCUUGGCGUAACGGCGCCGGUCCACGGUGGGUGGCCGCACGGGCACGACGGCGGCAGAGAGCGCGCUCCACGCCCAGCGGUUCACGACGAGGGUGGCAGCGCGCACUGGGGAGUGGAAGGCCACGCGGCGAUCUCCGGUGGCUUGGGCGGCGCUGGGUGGCGCCGUCUGCGCCGCGCCUCUCUCUGGCGGCCGCAAAGCCGCCGCUGGCGUCGGUCACGGGGCGGCGCACCUCCUCCAGCACGUCGCCGACGCCCGCAAAUGUCCAGGCGCUCGUGCGGUGCAGGGACAAGGGGGAGGGGACGGGGAGCAAGGGGCCAACGCGGCACUGUCGAGAUCGACAACAUGUUCUGAAGAAAACGACAGUAGAUCACUGAACUGUAUUUCUGAAUCUCUGAACUUGAUAUUGACAAUGCUCUGCAGGUGUUCGACAGAAUGAUUUGGUGUGAAGAAAAUUUUUCUUGGGGCUGGGACUUGGUGAGGUGACUUCUCAAUGCACCCAGAGGCUGCCUGAUUUUUCUCAGAAUUUUUGGAGAAAGAUUUGAAUGAAUUUCAUCAAGUUUGGCAAAUCUGGUCCAAACUUGCAGCAAGUAUAGUUUGAAAAAUUUGAACUGAAGACCAGUGGAUCUUCAUGGAUCUUGGUUGAGGGUUCAAAGGACUAGGAAGGAGAAUUGGUUUGGGGGUAAAAAUCAAAACAGAAAUGGUAGCUCCUUUGUAAAUCUCCAAGGGCUAGAAUAGAAGGCAGAAAUUGUUUUGAUAAGAUUUAAAUGGAAAAUAAACAUAUGGGGAGGUCCAACUUGCUGGAUUUGAUGCAAAUCAUGAUCCAAAGAUGAGGGAAGGUUUAGGAGAGUGGAUUUGUACUAAGGCCAUGGCAAGAGAGAAUUGUUGAAAGUGGUAAAGGAUUAUUCCAAAAGCUAUAGAGUAUUUUCAAAGAGAUUUUCAAAAGACAUUUUUCCCAAGUGAAAAGUAUUUUGGUUUGAGUCCAAAUAAAAAGCAAGAACCUCCAAGACAAAAACAAGUCUUGGGUGAAUCCAAAUAAAACUCUUGCCAUAAAAAAAUUAUUUUGGAAGGGAGGGUUCUUUUGAAGAAAAAUUUAAAUCACCUCCCUCAAGUCAAAUAAUUUUUUUUUUAAAAUCCAAUCAAAAUUUUGGGUGUCACAGAUUUACAACCUCCCAACCGCGAGGAUGUAUACCCUCAUCUGCUCCUCAGACAGCCCUCCGGGAGGCGGUCGAACACCCCCCCGGACGGUGUCGCGGACAGCCCUUCGGGAGGACCUUCGAAACUCGAACGGUCACUCGGACAACCCUUCGGGAGGACCUUCGAAACUCGGACGGUCACAUGGACAGCCCUUCGGGAGGCACUCAUGAACUAAGACCGAAACUAAGAUCUCUCUACAGAGUUGCACACAUACGGUGUCAUCUAUCCGGCAAGGCUUCGCCGUCCAGAACUAGCUCCUGCCGGAACCCAGACAGCCUUUCGUCUCUACGAAACUAUUUCGUGGGGAGGGAGAGAGAAGCCAGAUCAUUGCAUGGCACUUGUAUGUGAGAAGGGAUGAGGUUUGGGCUGCCCACUCCUCCUCUAUUUAUAGGAAAGCCAAGGGGUAGGGAUGGCUCACAAAAACCCAAAAUGCCCAUGCAAAUGUCACACAUGAAGGGCAUAAUGGGGAGUGAAGUGGAGCUCCAUGGAGCCCCACACAUGUGGCGGGCCAACCCCCUUGGGGGACCCCCAUGAGGAGCAUGCUUGGCCCCCAAGCCCUUCUAGAAGCCUUUUGGAGAUAUCCCAAAAGGUGACUCACCAUAAAAUAUCCCAAAAAGCACUUUCACUAUUCACGACGACAUUUUUCAGCGUCUGUUCGAACUGAAAAUAUUUAUGUGGGCUUAGAACAUUUCCAGUACCCACCAAAAUUAUUUUCAACGCGUUCUGAAACAAUUCCGGUUUAGUGAUUUUCAUCUGCGAAAAGCAUCUGAAGUGGCUCCGGCAGCUCCGGAACAUUUCCGGUUUUUAUCCCAGAAAAUUCCAAAAAGCUUCCAGAAUGAUUCUGGCAUCCUCCAAGAAUUAUCAGGCAUGUGCCGAAACCAAUUUGACUUAAUGGUGUAUCCCGAAACAACUUUUCGGUAUCAUCGAAACUUAUCCGAUGACCUCUCUCUGCGGUACGAUUCCGCUGUCCGAAACUUUUCGGUGUCCGAAACUUUUUCGGUGAUUUUCUCUCAGACUCCCUGUCUAGUAUUCAGCAGAUAUAUGACCCUUAAGCGUGUGACCCUAUAGGUUCGGUGAAGUAUAGACAUGACCUGGAACCCCUUCCGAUCAAUGAUCAACAUCGGAGCCGUGGACACCCAUAUUGACUCCUAUACCCACACGAAUGAAUAUUCGAGUGAACCUCCAGUUGCAGUGAGCUAUUCCUGUUGCUUCGCGAUAUGUCACAAACACCCGAGGUGAGAUUUAUUGCAUGCCCAUGGACGAACAAUUUGUCCACCAUGCAAGUUACCUCGUUACCGGUUUUGUUCUCUUUUCUCGUUUCCGUGUUCCGGCAUCCCAGUGAUCAAAUCACACUGUGUCUGGCCAGACGAUGAUGGAUACCGUAAUACCGAGAGGGCCCGAGAAUAUCUCUCCAUCGCCGGAGGAGCAAAUCCCAAUCUUGAGCUAUCAAGUUACUUGACACACUUUUCCAUGAACCCGUAAGCCGCCGUAAUAGCCACCCAUUUACGGAUGACGUUUAACAAACCCCAAAGUUCAUGAAGCAAGCAUGAAGAAACUCGAUACUCUCAUGGUCUAAGGAAUCAUGCAAACGUUAACCAUCUCUGUGUUAUGUACCAUUAACUUGUGACGAAUGAAUCUCUUAGCAUAACAUCAUGCCGGGUCGAUUCAACACAAAUGUUCUCUUAACAUUGUGCCCUCAAGGUUGCUGACAUAGACAUGCCCAUGAUCAGGAAAACAUAACCAUCACGCAACACUUGAGCUAGUCUUAGAGGCCAGACUAGGAAUACAUUUUACCGUUUAUUAUUCCACACGUGCAUAUGAGUCUUCCUCCGAGCCUCGUGGUUAUUGCAGACUAGAGAACCUUAGCAGUUAUAGCACGGAAUAUAAACAUAAUUAUGAACUCAGAGAUAAAUAUUAUCAUUUAUUAUUGCCUCUAGGGCAUAUCUCCUACAGUUACCGGCAAGUCUCUUUACUCGUACCGUAAUGCAUGAUCCCGUGGCUAACUCCUUAGUCACAUCAAGCUCAUUAUGAUGAUGCAUUACCGAGUGGGCCCAGAGAUACCUCUCCGUCAUACGGAGUGACAAAUCCCAGUCUCGAUCCGUGUCAACCCAACAGACACUUUCGGAGAUACCCGUAGUGUACCUUUAUAGUCACCCAGUUACGUUGUGACGUUUGGCACACCCAAAGCACUCCUACGGCAUCCGGGAGUUACACGAUCUCAUGGUCUAAGGAAAAGAUACUUGACAUUGGAAAAGCUCUAGCAAACGAACUACACGAUCUUUGAGCUAUUCUUAGGAUUGGGUCUUGUCCAUCACAUCAUUCUCCUAAUGAUGUGAUCCCGUUAUCAAUGACAUCCAAUGUCCAUAGUCAGGAAACCAUGACUAUCUGUUGAUCAACGAGCUAGUCAACUAGAGGCUCACUAGGGACAUGUUGUGGUCUAUGUACUCACACAUGUAUUACGAUUUCCGGAUAACACAAUUAUAGCAUGAACAAUAGACAAUUAUCAUGAACAAAGAAAUAUAAUAAUAACCAUUUAUUAUUGCCUCUAGGGCAUAUUUCCAACAGUAUCGUAUCACCGUCACACUCCUAUCUUUACCGUUUUUCUUAGUUCGAUCCUUUUAGUAAUAUCUAGAUCUGUUAGAAUAAAGUUUUGGUAUGAAUUAGUUUUGAGUUUUGCUUUGUGAUCUCUCUAUGUAAUCGAGUCCGUGAGCUAUAUAAUAAAGAUUAGUGUUGAGUCAAGGGCUUUGGUAUCUUGCUAUGAUCUUGAGAAAGUAGAAAGAACAAAAAGAGUAAAAGAGUUCAUAUUGAUCUUAUGGAUAGUAAUGACUUCACAUAUAAAGAGUAUGAGACUUAAAAGUUGUUGAGAGUUGACAAACAUAGCUUUGGUCAUCGUUGCAAUUAAUAGGAAGUAAUAAAGAAAGAGAGGUUUUCACAUAUAAAUAUACUAUCUUGGACAUCUUUUAUGAUUGUGAGCACUCAUUAAAGUAUGACAUGCUAAAGAGUUGAUGUUGGACAAGGAAGAAACGCAAUGGGUUAUGUUUUCUCACAUCUCAGUUAAAGUAUAUUGUCAUGGAUCAUUCCAACAUGUUGAGCUUGCCUUUCCCCCUCAUGCUAGCCAAAUUCCUUGCACCAAGUAGAGAUACUACUUGUGCUUCCAAAUAUCCUUAAACCCAGUUUUGCCAUGAGAGUCCACCAUACCUACCUAUGGAUUGAGUAAGAUCCUUCAAGUAAGUUGUCAUGUUGCAAGAAAUAAAAAUUGCUCUCUAAAUAUGUAUGACUUAUUAGUGCGGAGAACCUAAGAUUUAUACGAUCGUGUGAUAUGGAAGUAAUAAAAGCGACGGACUGCAUAAUAAAGGUUCAUAUCACAAGUGGCAAUAUAAAGUGAUGUUCUUUUGCAUUAAGAUUUUGUGCAUCCAACCCUAAAAGCACAUGACAACCUCUGCUUCCCUCUGCGAAGGGCCUAUCUUUACUUUAUGUCUUUUACUUUAUGCAAGAGUCAAGGUGAUCUUCACCUUUCCCUUUUUCAUUUUAUCCUUUGGCAAGCACCUCGUGUUGGAAAGAUCCUGAUAUAUAUAUAUCCAAUUGGAUGUAAGUUAGCAUGAACUAUUAUUGUUGACAUCACCCAAAGGUGAAUAUGUUGGGAGGCCACAUUAUAAGCCCCUAUCUUUCUCAGUGUCCGAUUAAAACUCCAUAACCAUAAGUAUUGCGUGAGUGUUAGCAAUUGUAGAAGACUAUAUGAUAGUUGAGUAUGUGGACUUGCUGAAAAGCUCUAUUCUUGACGCUUUCCGAUGUUAUGAUAAAUUGCAAUUGCUUCAAUGACUGAGAUUAUCGUUUGUUAGUUCUCAAUGAAGUUUCUGAACCAUACUUGACAUUGUGAAUAGAUUGUUACUUGAGCAUAAGAAAUUAUAUGACAAAAUCUAUAUAUGUUGCUGUUAUAAGAAUGAUCAUGAUGCCCUCAUGUCCGUUUUUUAUUGAUAUUUAUUGCAUUAUGGGCUGUUAUUACACGUUAUGUCACAAUACUUAUGGCUAUUCUCUCUUAUUUUACAAGGUUUAUCAUGAAGAGGGAGAAUGCCGGCAGCUGGGAUUCUGGCUGGAAAAGGAGCAAAUAUUGAAAACCUAUUCUGCACAGCUCCAAAAGUCCUGAAACUCCACGAAAGUCAUUUUUGGAAUUAAUAAGAAUUAUUGAGCAAAGAAAGUACCAGAGGGGGCCCACACCCUGGCCACGAGGGUGGGGAGCGCGCGCCCCCUGUCUCGUGGGCCCCCUGGUGGCCCUCCGGUGCCCAUCUUCUGCUAUAUGAAGGCUUUUACCCUGGAAAAAAUCAUAAGCAAGCUUACGGGACGAAACUCCGCCGCCACGAGGCAGAACCAAUCUAGGGCUCCGGCAGAGCUGUUCUGCCGGGGAAACUUCCCUCCGGGAGGGGGAAAUCAUCACCAUCAUCAUCACCAACAAUCCUCUCCUCGGGAGGGGGUCAAUCUCCAUCAACACCUUCACCAGCACCAUCUCCUCUCAAAACCCCAGUUCAUCUCUUGUAUCCAAUCUUGUAUCAAAACCACAAAUUGGUACCUGUGGGUUGCUAGUAGUGUUGAUUACUCCUUGUAGUUGAUGCUAAUUGGUUUACUUGGUGGAAGAACAUAUGUUCAGAUAUCCUUAAUGCAUAUUAAUACUCCUCUAAUCAUGAACAUGAAUAUGCUUUGUGAGUAGUUACGUUUGUUCCUGAGGACAUGGGUGAAGUCUUGCUAUUAGUAGUCAUGUGAAUUUGGUAUUCGUUCGAUAUUUUGAUGAGAUGUAUGUUGUCUCUCCUCUAGUGGUGUUAUGUGAACGUCGACUACAUGACACUUCACCAUUAUUUGGGCCUAGAGGAAGGCAUUGGGAAGUAAUAAGUAUAUGAUGGGUUGCUAGAGUGACAGAAGCUUAAACCCUAGUUUAUGCGUUGCUUCGUAAGGGGCUGAUUUGGAUCCACUAGUUUCAUGCUAUGGUUAGGUUUACCUUAAUACUUCUUUUGUAGUUGCGGAUGCUUGCAAUAGGGGUUAAUCAUAAGUGGGAUGCUUGUCCAAGAAAGGGCAGUACCCAAGCACCGGUCCACCCACAUAUCAAAUUAUCAAAGUACCGAACGCGAAUCAUAUGAGCGUGAUGAAAACUAGCUUGACGAUAAUUCCCAUGUGUCCUCGGGAGCGCUUUUCUCAUUAUAAGAAAUUGUCCAGGCUUGUCCUUUGCUACAAAAAGGAUUGGGCCACCUUGCUGCACCUUAUUUACUUUCAUUGCUUGUUACCCGUUACAAAUUAUCUUAUCACAAAACUAUCUGUUACCUACAAUUUCAGUGCUCGCAGAGAAUACCUUACUGAAAACCGCUUGUCAUUUCCUUCUGCUCCUCGUUGGGUUCGACACUCUUACUUAUCGAAAGGACUACGAUAGAUCCCCUAUACUUGUGGGUCAUCAAGACUCUUUUCUGGCGCCAUUGCCGGGGAGUGAAGCACCUUUGGUGAGUGGAACUUGGUAAAGAAACAUUUAUAUAGUGUGCUGAACUUUACUGUUACUUGUUACUAUGGAAACUAAUGUUGGGGAACGUAGCAGAAAUUCAAAAUUUUCCUACGUGUCACCAAGAUCAAUCUAUGGAGUCAUCUAGCAACGAGGGAGGAGUGGAUCUACAUACCCUUGUAGAUCGCGCGCGGAAGCGUUCAAGAGAACGGGGUUGAUGGAGUCGUACUCGUCGUGAUCCAAAUCACCGAUGAUCCUAGCGCCGAACGGACAGCACCUCCGCGUUCAACACACGUACGGCAUAGCGACGUCUCCUCCUUCUUGAUCCAGCAAGGGGGAAGGAGAGGUUGAUGGAGAUCCAGCAGCACGACGGCGUGGUGGUGGAAGCAGCGGGAUCCCGGCAGGGCUUCGCCAAGCGCAAGCGGGGAGGAAGAAGUGUCACGGGAGGGAGAGGGAGGCGCCAGGGCUUAGGUAUUGCUGCCCUCCCUCCCCCGCACUAUAUAUAGGGCCAAGGGAGAGGGGGGCGCAGCCUUGGCCCUUCCUCCAAGGAAGGGUGCGGCCAGGGAGGAGUCCAUCCUCCCCAAGGCACCUCGGAGGUGCCGUCCCCCUUUAGGACUCUUCCUUUCCCUUAUCUCUUGGCGCAUGGGCCUCUUGGGGCUGGUGCCCUUGGCCCAUAUAGGCCAAGGCGCACACCCCUGCAACCCAUGUGGCCCCCCGAGGCUGGUCGACCCCCUUGGUGGACCCCCGAACCCCUUUCGGCACUCCCGGUACAAUACCGAUAAAGUGCGAAACUUUUCCGGCGACCAAAAUAAGACUUUCCAUAUAUAAAUCUUUACCUCCGGACCAUUCCGGAACUCCUCGUGACGUCAGGGAUCUCAUCCGGGACUCCGAACAACUUUCGGGUUACCGCAUACUAAUAUCUCUAUAACCCUAGCGUCACCGAACCUUAAGUGUGUAGACCCUACGGGUUCGGGAGACACGCAGACAUGACCGAGACGACUCUCCGGUCAAUAACCAACAGCGGAAUCUGGAUACCCAUGUUGGCUUCCACAUGCUCCUCGAUGAUCACAUCGGAUGAACCACGAUGUCGAGGAUUCAAUCAAUCCCGUAUACAAUUCCCUUUGUCAAUCGGUAUGUUACUUGCCCGAGAUUCGAUCGUCGGUAUCCCGAUACCUUGUUCAAUCUCGUUACCGGCAAGUCUCUUUACUCGUUCCGUAACACAUCAUCCCGUGAUCAACUCCUUGGUCACAUUGUGCACAUUAUGAUGAUGUCCUACCGAGUGGGCCCAGAGAUACCUCUCUGUUUACACGGAGUGACAAAUCCCAGUCUCGAUUCGUGCCAACCCAACAGACACUUUCGGAGAUACCUGUAGUGCACCUUUAUAGCCACCCAGUUACGUUGUGACGUUUGGUACACCCAAAGCAUUCCUACGGUAUCCGGGAGUUGCACAAUCUCAUGGUCUAAGGAAAUGAUACUUGACAUUAGAAAAGCUCUUAGCAAGCGAACUACACGAUCUUGUGCUAGGCUUAGGAUUGGGUCUUGUCCAUCACAUCAUUCUCCUAAUGAUGUGAUCCCGUUAUCAACGACAUCCAAUGUCCAUGGUCAGGAAACCGUAACCAUCUAUUGAUCAACGAGCUAGUCAACUAGAGGCUUACUAGGGACAUGGUGUUGUCUAUGUAUCCACACAUGUAUCUGAGUUUCCUAUCAAUACAAUUCUAGCAUGGAUAAUAAACGAUUAUCAUGAACAAGGAAAUAUAAUAAUAACCAAUUUAUUAUUGCCUCUAGGGCAUAUUUCCAAUAGUCUCCCACUUGCACUAGAGUCAAUAAUCUAGUUCACAUCACCAUGUGAUUUUUUGGAAAUAUGCCCUAGAGGAAAUAAUAAAUGGUUAUUAUUAUAUUUCUUUGUUCAUGAUAAUUGUCUAUUAUUCAUGCUAUAAUUGUGUUAUCCGGAAAUCGUAAAACAUGUGUGAAUACAUAGACCACAAUGUGUCCCUAGUAAGCCUCUAGUUGACUAGCUCGUUGAUCAACAGAUAGUCAUGGUUUCCUGACUAUGGACAUUGGAUGUCAUUGAUAAUGGGAUCACAUCAUUAGGAGAAUGAUGUGAUGGACAAGAUCCAAUCCUAAGCAUAGCGCAAAGAUCGUGUAGUUCGUUUGCUAGAGCUUUUCCAAUGUCAAGUAUCUUUUCCUUAGACCAUGAGAUCGUGUAACUCCCGGAUGCCGUAGGAGUGCUUUGGGUGUACCAAACGUCACAACAUAACUGGUGACUAUAAAGGUACACUACGGGUAUCUCUGAAAGUAUCUGUUGGGUUGGCACGGAUCGAGACUGGGAUUUGUCACUCCGUAUGACGGAGAGGUAUCUCUGGGCCCACUCGGUAUUGCAUCAUCAUAAUGAGCUCAAUGUGACUAAGGAGUUAGUCACAGGAUCAUGCGUUACGGUACGAGUAAAGAGACUUGCCGGUAACGAGAUUGAACAAGGUAUUGGGAUACCGACGAUCGAAUCUCGGGCAAGUAACAUACCGACUGACAAAGGGAAUUGUAUACGGGAUUGAUUGAAUCCUCGACAUCGUGGUUCAUCCAAUGAGAUCAUCGUGGAACAUGUGGGAGCCAACAUGGGUAUCCAGAUCCCGCUGUUGGUUAUUGACCGGAGAGGUGUCUCGGUCAUGUCUGCAUGUCUCCCGAACCCGUAGGGUCUACACACUUAAGGUUCGGUGACGCUAGGGUUGUAGAGAUAUUAGUAUGCGGAAACCCAAAAGUUGUUCGGAGUCCCGGAUGAGAUCCCGGACAUCACGAGGAGUUCCGGAAUGGUCCGGAGGUAAGGAAUUAUAUAUAGGAAGUCCAGUUUCGGCCACCUGGAAAGUUUCGGGGGUUAUUGGUAUUGUACCGGGACCACCGGAAGGGUCCCGGAGGUCCACCGGGUGGGGCCACCUAUCCCGGAGGGCCCCAUGGGAUGAAGUGGGAAGGGAACCAGCCCUUAGUGGGCUGGGGCGCCCCCCUUGGGGCCCCCCUUGCGCCUAGGGUUGGAAACCCAAGGGGUGGGGGCGCCCCACUUGCCUUGGGGGGCAAGCUUCCCCCCUGGCCGCCGCCCCCCUUGUAGAUGGGAUCCAGGGCCAGCGCCCCCCCUCCCAGGGGGCCUAUAUAUAGUGGGGGUAGGGAGGGCAGGAGCACCACAGCCCUUGGCGCCUCCCUCUCCCCCUGCAACACCUCUCCCUCUCGCAGAAGCUUGGCGAAGCCCUGCCGAGAUCCCGCUACAUCCACCACCACGCCGUCGUGCUGCUGGAUCUCCAUCAACCUCUCCUUCCCCCUUGCUGGAUCAAGAAGGAGGAGACGUCGCUGCUCCGUACGUUGUUGAACGCGGAGGUGCCGUCCGUUCGGCACUCGGUCAUCGGUGAUUUGGAUCACGGCGAGUACGACUCCAUCAACCCCGUUCACUUGAACGCUUCCGCUCGCGAUCUACAAGGGUAUGUAGAUGCACUCCUUUCCCCUCGUUGCUAGUAUAUUCCAUAGAUGGAUCUUGGUGAUGCGUAGAAAAUUUUAAAAUUGUGCUACGAUCCCCAACAGUGGCAUCAUGAGCCAGGCCUAUGCGUAGUUACUAUGCACGAGUAGAACACAAAGCAGUUGUGGGCGUAGAUGUUGUCAAUUUUUCUUGCCGCUACUAGUCUUAUCUUGUUUCGGCGGUAUUGUGGGAUGAAGCGGCCCGGACCGACCUUACACGUACGCUUACGUGAGACAGGUUCCACCGACCGACAUGCACUAGUUGCAUAAGGUGGCUAGCGGGUGUCUGUCUCUCCCACUUUAGUCGGAACGGAUUCGAUGAAAAGGGUCCUUAUGAAGGGUAAAUAGAAAUUGGCAUAUCACGUUGUGGUUUUACGUAGGUAAGAAACGUUCUUGCUAGAAACCUAUAGAAGCCACGUAAAAACUUGCAACAACAAUUAGAGGACGUCUAACUUGUUUUUGCAGCAUGUGCCUUGUGAUGUGAUAUGGCCACAAGAUGUGAUGAAUGAUAUAUGUGAUGUAUGAGAUUGAUCAUAUUCUUGUAAUAGGAAUCACGACUUGCAUGUCGAUGAGUAUGACAACCGGCAGGAGCCAUAGGAGUUGUCUUUAUUUUUGUAUGACCUGCGUGUCAUUGAAUAACGCCAUGUAAAUUACUUUACUUUAUUGCUAAACACGUUGGCCAUAGAAGUAGAAGUAAUCGUUGGCGUGACAACUUCAUGAAGACACGAUGAUGGAGAUCAUGAUGAUGGAGAUCAUGGUGUCGUGCCGGUGACGAAGAUGAUCAUGGCGCCCCGAAGAUGGAGAUCAAAGGAGCAAAAUGAUAUUGGCCAUAUCAUGUCACUAUUUGAUUGCAUGUGAUGUUUAUCAUGUUUUGCAUCUUAUUUGCUUAGAACGACGGUAGUAAGUAAGAUGAUCCCUUAUAAUAAUUUCAAGAAAGUGUUCCCCCUAACUGUGCACCGUUGCGAAGGUUCGUUGUUUCGAAGCACCACGUGAUGAUCGGGUGUGAUAGAUUCUAACGUUCGCAUACAACGGGUGUUGACGAGCCUAGCAUGUACAGACAUGGCCUCGGAACACACGCAAUACACUUAGGUUGACUUGACGAGCCUAGCAUGUACAGACAUGGCCUCGAAACACGGAAGACCGAAAGGUCGAGCAUGAGUCGUAUAGAAGAUACGAUCAACAUGGAGAUGUUCACCGAUCUUGACUAGUCCGUCUCACGUGAUGAUCGGACACGGCCUAGUUAACUCGGAUCAUGUUUCACUUAGAUGACUAGAGCGAUGUCUAUCUGAGUGGGAGUUCAUUGAGUAAUUUGAUUAGAUGAACUUAAUUAUCAUGAACUUAGUCUAAAAUCUUUACAAUAUGUCUUGUAGAUCAAAUGGCCCACGUUGUCCUCAACUUCAACGCGUUCCUAGAGAAAACCAAGCUGAAAGAUGAUGGCAGCAACUAUACGGACUGGGUCCGGAACCUGAGGAUCAUCCUCAUAGCUGCCAAGAAAGAUUAUGUCCUAGAUGCACCGCUAGGUGACGCACCCAUCCCAGAGAACCAAGACGUUAUGAACGCUUGGCGGAAGCGUGCUGAUGAUUACUCCCUCGUUCAGUGCGGCAUGCUUUACAGCUUAGAACCGGGGCUCCAAAAGCGUUUUGAGAAACAUGGAGCAUAUGAGAUGUUCGAAGAGCUGAAAAUGGUUUUCCAAGCUCAUGCCCGGGUCGAGAGAUAUGAAGUCUCCGACAAGUUCUUCAGCUGUAAAAUGGAGGAAAAUAGUUCUGUUAGUGAGCACAUACUCAGAAUAUCUGGGUUACACAACCGCUUGUCUCAGCUGGGAGUCAAUCUCCCGGAUGACGCGGUCAUUGACAGAAUCCUCCAGUCGCUUCCACCAAGCUACAAGAGCUUUGUGAUGAACUUCAAUAUGCAGGGGAUGGAAAAGACCAUUCCUGAGGUAUAUUCAAUGCUGAAAUCAGCGGAGGUGGAGAUCAGAAAAGAACAUCAAGUGUUGAUGGUGAAUAAAACCACUAAGUUCAAGAAGGGCAAGGGUAAGAAGAACUUCAAGAAGGACGGCAAGGGAGUUGCCGCGCCCGGUAAGCCAGUUACUGGGAAGAAGUCAAAGAAUGGACCCAAGCCUGAGACUGAGUGCUUUUAUUGCAAGGGAAGUGGUCACUGGAAGCGGAACUGCCCCAAAUACUUAGCGGACAAGAAGGCCGGCAACGCCAAAGGUAUAUGUGAUAUACAUGUAAUUGAUGUGUACCUUACCAGUACUCGUAGUUGCUCCUGGGUAUUUGAUACUGGUGCGGUUGCUCAUAUUUGUAACUCAAAACAGGAACUACGGAAUAAACGGAGACUAGCGAAGGACGAGGUGACGAUGCGCGUCGGGAAUGGUUCCAAGGUCGAUGUGAUCGUUGUCGGCACGCUACCUCUGCAUCUACCUACGGGAUUAGUUUUAAACCUCAAUAAUUGUUAUUUAGUGCCAGCUUUGAGCAUGAACAUUGUAUCUGGAUCUCGUUUAAUUCGAGAUGGCUACUCAUUUAAAUCUGAGAAUAAUGGUUGUUCUAUUUAUAUGAGAGAUAUGUUUUAUGGUCAUGCCCCGCUGGUCAAUGGUUUAUUCUUGAUGAAUCUCGAACGUGAUGUUACACAUAUUCAUAGUGUGAAUACCAAAAGAUGUAAAGUUGAUAACGAUAGUCCCACAUACUUGUGGCACUGCCGCCUUGGUCACAUUGGUGUCAAACGCAUGAAGAAGCUCCAUGCAGAUGGACUUUUGGAGUCUCUUGAUUACGAAUCAUUUGACACGUGCGAACCAUGCCUCAUGGGUAAGAUGACCAAGACUCCGUUCUCCGGAACAAUGGAGCGAGCAACCAACUUAUUGGAAAUCAUACAUACCGAUGUGUGCGGUCCAAUGAGUGUUGAGGCUCGCGGAGGAUAUCGUUAUGUUCUCACUCUCACUGAUGAUUUAAGUAGAUAUGGGUAUGUCUACCUAAUGAAACACAAGUCUGAAACCUUUGAAAAGUUCAAGGAAUUUCAGAGUGAGGUUGAGAAUCAACGUGACAGGAAAAUAAAGUUCCUACGAUCAGAUCAUGGAGGGGAGUAUUUAAGUCAUGAAUUUGGCACACACUUAAGGAAAUGUGGAAUCGUUUCACAACUCACGCCUCCUGGAACACCUCAGCGAAAUGGUGUGUCCGAACGUCGUAAUCGCACUCUAUUGGAUAUGGUGCGAUCUAUGAUGUCUCUCAUUUUGGGGCUAUGCUUUAGAGACUGCCUCAUUCACUUUAAAUAGGGCUCCGUCGAAAUCCGUUGAGACGACACCGUAUGAAUUAUGGUUUGGGAAGAAACCUAAGCUGUCGUUUCUAAAAGUUUGGGGAUGCGAUGCUUAUGUCAAGAAACUUCAACCUGAAAAGCUCGAACCCAAGUCGGAAAAAUGCGUCUUCAUAGGAUACCCUAAGGAAACCAUUGGGUAUACCUUCUACCUCAGAUCCGAAGGCAAGAUCUUCGUUGCCAAGAAUGGGUCCUUUCUGGAGAAAGAGUUUCUCUCGAAAGAAUUAAGUGGGAGGAAAGUGGAACUUGAUGAGGUGAUAGUCACCCCUUCCGAACCGGAAAGUAGCGCAGCGCGGGAAGAUGUUCCUGUGGUGCCUACACCGACUGGGGAGGAAGUUAAUGAUGAUGACCAUGAAGCUUCGGAUCAAGUUACUGCUGAACUUCGUAGGUCCACAAGGACACGUUCCGUACCAGAGUGGUAUGGCAACCCUGUCCUGGAAAUCAUGUUGUUAGACAACGGUGAACCUUCGAACUAUGAAGAAGCGAUGGCGGGCCCGGAUUCCGACAAAUGGCUAGAAGCCAUGAAAUCCGAGAUAGGAUCCAUGUAUGAAAACGAAGUAUGGACUUUGACUAACUUGCCCGAUGAUCGGCGAGCCAUAGAAAAUAAAUGGAUCUUUAAGAAGAAGACAGACGCAGAUGGUAAUGUGACCAUCUAUAAGGCUCGACUUGUCGCUAAGGGUUAUCGACAAGUUCAAGUGGUUGACUACGAUGAGACUUUCUCACCCGUAGCGAAGCUGAAGUCCGUCCGAAUCAUGUUAGCAAUUGCCGCAUUCUAUGAUUAUGAGAUAUGGCAAAUGGACGUCAAAACGGCAAUCCUUAACGGCUUCCUUAAGGAAGAAUUGUAUAUGAUGCAGCCGGAAGGUUUUGUCGAUCCUAAGAAUGCUAACAAAGUAUGCAAGCUCCAGCGCUCAAUCUAUGGGCUGGUGCAAGCAUCUCGGAGUUGGAACAUUCGCUUUGAUGAGAUGAUCAAAGCGUUUGGGUUUACACAGACUUAUGGAGAAGCCUGUGUUUACAAGAAAGUGAGUGGGAGCUCUGUAUCAUUUCUCAUAUUAUAUGUGGAUGACAUACUAUUGAUGGGAAAUGAUAUAGAAUUAUUGGAAAGUAUAAAGGCCUAUUUGAAUAAGUGUUUUUCAAUGAAGGACCUUGGAGAAGCUGCUUAUAUAUUAGGCAUCAAGAUCUAUAGAGAUAGAUCAAGACGCCUCAUUGGUCUUUCACAGAGUACGUACCUUGACAAGAUAUUGAAGAAGUUCAAUAUGGAUCAGUCCAAGAAGGGGUUCUUGCCUGUAUUGCAAGGUGUGCAAUUGAGCACGGCUCAAUGCCCGACAACGGCAGAAGAUAGAGAAAAGAUGAGUGUCAUCCCCUAUGCCUCGGCCAUAGGGUCUAUUAUGUAUGCCAUGCUGUGUACCAGACCUGAUGUGAACCUUGCCGUAAGUUUGGUAGGAAGGUACCAAAGUAAUCCCGGCAUGGAACACUGGACAGCGGUCAAGAAUAUCCUGAAGUACCUGAAGAGGACUAAGGAUAUGUUUCUCGUUUAUGGAGGUGACGAAGAGCUCGUCGUAAAGGGUUACGUCGACGCUAGCUUCGACACAGAUCUGGAUGACUCGAAGUCACAAACCGGAUACGUGUAUAUUUUGAAUGGAGGGGCAGUAAGCUGGUGCAGUUGCAAGCAAAGCGUCAUGGCGGGAUCUACAUGUGAAGCGGAGUACAUGGCGGCCUCAGAGGCAGCACAUGAAGCAGUCUGGAUAAAGGAGUUCAUUACCGACCUAGGGGUGAUUCCCAAUGCGUCGGGCCCGAUGACUCUCUUCUGUGACAACACUGGAGCUAUUGCCCUUGCCAAGGAGCCCAGGUUUCACAAGAAGACCAGGCAUAUCAAGCGUCGCUUCAACUCCAUUCGUGAAAGUGUUCAGAAUGGAGACAUAGAUAUUUGUAAAGUACAUACGGACCUGAAUGUAGCAGAUCCGUUGACUAAACCUCUCCCUAGAGCAAAACAUGAUCAACACCAGAACUCUAUGGGUGUUCAAUUCAUCACAAUGUAACUAGAUUAUUGACUCUAGUGCAAGUGGGAGACUAUUGGAAAUAUGCCCUAGAGGCAAUAAUAAAUGGUUAUUAUUAUAUUUCUUUGUUCAUGAUAAUUGUCUAUUAUUCAUGCUAUAAUUGUGUUAUCCGGAAAUCGUAAUACAUGUGUGAAUACAUAGACCACAACGUGUCCCUAGUAAGCCUCUAGUUGACUAGCUCGUUGAUCAACAGAUAGUCAUGGUUUCCUGACUAUGGACAUUGGAUGUCAUUGAUAACGGGAUCACAUCAUUAGGAGAAUGAUGUGAUGGACAAGACCCAAUCCUAAGCAUAGCGCAAAGAUCGUGUUGUUCGUUUGCUAGAGCUUUUCCAAUGUCAAGUAUCUUUUCCUUAGACCAUGAGAUCGUGUAACUCCCGGAUGCCGUAGGAGUGCUUUGGGUGUACCAAACGUCACAACGUAACUAGGUGACUAUAAAGGUACACUACGGGUAUCUCUGAAAGUAUCUGUUGGGUUGGCACGGAUCGAGACUGGGAUUUGUCACUCCGUAUGACGGAGAGGUAUCUCUGGGCCCACUCGGUAAUGCAUCAUCAUAAUGAGCUCAAUGUGACUAAGGAGUUAGUCACGGGAUCAUGCGUUACGGUACGAGUAAAGAGACUUGCCGGUAACGAGAUUGAACAAGGUAUUGGGAUACCGACGAUCGAAUCUCGGGCAAGUAACAUACCGAUUGACAAAGGGAAUUGUAUACGGGAUUGAUUGAAUCCUCGACAUCGUGGUUCAUCCGAUGAGAUCAUCGUGGAACAUGUGGGAGCCAACAUGGGUAUCCAGAUCCCGCUGUUGGUUAUUGACCGGAGAGGUGUCUCGGUCAUGUCUGCAUGUCUCCCGAACCCGUAGGGUCUACACACUUAAGGUUCGGUGACGCUAGGGUUGUAGAGAUAUUAGUAUGCGGAAACCCGAAAGUUUUUCGGAGUCCCGGAUGAGAUCCCGGACGUCACGAGGAGUUCCGGAAUGGUCCGGAGGUAAAGAAUUAUAUAUAGGAAGUCCAGUUUCGGCCACCGGGAAAGUUUCGGGGGUUAUCGGUAUUGUACCGGGACCACCGGAAGGGUCCCGGGGGUCCACCGGGUGGGGCCACCUAUCCCGGAGGGCCCCAUGGGCUGAAGUGGGAAGGGAACCAGCCCUUAGUGGGCUGGGGCGCCCCCCUUGGGCCUCCCCCUGCGCCUAGGGUUGGAAACCCUAGGGGUGGGGGGCACCCCACUUGCCUUGGGGGGCAAGCUUCCCCCCUGGCCGCCGCCCCCCUUGUAGAUGGGAUCCAGGGCCGGCGCCCCCCCUCCCAGGGGGCCUAUAUAUAGUGGGGGGGAGGGAGGGCAGCAGCACCACAGCCCUUGGCGCCUCCCUCUCCCCCUUUAACACCUCUCCCUCUCGCAGAAGCUUGGUGAAGCCCUGCCGAGAUCCCGCUACAUCCACCACCACGCCCGUCGUGCUGCUAGAUCUCCAUCAACCUCUCCUUCCCCCUUGCUGGAUCAAGAAGGAGGAGACAUCGCUGCUCCGUACGUGUGUUGAACGCGGAGGUGCCGUCCGUUCGGCACUCGGUCAUCGGUGAUUUGGAUCACGGCGAGUACGACUCCAUCAACCCCGUUCACUUGAACGCUUCCGCUCGCGAUCUACAAGGGUAUGUAGAUGCACUCCUUUCCCCUCGUUGCUAGUAUACUCCAUAGAUGGAUCUUGGUGAUGCAUAGAAAAUUUUAGAAUUCUGCUACGAUCCCCAACAUGAUUAACACUCACAGGUCACAUCACCAUGUGACCAACAUCCAAAGAGUUUACUAGAGUCAACAAUCUAGUUCACAUCACUAUGUGAUUAACACUCAAUGAGUUCUGGUUUGAUCAUGUUAUGCUUGUGACAGAGGUUAUUAGUCAACGGGUCUGAACCUUUCAGAUCCGUGUGUGCUUUACGAAUAUCUAUGUCAUCUUGUGAAUGCUACCACGCGCUACUUGGAGCCAUUUCAAAUAACUGCUCUACUAUACGAAUCCGGUUUACUACUCAGAGUCAUCCGGAUUAUUGUCAAAGUUCGCAUCGAUGUAACCCUUUACGACGAACUCCUUUUCACCUCCAUAAUCGAGAAAAUUCCUUAGUCCACUAGAUACUAAGGAUAAGUUCGACCGCUGUCAUGUGAUCCAUUCCCGGAUCACUAUUGUACCGCUUGACAAACUCAUGGCAAGGCACACUUCAUGUGCGGUACACAGCAUAGCAUACUAUAGAGCCUACGUCUAAAGCAUAGGGGACGACCUUCGUCCUUUCUCUCUCUUCUACUGUGGUCAGGUCUUGAGUCUUACUCAAUACUCACACCUUGUAACACAGCCAAGAACUCCUUCUUUGCUGAUCUAUUUUGAACUCUUUCAAAAUCAUGUCAAGGUGUGCGUUCUUUGAAAAUAUCAUCAGGCGUCUUGAUCUAUCUCUAUAGAUCUUGAUGCCCAAUAUGUAAGCAGCUUUAUCCAGGUCUUCCUUUGAAAAACUCCUUUCAAACAACCCUUUAUGCUUUCCAGAAAUUCUACAUCAUUUCGGAUCAACAAUAUGUCAUUCACAUAUACUUAUCAGAAAUGUUGUAGCGCUCCCACUCACUUUAUUGUAAAUACAAGUUUCUAACAAACUUUGUAUAAACCCAAAAACUUUGAUCACUCCAUCAAAGCGUAUAUUCUGACUCCGAGAUGCUUGCUCUAGUCCAUGGAAGGAUCGCUGGAGCUAGCAUACCUUUUAGCAUCCUUAGGAUCGACAAAAACUUUCUGAUUGUAUCACAUACAACCUUUCCUUACGAAAACUGGUAAGGAAACUUGUUUUGACAUCCAUCUGCCAGAUUUCAUAAAUGCAGCUAAUGCUAACAUGAUUCCGACGGACUUAAGCAUCGCUACGGAUGAGAAAAUCUCAUCGUAGUCAACUCCUUGAACUUGUGAAAAUACUCUUUGCCACAAGUCGAGCUUCAUAGACGGUAGCAUUACCGUCCAUGUCCGUCUUCUUCUUAAAGAUCCAUUUAUCUCAAUGGCUUGCCGAUCAUCGGGCAAGUUCACCAAAGUCCAUGCUUUAUUCUGAUACAUGGAUCCUAUCUCGGAUUUCAUGGCUUCUAACCAUUUGUCGGAAUAUGGGCCCACCAUCGCUUCUCCAUAGCUCGUAGGUUCAGUAUUGUCUAACAACAUGAUAUCUAAGACAGGAUUACCAUACCACUCUGGAGUAGUACAUAUCCUUGUCGACCUACGAGGUUUGCUAGUGACUUGAUCCGAAGUUUCAUGAUCACUAUCAUAAGCUUCUAGUUCAAUUGGUGUAGGUGCCACAGGAACAACUUCCUGUGCCCUGCUACACACUAGUUGAAGUGACGGUUCAAUAACCUUAUCAAGUCUCCACCAUCCUCCCACUCAAUUCUUUCGAGAGAAACUUUUCCUCGAGAAAGGAACCGUUUCUAGAAGCAAUUACUUUUGCUUCCAGAUCUGAAAUAGGAGGUAUACCCAACUAUUUUGGGUAUUCUUAUGAAGAUGCAUUUAUCCGCUUUGGGUUCGAGCUUAUCAGCCUGAAACUUUUUCACAUAAGUGUCGCAGCCCCAAACUUUUAAGAAACGACAACUUAGGUUUCUCUAAACGGUGUCGUCUCAACGGAAUUGCAUGGUGCCCUAUUUAAAGUGAAUGCGGUUGUCUCUAAUGCCUAACCCAUAAACGAUAGUGGUAAUUCGAUAAGAGACAUCAUGGUAUGCACCAUAUCCAAUAGGGUGCAGUUAUGAUGUUCGGACACACCAUCACACUGUGGUGUUCCAGGCGGUAUUAAUUGUGAAACACUUUCCACAAUGUCUUAAUUGUGUGCCAAACUCGUAACUCAGAUAUCUCUAUGAUCAUAUCAUAGACAUUUUAUCCUCUUGUCACAACGAUCUUCAACUUCACUCUGAAAUUACUUGAACCUUUCAAUAAUUCAGACUUGUGUUUCAUCAAGUAAAUAUUCUCAGCAUCUACUCAAAUCAUCUGUGAAGUAAGAACAUAUCGAUAUCCACUGCGUGCCUCAGCACUCAUUGGACUGCACACAUCAAAUGUAUUACUUCCAACAAGUUGCUCUCUUGUUCCAUCUUACUAAAAACGAGGCCUUUCAGUCAUCUUGCCUAUGUGGUAUGAUUUGCAUGUCUCAAGUGAUUCAAAAUCAAGUGAGUCCAAACGAUCCAUCUGCAUGGAGUUUCUUCAUACCAAUAGACAUGGUUCGCAUGUCUCAAUCUUUUCAAAAACGAGUGAGUCCAAAGAUCCAUCUACAUGGAGCUUCUUCAUGCGUUCUAUACCAAUAUGACUCAAAUGGCAGUGCCACAAGUAUGUGGUACUAUCAUUACUAUUUUAUAUCUUUUGGCACGAACAUGUGUAUCACUGCCAUCGAGAUUCAUUUUAGGUGCAAGACCAUUGAAGGUAUUUAUUCAAAUAAACAGAGUAACCAUUAUUCUCCUUAAAUGAAUAACCGUAUUGCGAUAAACAUAAUCCAAUCAUGUUUAUGCUCAACGCAAACACCAAAUAACAAUUAUUUAGGUUUAACACCAAUCUCGAUGGUAGAGGGAGCAUGUGAUGCUUGAUCACAUCAACCUUGGAAACACUUCCAACACAUAUCGUCAUCUCACCUUUAGCUAGUCUCUGUUUAUUCCGCAGCUUUUAUUUCGAGUUACUAACACUUAUCAACCGAACCGGUAUCUAAUACCCUGGUGCUACUAGGAGUACUAGUAAAGUACACAUUCAUAUAAUGUAUAUCCAAUAUACUUCUGUCGACCUUGCCUGCCUUCUCAUCUACCAAGUAUCUAGGGUAGUUCUGCUUCAGUGACCGUUCUCCUCAUUACAAAAGCACUUAGUCUCGGGUUUGGGUUCAACCUUGGGAUUCUUCACUAGAGCAGCAAAUGAUUUGCUGUUUCAUGAAGUAUCCCUUUUGCCCUUGCCCUUCUAGAAACUAGUGGUUUUACUAACCAUCAACAAUUGAUGCCCCUUCUUGAUUUCUACUUUCGCGGUGUCAAACAUCGCGAGUUGCUCAAGGAUUAUCAUAUCUAUCCCUGAUAUGUUAUAGUUCAUCACGAAGCUCUAAUAGCUUGGUGGCAGUGACUAUGGAGAACCAUCACUAUCUCAUCUGGAAGAUUAACUCCCACUCGAUCCAAGCGAUUGUGGUACUCAGACAAUCUGAGCACAUGCUCAACGAUUGAGCUUUUCUCCCUUAGUUUGCAGGCUUAAGAAACUUGUCAGAGGUCUCAUACCUCUUGACGUGGGCACUAGUCUGAAAUCUCAAUUUCAGUCUUCGGAACAUCUCAUAUGUUCUGCGACGUUUCAAAAACGUCGUUGGUGCCACAAUUCUAAACCGUUAGCAUUACGCACUGAACUAUCACGUAGUCAUCAAAACGUGUAUGUCAAAUGUUUCGCAACAUCUGCAGACGACGCUGAGGUUCAGCACACCGAGCGGUGCAUUAAGGACAUAAGCCUUCUGUGCAGCAAUGAGGACAAUCCUUAGUUCACGGACCCAGUCCGCAUAAUUGCUACUAUCAACUUUCAACUAAAAUUUCUCUAGGAACAUAUCUUAAACAGUAGAACUAAAGCGUAAGCUAUGACAUAAUUUGCAAAGACCUUUUGACUAUGUUCAUGAUAAUUAAGUUCAUCUGAUUAUUUAAUGAACUCCCACUCAGAUAGACAUCCCUCUAGUCAUCUAAGUGAUACAUGAUCCGAGUCAAACUAGGUUGUGUCUGAUCAUCACGUGAGACGGACUAGUCAUCAUCGGUGAACAUCUCCAUGUUGAUCGCAUCUACUAUACGACUCAUGUUCGACCUUUCGAUCUCUUGUGUUCCGAGGCCAUGUCUGUACAUGCUAGGCUCGUCAAGUCAACCUAAGUGUUUCGCAUGUGUUCCGAGGCCAUGUCUGUACAUGCUAGGCUCGUCAACACCCGUUGUAUGCGAACGUUAGAAUCUAUCACACCCGAUCAUCACGUGGUGCUUCGAAACAACGAACCUUCGCAACGGUGCACAGUUAGGGGGAACACGUCUCUUGAAAUUUUAGUGAGGGAUCAUCUUAUUUAUGCUACCAUCGUUCUAAGCAAAUAAGAUGUAAACAUGAUAAACAUCACAUGCAAAUCAUAAAGUGACGUGAUAUGGCCAAUAUCAUCUUGCGCCUUUUGAUCUCCAUCUUUGAGGCACGGCAUGAUCACCUUCGUCACCGGCAUGACACCAUGAUCUCCAUCAUCGUGUCUUCAUGAAGUUGUCUCGCCAACUAUUACUUCUACUACUAUGGCUAACGGUUAGCAAUAAAGUAAAGUAAUUACAUGGCGUUAUUCAUUGACACGCAGGUCAUACAAUAAAUUAAGCCAACUCCUAUGGCUCCUGUCGGUUGUCAUACUCAUCGACAUGCAAGUCGUGAUUCCUAUUACAAGAACAUGAUCAAUCUCAUACAUCACAUAUAUCAUUCAUCACAUCCUUUUGGCCAUAUCACAUAGCAUACCCUGCAAAAACAAGUUAGACGUCCUCUAAUUGUUGUUGCAUGUUUUACGUGGCUGCUAUGGGAUUCUAGCAAGAACGUUUCUUACCUACGCAAAACCCACAACGUGAUAUGCCAAUUUCUAUUUACCCUUCAUAAGGACCCUUUUCAUCGAAUCCGAUCCGACUAAAGUGGGAGAGACAGACACCCGCUAGCCACCUUAUGCAACUAGUGCAUGUCAGUCGGUGGAACCUCUCUCACGUAAGUGUACAUGUAAGGUCGGUCUGGGCCGCUUCAUCCCACGAUGCCGCCGAAUCAAGAUAAGACUAGUAACGGCAAGUAAAUUGACAACAUCGACGCCCACAACUACUUUGUGUUCUACUCGUGCAUAGAAACUACGCAUAGACCUAGCUCAUGAUGCCACUGUUGGGGAACGUAGCAGAAAUUCAAAAUUUUCCUACGUGUCACCAAGAUCAAUCUAUGGAGUCAUCUAGCAACGAGGGAGGAGUGGAUCUACAUACCCUUGUAGAUCGCGCGCGGAAGCGUUCAAGAGAACGGGGUUGAUGGAGUCGUACUCGUCGUGAUCCAAAUCACCGAUGAUCCUAGCACCGAACGGACGGCACCUCCGCGUUCAACACACGUACGGAGCAGCGACGUCUCCUCCUUCUUGAUCCAGCAAGGGGGAAGGAGAGGUUGAUGGAGAUCCAGCAGCACGACGGCGUGGUGGUGGAAGCAGCGGGAUCCCGGCAGGGCUUCGCCAAGCGCAAGCGGGGAGGAAGAAGUGUCACGGGAGGGAGAGGGAGGCGCCAGGGCUUAGGUAUUGCUGCCCUCCCUCCCCCCCCACUAUAUAUUGGGCCAAGGGAGAGGGGGGCGCAGCCUUGGCCCUUCCUCCAAGGAAGGGUGCGGCCAGGGAGGAGUCCAUCCUCCCCAAGGCACCUCGGAGGUGCCUUCCCCCUUUAGGACUCUCCCUUUCCCUUAUCUCUUGGCGCAUGGGCCUCUUGGGGCUGGGGCCCUUGGCCCAUAUAGGCCAAGGCGCACACCCCUACAUCCCAUGUGGCCCCCGGGGCUGGUGGACCCCCUUGGUGGACCCCCGGACCCCUUUCGGCACUCCCGGUACAAUACCGAUAAAGUGCGAAACUUUUCCGGCGACCAAAAUAAGACUUCCUAUAUAUAAAUCUUUACCUCCGGACCAUUCCGGAACUCCUCGUGACGUCCGGGAUCUCAUCCGGGACUCCGAACAACUUUCGGGUUACCGCAUACUAAUAUCUCUAUAACCCUAGCGUCACCAAACCUUAAGUGUGUAGACCCUACGGGUUCGGGAGACACGCAGACAUGACCGAGACGACUCUCCGGUCAAUAACCAACAGCGGGAUCUGGAUACCCAUGUUGGCUCCCACAUGCUCCUCGAUGAUCACAUCGGAUGAACCACGAUGUCGAGGAUUCAAUCAAUCCCGUAUACAAUUCCCUUUGUCAAUCGGUAUGUUACUUGCCCGAGAUUCGAUCGUCGGUAUCCCGGUACCUUGUUCAAUCUCGUUACCGGCAAGUCUCUUUACUCGUUCCGUAACACAUCAUCCCGUGAUCAACUCCUUGGUCACAUUGUGCACAUUAUGAUGAUGUCCUACCGAGUGGGCCCAGAGAUACCUCUCCGUUUACACGGAGUGACAAAUCCCAGUCUCGAUUCGUGCCAACCCAACAGACACUUUCGGAGAUACCUGUAGUGCACCUUUAUAGCCACCCAGUUACGUUGUGACGUUUGGUACACCCAAAGCAUUCCUACGGUAUCCGGGAGUUGCACAAUCUCAUGGUCUAAGGAAAUGAUACUUGACAUUAGAAAAGCUCUUAGCAAACGAACUACACGAUCUUGUGCUAGGCUUAGGAUUGGGUCUUGUCCAUCACAUCAUUCUCCUAAUGAUGUGAUCCCGUUAUCAACGACAUCCAAUGUCCAUGGUCAGGAAACCGUAACCAUCUAUUGAUCAAGGAGCUAGUCAACUAGAGGCUUACUAGGGACAUGGUGUUGUCUAUGUAUCCACACAUGUAUCUAAGUUUCCUAUCAAUACAAUUCUAGCAUGGAUAAUAAACGAUUAUCAUGAACAAGGAAAUAUAAUAAUAACCAAUUUAUUAUUGCCUCUAGGGCAUAUUUCCAACAACUAAUCCUUUGAGGGGCUUGUUCGGGGCAUCUUCACCCUGACCAGUAGAGCAAAGAGUUGCUCCUCAACCUACUGAACCUACUGAAAAUGUUUACUUUGAGAUUCCUUCGGGUAUGAUAGAGAAACUGCUAGCUAAUCCCUUUGCAGGAGAUGGAACAUUGCAUCCUGAUUUACACCUUAUCUUUGUGGAUGAAGUUUGUGGAUUAUUUAAGCUUGCAGGUAUUCCCGGUGAUGUUGUUAAGAGGAAGGUUUUCCCUUUAUCUUUGAAGGGAGAUGCAUUGACAUGGUAUAGGCUAUGUGAUGAUACGGGAUCUUGGAACUAUAAACGAUUGAAGUUGGAAUUUCACCAGAAGUUCUAUCCUAUGCAUCUUGUUCAUUGUGAUCGUAAUUACAUAUAUAAUUUCUGGCCUCGCGAAGGAGAAAGCAUCGCUCAAGCUUGGGGGAGGCUUAAGUCAAUGUUAUAUUCAUGCCCCAAUCAUGAGCUCUCAAGAGAAAUGAUUAUUCAAAAUUUUUAUGCUCGGCUUUCUCUCAAUGAUCGCACCAUGCUUGAUACUUCCUGUGCUGGUUCUUAUAUGCUGAAGACUGCUGAAUUCAAGUGGGAUUUAUUGGAAAGAAUUAAACGCAACUCUGAAGAUUGGGGUUCCGACGAUGGUAAGGAGUCAGGUAUGACACCUAAGUUUGAUUGUGUUAAAUCUUUUAUGGAUACCGAUGCUUUUCGUGGAUUUAGCGCUAAAUAUGGACUUGACUCUGAGAUAGUAGCUUCUUUCUGUGAAUCUUUUGCUAAUCACGUUGAUCUCCCUAAGGAGAAGUGGUUUAAAUAUAAUCCUCCCACUGAAGUAAAAGUAGUUGCACCUAUUACAGUUGAAGAAAAGACUAUCACUUAUAAUGAUCCUAUUGUUCCCACUACUUAUGUUGAGAAACCACCCUUUCCUGUUAGAAUAAAGGAUCAUGCUAAAGCUUCAACUGUGGUUCGUAAGAGUAAUAUUAGAACUUAUACACCUCCUGAGCAAAUUAAUGUUGAACCUAGUAUUGCUAUGGUUAAAGAUCUCUUGGAUGAUAAUAUAGAUGGGCAUGUUAUUUACUUCUGUGGUGAAACUGCUAAUAUUGCUAGACCAGAUACUAAGAUACAUAGACCUGUUGUAGGCAUGCCUGUUAUUUCUGUUAAAAUAGGAGAUCAUUGUUAUCAUGGCUUAUGUGAUAUGGGUGCUAGUGCUAGUGCAAUACCUAUUUCUCUAUAUAAUGAAAUUAUGCACGAUAUUGCACCCGCUGAGUUAGAAGAUAUUGAUGUUACAAUUAAGCUUGCCAAUAGGGAUACUAUUAAGCCAUUUGGGAUUGUUAGAGAUGUAGAAGUCUUGUGUGGGAAAGUUAAAUAUCCUGCCGAUUUUCUUGUUCUUGGUUCCCCACAAGAUAGCUUUUGUCCCAUUAUUUUUGGUAGACCCUUCUUGAAUAUUGUCAAUGCUAAGAUUGAUUGUGAAAAGGGUGUUGUUACAAUUGGCUUGGGGGAUAUGAAACAUGAUUUUAAUUUCGCUAAGUUUCAUAGACAACCCCAUGAUAAAGAAUUGCCUAGUAAGGAUGAAAUUAUUGGUCUUGCUUCUAUCGUCGUACCUCCUACUGAUCCGUUAGAACAAUAUUUGCUAGACCAUGAAAAUGAUAUGUUUAUGAAUGAAAGAAGGGAGAUAGAUGAAUUAUUCCUUAAACAGGGUCCUAUUUUGAAACACAACUUACCUGUUGAAAUCCUAGGGGAUCCCCCUCCACCCAAGGGUGAUCCCGUGUUUGAGCUCAAACCUUUACCUGAUAAUCUUAAAUAUGCUUAUCUUGAUGAAAAGAAGAUAUAUCCUGUUAUUAUUAGUGAUAACCUUUCAGAGCAAUAAGAGGAAAGAUUAUUGAAAACUCUGAAGAAGCACCGUGCUGCUAUUGGAUAUACUCUAGAUGAUCUUAAGGGCAUUAGUCCCACUCUAUGCCAACACAAAAUUAAAUUAGAUGAAGGCUCCAAACCAGUUAGAGAUCCUCAACGACGGUUAAAUCCUAAGAUGAAAGAAGUGGUAAGAAAGGAGAUACUAAAGCUCCUUGAGGCAGGUAUAAUUUAUCCCGUUGCUGAUAGUGAUUGGGUAAGUCCUGUCCAUUGCGUCCCUAAGAAGGGAGGUAUUACUGUCAUUCCUAAUGAUAAAGAUGAAUUGAUUCCGCAAAGUAUUAUUACAGGUUAUAGGAUGGUAAUUGAUUUCUGUAAAUUAAAUAAAGCUACUAAGAAAGAUCAUUACCCUUUACCUUUUAUUGAUCAAAUGCUAGAAAGACUAUCCAAACAUACACAUUUCUGCUUUCUAGAUGGUUAUUCUGGUUUCUCUUAAAUACCUGUGUCAGCGGAGGAUCAAUCAAAAACUACUUUUACUUGCCCUUUCGGUACUUUUGCUUAUAGACGUAUGCCUUUUGGUUUAUGUAAUGCUCCUGCUACCUUUCAAAGAUGCAUGAUGGCUAUAUUCUCUAACUUUUGUGAAAAGAUUUAUGAGGUAUUCAUGGAUGAUUUCUCCGUUUAUGGAUCCUAUUUUGAUGAUUGCUUGAGAAACCUUGAUCGAGUUUUGCAGAGAUGUGAAGACACUAGUCUCGUCUUGAAUUGGGAAAAGUGCCACUUUAUGGUUAAUGAAGGCAUUGUCUUGGGGCAUAAAAUUUCUGAAAGAGGUAUUGAAGUUGAUAAAGCUAAAGUUGAUGCUAUUGAAAAGAUGCCAUGUCCCAAGGACAUUAAAGGUAUAAGAAGUUUCCUUGGUCAUGACGGUUUUUAUAGGAGGUACAUUAAGGACUUUUCUAAAAUCUCUAGGCCUCUGACUAAUUUAUUGCAAAAAGAUAUUCUUUUUAUCUUUGAUGAUGAUUGUGUAGAAGCAUUUAAAAUACUUAAGAAAGCUUUGAUCACUGCACCUAUUGUUCAGCCACCUGAUUGGAAUUUACCCUUUGAAAUUAUGUGUGAUGCUAGUGGUUAUGUUGUAGGUGUUGUUCUAGGGCAAAGAGUUGAUAAGAAAUUAAAUGUUAUCCAGUAUGCUAGUAAAACUCUUGAUACUGCCCAGAGAAAUUAUGCUACCACUGAAAAAGAAUUCUUAGCAGUCGUAUUUGCAUGUGAUAAGUUCAGACCUUAUAUUGUUGAUUCUAAAGUUACUAUUCACACUGAUCAUGCUGCUAUUAAAUAUCUUAUGGAAAAGAAAGAUGCUAAGCCUAGACUUAUUAGAUGGGUUCUCUUGCUCCAAGAAUUUGAUUUGCAUAUUAUUGAUAGAAAGGGAGCUGAGAACCCCGUUGCAGACAACUUAUCUAGGUUAGAGAAUGUUCUUGAUGACCCACCACCUAUUGAUGAUAGCUUUCCUGAUGAAUAAUUAGCGGUCAUUAAUUCUUCUCGUACGGCUCCAUGGUAUGCUGAUUAUGCUAAUUACAUUGUUGCUAAAUUUAUACCACCUAGUUUCACAUACCAGCAAAAGAAAAAGUUCUUUUAUGAUUUAAGACAUUACUUCUGGGAUGACCCACACCUUUAUAAAGAAGGAGUAGAUGGUGUUAUUAGACGUUGUGUACCUGAGCAUGAACAGGAACAGAUCCUGCGCAAGUGUCACUCCGAACCAUAUGGAGGACACCACGCUGGAGAUAGAACUGCACAUAAGGUAUUGCAAUCCGGUUUUUAUUGGCCUACUCUCUUCAAAGAUGCUCGUAAGUUUGUUUUGUCUUGUGAUGAAUGUCAAAGAAUUGGUAAUAUUAGUAGACAUUAAGAAAUGCCUAUGAAUUACUCUCGUGUUAUUGAACCAUUUGAUGUUUGGGGCUUUGAUUAUAUGGGACCUUUUCCUGCCUCUAAUGGAUAUACACAUAUUUUAGUUGUUGUUUAUUAUGUUACUAAGUGGGUAGAAGCUAUUCCAACUAGUAGUGCUGAUCAUAACACCUCUAUUAAGAUUCUUAAAGAAGUUAUUUUUCCGAGGUUUGGAGUCCCUAGAUAUCUCAUGACUGAUGGUGGUUCACAUUUUAUUCAUGGUGCUUUUUGUAAAAUGCUUGCUAAGUAUGAUGUUAAUCAUAGAAUUGCAUCUCCUUAUCACCCAUAGUCUAGUGAUCAAGUAGAAUUGAGUAAUAGAGAACUCAAAUUAAUUUUGCAAAAGACUGUCAAUAGAUCUAGAAAGAAUUGGUCCAAGAAACUUGAUGAUGCAUUAUGGGCCUAUAGAACUGCAUAUAAAAAUCCUAUGGGUAUGUCUCCGUAUAAGAUGGUUUAUGGAAAAGCAUGUCACUUACCUCUCGAACUUGAACAUAAGGCAUAUUGGGCCAUUAAAGAGCUCAACUAUGAUUUCAAACUUGCCGGCAAGAAGAGGUUAUUUGACAUUAGCUCACUUGAUGAAUGGAGAACCCCCAAGCUGUUUAAAGAAAAAGAUAAAAGAUGGCAUGACAAAAGAAUACAAAAGCGAGAAUUUAACGUGGGUGAUUAUGUGUUGCUAUUCAACUCUCGUUUAAGAUUUUUUGCAGGAAAACUUCUCUCUAUGUGGGAAGGUCCUUACGUUAUCGAGGAGGUCUAUCGAUCGUUCCGGUGCCAUAAAAAUCAACAACUUCGAAGGCACAAGUCCGAGGGUGGUGAACGGUCAUAGAAUCAAACAUUAUAUCUCAGGUAAUCCUAUAAAUGUUGAAACUAAUAUUAUUGAAAACGUAACCCCGGAGGAAUACAUAAGGGACACUUUCCAAAACGUUUCAGACUCUGAAAAGGAAUAGGUAUGUGGUACGGUAAGUAAACCGACUCCAAAACAGUUCUAAUGGCAAUUUUUCUCCGUUUUGGAAUAUUUAAGAAUUUUGGAAAGCAAGAAGUAAUCCGGGAAGGACACGAGGCCUCCACGAGGGUGGAGGGCGCGCCCACCCUUACUCGGCGCGCCCCCUGUCUCGUGGGCACCUCGUGUUCCUCCCGGACUCCGUUUUCUUGUAUGUUACUUCUCUUGGUCGGUAAAAAUUCAUUAUAUAAUCUCCUGAAGGUUUUGACCACCGUAUCACGCAAAAACCCUCUGUUUCCGUUUAGAGCUGUUUCUGCUGCAGAUUAGAGCAAUAUGCCAUCCCAGCAUUCGGAGGGAGAAAGCUAUGUGGCUGAUUACCUUGCAGACCCUAAGGUCUAUGGGGACUUGGAUCAUUGUGGCUGGACCACUGAGGAAGAAGAAGACUACAAGCCUAAGGGGAAGGAGGAGACGAGCUCAGACGAAGACGAAGUCCCGUUACCUCAACUUGGGGACAUGCAUGUGGAGUUUAAAAAGUCAAGCCUCCCUGAUAGGGCAAAUUAAGAAGCCCAAGAUCAAGUUUAUCCCUUUUCGUCUCUUGCAGGAAAACAAACAGGAACUAUGUAAAAGGAUAUUAACCCUUGAGCGGGAGAUCGAUGAUCUAAGGGAGCAAAAUUCCAUUCUCAAGCACAAGUUGAGGAGGAAGCCUACAUCACCAACAACUCCAUCAUCGCCGCCUCCGAGGACAUAACCACAUGGGUAUGGGCACUCCCCUUGGCAACUGCCAAGCUUGGGGGAGGUGCCCCGGUAUCGUAUCACCAUCACACUCCUAUCUUUACCGUUUUUCUUAGUUCGAUCCUUUUAGUAAUAUCUAGAUCUGUUAGAAUAAAGUUUUGGUAUGAAUUAGUUUUGAGUUUUGCUUUGUGAUCUCUCUAUGUAAUCGAGUCCGUGAGCUAUAUAAUAAAGAUUAGUGUUGAGUCAAGGGCUUUGGUAUCUUGCUAUGAUCUUGAGAAAGUAGAAAGAAUAAAAAGAAUAAAAGAGUUCAUAUUGAUCUUAUGGAUAGUAAUGACUUCACAUAUAAAGAGUAUGAGACUUAAAAGUUGUUGAGAGUUGACAAACAUAGCUUUGGUCAUCGUUGCAAUUAAUAGGAAGUAAUAAAGAAAGAGAGGUUUUCACAUAUAAAUAUACUAUCUUGGACAUCUUUUAUGAUUGUGAGCACUCAUUAAAGUAUGACAUGCUAAAGAGUUAAUGUUGGACAAGGAAGACAACUAAUGGGUUAUGUUUUCUCACAUCUCAGUUAAAGUAUAUUGUCAUGGAUCAUUCCAACAUGUUGAGCUUGCCUUUCCCCCUCAUGCUAGCCAAAUUCCUUGCACCAAGUAGAGAUACUACUUGUGCUUACAAAUAUCCUUAAACCCAGUUUUGUCAUCCACCAUACCUACCUAUCGAUUGAGUAAGAUCCUUCAAGUAAGUUGUCAUGUUGCAAGCAAUAAAAAUUGCUCUCUAAAUAUGUAUGACUUAUUAGUGCGGAGAAACUAAGAUUUAUACGAUCGUGUGAUAUGGAAGUAAUAAAAGCGACGGACUGCAUAACAAAGGUUCAUAUCACAAGUGGCAAUAUAAAGUGAUGUUCUUUUGCAUUAAGAUUUUGUGCAUCCAACCCUAAAAGCACAUGACAACCUCUGCUUCCCUCUGCGAAGGGUCUAUCUUUUACUUUAUGCAAGAGUCAAGGUGAUCUUCACCUUUCCCUUUUUCAUUUUAUCCUUUGGCAAGCACCUCGUGUUGGAAAGAUCCUGAUAUAUAUAUAUAUCCAAUUGGAUGUAAGUUAGCAUGAACUAUUAUUGUUGACAUCACCCAAAGGUGAAUACGUUGGGAGGCAACAUUAUAAGCCCCUAUCUUUCUCAGUGUCCGUUUAAAACUCCAUAACCAUAAGUAUUGCGUGAGUGUUAGCAAUUGUAGAAGACUAUAUGAUAGUUGAGUAUGUGGACUUGCUGAAAAGCUCUAUUCUUGACGCUUUCCGAUGUUAUGAUAAAUUGCAAUUGCUUCAAUGACUGAGAUUAUCGUUUGUUAGUUCUCAAUGAAGUUUCUGAACCAUACUUGACAUUGUGAAUAGAUUGUUACUUGAGCAUAAGAAAUUAUAUGACAAAAUCUAUAUAUGUUGUUGUUAUAAGAAUGAUCAUGAUGCCCUCAUGUCCGUAUUUUAUUUUUAUCGACACCUCUAUCUCUAAACAUGUGGACAUAUUUUUCAAUAUCGGCUUCCGCUUGAGGACAAGCGAGGUCUAAGCUUGGGGGAGUUGAUACGUCCAUUUUGCAUCAUGUUUUUUUAUUGAUAUUUAUUGCAUUAUGGGCUGUUAUUACACGUUAUGUCACAAUACUUAUGGCUAUUCUCUCUUAUUUUACAAGGUUUAUCAUGAAGAGGGAGAAUGCCGGCAGCUGGGAUUCUGGCUGGAAAGGAGCAAAUAUUGGAAACCAAUUCUGCACAGCUCCAAAAGUCCUGAAACUCCACGAAAGUCAUUUUGGGAAUUGAUAAGAAUUAUUGAGCAAAGAAAGUACCAGAGGGGGCCCACACCCUGGCCACGAGGGUGGGAGCGCGCGCCCCCUGUCUCGUGGGCCCCCUGGUGGCCCUCCGGUGCCCAUCUUCUGCUAUAUGAAGGCUUUUACCCUGGAAAAAAAUCAUAAGCAAGCUUACGGGACGAAACUCCGCCGCCACGAGGCAGAACCAAUCUAGGGCUCCGGCGGAGCUGUUCUGCCGGGGAAACUUCCCUCCGGGAGGGGGAAAUCAUCACCAACAAUCCUCUCAUCGGGAGGGGGUCAAUCUCCAUCAACAUCUUCACCAGCACCAUCUCCUCUCAAAACCCUAGUUCAUCUCUUGUAUCCAAUCUUGUAUCAAAACCAUAAAUUGGUACCUGUGGGUUGCUAGUAGUGUUGAUUACUCCUUGUAGUUGAUGCUAAUUGGUUUACUUGGUGGAAGAUCAUAUGUUCAGAUCCUUAAUGCAUAUUAAUACUCCUCUAAUCAUGAACAUGAAUAUGCUUUGUGAGUAGUUACGUUUGUUCCUGAGGACAUGGGUGAAGUCUUGCUAUUAGUAGUCAUGUGAAUUUGGUAUUCGUUCGAUAUUUUGAUGAGAUGUAUGUUGUCUCUCCUCUAGUGGUGUUAUGUGAACGUCGACUACAUGGCACUUCACCAUUAUUUGGGCCUAGAGGAAGGCAUUGGGAAUUAAUAAGUAGAUGAUGGGUUGCUAGAGUGACAGAAGCUUAAACCCUAGUUUAUGCGUUGCUUUGUAAGGGGCUGAUUUGGAUCCACUAGUUUCAUGCUAUGGUUAGGUUUACCUUAAUACUUCUUUUGUAGUUGCGGAUGCUUGCAAUAGGGGUUAAUCAUAAGUGGGAUGCUUGUCCAAGAAAGGGCAGUACCCAAGCACUGGUCCACCCACAUAUCAAAUUAUCAAAGUACCGAACGUGAAUCAUAUGAGCGUGAUGAAAACUAGCUUGACGAUAAUUCCCAUGUGUCCUCGGGAGCGCUUUUCUCAUUAUAAGAAAUUGUACAGGCUUGUCCUUUGCUACAAAAAGGAUUAGGCCACCUUGCUGCACCUUAUUUACUUUCAUUGCUUGUUACCCGUUACAAAUUAUCUUAUCACAAAACUAUCUGUUACCUACAAUUUCAGUGCUUGAAGAGAAUACCUUACUGAAAACCGCUUGUCAUUUCCUUCUGCUCCUCGUUGGGUUCGACACUCUUACUUGUCAAAAGGACUACGAUAGAUCCCCUAUACUUGUGGGUCAUCAGGCUGUUUGAGAAGCGUGCGAUGUAGGCCCAACAGUGAAACCAGGCAACCAAACAGGCCUCUUCCUUUCCACACGGGUCUAGUUGGACUCGAUGCGGGCAACCAAACACGCCCCUAGACGCAUUGGGGAUUUGCAUGGUGCGGAGGCCAGAAAGCAUGGAUUCCACGAACUCGACACGGACAGGCUGGCGCCACUAGGCCGUGGCGGGACCCAUGAUACUACCACGAAGGUAAACGGGACCAUGGAUAGGGAAACAUUUGUGGUCGGAGGUGGCCAGCUCACUGAUCUGCGUAGUCCGCGGCGAUUGGCUGUGAGAGGAAAUGUGCUUUCUCCCCUCCCCUCCAUGCACGGAGAGAAAAAUUAUUUCUACCGUCACCACGGGCGUGUUUGGUUGCCCGCAUGCAGCCCAACCAGGCCCACGCGGGGAUGUGCGCGGCCUGUCUGGUUGCCUAGGCUGCAUGCGGUUUGUGGCCCGCACGGACCUUAAAGCAGGCCGUGGGCUGGCCCGGCGGAAACUGCCGAAUCGGCAGUUUCUCGCGAGCCUAGCUCGGCGUGGCCACACGUGCGAGGCAGUUGCACGCCUCGGACAGCAUGGGAGACGGAGGGGACGUCUCAUAACUCGCCUCCCACUCUCCUGUCAUCGCCCCAGUCGCACUAUUCCCACCGCUCCCUCUCUCCCUCACCGCCCCUCCCUCUCCUCUCCUCUGAUGGCUCCGCCCCGCCCACCGCCACGCCGUCCUCUGACCCCCGUCGACCAGCGCAUCGCCAGCAUCCAGGAGCGCUGGCUGGCCGGGCUCCAGAACUCAGGCCGGGACCUGGCGUCGGCGUUGCGAGCGCCGUUCCCCAUCUGCUGCCGGCCACCACGAGCGCCGGCCAAUGCGGUGCCGGCCGUUCCUGCUCCGCCGCCGAUUCCGAACCCCGUAGUUCUGGGUUCGGCGUCGGCGCCGUCCACGGAGCCGUCGCUUCUUGGGACCCCAUUGGGCAGGGGAGUUUUCUUGACCCUCGUCCAAGGGUUUUCUGGUGUCGGUGGGCCGUCCUCCUCGACCUCCGGCAUGGCGAUGAGCAUGGGGCCGAUGCUGCAGGCCGUCGCCAGGGCCGGCUCCUCCUCUGCUCUGCCACCUCUCUCCUUCCUGCCGGGGUUUUCACCCCGGCCUCGGUUCGCUGCGACUGCGCGUGUUCCGGUGAGUCAAACCCCCUUAAUGCUUGCUCGUAGAUGUAGAUUGGGGGUUUAUUUCUUAGGCAUGUGCUAGUAGUUAGUGGAUUCAAUAGGAUUAGAUAGGAUUAGAUAGGAUUCGAGUAGAUCUGAUUGGAUGUGAUCCCAAUCGAAUCCAAUCGGACCGAUCUGUUCUUGUUUCGUACAGUGUGUGUCCUAGGAUAAUUUUCCUCUGCUACUGCUAGUGUGUCCUAGGAUCUGUGUUUAUGCUAGUAGUUGUGUUCAUGCUAGAAUCCCCAAUGGUAGUAUGCUUUGCUAGGAUCUGUGUUCAUGGUAGGGUCUUGCUAGGAUGUGUGUCCAUGCAAGGAUCAUGUUGCUACAUACAUGCAUGGAUCAUGUUAAUGUUUGCACAUACAUGUUCAAGCUAGGUUUUGUAUUGAUUGUUAUACGUGCAUGUAGUAGGACCAUUUUAGGAUGCUGCCAAAUGUGGAUGGGUGCACAUGGGUGCUAUUGGCACUUGUUGUUGCUAUUUUUAGAUGUUUUCAUGCUUAGGAUAGUGGACUGAUGAGUGGUAGUUGCAGAAAAGCAUAUGCCACUGAUCAGUGGACUUGCCCAACACACAUGGGCAACUACCACUGAUCAGUGGCACUUGCUGUUGGGCAAGUCCACUGAUUAGUGGCAUUUGCCCAACAGCAAGUUCCAUUGAUCAGUGGCAUUUGCUCAAAGAGUUUGUGCACUGAUCAGUGGCAUUUGCUCUUGGGUAAAUGUCUCCGAUCAGUGCCAUUUUGCAAAGAGUUUGUGCAUUAAUACUUGUCAUCUUACCUGACAAGGUAUUGAAAACUGACUGGGAUGUGGCGGGUGGAGGAGCUCAGGUGGUGGCCGGAGCUGAGGGCGCCGAGGAUUUCAUCCCCACGAACAGGUGGCUCAGGACGGUGGACCUGCCUGGCAGGAUUGCCUUCAUGAGUCUACCUUGUUCAAGGGGACGAUCUCCGAGGCAGGGCCAUGAGGAGGGGGGUCGGGAGCCGCUGCGCUUCUACCAGCAGAUCAAGGACAACGAGGACCUCGCCAUGCUCAUCGUCCCUCCCAAGUUCGUGGAGGUGAUGAACACCUGGAUGGUCAUCAAGCGGCUCCCACAUGUGGUCAGGCUGUCGGCAAACAAGCGGUGCGCGUUCUGGGUGCAGGUCCAGAACUUCGAGGGGCACAUGGUGCUUGGCCGGGGCUGGAAUUACUUCUGCCGCCGCCACCGGGUCAUCCCCGGUGACCUCGUCGUUGUGCGCAUCUCAGGACUCAGACUGAAGGUUCAGAUCUACAACCACGACUCCUCGGUCAUGUGCAGGUUUCGUUGCAGCAGACACAAUUGUGUUGGUGACAUCGAGCAUGCUAUGUAGUAAAGUUAAGUAAGGUGUUCGUGUUGAACUUUUAUGGUGUGUGGCGAGACUUGUGCUGGGAACUUGUUCAUAUUUUGGCCAGGAGCAGCACCCUGGCAUGGAGUAGGGAAGAAGGAUGCCCCUGCUGUUAAUCUAGACUUAUGCUAUGUAGUUAAGUAGUUUGCUGUCAUCUCCUUGCUUGAUGUGUUUGAUUUCAUUUGGUUGCUUGCUUUGUCUGAUCUUGCUAUUGUGCUGAUCAUGUGGUGGCAAGGCCAUCACAUUUGAACGGGGGUGAACAGCACACAAACGCUGUUCGCAACCAAACAACUGAAGUUUGCAUCUGCUCACACCCUAAGCACAGAAACGGCAACCAAACAACAGGGGGGUAAGUGCCUCUCCAUUCUAUGCAGACAACCAAACAGGUUGCAUCUGCUGCAUAUGAGGCUACAUUUCAAGAACCAGUCUGGCUGAAGAUGGACAUGCAAUGCAACUACUGUUGCAAACUGCAACCAAACAGGCCUCAAAGCUCCGGCGCGAAGCAAAGGAAAGGCGACGCGUACGCUCCGCCCCGAUGCAUGGAUCACGGAUCAUGAGACUGUAGCUCCAGCAUGCUGCCAUUUUGACCUAGUGGCACCAUUAGCCAGAGCCUGCCCUCUGAACCUAUCCUGUACAUCACCGUCGGUACCGGAGCACACGACUGCAGUCACCUCGUCCGAGCUCCCUUCACCUCGGGCACCACCGGCGCUGUAGUGGUCUUAGCAUCGAGCAUCUCUGCAAACUUCAAUGGCCAUGUCGUCGUUUAUAGCACCAGGAUCACGGCCAAGCAAGUUAUAUCCCAUUCCCCGCAACAACAAAAAAGAAGAAGAUCCCAUUGCUGCGUGGCGCCGACCACCACUACCACCAAGGGAACCGGCAGUGUUGCCCGCCGCGUCCCCUUACCACCGAACUGAUGCAGGAACAUACAAACCAUGCUCGAUGGCCUCCUCUCCUUCAGAGCAUCUCCAACAGGCGCCCCACGCACGGCGCGCUAAAAUCUGGUUUGCGGCGCACGCAACGCCAGGUUUGGCGCGUGGCGCAGCGCUUGCUCCAGCGGUAGCGCUAAAAUGCAGCGCGCGUGCUGCUCCAGCAGCGCACUAAAAUGCAGCGCGCGUGCUGCUCCAGCAGCGCACUAAAAUGCAGCGCGUGAGCAGCCGGCGCACACAUUUGCUCUCAUUUUGGGCACAAAUUUCACACUUCAACACAAAACACAUGCAUAUAUUGAAUCCCAAACAUCAUUCCAACCAAGUUCGUGCCCAAAAGUUCAUGCCCACAACAUAAUUAAACCAAGUUCAACAUGCAAACCAAGUUUAUGAUGACACAAACGAAAGACACAAGAAUCAAGCCUCGUCCUCGUCUUCGUCUUCAUCCUCUUCCUCCGAUUCAUCCGACUCCUCCGAAGACGAUUAUUCCUCCUCCUCUUCAUUGUUGCACGCCGUAUGCUCAUCACGUGACUCGGAAGGUGUUGCCAAGAUCUUCAACGACAUCUUCAUGCGAAGGUGGCACACCGGCGCCCGGAGGUGCACCCAUGCCCCCAAUGAGAGACGCAAAACUCAUGCCACCCAUGCCACCCAUGCCGUCCAAGCCGCCCGGAGGUGCUCGAAAGCCACCCAUGCCGUCCAAGCCGCCCGGAGGUGCUCGAAAGCCACCCAUGCCUCUCAUGGUCUCCAUGGUAGCUCCAAAGCCACCCAUGGAACCCAUGCCGCCCAUGGUAGCUCCAAAGCCUCCCAUGGAACCCAUGCCGCCAAGGCCACCGGCACCCAUGCCGCCACCGCUACCCAUGCCGCCAAGGCCACCACCACCCAUGCCGCCAAGGCCACCGCCACCCAUGCCGCCAAGGCCACCGCCACCCAUUGUGCAAAUCAUGGUCUUUUUUGAUCAAGACUUCUUCACGGGCAAGGUUGACAUACUCCUUUUGCGCAUCAUUGAACAAAGAUGUGUCCAAGAAGAACAAGUGCUUCUCCCAUUCCAACAACUUAGCUCGCUCCUCCAUGGCCAUCUUCCUCUCCUCCAAUGCCACUUUCCUCUCCUCAGCGGCCACUCUCCUCUCCUCGGCCGCCAACCUCCUCUCCUCGGCCGCGGCAUCUUGGUUCCUUGCCAUUUUCCUCACCUCGUUGGCUUCUCUUCUUGCAUUGACAAUUGCUUCCAUGGCAUUUUUGAUCUCAUCAUCUCCUUUCCUCUUCUUCUUUUCUUUGUCUUUCUUCGUGCCAUCCGGUCGUUUUGGCUUCGAGUAUGAAACCGAGUUUGGGGUGGGGCUUCUCUUGCCAUCUUCACUUGAUGCAUCAUCCUCAUCAUCAUCUUUCAAAUCAAUUGUUCGCUUGCGUUUUUUGCUCAAAUCCAAAUCAUCAAUAUCCUCACGCUUCUUCCAUUUCUCAUCAUCCUUCAAUACUUCAUAGCAAUGAGGCAAGGUAAAUGGCCUUCCUUUCUUGAUCUUCCCCUUCUUGGUCCUCUUCUCCUCUCCUUUGAACAAGUUUUGUGCAAUGUUCAACUACAUGAAAACAAAACAAGUUAGCACAAGAAACACCAACAACAAGCAUGAUGUGAACAUGAGGAAUGAUGAAACCUCACUUACCCUAUCAUCAUCAUUGGUGCCACUUGGGUUCAACUUGUCAACCGCUUUUUGUGCGGCCGACCAUUGUUGACAAUCCCUAUUGAUGGUCGACCAUCGGGAGCGAAGUGAUCGUGCGGAGCGGUCAAUUCCACUCAUGUUGCGAAGAUCAAAGUAUUCUUUCAUCCGGAGCCAAUAAGCAUCUCUACUUUGAUCAUCUCCAACGGAUGGAUCCCUCGACACUUGCAACCAAGUAUUGCAUAGUAAGAUGUCUUCGGCGUUGGUGUAAUUGCCUGCUCUUCCUUUUGGUGCGUCGACAAUGCCCUCACCAUCCUCGUCCACCUCGAACUCAUGGUUUCAAAAUGCAUGUCAUUGGUUUGAGACCAAUGCGAAUUGUUCGAGCCAACACCCAUAGUUGACAUGUAUGCAUCAUCGUUCACACUACAAAGUAUAUAGAACAAUGCAAUAAGCUAUCUAUAUGUAUGCAUUCAAAAAAUAAGAAGGAAAAAAAAGUUCGGGAUUUUUUUUUACCUUUGGGGCAUUUCGUCGAACACAUGGUGCGCGUCGGCCGCCGGCUCAACAAGUGAGCUCGCCAGCGCUUCGGUAGCCGCCGCACUCGUCACACGCCCUGCAAGCUUCUUCCUCGGCGCCUUCGAGGUGCCGGAGCCGUCCGCCGCCUUAUUCUUCUUCGUGGAUGUCUUGCCCUUCUUUGGCCGCGGCACAUUUGGGAGCUUCGAGGUGCCGGAGCCGUCGAGGCGGGCGCCCGCGCGACGCCACCACCCGCCGAGGUCAUCCGCGGCGGCAUGAAGAGGCCGCGCGCGAGGCCGAUGCUCGGAGGAGCUCCGGCGGAGGCGUGGCCAACGCUCCCAGCGCUAGGGUUUGCGGCGGCGGCGGCGGUGGAGGGUUCGCGGCUGUAGGAUGGGGUGAGGGGAGUGCCGGCGCAUGGGUCCAUCGGGGUCAGCUCGCCGGCGCCGGCGCGUGCGGGGCGAAGGUAGCGCGGGGGAGAGAGUGCGGCGCGAGCGCUCGUGUGUGCCGAGCGCGGAAGCGGGCGUCCCAAAUACGCAGCGCGCGAUAGUGAUUCGGACCGCGCGCCCAACUAUAUAUGCCGAGCGCGCGGUUAUUGCGCGCCCGCUGGAGAUACACUAGUGAUUGCGCGCGCGCUAAAAUGGGUAAAUUUGCGGCGCGGCGGCGCGGCGCGGUGCUUGUUUAGCGCGCAUGUUGGAGAUGCUUUCAUGCUGGACGACGACGUUCUCACCCGCAUGGCGUACACCUCGGCCGCUGCACGGCAUGAAACAACGUACGUCCGGAGCAAGCUUUCGGUGGCUCUCUCUCUCAUCUGCUUCGCGGGCGACCUCGUCAGUCACAUUACUCCUACGACAACCGUAUUGAUGACGUGCCAGCAAUUUCAGCGUACGUCCAGCGGCCCUCACUCACUAGCCAGUGCCUAGCCCCACGAUGUGAUGAGUGUGUGGCUCGUCUGCCAAGUGCCAAAGCCUCGUCGUCAUGCCUUUUAAGAAAAGUCAGUGGUACUUGGUUCAAGGAUCAAAGAAAAGAAAAGUCAGUGGCACUACACUGCGGUGCACAUGCCAUGCCCCUACCACCACGCACUAGUACGUUGGGUCCGGGAAGCUUUCCGUCUGCAGUGGCGCCAAUGCAAAACAAAAGUGAUUAACGAUGGCUUCUCGCCAUGGCCAAGCCCCAGGAGUUGCUCUCUCGACCUCGACGGUAGACCAACUCCUUGGUUCGUUGCUUAUUUGAUGCAUGCUUGCCGCCGAUGACAUGCUCCGUUUAUCAGUUGGAGUAGUGAGUUUCAGCACUGCUCUUAGCCUGGUUGCUAAUAUAAACAUAUCUGUACCAUGCUUGGCCUAUUUCUACGCAUAUAUAUAUAUGGUUAUCGUUUGAUUUUUAUUCGUUCGUCAUCCAGUUUUAUGUUGCUUGUUGCUCUUGUUCAAGUGGUCGCCAAGAAAUAGGUUUCCACCACCUCUACCUGUUGUGUCCGGCCCUGUGAGACUGCUGGAUGGAGCCCCCAUUAUACCGUGAAAAGCAUCGGAUUCCAUAGCACCACGACAUGGAAAAUGGACAACUCGGGGAGGAGCUCAAGUUUGGCAGGCAGCUCAAGAUGCAUCUUUUGGUGGGCAACCCACAGCAGACAACUACUCCCUCCGUUUCUAAAUACUUGUCUUUCUGGAGAUUUCAACAAGUGACUACAUACGGAGCAAAAUAAGUGAAUCUACACUUUAAAAUAUGUCUAUAUACAUCUGUAUGUGGUAACCAUUUGAAACCUUUAGAAAAACAAGUAUUUAGGAACGGAGGGAGUACUUCGUAUAGUAAUAGUAAUGCUCCACUUGCAUGUCCAUCAGUAAAAAAAAAUGCCACUUGCAUGCAUGCAUCAUGCACUAAGAUGAAGCUGAAGCCGAUCGAGGUUAAUGGUUUCUUAAGCAUUUUACCUUUCUCCGCAGCAUCUGUCGCUUGCUCGCUCGCUCUACUUAGGGUUUGAAGAUGCCGACGAUGGGUCCCAUCCGCACAAGAAUCGAUUAUGCACCCAACGCGCCGGCCGGCGGCUAAUAAAGUUCCUGAAUUCGAUGCAAAAAAAAAAAUUAUAUAUCUCCAGCACCGCCCGGCAAGAUACAACCCAUCUUUUAGGGCGUGCUCUGUUUCCCUUCAUUCAUUACCUCUGCGCCGCUCAACCUAUCGCCCCCAAGACCAGGUAAGUUGAUCCUCUUCUUCCGUGUCCUCCCUCCCUCCCUCGUCCCCCUACCAGAUCUCCCUGACUCGGCCUUCUUUCUCCAGGCGCUGUGAGCCUUCCCGUGCAUCCACCCAGGGAAGAACAUGGUCAUCAUCGUCUCUGGAUCCAGGAGGCCUGCCUGUGUCCUCCGGCGGCGCACCGGUUUUCACCCGGGAGCAGCCAGCGAGAUGCAUGGCGACACAGGGUAUGUGGAGGCGGUGCAAGGGUUUUUUCCUUUGCACGUACGGGAGCGCCGGAUCUGCUAUGUAAGUUUUCAUACUUGGUUUCGUGUUUGGAGCUGCAUGCCCUUUUUUCUCUCGUGUGAUUCGUGUUCCGCCGGCGCCGAUGCGGGGACUGCGCGCGCGGAUCUCUAUGGUGGUCUGAGGCUGAGGUCAGACGUCGAGACCGCAGAAACACGGACGACACGAAGGAUUUCGGGUUUGGAGGAUUUGACACAAGAAGGCAUCUCUGUUUUUGUGCGUUCUACUCUAGAGUGAAAUAGCUUUUGGAGGAUUGUGUUUGACACAAGAACACAUCUCCGUUGGUAAGCGUCCUAGGGUUGACUAGGUUUGGAGAAUUUGCGAAAUAACACAUCUCUGUUUGUGGGCGUCCUAGGGUUAACUAAGGUUUGAAGAGGAUUUGACACAAGAAGGCAUCUCUGUUCAUGCGCGUCUUUAAGGUUAACUAGUUUUGGAGGAUUUGCAAAAGAAAACGACGCGUCUAAAAUAAAAAUGACCAAAGAUUGGGCGUCCUAGGGUUAACUAGGUUUGGAUUAUUUGACAAAAGCACGGGGGUCUGGCUUGACAUGCGCCUCCGAUCCGCUCGGCUCAUGAUGGAUCUCUCCUCGGGGGCCGCCCGCUUCAGUGUACAUGGAGUGAGCGGGUCCUUGUCGAUGUGGGGCAUGCUUGUGUGGCCAGAAAGCGCUUGAUCUUGGCAGAAGAUGGGGGGAGGCCGGGCAGUGAGAAGAAUGCCGUGAUCGCUUCCACUUUUCUUUUCAUCUCGUUGUUUUGAUUCUUCAGAUUUUUAGUGUGCUUAGCUAGUUACUACUAGCUGGAACAGCAUACUGCCGCAGCUUGCUUGCUUGCUUGCGUUUCGCGCGUUAUGGCCUCGUAGGAGCUUUAAUUUCAGCUCGCGUCGACCCAUCACAUUGCACGACCCACAACGCGAGGUAGCUCUUCAACUCGUAAAGAAUGGCUUCCUUCCUUAUUGAUUCGUCGAGCCAAAGAGGAGUCACAUGACCCUGUACUUCUUUUUUUAACACAAUGACCCUGUACGUUGGCUAGCUAUUGCUUGUUGCUGCACCACUGACAUGAACUACAGCCUCACCUCUGCACACGGCAUGGUGCAUCAAGGUGGUUUGAUCUCGCGACGAUAUGCAUGCAUGUGUCGCUGUACAGAUCCACACAGUUUUGUCCCUCUUGACUAAAUAUUUUUGUCUCUAGCUUGUUUCUCUCCCUAUUGCGGCGACUCACCCACUCGAGUACAACGUACACGUUUACCGAUUGCUUUGUUUCGUCCCUCUGCACAAGAGGUCUCGCUCAUAGGAGGUGGCAAUGGUCUCAACAAUUAGAUGCCAGUGCACCGGUACACGUUACGUUAAAUUUUGGAAUGAAACUAUUUGCUUGUUAAUUUCUAAAUAAAGAUAAAAUAUAUGCGAUCGCGUUCAAUAUACCCCCUCCGUCCGGAAAUACUUGUCCUAGGUACGUACGAUACUCCGUUGGUGGAGCGCGAGGCUCGCACCUUCGUUGAGCCCCCCUCCUGCUCGGAAUGGACGGCAGUGUUCUUCUUCCUCCCCAUAGUGCAAAGUUUCGUCCUCCUUGUAUGCAUGUCCAUUGAGUCCUCCACCCCGAGGAUAUGAGUUGAGUCCUCAUAGCCAUGCCCGUGCACCACCUAGUAGAACCAAGUUUUUCCUAUGGUCAUGUAGUUCUUUCUGAUGGUCACGGAAUCACUUUCACAAAAGUCCAACAAAGAGACAUGGAGUUCUUUCUCAUGGUCAUGGAAUCACUUUGACAAAGACCAACAAUGAGACAUGGUGUUUGGCCUUCACUAGUUCUUUCUUCCCCAUAGUAUGGCUGAUUUUUAUGUUGUUCGAGAGAGAGAAAAAACUAGAUGGUCCGACACCGUUUAGUUCACAUGGAUUGAUAAGUCCAUUGAUUUGGUUUUAUUUGGAAUCAAAAGUUGGCAUUCCUUUAAUUUUCCCAAAUGAAGGAAAACCGCCAUGACAUUUUUACAACUACAAUUUCCAUUUAAAAAAUGAAAAAAAAAACCGAAACUUGCCAUCCAAAUAGAAAGCUGUCAUAAUUCACAACUGAAGUUGCCAUAAAAAAAAUCAGGGCGGAAUUGCUUUGUGCCACACGUGUGGCACUUAUCAGGGUCCUUAUUUUUUUUCGUUUUUAAGUUCAUUGUGGAUCUGCCUUUUGCCGUCCAAACCUAUUCUAUUUCGUCAAGUUCCGUCUUAUUAUUUCUGAUUUGUUUCUCCGUGCAUAUUUGUUUGUCCUGGGCAUCAAAUUCAUAGGCUAGUGAAGUCCGAUUACCAGGGGCCAAUUUCUGAAUGUGAAUUAGAUUUGACUGCUUUUGUGUUCUCUAUAUAUAUGGUGAUUUAAUCAGUCAAAUCACCAUAUAGAUAGAGAACACAAAAGCUGAUUAAAUCACCAUAUAGAUAGAGAACACAAAAGCAGUCAAAUCAGCCCAUCGGCUGGAAGGAAGCCCACAACGAUCCCAAACCUUAACAGGCCAUCGGCACAUUCUGAACCGAUCCAGCAAUGCUCCAGCCGGCCUAGCCCGCCUGGCCGAACGAAAACCCUAGCUUUUACCUCCCGCUAUAUAUUGGCUGCUCAUCUCAUUUCGCCCCUCCCCGAGCGCCGCCCCCAGCCGCCAGCGCCCCCUUCGUCCUCUCCGUCGGCUUCCCCGGCGAGCUACCAAGGUUAGUCGAUCCGUCCGUCGCGUACAUCUCGUAGAACGAUCGUCUCCCCUGCCUGCCUAGACCUCGUAGAUGAUCCAUGGCGUAGAUCUCGUCGACGAUCGUCUCCCCUGCCUGCCUAGACCUCGUAGAUGAUCCAUGGCGUACAUCUCGUCGACGAACAUCUCCCCUACCUAGACCUCGUAGAUGAUCCAUGGCGUAGAUCUCGUAGACGAUCACCUCCCCUGCAUAGACCUCGUAGGUGAACCAUCGCGUGGAUCUCGUACAGGAUCCAUCCUCCAUGCUGUCCCCUUGAACUGUAUCCAUCUCUGUGUAGUAUAUCGGUAGAUUCGUCUCCUGUGCAGAUUUUCGAGCUGGACAGAGUGGCUCUGUUUCGAUUCGGGAGUAGGCCCUGGUGCUAUGUGGGUAGUAGGACCUAUUUUCCCUCCAUUCCGUUUUGAUUCAGGAGCAUGGUCUGUUGUUCAUGCCUUCUGGUUUUAGUCGGGAGCAUGGUCUGUUGUUCAUGUGUUCUGGUUUGAGUCGUGAUUAGGACCAUUUUCAAUGCACUCGGCUUUGUGUCGGGAUUGGAUCCCUUUAAAUUGCAACUGAUUAUUUGUGUGCAUGACAUUCUGUGUAAGUGCUCUCAUAGAUGAUUGGUCUACUGUGCUGCCCCAUUUUCUGUUUGUCUGUUUACAUCUCUUAGAGUUAUGUGUAGAUGCAUCUCAUAUUUCCUUGCUGUUCAGUCUGAUGUAAAUUUUCGUUUAAGAUGAUGCGUCUGUAUUUGAAUUGGCAUCUGUAGAUUGGUCUUCCUGUUAUUGUAGAUUAUUAUGGAUAGUCCCAUUGUCCUAAUGCAUCUUAUUUUUUCUGGUAAUUUUCAUUUCACUUAAUAUGCUGUGACUGCAAAUCUGUUAUGCUAGGGCAUGCCUUGGGUUUGUUUUUGUUUCUUCAUCUGAUAGCGUGUGUUACAGCUGUGUGUUAUAAUGCAUUGUAUGCUUUCUUUUUAAUCUGCUGAUCAAUCUCAUAAUUUCCAGUUGACUCACUGCAAAUCUGUUUCAAUUGACCUAAUGUUUUUAGACAUGGUGAGGCCGUUUGAGGAUGACUACCUGUGUCCUGCUUGGUUUGCACCUGGAGGGGUCAGGGCAACACAUUCCAAGGAUGGAUCGACCAAAAGGUCAUCCAAGGAUAGAUCGUGCUCUCCUUUUUAUAUUCCAGGCCUCCGCACAGCCGAUGUUGCUGUUGUGGAAGAGUAUCUCCGUUCUGUUAACAUCAUGCCUGUAAGUUUGGCGAUUCUUAAAUCUGACUGUACUACCCUAAAAAAAUGUCACUGUUCUUGUACCAUGCCCCUUUCUCUCUGAUUGCCAAUGGUUGAUUGUUCCUGCAGGUGUUUUUAGACAUCAAGAUGCCAAGGAAGUCUGUGUUUACUCUGCGUGAAACCUUGUACAAUCUCUUCUCAUGGUCAAAAAGUUCUGAAUAAAGUUGGUACUACUUUGUUCAUCGUGUCAUCUUUCUAUACUGUGUGUGUAGUUACGUUCUUUAUGGGGGAACACCUGUGAAGGAACUCUCUGAGCUCGUAUGUUAUCGCUUAAAUCUCGAGGAAGGUCGCCCCAUGCAGUUCCUCAUGAAUGGUGAUCUACUCGCUGAGGGUAACUGAUCAGUUAUUCAGUCUUCAGAAUAUUUUCUUUAACGCAUCGUUUUAUGUCUUGAUGAACUUUUAUUUUUUGUAGCGACCACUGUGUCUGCAAUCUAUGAGAAACAUCUUUUGUCUGAUAACCUUGCUACCUUGCAGUGUUACAUUGGUAAUUAGACCACACCAUUGCUUGAUCGUCAUUAUAUAAUAAUAAUUGUAUUUUGUGACUUGCUAACUGUCUACUGUUUUUCUGUUUUUAAUAUAUGCAGACAAGAAGAAGUUUGUUCCAAGAAGCUUCAAUGUCGACAAGUCAGUUAAAGUUCCCAUCGUUGAGCCAGGUUAGAAAUAUCAGGUUUUCUGUGCGUUUUACUGCUGGCAGUGAGAUUAGUCUAGUUAGUUCAGUGAUAUUUAGUGGCAGCAAUGUUUCUUUUUACUGUACUUGGUAUAUAUGUAUGACUUUUGAGAAAUCUGUAACUAUCCGAGUAAUGUUCUUCCAAAAGUAUUGUCGGUUUAUCAUUCUCAAGUUUGAACGGUUGACUUCCUAUUAAGUUGAUGUUGCUUCCAGUCUUGUUAUUCCGUAAAUAAUGACAUCUAUACUAAGAAUGAUGUCCUUGUAAAAAAUUGAGCAGUUUGUUUCGUGUCAAGCUCAAUAGUACACUAAAGUUACCACUAUCUAACUGUAACUGUAAUUGUUUGUUUGAACUGACUGUUUAUUUUCUGUUGAGUUCAAUACAACACUUUGUUUGACCACUAUUUAUAUGUAAUUGUUCCUUUGUAUGUAGCAUCUGCGUGUUUUAUUGCUGGGAGAGAUCAGUCUACUUAGUUCUGUUAGUGGUAUCAAUGUUAUUUUACUGUACGUGGUAUGUAUGUAUCACUAUUGAGAAAUCUGAAGCUAUCUGAAUAAUGUUUUUGUAAAAAAUUAAAGCGCAAGUAUUGUUGGUUUAUCCUUCUCUAGCUGAAUGGUUGAUUUGUGGUUGAGUUGGUUUUGCUUUCAGUCUUGUGAUUCUUUCAACAAAUGGCAUCUGUAUAAGAAUAAAUGUUUUCUAUAAAAAAUUGAAUUGCAACUAGUCUUUAUCUUUGUGAAAUUGAACAGUUCAUUUCCUUUCAAGUUCAAUACUGCACUUGAGUGACCACUAUCUAACUGUAAUUGUUAGCUGUGAACUGUUUGUUUUCUGUCGUUCAAUAUUACACUAAAGUGACCACUAUCUAAAUGUAACGGUAAUUAUUUUGUUUGAAUUGUAACUGUUUAUUUUCUGUCUGUUCAAUAUAACACUUCACUGACCACUAUUUAUAUGCAAUUGUUUCUUUAUCAUUUGUAUUGUUGUAUUCUGUGGUUUCCUAAUUACUUGAUCUGUUUCCUUGCAGUUUAUGUCAAUGAAGAGUACAUCCCGUUUCCUCCCUUCCGCAUCCGCAACAUCAGGGAUGCAAAGAAGGCAGCGGCUGAUGCCAGGAGUGGCUCCUACGGCAAUGCCACCAUCUCUCAUGGAUCGUACAGCGAGGAGGGUCAUCUGCAGUUCUAUUAGGCGACUUGGCUUAAGGGUUGGUAUGAACUAUGAUCGGCGAAUUUUGUCAGAUUGGCUGGAGUUUUGCACCCUUGUGGGGUAGUGUUAGGAUCGACCGGUGAAUUUGGUCUGUUCUUCAGACCGACCCUUGCGCGGCAGCUUUGAAUUGCUGAGGCCAGUUUGAAUUAUGCUAAACCUUCAUGGAUGAUGUUAUGGGCGUUCAGGCUUACUUUCAGGGUUGUUUUCUGAUUUUUGCUGUGGUUGCUCUUCUUGCUUUCACUAACUCUGUCAAGUGCCAAACACUGAUUAACCUCUACUCUAAGAACAUGCUCAAGGCACGUGGCUUAUUAGAUUGAAUAACUGCCAUCUUGUGUUGAUUUGACACUGCUAGUGUUACUGUAACCGAAUUAUCAUAGAACUUCACAGGUCAAGGUGGAGGCUACUAUACAAUUUUUUUGUGCCAUGCUCAACCCUGAACAGUAACUGCAUCUUUCUAGAGAGUUUUCAUGAGGCAUUUCACUCGCCAACCUUUUGUAUCGUAAGAAAAACAACUUGUGCAGCUUCACAAGGCCAGGUUUUUAUGGACCCCGUAAUAGCAAGGACAUGUAUCAUAUGCUUUCCACAAAGUGUUUGGUUAGGACAGUUACUACUUCUACACAUUUCGCUCAAUUCUUGAUUUAAAAAUAUUAACCUUUAUUACUGAAAUAAACUGUUACACCUUCUGUUCCUAAAUGUAGGAACAGAGGUAGUAGUAUUUAAAAGUGGCAAGUUCCCCAGCAAAAGAAGAUGGGUUGGAAGAUUGUAAUCCACAUCCCACUAGGGAAGCACCAAUAAUAAGAACAUCAUUACUGAAAAUCUAUCUAAUGAUAAUAAGAACAUCAUUACUGAAAAUCUAUCUAAUCAAACACACGAGGAGUAGUGUUCAUGACAUACUAUUUGCUUGCUUCCAGUUCAGAACCUUCCACUCUCCAUUGUUUUAGUUUAGAGAUAAUCUCUAAUCUCUUUCCGCACAUCAAGUCACCAACAUCAAACCAUCACAAGUGAAGAGAGCCAGCAAACUAGGUGGGAUCUUUAUUUAUCACCAAAGUUAAAAAUAUUUGAACACCAAAAAUAAAAUAAAAACAUUUAUAUGUAGAUCUUUUACUGCUUCCAGAGCUCAUGUACAUGCAAUCUUUACUUCCUAUUAGGUGAUAAAUUUGCAAGUUAUAGAUUUUACUGCUUGAGACAAAAUCAAAGAUACAGGCUGCCAAAUAUGAAAACCAAAUAUCGGGAAACAGUAUGGUAACCAACUAAUUAUUAUCCAAAUUAAAAUUUGAUAAUCCUCUAUACAAACUUUGAGUAUGAACUUAAAUUUCCAAUUAUUGGGCAUAAAAGAAUCUUCCAGUUUGGACAUCACUACUUCUAGCAUUUUGUUGACUCGGAGCAGAAUAUGACAUCAUAUUAAAUCCAAACCACAUGCAAGUUGAAGCAGAUACCGUAAUCCGUAGGAUGGCACACAACAGAAUACAAGUAAGAGGUUCACUACAGUUGGAAGAAUCAGAUGUGCCCUGCUAACUGUAUUUAAGAGGUGUAACCUUUGAAUCAGGUGGGCACUACUAACUCCAAGCUGACACUGAAUGUUCAAACUGAAAGCUGCCACAAAGACCAAAUCAAGUAAUAUGCUUCAGGAUCCAGGGAAGAGCUGAGGUUUUUCUAGACUUUCCAAAUCUACAAUCCUACAAUAAAACCUCCAACAUCGCAAGUCAAUGAACAGCCCAAUUAAUAUAAUCGGCGUACUUUAAAGUUUCUUCAAGGAAAGUCAGACCAUAGUUAAAACUUGACAAUGGGCCGAAACAAGUAUGGAGUCCAGGUACAAGUUUUUGUGGUUAUAGAAGACUCCUCCAUUCAGAACGAAGCUCGCAAACAAGCAUUUAGAACUCUCGACCUCCCCGAAUCAGUCUCAGGAAAUUGGUUUUGUAACUAAGGAAAUAGAAAAUGUGAAAUCAGAAGAUCUCCAAAACAGAUUUUCACGCAGCAUGACAUCGUAUUUCUUUUGUGAAAUUGUCAAGCACACCUGCGAUGAACAAAAGACCAUUUUGGAGAAAUCUGCUCAACAAAAAAAAAAAGGAUACGUCUGGUUUAGUGAAGUUAUGCACAUUGGUUUGAAUUAUCCUCACUGUAUGCCACAUCUGCAUAGUACCAAGGUUUACUGAUAAGAAAAGAAUGACGUUUGGAAUUCUGAAGUUAACAAAGCGAAGUUUGUGAGGAUCGAACCAUGAAGAAUCUCCUAGAGCAUUGCACCAUUCUAAUUGUUGAGCCGAAUAGUAAUUUGUGCAAGCCUAACAGAGAGUAAAUUUUCAAAAACCAGCACGCAAUGCAUGAAAAACUAUCGUUUUGCUAACAGUUUGCGAAAAACACCAAAAUUCAGUAAAUAUUUGUCAAAAAAACUGAAUGCUCGGUUGAGAGCGUUUUGGCACGAAAAUUGUCAGACGGGGUCCAUCCGUCAGUGCUGAGUUGGCACAGAAGUCAACACUGUUAGAGUUGAACCUUUAUGAUAAACUGGACCCGACAUGUGCAUAUNNNNNNNNNNNNNNNNNNNNNNNNNNNNNNNNNNNNNNNNNNNNNNNNNNNNNNNNNNNNNNNNNNNNNNNNNNNNNNNNNNNNNNNNNNNNNNNNNNNNNNNNNNNNNNNNNNNNNNNNNNNNNNNNNNNNNNNNNNNNNNNNNNNNNNNNNNNNNNNNNNNNNNNNNNNNNNNNNNNNNNNNNNNNNNNNNNNNNNNNNNNNNNNNNNNNNNNNNNNNNNNNNNNNNNNNNNNNNNNNNNNNNNNNNNNNNNNNNNNNNNNNNNNNNNNNNNNNNNNNNNNNNNNNNNNNNNNNNNNNNNNNNNNNNNNNNNNNNNNNNNNNNNNNNNNNNNNNNNNNNNNNNNNNNNNNNNNNNNNNNNNNNNNNNNNNNNNNNNNNNNNNNNNNNNNNNNNNNNNNNNNNNNNAUGUCGGCCGAACGAAAAAAUUGCGCGCUACAAGAUAUAGCGUCGCCCUUCUAUAUAGAUGCUACACAAGUUAUAUUGUGCUAAUAGCGUGCUAUAUUUCAAAUAUCAUCUUAAAUAAUGUCAAAUAUAUCACAUAAUUGAAGGAUUUCAGCAGCUAAAGAAUUGCUCAGGAGCAAUACAUGCAUAACCAGUUAACCACAUACAAGAAGUAGCGUCACGUGCUCCCCAUCUCCUCCACGGCCGCACCCUCUCGUCUCCUUCCUAUCAGACGCAAGAAGUAGCCGCAGCAGCGCACGGGGAGCAAUAGUAGCCCCAAUAGCUCCUCUUUCUCAGCCACCGGCAGCAGUAGGAGCACGCACACGCACGCACGAGCAAGCAGCAAUAAGAGCUCAAAAGGGUGGAAGAAGUAGAAAAGGGCAUUACCUGGUGACUGACUUGCCUCCGUUGCGAGCGGCGUGGCUUAUGUCGUCCCUUCCGGUAUUGGCUGGAGUCAAGCUUUAAGAAUCCACUGCGCUUGUCGCUCACGAGAAGCAGCCAUCGCCAGUGCUCAUAACUUAGAUGAGAAGGGUGAAUGAACUAGGGUUGGUUGUUCAUCAGGUCUUACCUUCUGAAACUGAGAGUGAGAGGGCUGUGGGUGUGGGCCUGUGCCUGUGGCCGUCCGAGGGGUAGUUUUGGGUCGCUAGGGCUUGGCUACUGAUUUUUCUCUUUCAGGUUUUUCCAUGAUGCUACAACGCUAUAACGCUACAACUUUUAGCACGGAAAUAGCGUGCUAUAACGCGAUUAGCGCUGUAGCGAGCAAAACUCCUUAAAUGUAGCAUACCUCUUCCAGAUACGCUAUAGCGAUGCUAUAACGCCGAAAUAACGCGCCAUUUUUUCGUUUCUACUGAUGUGAGCAGGAAUGGAUGUUUCGGGUUGUGCUGCUCUAUUGGACAGGGCGUUUGGGCUAUGCCACUAUGGAGUAUGGAGUAUGCGCUGACAACCAUGUGACCAUGUGGGCUGGACAAUGAGCAUAUGUAUAUAUUUUUUUUGGUGAUUUUCCUGCGCGGGUCACGACACGGUUUUGCCGGUGAGUAGUUCCGCCAGUGUCUAUGAGGAUGCUUGCACUUGCUACCGCCACCGAUCCCGUUGGUGAGAUGGUCCGGAUGGGGAGAGGACAUGCCUAAAGACCACUGUGAAGUUUGCCCGCGCCGUGGUGCAGGUGUUUGGAGUAGAGUAUCUGAGAGAACUAAAUGUGCAGGAUACAAAAAAAAUUGUUGGCUAUUGGAGAGGCAGGAGGUUUUUCAGGUAUGCUCGAUUCAAUUGAUUGCACGCAUUUGCAAUGGAAGAACCGCUUCAAAGGUUUACGCGAGAUGUACCAAGGUCACACCAAAGAGGCCACCAUCAUAUUGAAAGCAGUGGCAUCACAUGACUUGUGGAUUUGUCAUGCUUUCUUUGAAAUAUCGGGUUCUCACAACGGCAUCAAUGUACUUCAGCGAACUCCCAUGUUCGAGAGACUUUCUAAUGGGGAAUCCCCCAUGCAACUACACUCUCAACGGUUCCGACUACAACAUGGGAUACUACCUUACCGAUGGUAUCUAUCGUCAAUGAGCGGCGUUCGUAAAGACCAUAUAUGAUCCCCAAGGAAACAAACAAUGCCACUUUGCAACCAUGCAAGAAGCAGCUAGGAAGGAUAUGGAGAGGGUAUUCGGAGUGCUCUAAGCGCGAUGGGGUGGAGCUGCAAUAAUAUGGAAAUCAAAGACUUUGCGGCAGCUUAUGAGAUGUUGUGUUAUUUUGCAUAAUAUGAUAGUCGAGGACAAGGGUGAUGGGUAACCCAAACCCUGAUUUUGGAGAACAAAUCCACAUCCUGAUCAUAAACACGCUUCCCCUCAAGGAUACUAUUCGCCCAAAGAAUAGUAUCAACUGAUGCACUCAUCAGCAAUUAGAGAUCGGUAGAUACAAUAUGACUCUACAAACUAAGGUCUAAAAUUUAACUGAUUAUCAAAAAAAAUUAAUUCACCAACAAUACAAGUGCCACUUUCAACUCAUCUUAAUUAUACGAGGCAUUGCAGCUACACAAAUAGACCAAAUAAGGAAACGCAGACUUGCAUGACUUUCUGCUCCAACCGAGUACUCAGUCCAACCGACUGGUAUUGAACAAACUGCCUCUAAUAGCCUCGAGGUAUCCUUGCAAGAUGAUCGUCCCUUAUUACAUCAGUCGCCAGGAAGUGAACUGUGGCAAGUGACUCAAUGUCCCCCCUGAUUUGCUUCUCCACCCAACACCUCUGCCUACUUGCCUCCGGGAACCUUAUUGGCUUUAGAGGCUCCACGUCUCGGCAUCUGCUACAUGUCAGUCUAUCAUACAAGUAGACAUCCUCUAGAUUCACCGCUGCUUCCAUGACACGCCUGACAUGACUCAUCAUGUAGUUUUCAGACUGAAAGCAGAAGAUGGUGAGCUUGGUCAGACGCUGGUGCUUGAAAUUUGAUGACGAUGAUUCCCACUCGACGCCCUUGUUAUCACAAUAAUAGCCCUUCCUCCUUUUCUCCUCAUCCAUUAUCAUUUCACAUGGAUGAUCAAUUACCUACAUGCCACCCACAGGACACAAGCAAAUGGAACAGGUUAAUUUUGCACAGUGAAAGCACGUUCAAUCAUGCAAUGGAGAUAAUAGAGCAACCCCUCAAACAAAAGCCCGUACGUAAGAACAUACAGUCAGGUAGUAGAGAAGCCCCUCAAAAAAAAAAAAGAACAGGCUUUGGUUAAGAACAAACCGUCAUGUAGAGCUCCUCCAGGGAUGGCGCCGCUUCCAAGAAGAACAUUGUCCAGGUGAGAUCAUACCCUUCAGGAAUGUUAAGUAGAUUGAGAAUCCUUAGUUGCUGAAACACAUAUGCCUGCCUUCUGGUCAAACACUCUGGUUGAACCCAAAUCUGCAACAAUAAGCAACACAAUAGGAUGAGUACAGAACAAGUGCAAGCCAGGACAAAGCAAUCAACCCAACUUACCUUUUCGCAUUUAAACCCCAACGUCAUGUCUCGAACAGAGGUCUCAUGAAGCAAUGUACUCAGCUUGACCAUUUUGUGCAUAGUACGAGCAAGGUUUGAAAGUCUCAGAACCCCGAGCAAUGGGACAUAGCCCAGUGACAGUGGUAGUUCUUGUGAAGAUCUCCAAAACAAAAAUGCCAGCCAGGUGAGUUUGGGAACCCAGGUGAGUUCGACCAUGUCAAACCGGCAAUCGACAAUACUGAGCUCACUGAGCUGUGCGUGUUCAACUUGGAGCGUUAUCCAAUCCGAUGUGUCGCAAUUGUGAAAACCUAAAUAAUGUAAUUGCUUGCAAGUGACAAGGAUGCUGGAGACAUAGUCCGACUUAACGAAUCUCAAAUUCGCCAGGUCAAGGCGUGUGAGACCAGCAAAUGCAUUGAGGCACUCAUUAAAAAAUGACACAAACCGUGCCCCAAAGUUCAGAGCAUCAUCAGGAAUGACCUUGUGUUCCUUCUCUGUCAAAACUGUGAAUUCAGCUUUCUCAACCUUGUGUGUAGCCAUGGCAUUGCCAACAGUAUGCCCAAUGGAUAUGGGGGCAUCAUCUCUCAAGUAGAACGCCGUGCUCAAGAGGCGGAUGGUGCAUCCACCAGGAUCCCUGUGUGCCAGCAUGCUCUUUGUCGCUUUGACCACGGCUGCAUUGGCUGCAUUGAUCCGAACCAAUUUUUCAUCCAAUUCAUCAUCAGAUAUGCUAGUUUCUGAGGGCAUGAAAUCGCGAGCACUUAUUUUAAGCCGUGAGAGCUUGGCAGGAAGCUGACUCCAACGUCUGGAGAGGACACUGGUUCUUGUAACGUCACGGAAAUCAAGACGGUCAAGAAUGUUGACCAGUAUGUCGUUGGGCAACUUGCUGAUCCUACCAUCUUCAUUGCCUUUCUGCAUUUGGCAUUGAACAAAUCAGAGUUGUUAUCACAUUACAGACAAAUACGCAAUACUGAUAGUCUCUUUGUCUACUGUCACAAAAGCAGCUUUGAUUUGGCUAAGAUAACACAGAAUCGAUGAAAAACAUGUACCAAAACUAAAUUCUGAUAAGACUCGAAAGAUGAAAUUUUGAUGCUGUCUGGAAGACUAAAAUCUGACCCCUGGUUGCUAAGGACACCCCCAUGCCUCCCUCGUAGAUCUGCUGAUGGCAAUUUAUUAUACUUUCCCACAUAAGGGCACAAAUUUGAUUAUACACAUUUUAUAGUUUCCAACAGAAAAAAAAGGAAUUUUGAUAUGUUCCCACUAAGAAGGUUAGGUUUUGUCCACCAGUUCCGAUUAUGGUUGCUACUUUUGACUAUUCAUUGUUGUGAGAAAUAUAUAUUUUUUGCGGGUAAAGUUAUAUGCAGUAAGAAAAAGGAGGACCAACUCACCAGCUUGUCGAGGGAGGAUUCCGCCUUAACCGAUGGUUUGCCCAUCAAUUUGGCAGCCUGUCGCCGGCGACUAGUCCUCGCCAUCGCCUGAGUUGCCGCCGGUCAGUCUGAAAACUGAUGUCUAGGGAGUUGCUGCUGCGCGUCUUCUCCAAAGAUUGACGGGCGACGCAGUGCGGCCCGGCCAAAUAUAUAUAUAGCUGCUGGGUUCCCGCCACCAAUGGAAACUCGGAGACUGAAUUCGAAAGAGGGCCUGUUUCUGAUUGUAAUCCGGAAAGGACUGCUUUGAUUCCGGAUUAGCCACUAAAAAAGGGAGGCGCUUCGAUUUCCGACUGCGGCUCGGAGAGGAGCCGCUUGAUUGCGGAUCGCUGCUUCGAUUGGGGACUGCGGCUCCCAAAGGGGGAGCUGCUUAUUUGGUCGCCUACUCGCAAGCAGCACUGGAUCCUCAUUCGAGGCAUCCGACGGCGAGAGGGGGGAGAUGGGCGCACGGCAGGAGGCGGCGGCGCAUAACUGACCCCCGAUCCCCUUUCCUCUCUGGUGGAACCCUAGGUGGGAGGGGGCGGCGUGGAAGGGAGGAUCGCCAUUUAUAUACUGCGGCCUGCGAUGGAGGAAUGAUGGGCUAAGGCCCAUUGUUCAUCACCCCUAAAAAAAUGUGUACAUGCGGCCUGCCAUGGAGGGAU